GUCCAUAUUGUUGUUUGUACUAUAGAUAUGCCUAUUGCCAGUCCCAAUUGUGUGGUGGUUGAUGACAUUCUGUAGUGACAUAUCCUAUUUGCUAAUAUCUCUUUUUUCCCCUCGCUUGAGGGUGACAACAAUCAGCCGAUGAGUGAAGUGUGGGAUUGGAACAUGUAUGGAACCAAACUGAAGUUUCAUGGAUGGUUUAUUAACACUGCCAAUGAGGAUGGUGACGGAGGUGAGGAUGGUGACGGAGGUGAGGAUGAUGCUUCAUUUGCCUCGGAGCAUUCCGAUGAUGAAGAUUUGACGGAGGUGUCAAUUUUACGUGCGGUGCAAGUGUUGGCCAUUCGUGCAAACUUUCGUAUUAGCCGUAUGGACGCCCAUGACUGGUACCAAAGUUUUGUCAUCUAUGUGGCGCUCGAGGGGGAAGUACAAGAGGUAUACACCAGCUACCGUAUGUUAUAUCUACUACAUGCUUUAUGCCUCUUUACAUGCAUUAUAUAUUGUAAUAAAUUAAAAUCCUUCACAUUCAUGCUUUCAUGUGUAGGAAGGAAAGGAUUUGGUACUCGCUGGACCAUGUGGGAUACUACAGGCUUACGGUGCCUUUUGCUUGGAGGUUUUCACAGAAGACCUGGUUUUCACAGAAGACGAUGAGGGGUCUUCUACUGAUGAUGAGGGGUCUUGGGGCGGUCAUUUCCGCCGAGGCUGGGAUGUUACUGAGCCUGAUGAAGUUGAGGAAUUCACACAAACCAUCUAUGGAGGCCUUGGCCGCAAGUUGGAGAUCACAUACUUGGUGAUUCCGGAAGCAGUUGAGACCUAUGUUGAGGUCAGGUUGAACCUCAAAGACUUCGGUUCGAGAAGCCGCUCUGUGUAUGGUAGCGUCAAGGCAAUUGCCAUUGACUAUGGGAGCAAAAGUGUCAAUCUCUUCAGUUUUGAACGAGGCAGUAGCUUGUCCCUGCCCUGUGGUUCCACGUGCAUUCUUCCACUGGGACCACACAUGAUUGCAUUGCCUUAUGAUAGCAAGUACAAACUCCACAUAGAGGUGGACCUAAGAGUAAUCACAACCUGUGACAGCCAAGAAGAGGACAAGAAUUUGAAAUUCUGUCUAGACUGCAGCCGUAGAAUUAGGAGUGAAGAAAGUCUAGAGUUACCCCGUAGAAUUAGGACUCAAAAAAGAGAAUUCGAUGGUGAUCAAGUUGAAGUGAAGGUCAUCUGGGUCCUAGAAAAAUUCUUCUAGAUCCUAGAAAAAUUCGUCUAAGAAAGGAGCUAGAAGCGAAAUAAGUGAAGGAAGGCAUGUGCCUAUUUAUAUGAUAAUACCACAAACUGUGUAAAAAUUAAUCAACACAUCAUUUCAACAUAAGAGAUUGGUGUUUACCAUCCACUUAUCAGUUUGCAUGAGACUCAAUCAAGACAAGAACAAAAUAGCAGUACUGAUAAACACCAUGCACCGGAAGACAAUGGCAUCUAGAAAAACCAUUCGCCUCACAUGAGUGCAGUGCAGGACGUACCUGCGAUUAUUCCCCAACAUGCUCCAACGCUCAACAUCUUUUGCUGAGUAUAAGACAUGCAACUUCUUUUUUCAUCCAGGAAGUGAAUUAUGCCAAUUCUACAUUGUAAAUUGAGCACUGCUUCACACACGACACUUUCCACACGAAAUACAGACGACAUGUCAAAUCCCAUCCAAAGCCAAGGCUAAACAGCUUCAGCCGGUUGGAUUGGGCAUCGUUCCAGUAUCGUUCACCGAAGCAUCGUGUGUGAAGUACUUUUGUUGUAAAUUUCUUCAGUUCAAGAACAAUCAACACCAAAUGUGUUUAGCAAAGAUUCUAUAACAUUAUUGAAAUAGCUACUAAAUAAAGCUAGAUCAACUAACCUCCCUCCCGCGGACUAUCAUCUGGGCUGCAAAUCAACGUGAGCACGCCAUGACCCAAGAACAUUGAGUUUGAAGAAGAAAAAGAAGGAACUAUGUAACCACGUAAUCUAGCAUCACAACCAAAAAUCACAGCACGGGCAGACAGCGGCGAACUCCGGGCAAAUAUAGUAGUCAAAUAUCCGAAAAGGGCCCCCUUUCCCCACGAUUCUGAUAUAAAACAACAACACCUUCAGACUGAUUGACUGUUGUGGUCUAAACUCUGAAAACCUGAAUCAACUCAUGUGCAAUAUGUGAUAAUGCAACAUGAAAGUUCACAAAAUCCAAUUCUGAAAAAGUGGUAGUGCUCUUCCUUGUUGAAUCCAUAAUAAACCAACUAACUUGGUUGAAUACAAGCUUGUAUAGAUGGACAGAUAUGAUGUUGGACGGCUUGGUUCAGAAUCAUAUAAAACCAGUUUUCGGAAUAAAGCAGGAUCCCGUUGGCGAUGCCGAAGCGGCUGAAGUCAAUCUUCUUCCAGUCUUCCUGCAUCUCUAACCAAAAUCCCGUACCCCUUCUCGAUCAUGUGAACCGGCAGUGACUCCUUGCCCAGCUCCUCGCUCCUCUGGAUCAUAUCAGCGGGGUAUAUUGUGGAAUCAAGGUUGUGGAUGAUGGGGGCUGCCUCUUCUGGGCCAGAAACAUAAUACAUCAUUUAUCUAGUGUGCCUACCCUUCCUUCCAAAAGAAUGAUGCAUCUACUUGGCCUACAACAGCACCAUAUCUAAAAAAUAAUGGAUAAACAUGUAGUUCCUUCCUAAUUAACUAAGAUUUGUGAAUUAGUACGUUGGAAGGAUCAUACUACUAAUAAUAAGAUAAUUAGAAAAUUUCUGAAGUGUGAACGAUACGAGAUCAAGCAGUCUCCGUAGAAUUAGUACAGACUACACAGUGUGUCGAGAACAUAUGACACAUAAAGACAUAUUCAUAAUCUAGAAGACAACCAUGCUAGCAUAUUCCUGAGGCAGGGAAGACAACAUACGGAAUCUGAACAUGCAUCAUUGUACUGUUUAGGCUUUGCUUUGCUUUCCAUACCACGUCCUUUGUUCCACAUGUUCCACUGCAUUUUUCACUUAAACAACUUCAUGUUGAACCAAAAGACACCACCACCAAUGUGAACAACGAACAUAUUCCCUAGCUGAUGGUCCAUCUUUUUCAAGUAGAAAUUUAGAAUAGAGGUUUGCCUUUGUUAGUAGCUCGUCCAACCUGCAGAACCAUGCCUUGAGAUCAAAAGGCUUCUGCCUUGCUGAUUCUCUCUUUCUGGCCUCCUCUUCUUCAUCUACCUCGAGCUGGGCCUGACACAACUCUUCCUCCUUCGCCAUCACCUCCGUAUAAAGAGAUGGGGAGAUUCUAAUGCUACUAAGUAAGAAAAAUAGCGAUACAUAUUACCUUUAUACGCGGGCUCUAUAAAGCACUGGAUCUCCACCAAUAUAAACAACCAGUUGUCCAAAAAAAUAUAAAACAAGUAAGAAAAAAAAAUAUCUUCAGAAGUCUGCUUUCAGGUAAAGCAACUCCUUUAUGGAGAUGGUCUUUCCAGUAAUUGUGGUGAGUGUGAGCCAUAUUGUUGUGUGCCUCAAUCGCAAACAUGUUUCCAGUGUUCACAAGGACGACCUCCUUCAAUCUGCAUCACCAUUACAAUAUAUUAAGCAUCCAAAUAAGUAAGAUUAACUACACUUGAUACUUUUUUUAAACAAACUGCACAUGAUACUUAUAUGGUACUAAUUACUAAAGGUGCAAUCUUGCCGUGUUAGGCCGUGUGUACAGCAAAUUUUGUGAAAAUCAAUCCAACAAUUAUUGGAAAUAAAAUUGCGAUAUUUGUAAGAUAUUAAACUUUUUUGAUUGUGGACAACCCAGUGUAGAUUGCAGUGUACUUCAACUCUGCAUCACCAUACAACAUAUUAAGCUUACGGAUAAAUGAGAUUAAACAUACUUGAUAGUUGACACUGAUGUUACUAAAGGUGCAAUCUUGCCUGUACUUCAAUCUGCAUCACCAUUGAUUGUAACUGCUGCCUGCUACUUAUGUGGCCUAACUAAAAAAACAUCAAAAGGACGUUUGUGCCUACUUGUGUAGAGGGACUAAAUAUAUGCAACUUUAGAGUUCACGACAUGAAAUCAGCUGCCUGAGAGCACAAAGCAGCAAAUUCUAUCGCACUUCUGCGUACAGUUCAAGACAGAAGGCUAUAACCAGAAGACCAUGCUAAAUGGUCUCCCAAACGGAAUCUAUUCAAGUAUAGCAUACACCUUAUUCUUCCAAAUCAAGCGAUGCGCCUACCUCUUUCAUGGAGUAUCCAACAGUUAAUUCGUCUAAAGAGCAAGCACCUUUUCAUGCCAAUGUACAGAGCUGAGCCUACUGGAAAAUUUAACUGAAGUUAAUCAACCAGAUUGAAGAACAAUGUUAGUCUCUCUAGGACAGGGCGUGUAAGCAUGACGAAUCAAACAAUGAGAAAUUAGUUGGCUCUCAAUUAAAAAAUUCACAAUGGCUGGCUGUAGUUCCGUGGUUUAUAUUGUGUAAUGUGGUCUCAGAAAAUCAUGUGCUCACAGAUUUGAGAUGACACCAUAAAAAAAUUUGGUUGAAUUUAAACUCAUGCUUAUCAACUUGAUUACCCUUGAAAUACACUUGUGACUCUAACCCAACCAAAUAUGACAUGGUGGCAACCUGUACAUCGUGAAUCAUUACCUUACACAGUGUUCUUUUUCUUCUUCUUAAUUAACCCAGUCUCUCUAGCUUGUGGACAGACUAACUAAGCACAACAAUGAAAAAUUAAUUAAAGAACAGGAAGUAGCCCAUUAAGGUUCAGUUUGUGUUUGCUUCAUUAACUGUAGGUUUCUAGAAAAACAAAUAGCACGAUUCCAAUUCUCCUUGUGGCUUCAGUAUGCAAUACCUCAUGGAGAACCGGCAGUCGGAGUUCCGGCGAUGUGUAGAGUAACGUCGGAUUGCAGAUGGUCUUCUGGCGAAGUAGGUGGAGGCGACAUUGGACAGUUCCCGCAAUCUCGUCUUACGAACUUGCAAUGCGAUUUACUUGUGCUUCCACUCUAGGGUUUCUUCUUAUGGCAGAGAGAUUGAUCUGAAAUUUGGGUCGGCCCCAUGGCUACAUGCUGGAGCAGUUUUCCUGCGUGAACACGCCAUCAACUCCUAUCCAAAUCGGAGACGUCCGCCUCGAGGUGGAGAAGGCUGGGGGUGAGGAGUUGGGGCGGGUGAGGAGGCGAAGAAGAACAGGGCAACGAAGGCGCAUCUCGGGGGUAGCUGGAAAGGAAGAUCGGUCGCGCGUGGUGGCGGGAUUCAUGGCGGCGGUGCUGUGCCGUGCCGUGCAGGGAGAGGACCCCGUGUUGUUGUGCUAUUUUUCCCCUGAAGGCCAAGCCGAGGGCCCAAUAACGAAACGUUUUUACUCUGUUUACCAAUUCAAACUGUAGCUCCCGGCCUAAUUUUCUGCUAGCUCCUCCCUUGGGAGUGGAUCGCAAAGUGGGUUUCCAGGGCGUGGUGAUAUGCAGUGGCGGAGCCAGGAAAGUAUGAUCAAGGGGGCCGAGCCAUGCUAAAACAUGUUGGUGAGGGCCAAACCUUAGAAAGAAGAUGAGCUUUUUGCAGCAAAUAAGCAGUAAUCAUGUACUGUUUAUAAGCAAAUUAGCAUGUAAUUCCUGUUGUUAGGGAGGGCCAGGGCUCCUGCUGGCCCCCCCGGUCUCCGCCACUGGUGAUAUGGGUAUCUUAUAUGUGACCGUCGUCGUUUUCCCCCUCCUGUUAGGGUUUUCUCUCCUCUCGGCGACUCCUGGAGCCGCCGUUGAGACCAGCCUAUCCCCUCGCCGAUCUCUCUCCGAUCCCCGGCUAGACUUGGAAUGACUAAGCGGGCAUUCUAGAAUCGCUUCCCGGUCUCGGUCCGGCUAGGGUUUUUGGAGGCAGGGAGGUAGAUAGGGUCUCUCCACCCGGUGAUCACUUUUCUUCGGGUUAGGGUUUUUGUGGUAUGGCAAGCCCGGCUUCAGGAUCGGGCGUGGAGGCCAAGGAUGUUGAGGAGAUGAUGAAAAACUUGGGCAUCACCGAGGACGACUUGGAUGACGUCGUUUUCGAAGAGAAACAAGCACCGGCGGACUCGGCCGUCAGGUGGAUGGCCAUAGCGAGAGUUCAUACCCCGAAGAACUAUAGUCAGUAUUGGUUCUUCUGUAACAUGAGGGCGGCGUGGGACCUGGCGCAGGAGGUAAAGAUCCAUCCGCUUGAAGCAAAAUCUAUAUACAAUGCAGUUCUCGUGCCUUGGUGACUGGGAGCACGUCAUGGCGGAUGGGCGGUGGACCUUCGAAGGUAACGCAGUCGUGCUAGCUGAGUACGAUGGGUUCACGAAGUCGUCAGAGGUCAACCUGGACAUGCUGGACAUCUGGGCUCAGAUACAUGAUAUUCUUGAUGGUUACUUUUUAAUGGUUAAAGCGAUGGCAGGGAAGAUAGGUUAGUACAUAUAUGCGGAACCAAAAUGACAAGACUUUGAAGGAAAUUUCGUUCGGGUCAGGGUCAAGAUCAACGUCCAUCAUCCACUGAAGAACGCAGUUUCUCUGGUGAAGGAGGGCAAGAGAAAGAUUUUUCUGGUGAAAUAUGAACGUUUACCCGACUGGUGUACUGUGUGCGGCCAUUUCGGACAUCAGUUCAAGGAACAUGGGGACGGUGUGCACCCCCCAAGCCCCGGUUUUUAAAAACCUAAGGGCAUCGUGGUUCAGGGGCCCGGAAAGGGGACCAGGAGAAGGAAGAGGACGUGGUAGGUCGGGACGCGGCUGCGGUCGAGGCCAUGGAUCUUCCCAGAGGAACCAGGAUGAGUGGCAGAGUACGAGGUUUCAAAGAACCCCAGGGGUGAUGUUGCUAUGGAUGAUGCUGAGAACAACAGGAAGAGGGGCUCUUUGAUGGUGAUGGACCCGAAGGUUUCAGCUAGUUCAACACCGAGGAUCCAGUCCAGUAAUCCUUUGCUUUUGCCCCAGCACCCAGAUGCACCGACGAGCUCCCCCUCUAAGAAGGAACCAAAGAGGACCAAGCCGUCCCUACCUGCUCCGGACAAUGCAAUGGUGAAGAACAUAGUUCAGACUAUAAACAAUGACGCGCGUUUGGCGGGCUCCCAAGGGGAGUUGCACCAUGCGCAAUGAGUCUCCUCUGCUGGAGCUUUCGUGGGGCUGGCAAACCCGCGACAGUUCGUGAGCUUCAUGAUCUCACGAGGCAAUUUGCCCCCUCUAUCUUAUGUAUUGUCGAAACUCAAAUAGAGGGCUCUCGAGUAGAGAAUCUAGCAUGCACUUUAGGUUUCACUAAUAGUUUUGCAGUUAGUAGUUCUGGGAGAAGUGGUGGACUUGGUAUUUUUUGGAACAAUGAAAUAAAGCUUGUGGCUGAUGGUUACUCUAAAUAUCAUAUUAAUGUAGUGGUUGAUGAUUUGGCACAUAUCAAAACUGAAGGGGAACGUAGUAAUUUCAAAAAAAUUCCCACGCACACGCAAGAUCAUGUUGAUGCAUAGCAACGAGAGGGGAGAGUGUUGUCCACGUACCCUCGUAGACAGAAAGCGGAAGUGUUAUAUCAACGCGGUUGAUGUAGUCGUACGUCUUCACGACCCGACCGAUCCAAGCACCGAAACUACGGCACCUCCGAGUUCUAGCACACGUUCAGCUCGAUGACGAUCCCCGGACUCCGAUCCAGCAAAGUGUCGGGGAAGAGUUCCGUCAGCACGACGGCGUGGUGACGAUCUUGAUGUUCUACCGUCGCAGGGCUUCGCCUAAGAACCGCUACAAUAUUAUUGAGGAGUAUGGUGGAGGGGGGCACCGCACACGGCUAAGAGAACGAUCACGAAGAUCAACUUGUGUGUCUAGAGGUGCCCCCUGCCCCCGUAUAUAAAGGAGCAAGGGGGAGGGGCGGCCGACUAGGAGGAGGCGCGCCAGGGAGGAGUCCUACUCCUACCGGGAGUAGGACUCCCUCCUUUUCCUUGUCCAAGUAGGAGAGGGGGAAGGAAGGGAGAGAGGAGAGGAAGGAAAGGGGGGGCACCGCCCCCCCCCCUCCUUGUCCAAUUCGGACUAGAGGGGGAAGGGGCGCGCGGCCUGCCCUGGCCGCCCCUCCUCUUCUCCACUUUAGGCCCAUGAGGCCCAUUAACCCCCGGGAGGAUUCCGGUAACCCCCCGGUACUCCGGUUUUAUCCGAAACUUCUCCGGAACACUUCCGGUGUCCGAAUAUAGUCGUCCAAUAUAUCAAUCUUUAUGUCUCGACCAUUUCGAGACUCCUCGUCAUGUCCGUGAUCAAAUCCAGGACUCCGAACAACAUUCGGUACAUCAAAAUAUAUAAACUCAUAAUGAAACUGUCAUCGUAACGUUAAGCGUGCGGACCCUACGGGUUCGAGAACAAUGUAAACAUGACCAAGACACGUCUCCGGUCAAUAACCAAUAGCGGAACCUGGAUGCUCAUAUUGGCUCCUACAUAUUCUACGAAGAUCUUUUAUCGGCCAGACCGCAUAACAACAUACGUUGUUCCCUUUGUCACCGGUAUGUUACUUGCCCGAGAUUCGAUCGUCGGUAUCUCAAUACCUAGUUCAAUCUCGUUGCCGGCAAGUCUCUUUACUCGUUUCGUAAUACAUCAUCUCGCAACUAACUCAUUAGUUGCAUUGGUUGCAAGGCUCAGGUGAUGUGCAUUACCGAGAGGGCCCAGAGAUACCUCUCCGACAACCGGAGUGACAAAUCCUAAUCUCGAAAUACGCCAACCCAACAUGUACCUUUGGAGACACCUAUAGAGCACCUUUAUAAUCACCCAGUUACGUUGUGACGUUUGGUAGCACACAAAGUGUUCCUCUAGCAAACGGGAGUUGCAUAAUCUCAUAGUCAUAGGAACAUGUAUAAGUCAUGAAGAAAGCAAUAGCAACAUACUAAACGAUCGGGUGCUAAGCUAAUGGAAUGGGUCAUGUCAAUCACAACAUUCUUCUAAUGAUGUGAUCCCGUUAAUCAAAUGACAACACAUGUCUAUGGUUAGGAAACAUAACCAUCUUCGAUUAACGAGCUAGUCAAGUAGAGGCAUACUAGUGACGUUUAGUUUGUCUAUGUAUUCACACAAGUAUUAUGUUUCCGGUUAAUACAAUUCUAGCAUGAAUAAUAAACAUUUAUCAUGAUAUAAGGAAAUAGAUAAUAACUUUAUUAUUGCCUCUAGGGCAUAUUUCCUUCAGUCUCCCACUUGCACUAGAGUCAAUAAUCUAGAUUACACAAUAAUGAUUCUAACACCCAUGGAGCUUUGGUGCUGAUCAUGUUUUGCUCGUGGAAGAGGCUUAGUCAACGGGUCUGCUACAUUUAGAUCCGUAUGUAUCUUGCAAAUCUCUAUGUCUCCCACCUGGACUAGAUCCCGGAUGGAAUUGAAGCGUCUCUUGAUGUGCUUGGUUCUCUUGUGAAAUCUGGAUUCCUUUGCCACGGCAAUUGCACCAGUAUUGUCACAAAAGAUUUUCAUUGGACCCGAUGCACUAGGUAUGACACCUAGAUCAGAUAUGAACUCCUUCAUCCAGACUCCUUCGUUUGCUGCUUCUGAAGCAGCUAUGUACUCCGCUUCACAUGUAGAUCCCGCCACAACGCUUUGUUUAGAACUGCACCAACUGACAGCUCCACCGUUUAAUGUAAACACGUAUCCGGUUUGCGAUUUAGAAUCGUCCGGAUCAGUGUCAAAGCUUGCAUUAACGUAACCAUUUACUAUGAGCUCUUUGUCACCUCCAUAUACGAGAAACAUAUCCUUAGUCCUUUUCAGGUAUUUCAGGAUGUUCUUGACCGUUGUCCAGUGAUCCACUCCUGGAUUACUUUGGUACCUCCCUGCUAGGCUUAUAGCAAGACACACAUCAGGUCUCGUACACAGCAUUGCAUACAUGAUAGAGCCUAUGGCUGAAGCAUAGGGAACAUCUUUCAUUUUCUCUCUAUCUUCUGAAGUGGUCGGGCAUUGAUUCUUACUCAACUUCACACCUUGUAAUACAGGCAAGAAUCCUUUCUUAGCCUGAUCCAUUUUGAACUUCUUCAAAACUUUGUCAAGGUAUGUGCUUUGUGAAAGUCCAAUUAAGUGUCUUGAUCUAUCUCUAUAGAUCUUAAUGCCCAAUAUGUAAGCAGCUUCACCGAGGUCUUUCAUUGAAAAACUCUUAUUCAAGUAUCCCUUUAUGCUAUCCAGAAAUUCUAUAUCAUUUCCGAUUAGUAAUAUGUCAUCCACAUAUAAUAUCAGAAAUGCUACAGAGCUCCCACUCACUUUCUUGUAAAUACAGGCUUCUCCAAAAGUCUGUACAAACCCAAAAGCUUUGAUCACACUAUCAAAGCGUUUAUUCCAACUCCGAGAGGCGUGCACCAGUCCAUAAAUGGAUCACUGGAGCUUGCACACUUUGUUAGCUCCCUUUGGAUCAACAAAACCUUCCGGCUGCAUUAUAUACAACUCUUCUUCCAGAAAUCCAUUCAGGAAUGCAGUUUUGACAUCCAUCUGCCAAAUUUCAUAAUCAUAAAAUGCGACAAUUGCUAACAUGAUUCGGACAGACUUAAGCAUCGCUAUGGGUGAGAAGGUCUCAUCGUAGUCAAUCCCUUGAACUUGUCGAAAACCUUUUGCGACAAGUCGAGCUUUGUAGAUAGUAAUAUUACCGUCAGCGUCAGUCUUCUUCUUGAAGAUCCAUUUAUUCUCAAUUGCUUGCUGAUCAUUGGGCAAGUCAACCAAAGUCCAUACUUUGUUCUCAUACAUGGAUCCCAUCUCAGAUUUCAUGGCUUCAAGCCAUUUUGCGGAAUCUGGGCUCACCAUCGCUUCUUUAUAGUUCGUAGGUUCAUCAUGAUCUAGUAGCAUGACUUCCAGAACAGGAUUACCGUACCACUCUGGUGCGGAUCUUACUCUGGUUGAUCUACGAGGUUUAGUAGUAACUUGUUUUGAAGUUUCAUGAUCAUUAUCAUUAGCUUCCUCACUAAUUGGUGUAGGUGUCACAGAAACCGGUUUCUGCGAUGUACUACUUUCCAAUAAGGGAGCAGGUACAGUUACCUCAUCAAGUUCUACUUUCCUCCCACUCACUUCUUUCGAGAGAAACUCCUUCUCUAGAAAGGAUCCAUUCUUAGCGACAAAUGUCUUGCCUUCGGAUCUGUGAUAGAGGUUGUACCCAACAGUCUCCUUUUGGUAUCCUAUGAAGACACAUUUCUCCGAUUUGGGUUCGAGCUUAUCAGGUUGAAGUUUUUUCACAUAAGCAUCGCAACCCCAAAUUUUCAGAAACGACAACUUUGGUUUCUUGCCAAAACACAGUUCAUAAGGCGUCGUCUCAACGGAUUUUGAUGGUGCCCUAUUUAACGUGAAUGCGGCCGUCUCUAAAGCAUAACCCCAAAACGAUAGCGGUAAAUCUGUAAGAGAUAUCAUAGAUCGCACCAUAUCAAGUAAAGUACGAUUACGACGUUCGGACACACCAUUACGAUGUGGUGUUCCGGGUGGCGUGAGUUGCGAAACUAUUCUGCAUUGUUUCAAAUGUAGACCAAACUCGUAACUCAAAUAUUCUCCUCCACGAUUAGAUUGUAGAAACUUUAUUUUCUUGUUGAUGAUUUUCAACUUCACUCUGAAAUUCUUUGAACUUUUCAAAUGUUUCAGACUUAUGUUUCAUUAAGUAGAUAUACCCAUAUCUGCUUAAAUCAUCUGUGAAGGUGAGAAAAUAACGAUAUCCGCCAUGAGCUUCAACACUCAUUGGACCACAUACAUCUGUAUGUAUGAUUUCCAUCAAAUCUGUUGCUCUCUCCAUAGUACCGGAGAACGGUGUUUUAGUCAUCUUGCCCAUGAGGCACGGUUUGCAAGUACCAAGUGAUUCAUAAUCAAGUGGUUCCAAAAGUCCAUCAGUAUGGAGUUUCUUCAUGCGUUUUACACCAAUAUGACCUAAACGGCAGUGCCACAAAUAAGUUGCACUAUCAUUAUCAACUCUGCAUCUUUUGGCUUCAACAUUAUGAAUAUGUGUAUCACUACUAUCGAGAUUCAUCAAAAAUAGACCACUCUUCAAGGGUGCAUGACCAUAAAAGAUAUUACUCAUAUAAAUAGAACAACCAUUAUUCUCUAAUUUAAAUGAAUAACCGUCUCGCAUCAAACAAGAUCCAGAUAUAAUGUUCAUGCUCAACGCUGGCACCAAAUAACCAUUAUUUAGGUCUAAUACUAAUCCCGAUGGUAGAUGUAGAGGUAGAGUGCCGACCGCGAUCACAUCGACUUUGGAACCAUUUCCCACGCGCAUCGUCACCUCGUCCUUCGCUAGUGUUCGCUUAAUCCGUUGUCCCUGUUUCGAGUUGCAAAUAUUAGCAACAGAACUAGUAUCAAAUACCCAGGUGCUACUGCGAGCGCUAGUAAGGUGCACAUCAAUAACAUGUGUAUCACAUAUACCUUUGUUCACCUUGCCAUCCUUCUUAUCCGCCAAAUACUUCGGGCAGUUCUGCUUCCAGUGACCAGUCUGCUUGCAGUAGAAGCACUCAGUUUCAGGCUUAGGUCCAGAUUUGGGUUUCUUCUCUUGAGAAGCAACUUGCUUGUUGUUCUUCUUAAAGUUCUCCUUCUUCUUCCCUUUGCCCCUUUUCUUGAAACCAAUGGUCUUGUUGACCAUCAACACUUGAUGCUCCUUUUUGAUUUCUAGCUCCGCAGCUUUUAGCAUUGCGAAGAGCUCGAGAAUUGUCUUAUCCAUCCCUUGCAUAUUAUAGUUCAUCACGAAGCUCUUGUAGCUAGGUGGAAGUGAUUGGAGAAUUCUGUCAAUGACGCAAUCAUCCGGAAGAUUAACUCGUAGUUGAAUCAAGUGAUUACUAUACCCAGACAUUUUGAGUAUAUGCUCACUGACAGAACUGUUCUCCUCCAUCUUGCAGCUAUAGAAUUUAUUGGAGACUUCAUAUCUCUCAAUUCGGGCAUUUGCUUGAAAUAUUAACUUCAACUCCUGGAACAUCUCAUAUGCUCCAUGACGUUCAAAACAUCGUUGAAGUCCCGAUUCUAAGCCGUAAAGCAUGGCACAUUGAACUAUCGAGUAGUCAUCAGCUUUGCUCUGCCAGACAUUCUUAACAUUGUCAGUUGCAUCAGCAGCAGGCCUGACACCCAGCGGUGCUUCCAGGACGUAACUUUUCUGUGCAGCAAUGAGGAUAAUCCUCAAGUUACGGACCCAAUCCGUGUAAUUGCUACCAUCAUCUUUCAACUUUUCUUUCUCAAGGAACGCAUUAAAAUUGAAUGGAACAACAGCACGGGCCAUCUAUCUACAAUCAAACAUAAACAAUCAAGAUACUAUCAGGUACUAAGUUCAUGAUAAAUUUAAGUUCAAUUAAUCAUAUUACUUAAGAACUCCCACUUAGAAAGACAUCCCUCUAAUCUUCUAAGUGAUUACGUGAUCCAAAUCAACUAAACCAUAACCGAUCAUGACGUGAAAUGGAGUAGUUUUCAAUGGUGAACAUCGCUAUGUUGAUCAUAUUUACUAUAUGAUUCACGCCCGACCUUUCGGUCUCAGUGUUCCGAGGCCAUAUCUGCAUAUGCUAGGCUCGUCAAGUUUAACCUGAGUAUUCUACGUGUGCAAAACUGGCUUGCACCCGUUGUAGAUGGACGUAGAGCUUAUCACACCCGAUCAUCACGUGGUGUCUGGGCACGACAAACUUUGGCAACGGUGCAUACUCAGGGAGAACACUUUUAUCUUGAAAUUUAGUGAGAGAUCAUCUUAUAAUGCUACCAUCAAUCAAAGCAAGAUAAGAUGCAUAAAAGAUAAACAUCACAUGCAAUCAAUAUAAGUGAUAUGAUAUGGCCAUCAUCAUCUUGUGCUUGUGAUCUCCAUCUCCGAAGCAUCGUCAUGAUCACCAUCGUCACCAGCGCGACACCUUGAUCUCCAUCGUAGCAUCGUUGUCGUCUCGCCAAUCUUAUGCUUCUACGACUAUCGCUACCGCUUAGUGAUAAAGUAAAGCAUUACAGGGCGAUUGCAUUGCAUACAAUAAAGCGACAACCAUAUGGCUCCUGCCAGUUGCCGAUAACUCGGUUACAAAACAUGAUCAUCUCAUACAAUAAAAUUUAGCAUCAUGUCUUGACCAUAUCACAUCACAACAUGCCCUGCAAAAACAAGUUAGACGUCCUCUACUUUGUUUGUUGCAAGUUUUAUGUGGCUGCUACGGGCUUAAGCAAGAACCAAUCUUACCUACGCAUCAAAACCACAACGAUAGUUUGUCAAGUUGGUGCUGUUUUAACCUUCACAAGGACCGGGCGUAGCCACACUCGGUUCAACUAAAGUUGGAGAAACUGACACCCGCCAGCCACCUGUGUGCAAAGCACGUUGGUAGAACCAAUCUCGCGUAAGCGUACACGUAAUGUCGGUCCGGGCCGCUUCAUCCAACAAUACCGCCGAACCAAAGUAUGACAUGCUGGUAAGCAGUAUGACUUAUAUCGCCCACAACUCACUUGUGUUCUACUCGUGCAUAUAACAUCAACACAUAAAACCUAGGCUCGGAUGCCACUGAAGGGGAACGUAGUAAUUUCAAAAAAAAUUCCCAUGCACACGCAAGAUCAUGUUGAUGCAUAGCAACGAGAGGGGAGAGUGUUGUCCACGUACCCUCGUAGACCGAAAGCGGAAGCGUUAUAUCAACGCGGUUGAUGUAGUUGUACGUCUUCACGAUCCGACCGAUCCAAGCACCGAAACUACGGCACCUCCGAGUUCUAGCACACGUUCAGCUCGAUGACGAUCCCCGUACUCCGAUCCAGCAAAAUGUCGGGGAAGAGUUCCGUCAGCAUGACAGCGUGGUGAUGAUCUUGAUGUUCUACCGUCGCAGGGCUUCGCCUAAGCACCGCUACAAUAUUAUCGAUCGUUGGUUUCUCAAUACCAAGUUCAAUCUCGUUACCUACAAGUCUCUUUACUCGUUCCGUAAUGCAUCAUCUCGCAACUAACUCAUUAGUUGCCAUGCUUGCAAGGCUUAAGUGAUGUGCAUUACCGAGAGGGCCCAGAGAUACCUCUCCGACAAUCGGAGUGACAAAUCCUAAUCUCGAAAUACGCCAACCUAACAAGUACCUUCGGAGACACCUGUAGAGCACCUUUAUAAUCACCCAGUUACGUUGUGAUGUUUGGUAGCACACAAAGUGUUCCUCCGGUAAACGGGAGUUGCAUAAUCUCAUAGUCAUAGGAACAUGUAUAAGUCAUCAAGAAAGCAUUUGCAACAUACUAAACGAUCGGGUGCUAAGCUAACGGAAUGGGUCAAGUCAAUCACAUCAUUCUCCUAAUGAUGUGAUCCCGUUAAUCCAAUUACAACCCAUGUCAAUGGCUAGGAAACUUAACCAUCUUUGAUUAAUGAGCUAGUCAAGUAGAGGCAUACUAGUGAUACUCUGUUUGUCUAUGUAUUCACACAUGUUCAAUCUCGUUGCCAGCAAGUCUCUUUACUCGUUCUGUAAUACAUCAUCUCGCAACUAACUCAUUAGUUGCAUUGCUUGCAAGGCUCAGGUGAUGUGCAUUACCGAGAGGGCCCAGAGAUACCUCUCUGACAAUUGGAAUGACAAAUUCUAAUCUCGAAAUACGCCAACCCAACAUGUACCUUUGGAGACACCUGUAGAGCACCUUUAUAAUCACCCAGUUACGUUGUGAUGUUUGGUAGCACACAAAGUGUUCCUCCGGCAAACGGGAGUUGCAUAAUCUCAUAGUCAUAGGAACAUGUAUAAGUCAUGAAGAAAGCAAUAGCAACAUACUAAACGAUCGGGUGCUAAGCUAAUGGAAUGGGUCAUGUCAAUCACAACAUUCUUCUAAUGAUGUGAUCCCGUUAAUCAAAUGACAACACAUGUCUAUGGUUAGGAAACAUAACCAUCUUCGAUUAACGAGCUAGUCAAGUAGAGGCAUACUAGUGAUGUUUAGUUUGUCUAUGUAUUCAUACAAGUAUUAUGUUUCCGGUUAAUACAAUUCUAGCAUGAAUAAUAAACGUUCAUCAUGAUAUAAGGAAAUAGAUAAUAACUUUAUUAUUGCCUCUAGGGCAUAUUUCCUUCAAAAACAAGGGUCACCUUCGUCUAUGGAGAGGCCCAGGUGUCUGAAAGGUAUAAAACUUGGGACAUGUUGCGUGGUAUUCUUGGUGCAAAUAAUCUUCCAUGGGUAGUCAUGGGAGACUUCAAUGAGGUGUUAUAUUCUCACGAGCAUGAUGGAGUGGCAAACAAUAGCCAGGCGCAGAUGGACGCAUUCAGAGAUGCUUUGGAUACAUAUGGAUUAUCAGAUAUAGAAUAUAAUUGAAGAAAAUACGCCCUAGAGGCAAUAAUAAAGUUGUUAUUUAUAUUUCCUUAUAUCAUGAUAAAUGUUUAUUAUUCAUGCUAGAAUUGUAUUAACCGGAAACUUAGUACAUGUGUGAAUACAUAGACAAACAAAGUGUCACUAGUAUGCCUCUACCUGACUAGCUCGUUGAAUCAAAGAUGGUUAAGUUUCCUAGCCAUAGACAUGAGUUGUCAUUUGAUUAACGGGAUCACAUCAUUAGAUAAUGAUGUGAUUAACUUGACCCAUUCCGUUAGCUUAGCAUUUGAUCGUUUAGUAUAUUGCUAUUGCUUUCUUCAUGACUUAUACAUGUUCCUAUGACUAUGAGAUUAUGCAACUCCCGAGUACCGGAGGAACACUUUGUUUGCUACCAAACGUCACAACGUAACCGGGUGAUUAUAAAGGUGCUCUACAGGUCCCUGAUGGUACUUGUUGAGUUGGCAUAGAUCGAGAUUAGGAUUUGUCACUCCGAUUGUCAGAGAGGUAUCUCUGGGCCCUCUUGGUAAUGCACAUCACUAUAAGCCUUGCAAGCAAUGUAAUUAAUGAGUUAGUUGCGGGAUGAUGCAUUAUGAAACGAGUAAAGGGACUUGCCGGUAAUGAGAUUGAACUAGGUAUUGAGAUACCGACGAUCGAAUCUCGGGCAAGUAACAUACCGAUGACAAAGGGAACAAUGUAUGUUGUUAUGCGGUUUGACCGAUAAAGAUCUUCGUAGAAUAUGUAGGAGCCAAUAUGAGCAUCCAGGUUCCGCUAUUGGUUAUUGACUGGAGACGUGUCUCGGUAAAGUCUACAUAGUUCUCUAACCUGUAGGUUCCGCACGCUUAACGUUCGGUGACAAUCGGUAUUAUGAGUUUAUGUGUUUUGAUGUACCGAAGGUAGUUCAGAGCCCGGAUAUGAUCACGAACAUGACGAGGAGUCUCGAAAUGGUCGAGACAUAAAGAUCGAUAUAUUGGAAGCCUAUAUUUGGACAUUAGAAUAGUUCCGGGUGAAAUCAGGAUUUUACCGGAGUACUGGGAGGUUACCGGAACCCCCGGUAAGUGUAUGGGCCUUAUUGGGCCAUAGUGGAGAGAGAGAGGGGACCAGGGCACGCCGCGCCCCACCUCUCCCUCUGGUCCAAAUUGGAUUAGGAGGGGGGCGCCCCCUUUCCUUCCUCCCUCUCUCCCCCUUCAUUCUCUCCUAGUCCAACUAGGGAAGGGGGGGAUCCUACUCCUGGUGGGAGUAGGACUCCUCCAGGGUGCGCCAUAGAGGGUCGGACCUCCCCCUCCUCCACUCCUUUAUAUACGUGGCCAGGGAUGCACCCCAAAGACACACAAGUUGAUCAUUGAUCUUUUAGCCGUGUGCGGUGCCCCCUCCACCAUAAUCCACCUCGGUCAUAUCGUAGAGGUGCUUAGGAGAAGCCCUGCGUCGGUAGCUUCAUCAACACCGUCAUCACGCCAUCGUGCUGACGGAACCCUCUCUCAAAGCUCUACUGGAUCGUGAGUUCGUGGGACGUCAUCGAGUUGAACAUGUGAAGAUCACGGAGGUGUCGUACGUUCGGUACUAGGAUCGGUCGAUCGUGAAGACGUAUGACUACAUCAACCGCGUUGUCAUAAUGCUUCUGCUUACGGUCUACGAGGGUACAUGGACGACACUCUCCCCUCUCGUUGCUAUGCAUCACCAUGAUCUUGCGUGUGCGUAGGAAUUUUUUUGAAAUUACUGCGUUCCCCAACAAUAAUGGCAUCGGUUAGACUUUUGAAAAAAAGGUUACGGGGGGAAGUUAUACCAGAGUGCGUUUUUACAGAUGUGUUGCGAACCUAGCUUGGUCCUUGGCUUUUCCAAUGGCAUCUCUGGAGCACAAGCAUGAAACAUCAUACGAUCACAUUUCGAUCUUCCUCCAGCUAAAUAUGUUGCAUGCAUGUGCAUGCGGACCGAGGCGAUUUAGAUACGAAUUGUGCUGGGAGAGAGACCCCAUGCAUGCAAAUGUGAUUGGUGAAGGGUGGACCUCACAGCAGAAUCUAGACCCUAGCCGACCAGUGGAACGUGUCCGACAAAAGCUGCAGCAGGUGGCAGGUGAUCUGUCCACGUGGGACCGCAUGCACUUCGGGAAUGUCAGACUCCAGAUCGCACAAUACAGAAGCAUCUACAGGAGUCACGCGGCCUCCCAGGAAGAUCGGGGCCCAACCAUUUGGAAUUAAAAAUCACAGAAAAUCUUGUGGAGUUAUAUCACCGGGAGGAAAUACUGUGGCGUCAAAGGGCAAGUGUCGGUGUCAAAACCGGUAGAUCUCGGGUAGGGAGUCCCGAACUGUGCGUCUAAGGCGGAUGGUAACAGGAGGCAGGGGACACAAUGUUUUACCCAGGUUCGGGCCCUCUUGAUGGAGGUAAAACCCUACGUCCUGCUUGAUUAUUCUUGAUAAUAUGAGUAGUACAAGAGUUGAUCUACCACGAGAUCGGAGAGGCUAAACCCUAGAAGCUAGCCUAUGGUAUGAUUGUAUGUUAUCCUACGAACUAAAACCCUCCGGUUUAUAUAGACACCGGAGGGGCUAGGGUUACACAAGGUCGGUUUCAAAGGAGGAGAUAUACAUAUCUGUAUUGCCUAGCUUGCCUUCUACGCCAAGUAGAGUCCCAUCCGGACAUGGGACGAAGUCUUCAAUGUUGUAUCUUCAUGGUCCAACAGUCUGGCCAAAGGAUAUAAUCCGGAUGUUCGGAUACCCCCUAAUCCAGGGCUCCCUCAGUAGCCCCCGAACCAGGCUUCAAUGAUGAUGAGUCCGGCGUGCAGUGUUGUCUUCGGCAUUGCAAGGCGGGUUCUUCUCCAAAUUUUGAACGUUUGUUAAGCAGUGUCCGGUCCCAUAAAUGUUGAAACUCUUGGCUUCUGCGCCCAAUAAGGGCUAUCUUCCACGCGUCGAAUGAAUGCGAGGCGCCAGGGUAUUUUUACAUUCGCCCCCUAGCCAGAUAAAUAAAUUGUCUAUUAAAGGGAUGGGGAUUCUUAGAUCCAAUCUAUACCAUCAUCCCCCAGUGAGAAUCCAUUGGAGCAUGCUUCAGAAAGAUCCACUCCAGCAUGGCCGAUCUCCGCAACUCCUCCUCCCACCCCAUAGCCCUAAGUCCGGUGAUUGGGAGAGGUGUUCAGUCCCACACAGUCGAUUAGUCGAACUGCAGACUAAGGGAUUUCUCCCUCCGGCGUAUAUGGUGCUCGUCCGAGUCGGGCUCGCCACCUACAAUGGCGGGGAGCAAGCGGAGAGCUUCCCCAGCCCCUCUACGGGGGAGCGGGUAUGCCUUGUCCCUUAUUUAUUGAGGGGACUCGGAUUUCCGAUUCAUCCGUUCCUCUGCGGGCUCCUGGAGUUUUACGGCCUCCAACUGCAUAAUUUCACCCCUGCUUCCAUUUUACACAUCGCUGGCUAUGUUGCCCUUUGCGAGUUAUUCCUGGGCUGCGAGGCUCAUUUCGAGAUGUGGAAAAGGUUAUUUUGCCUCGUCCCUCGCACACAUAAGGGGUCACUUUAUCAAGUGGGCGGAGCCGAAAUAUGGCGCAUCGCCGAAACUGGAUACCUGUCCGGUACUCCAAAGAAGACGUCCGAAGACUGGCCUUUGGAAUGGUUUUAUAUGGAGGACGUCCCCCUUCCGGACCCUGUUCGGUGGGGUCUUCGUGAGUUCAGCAAUGCUCCUCUGAAGAAACGCCGAAGUUGGCGCCCACGGAGCCCCCAGGAGGAAGACAACGGAGAAGUCCUUUACCCGAUGAACCGGAUUAAAGCGCUGGCUCAAUCAGGAUUGACAGUAAUCGAGGUUAUGUCAAUAUGCAUAAUGCGAGGAGUGCAACCACUUCAAUAUUGAGAGCACCCCUUGUGGUGUUUUAACGGGGAAGAUGACGCCACCCGUUGCGGGCGUAAGGGUCCGGACAACGCUGUCGCUUUAGCAAAAAUUCUAUUCGAAUUGUUCAAGGGAGAGGAAGAGGAGUUCAUCCGCAUCAAGCCACGGGAUGGAUUCUCCAUGUACAACCCUCCAAGCUGGGUGAGUUAUAUCUCCAUACUCCCGUUCUUCCCGCAUUCUUUGUCGUAGGUACUCACCUUGCCAUUUUGCGGCAGGAACUGCGAAAAGCCAUAAGGGAGGUCAACAGCCCAUCUCCACAACCAGAGGACCCUGACCGGGCCCUCGGUGCCGGACUCGAAGAAGAUCCGGACAUAUUCAUGGAGCUGAUAGACCGGCAGUUCUAUCAAUUAAGUUGUGAUGACGCCAUGUUGGCCAUUACGGCCGAUUAUCCUGGACUACUUCCUGCGUCGCACGUAAGAAAAACCAAAAAUCCCAACUCCAAAAACUAGGAUCCCCUUUUAGACACUUCACCUACCAUAUACAUAUGGUGUUUUUACAGGGAAGGCAUUCGGGACGCCAUGCCGAACCCGCAGCAACUCGCCAACAAGAGGCACCGGGGCCGGGCAGGCCAAAAAGGAAGGAGAUCAGGACGGAGACGCCGGCGCAGAGGUAUGACAGAAACCCUGCUCCGUGGCUGUCAUCUUUCUUGAAAUGUAAUGACGUCCAUGUUUCUUUAACAAAAAAAACGCUCGCCGGAAUAUGUCCGGUGAGGCUGCCGAUCAUGCUUCCACCAGUCGGGCUCCAGGACCGGACAUAGAGGCGGAAGCUGACAUGGGGCGGACACCGGAUAGUCCCCCUAUAGAGGAUGCGGAUAGGCUAUCCGCUACACAUUCAGAAGUGGAGAGUGCCAUGAAUCAUAGGCAUCGCCGGGCCGUACUCCGCGACGCUUGCUUCUCACCAGAGGCAUUUGAUGCCUUCAAUUCUGGAGAGGCGUACCUCCGUGCUGCUCAAAAUGGUCUAGCCAGAGCCACGGACUAGUAUGUAAAGGAUGUACGGGUAAGAAAAUCUGACGAUUAUAUGUAUCAGUAGCCCCUGAGACUUGAAACAGUUAGAAGAAGUGAUUUAAGGAUCAUCUUAUUGUGCAGGUUCUUACAGAGAAGAAUAGUCGACUGUCACAGGAGCUGGAGGAAUGCAAGACCCAACUUCGGGCCGCUGUUGCCGCAUUGAAGGAUCCUAAAAAGUCCCCAGCUGGUAACAUUUCUUUCAAAUAAUGGCUGCAGAUCUAAUAAUAGAUGUUGCAGAUGAAUCCGGAGAGAAUCCGGAGGAGCAGCACGCCGUACGAAAGCUAAAGGCUGGCGAACGCGUGCUGACUGAGGUCAGGCAGGAGAAAAACAAUCUCCAAGACGCCAAUACCAAGCUGAGCGUGGAACUGAAAGAUGUUCGAUCCAGCUUGCGGACUCCGAGAAGGAGAAUAAGCGGCUUCGACGCGGAAUAUUUAGUAAGUGCUUGAACGAACCCUUAAUAAAGGGGACGGCGGAGAAGCCGACUAACAGAGUUAUGUCUGCAGGUAUGCUGACGGGUCAUCCCGCGGAGGAGAUGCCCGGGUUUGCGGGUGAUCUUCUAUCUGAGCUCUCACAACUGCACAAACAAGUUCGGCAGGUGAUGCAAGGUAUUGCCCAGGCCUUGUGGCCAUCCGCCUCCCUGGCAGAAGGCGUUGGAGAGCUUGUGGAGAAGCUCAAGGGAGAUAUCUGCCUUCCGUCAAGGUGCCAGGGAAGCCUGGGCCAUGGUGAAGACGCGGUAUACCAAGGCUGACCCAAAUCACAUGGCCGAGGUCGGACCUGUGGGGCCUGACGGGAAAGAGAUCCCUGUUAGCUUAGUCUAUGGGCAAGUAGAAUUAGCCGCAAAGUAUUCCCAAUAGGAUUGUAGGCUAGACCGCCUGUUGGAUGGUAUAGAAGAGGAAUUUAGUCAGUCUACAUGACUAUGUAAUUAAAGUGACAUGUAUAAUGCCUUCUACCCGGAUUGUAGAUCAUUUGUCAUGGCGGACGUUUUCGCUUCAACCUCGGGACCCGAUAGUCUGGAGUGUAUCCGAAUACCCGCUCAAUUAUAUAAGAACCGGGGUAUGCGUGGAGACCAGGCGUAGGGGUCAUUAGUGCUUGAACAGACAUGUGCCCAACUAGUUAUGUUAUAUUACAUGGGUAGUAAGAACCAUCUUCCAGGGAGAAUAGUUCUGUUAAGGGUUCCUUUCCCUAGGUACGCAUGCCCUAAAGUGCAUGUCCGGACUGCGAGAGGAAACGCAGGAAAAACAUCUGGGGGCACAUAUGGAAAAUAAAUAAAUAAAAUCAUAUUUUGUUCGCCAACCGAAUAUUCCCUUAAGAACGCUAGCUUUCAGCUUCACCCAGUCUGAGGUACACAUCCGGCUGACCCGGCAGUAACAAUCGCAGAGGUGCUCCCCUUAUGCCCUAGCCGAAUUAACGGGAACGUAGGGCAUAAAUACAAGAGCCAGGCAACCCAGCUUGGCCAAAACUUAAGUCAUAUUGAUGCAUAUAGUGGCGGAGAAAAGGUACAUGCGGAAGAAUCACACAUGUGCGGGGCGUGAAACCCAGAUAGAUAAUUAAGCUUUUGUGUAAGAAGCCCCCAGGUAUAAUGAGCGCGGUUAGCACAUCUAUAAUGUGCAAGCGAGGCACAAGGUGGCCCUUGAAGGCCUAGAGAAAGAGUAAAAGAAAGAAAGAGAAAAAAGACAGACAAUGUAUAUGCAAAAAAUGGACAGAGGAAGGAGACGAACAUAGAGUCCGACGCUAGGCGUAGAAUCUUCGGAGCCUGGCUGCGUUCCAUGGGUUCAACUCAAGUCGAUUAUUCGAUGCAUCCCGCAGACGGUACGCUCCGCCGGUCAGAACUUGGUCAAUAAUGAAGGGACCUUCCCAUUUGGGCUCGAGCUUGAACUUUUUCUUCUCCGGCAGGCGUAGAACUAACUCGCCAACGUUAUAAGUUUUGGCCCAUACUUCUCUACUUUGGUAUCUGCGAGCUUGUUGCUGAUAAAACGCGGAACGGGCUUUUGCCACGUCGCGCUCCUCCUCCAGGGUGUCCAGACUAUCCUGCCGAUCGAGCUCGGUUUCUCUUUCUUCGCACAUGCGCACUCAAGGUGAGUCAUGAAUUAUGUCGUAGGGCAAAACUGCCUCUGCCCGUACACCAUAAAGAAGGGUGUAUAUCCGGUAGUGCGAUUUGGCAUGCUCCGCAGCCCCCAGAGUACGGAGUCGAGCUCCUCUACCCAGUGCUUGUUAGACUCCUUUAAGGACCGCACUAAUCUGGGUUUAAUGCCGCUCAUGAUAAGACCAUUUGCUCGCUCAACUUGGCCGUUGGUUUGUGGGUGAUAGAGGGAAGCAUAAUCGAGCUUGAUGCCCAUGUUGCUGCACCAGAGUUUUACCUCGUCGGCCGUAAAGUUCGUGCCGUUGUCAGUGAUGAUGCUGUGGGGGACGCCGUAACGGUGUACAACCCCGGAUAUGAAGUCUAUCACCGGUCCGGAUUCAGCUAUUUUAACAGGUUUGGCUUCUAUCCGUUUGGUGAAUUUAUCUACUAUGACCAAUAAGUAUUUUUUGUUAUGGGUUCCCCCUUUAAGGGGUCCAACCAUGUCAAGCCCCCAGACCGCGAAAGGCCAGGUAAUGGGGAUUGUUUGGAGGGCGGUGGGUGGCAUAUGGCUUUGAUUUGCAAAAAGCUGGCAAUCGGCGCAGCGUUGGACCAAGUCCUGCGCGUCUGACCGGGCCGUCGGCCAAUAAAAACCUGUACGGAAGGCCUUGCUUACAAGGGCCCGGGCUGCGUCGUGGUGGCCGCCAAGUCCGGCAUGAAUUUCUGCCAAAAGCUUCCGCCCUUCCUCUUUGGAGAUGCACCUUUGAAGGACUCUGGUAGUGCUUUUCUUAUACAGCUCUCCCUCGUGGACCCUGUAGGCUUUAGAUCGCGGCACUAUGCAGCGUGCCUCAUUUUGGUCCUUGGGAAGUUCCUGCCUAGUUAGGUAGGCCAGGAAUGGUUCUGUCCAUGGGGCGAUGACGGCCAUUAUUACGUGGGCUGAAGGUGUUUCCCACAAAUAAUUCACGAAAUCAACCCCCCACCCCACCUCACCCCAAAACAAAAAACACUCACGAACGCGGUUUGUAUCUCUCACACACACCCACAUAGGUGGGUGACAUGCACGAAGAGAAGAGGUGCAUGCACGGCGCACGUACUCCCAUCUCUUUCCCAACCACACCCGCGCGGGUACACGGCGGAGCUCAUUUCUGUACGAAAAAGGCAGCCCACGUGGUAAUUUGGCACAUGUACUGGUUGUCCACUUGGUGGAGGGAGGAUCGUCUACCACGGGUGAACAAACAAAUUGCGACUUGACGUGUUAUGUUAAAAAAAGAGGCACACCAUGUGGGGCCUACCUUAGAGGCAAGGCUCUAUACACUGGAGUACUUUUGAUGUGUCCCGUCAACUCGCAGAACGGGGAGAAGCUUGCUUAGUACGCCAUCUCCCCCGCCCACGGGCGCGGUGGCUCGCAGGAUGAGGUGAAGCUUGCUUACUACGCCUUACGCCCGCUCCCUCGCCCAUGCGCGCGGUGGCUCGCAGUACAAGGAGAAAAAUUUACUACUCCCUCCGUUUACUCCUCGUCCCUACUACCUUGGUUAUAGAGAUUAUAUCAUAUUGUUUGGAAUAUAUAUGUCCUUUAGUAGAUUUCAAUAUGAACUACUAGUACAUACUCCAAACACUGGUGUAUAUAGACGUAUUUUAGAGUGUAGAUUCACUCAUUUUGCUCCGUAUGUAGCACUCUCCCUCGCCCUCGACCCUCGCCCACGUGGUGGACGUGCAGCAAUUCAUUCGGUCUCAUAUAGCCAGAACGAUAUAUACUGCACUACCAUUAUUUCUCGACUUCCCGAAGAGGCGAAGAGCCAAUCGCAAGGUUAAUAUUUUGGAGAUGCCAAGCGCAAGGUUAUAGGAGAACGAGUAGUAGGUGCCGCGUCAUUUAUAAAUAAAGUUUUUUUUCUUCAGUGGCACGUACGCAAUAUGAUAGGUUCAUAUGGAGAGAAAAGGAAACCGCUCCACUAUAUACAUAGUUAGGACGGGCCAGCCUACACGGUUGCUUGCUGGGGUUGCUCUCUUCACACUCUCUUGCACAAAACGACUGUGGCCACAUCUCUAACAUCCCGGUGGAUCACGUCCGCUUGGGGAAGGGGUGGAUGCUUAGUGUAGAUGCGGUGGCCGCCGCCGACGGCGAAAACCCACUGUCGGCACGUCCCGUUCAGGGGUCCCCGUCGUUCUCUCUCACAAAGCCGGUGAGGUUGCCUUCGUCCCUUGCUCACUGCUGCGACGUGGGCAGUUGCCGUCUCCCGCCGCCCUCCUCAAGGUUGAGCUACGUCCCUCAGGUACAACUCCCUUUAUAGCCGGCUUGCACCACUGCUCCAGCUGCCCACAUCACUCCCUGUGGAUAUUUCUCUACUUCUUUGCCCCGCACAUACCUCUACUGGCUUCUACGUACUGUAUUUGUGAUGAGUUUAUGUCUCAUCGACUAGUCCUAGUAAUCUUAUUCUAAUCACGCUUGUUCAAUUUCUUUUCCAUAGGGAUGCUCAUCUCGAUUUUGGUGAAACUGCACAAAAUGAUCCGAUGGUCAAAAGGUUGCAAACUUCAUUUAUUAGGAAGCUCGAACGUUGCCAGCAAAUUGAAGCCUGGUCAGGGUUCACGGUUCAAGGGCUAGGGACUGCAUGGAUCAUUUUUUUAGCUGCCUCUGUUCCAAAAUAAGUGUCAACUUUAGUAGUAGUACAACUUUGUACUAAAGUUCGCACAAAGUUGAGAAACUUAUUUUAGAACGGAGGGAGUACAUAUUUGCUAUGAUCUGUCAAUUAUUGAGAUGCAAUAGCAUGCAUGUUAGUCUCCUUUGUAUUUGAUGAAAUGUUGCAACGAGCAACCUUGGACGCAAGAUACAUGUAACAGAAGUUGGAAGCUUCAUAGCAUUGUACAAAUUUAUCUCGCUGAUAAAUUACAGUACGUACUAUACUAGUACUUCAUCCGUUCCUAAAUAUAAGUCUUUGUAGAGAUUUCACCAUGAACCACAUGCGGAUGUAUAUAGAUGCAUUUUAAGUGUAGAUUCAUUCAUUUUUUUCCGUAUGUAGUGGAAUCUCUACAAAGACUUAUAUCUACUAGUAAUAGCUAGCCCCCACUACUAGGAAUUCUCUAUCCUCUCCUUGAGCCACGUCAUCAAAAUUGAUGUAGCCGUUAGAUGAAGUAAAUCAGUCCAUAAUAGCCGUCUGAUCUUGACGUUGAGAGGCUCCACACUAAGCCACAUGCAAGCAUGUAGAAAUACCAUGCCACAUGCAUGUGAGUGGGUUUUAAAUCACAUCAACAUGUUUGCAUGCAAGCAUGCACCGGUAGCAUGCAUGUAAUUAAGUGAGCUUUUAAGUCCCAUUAACAUGUCAAAAAGAAAAAUAUAAUCCCAUUAUGCAGUAGGAGUUGGCUGAUCUUUUUUCCUUACGUGGCAUGAUCUAAAUGAUGAUGGGAGUUUAUUUAGUUUGGCUACCACAUUUUUCAUGUGGUUAUAGAGUUUUUUUGUUCUAUGAAAUCGAUAAUUUUGUGCAGAGAGAUAUACUACUGUUCCUCGCCAACGCGCGGGGACUCAUCUAGUAAUAUUUAGGAACGGAGGGAGUACUAUGUAAAGAGUUAGGUGUCGCACGGUGAUAGUGUGAGGUGGGCCAUGUAAUCACUGAGCCUGCGUGUUUUCACUGCUCUUGCACGCCUCCGCUGUAAGAACGGAGAAAAUUGUAAUCUAGUAGUAGUAUACCUCCUUUCGCCGAAAGUGUGGGACAUCCAGCAGUCCUACCACCUCAGUAAUAAAGACCAAUGAGCCGUCAAAUCACAUAGACCCAGCAGUAAGUUGGACGGACAAAGCAACCAUCACUCUUGCGCGAGUGAGAGGUCGCGUCCGCUCUGCCCGGGCAUGAAUGUGGCAUCGAUUCUUUGGAGCGGCGCUGACCGUUUCAGGCGGGAAGCGCGCGCGGGCGAUGGAGGGGCUUUGGGUGGGCCAGGCUGGUCAGGAGCGGGCGUGGCAGAUGUCCGCAUGUCCCUACUGGACACGCCCGGAAACGAGAGGAUGCACCGACUCUUGCGGCUAAAAUCGUACACUACACAACAUCUCUCUGUAGGAGUAGGUCGAUCUGUCGCUCUCUCUAACAGACACAUGGUGUUAAACACACACACACACACACACAUGCACACGCACGCACCUUGGUCCCGUUGUACCUUCUAACGUGGCUUAUUACACCUAGAUGGAGGGAGUAGAAUACGAGAUACGGUGGCACACUGACUUAAGUCGAAUACAAGUGCCCAAAAUUUGUGUGCAUGUUAUAAUAAGGAUUCACUUCAAAUAGUACGUGAGUGAACAGAGGGAUCAAUUGGACAGUGUUACCGAGAAGUAGCGAGAUGUGUGAGGUAAGAUACACCGCUGGCGCUUUUAAUUUUUCUUAUUAAUUUGUUUGUUUCACCCUCUGACUGGUGGGACCCAAUGUAUUACGUGGAGAGAGGUAAGGUGACUAAGGCCGAAUUAUUUCUGCACCACUGUGGAUAGUCUUACCACCAAAGCCACAUGACACGAUUAUGAUUGAAAUCCCAAUGACUCCCACACAAAAAAAACACGGCAUGCUUGUCACACGAAUGAAGGAAUGUAUAAAAGGUUAUUUCCCUCUCGCUGAACAUAACGGGAGGGUUGUGUAGCUGGUUAGCCUGUUCGCUCAUCAAACUUGAGGUCUCGGGUUCGAUAACUACACUUGAGCAUAAUUUGUGCCAGGAGGAUUCUUUGACUGGUCAAAAUGUUUUCUAGGGUUUGCACGCUUCACACUCUCUCUCCAGUAUAUAUACACACGCUAGAGCCUCAGCGCUUGUAGUUGCUCUCUUCACACUCUCCCGCCCUCUCCCGCUGGAGCCUCAGCGCUUGUAGUUUCUCUCUUCACACUCUCUCGCCCUCUCCAGAUCUAAACAAGACUUCGUUGGCCUCACUCUCUCCUCACUGCUGCUCAAAGAGCCGGCAGGAUCUGUCCGCCGCGAAGGGAAGGAGGCUUAACGCUGUCGCCGUCGGCGAGGGACUACCGGCGCAGCUGUUCACUUUCCACCCAGCGGCGGCGCGGGAGGGUCUCUGACCCCUUCUUCUUCGCCGCCGUCCCGUCGCCCAUCGAACCACGCCCCAAGAACCUUAAGGUAUAAUUUACUUACUCCACAUGCAUUGCUCUAGCUGCAUGUAUACCAUGAAUCUAGGACGUGGUUCAAAGAGGAAAGGAGUGGGGGAAAGUAGUGGGAAAAGUUGUAUGUAGCAUGAAUCUAGGACGUGGUUCAAAGAGGAAAUGAAGGGGGAAAGUUGUAUAGCAUUAAUCUAGGAUGUGGUUCAAAGAUGAAAGGAAUGGGGGAAACUAGUGGGGAAAGUUGUAUCGCAUAAAUCUAGGAUGUGGUUCAAAGAGGACAGGAAGGGGCGAAAGUACUAGUUCAAAAAGGAAAGGAAGGGACAAGGCUGUAGAGUUUGAGCAGGACUAGAUUUGCUGCGCUCACAUAGGGAAAGGCGUCUAAAGAUAACAAAACCGGGACCAACACAAAUAUGCUCCUUGGUUGUUUGUUCUUUGUUGCAACAGACUGUGCAUGACCAUAGUACAUCGGUAGAUGCACAUGGUGCUGGUGCAUCCACUGUCCCGUGCAACUCAUUAGCUGUUGUUAAUCUAAGGCCCUAUUUGGUUAAAAAACUCCCUAGUCCCUACCUGUUGGGUUCCAGGGACUAAACAUGGACUAGAGGUUAUUAAAUGACAUGCUAAAAGACCAUGUUACCCCUAGUAAUGAACUAAUAGAGACAAGGUGCGAUGCGUGGCAGGGGUAACUAUUGGAAAAAGUCCCAAAAAGACUCCCUCGGGGUCUUCUUUCUUUAGUCCCAAAUGCCCACUUUUAGUCCCUAAAAGUCUCUCCUCUUUGGUUUAGAUGGGACAGACACGGAGUUUUUUUAGUCCCUACACCAAAAUGUCCCUGUAAACAAACACCCUCUGAUAAUGCCACUGGAAAAUUGAUGCAAUGCCACAGUUAAAAGCAAAUUACAUGUUUAACGAAUUUUAUUGUUAAUAUAAUCUCUAUGUUAAUAUUAAUCAAUGCCACCGUUUGAGAAAUGCUACUGUCUUGCUUUCUUUCCCAUUUAGAUAAGGUAGAUGCUUCUUUUUGUUGGCUUCUGUGUCAUCCACUGUUAUUGACCACUAAUUGUUUCAUUUGCACCUCUGUGUAAACAGGGUUAUCUGCUUCACCUUGUUGCCAUUGUGACCUUUUGUUGCAUUGCACAAAACACUUUUGUUUUAAGAGUGUUUUGUGUAGUUCAACCAAAAUGUCAGACCGACAACAUUGCUUGAUUGCUUGAUCUUAGUGGAACUGCACAAGAGGAGCUCUUACUUCCUAUCCGUUAAGGCAAAUUUGGUUCAGAUCUUCUUCUUGUGAGUUGUUUGAAUUCCGCAUCAUGAGAGGUCAGUACUAGCCUUCUUUCACAUGAUUCUGCAGUGUGCAUUCAUAUGUUGUGCUACUUCUAUGAUAAUGUUGCUUGAUCUUAGUGAACUGCACAAAUGGAGACAAGACUUCCAAUCUGUAUGUGCACCGUAAUAUCCCAUUGAGGUAAGAUAAGGAUAUUUCACAACUGCUGGCCUGUAUUUUGCCACUUUCAUCAGAAAAUUAAGUUUAGUACUAUACUUGUGCUCCCUAAUUGACAUGCCAAAUCUUACAUUGAAGGCGAAGCUUGUUUGUUAUUGAACCAAGUGAUGAAGGGCAAGAACAAGGGGAAGAAAAACAAAAAUCAACUCCCGGUGUUGUAAUGAAGCACUAGAACUGUGAUGACACAAGUAAUGAUAUAGUUUUGCAUCUUAAUUUAUUGCUAUGGCUGGAACGAGCAAUUGUUUUGCCACUGAUUUGAUGCCACUCUUAAUGUAAUAUGUAAUUAUCUCUACUUGUGCAAACAGGGAUCUUCUUUGAAGAUACCAUAUAUUUUAGUGGAACUGCACAAGAAGAUGUUGGAAACAUUAAACUAAUCGAGGAGUAUAUAGUAAGCAUGGACACCACCAUAGAUAGCAACAGAUGGUUCCGGAGAAUUGCUUCAUCUGUAUGCUCUACACAAUAAGCCUCCUGACAAAGGUUGGUACUCUCCCACUGAUUUCAUCCAUAUGAUUGAGCUUUGUCAUCUCUAUUGGUGUUGUGCUACUGUUUAGAUACUAUCAUGAAAAAGUGGUAUUGUCCUUGAGAAGUGCUUCAUCUGUGCUGUUUUAAAUAUUUCCUUUCCUUUUUUCGAGCAAACAGUAAUGCUAGCAUUUAGUAGUCCUCUUGUGUUUGCACAACAGGAUCAUCUUCCUCUGAAGAAGAAUAUGGAGUACGUGAAGUGACUAGUUCCGAUUAUGCCAGGAUGAAGAAGCCCUGUCUAUCUUAUCAUCAGAAGGAGCAGUUGAAGGAUGGUUACAUUACUCCCCACAAGACCAAACUAACUUCAGCUCAGAAGGACUGACAAAAUCUCCAUUUUUUGCUGUGACAAAUGUCCGAACUGAUGGCAAACCCUGCCCAUUCCACAAUCGUAGGCAUUUGAUAUUUUGGAAUGGGACAACCUUGUCAAAUUUUGCUCAUUGAUUUUAGCAAGACAUGCGUUUGAUAUUUUCGAAUGGGACGCCCUUUGCUGUCAGCAGCGUCGAUCAAUUUUUUCCUUAUUCUUUAGUUGUGAAGUAAAUAUUGCCUCUGACAUGUGAGUCACUGAGAUGCAUAAUCAUCGAUUGUUUUGAAUGUUCUCUAUGAAUUGCCAUGCCUGUGUGUUUGAUUGCAAUGUACAGAAAUGCUAAAAAGCCGCUCAAACUCUUUGUGCUCCUUCUGCUCCUUUUUACUUCGCACAUUGUGAAAGUGCAUAUUUUUUUGUAUAAGAUUGGUCAAAGUAGAGAUACUUUGACCGCAGACAAAACUUGUAUGCAGACUAGAAAGGACCGGAGGGAGUACAUGUGAAACUGCUGCAAACGAGGUGAUCACCCUGGGAAUAAUGCUAGUAUGUAUUGUUUUGCAUGUUCAUCCAAUGCCAGUGAUACAGGAAUUCGAACUAAUCGAAAUAAAUUCAUUCAUACACGGUCGGAUUUCAUAUAAACAUGCCGGAUUUCAUUACAUUUCAUACAUUCUUCAACUAAAAAGGGGUGCACUGGAGGUAUAAUUAAUUAACCGAAGCUACCCACCUGUGUCCCGCUGAGCCGAACAGAAGCUUCAGUGACUUAACUGCAGGUGCAAUUGUGUAACUGACAUGUGGCCUAUUGGGCCCACGUGUCAGUCAGCCAACUACACCAGCAGUUAAGUAGAAGCAGCGUUCCAGCAGAACUCCCCGACUCCACGUCGCUGCCAAGAAGCUAACCGACCGUCAAUGGUCAACCCGCCUAGCUUGGCUUCAACAGGAGGGUAGCAGCGGUGGCCUUACUUGGACCCGAGCGGCGGCAACCUACCGUGUUCUACUCUUCCUCGUUUUCUAUGUGGCGCGGCCUCGUUGGCAGCGGGGCGGGGCCUUGGCGAGGCCGACGAUGUCCUCUGUCUCGUUGCCGGCGGGCGGCGCCUCAGCGGAGCGGUGGAAAUCCUCCCCCGCGUUGCCAGCAGGGUGGGGCCCCGGCUGAGCCGGCGAUGUCCUCUGCCUAGUUGUUGGCAGGGCGGGGCCUCGGCGGAGUCGGCGGUGUCCUCUGCCUCAUUGUUGGUGCCGUGGGGCCUCAGCGGAGCAGGGCCUCGUCGACGCCAGCGGAGCGAGGACUCGUUGGAGCCGACAUUGUCCUCUGCCUCGUCCUCGGUCUCGCCAAACAGCGCCUCGCCCGCUCCAUCGCCCUCUUUGCUAGCCUCUUUGUAGGCGGCCGCAGCCUCCGCCACCCGCAUGCGGUACCGCCAGCGCUCGAGGCGGCCCUUGCGGGCGGAGCGGUACGAGUCGAGCAGUGCCUCCUGCUCUGCCCGCUCCGCGGCGAUCUGCUCCUCCUCCUGCAGGUGCUCCUGGAUGAGAUGGUGGUUGUAGGCGGCGUUGGCCUGCGCCUCCCGGAACUGCUCCUGAUGCAUCUGCCUCACACUGUCCAUAUAUCGGGCACGGGCCUCGCCGAUGGUCAUGGUGCAAUGCACCAACGAGGAUGGUGCGGAGGAGGGGGUUGGCGCCGGAUCAUCGACUACCAUGUUCUCCAUUGGGACGUCGUCGUCCUCCGGCUGCCUGCCGGCCAGCCGGUCAGCCGCAAUGGCUGCCAUCUCCUUGUGGUCCGUCGUCCGCCCAUCCUGAAGAGCGCUGGAGCGCGAGGAAGCCAUGGUGGGCAAUAGUGGUGUGGAUAGGAGAAAGGGAACGGAUGCAGAUGAUUGCAGCUAUGGCUGGCCCAGCAGUUUAUAUAGCAAUGGUGGGCGGGCGGAGGGGCGGACGUGUGGCGCCGGAGUAGUCGCCUCACAAACCGUGUAUCAUUAAUGUGGGCGGCAGAUGGAUGGAUGGACGACACUUGUGUUGUUUGAAGGCGGAGCAAUCGCCUGCACCGGGAAGCGGGGCGGGCGGCGCUGACUGUUUCGGGCGGAAAGCACACGCGGGCGAGGAGAUGACUUUACUUGGAGAGGAUGACAAUGGGGACCCACCAGGUCCAUAGCCUCACAUAUGCAAGUGCCUCCUUAUUAUAUAUAUAUAUGUAUAAAACUAUACUCCCUCCAUCUAGGUCAAUAAGUCGUAUUAGAAGGUGCAUCACGACCUAGGUGCAAGCAGAUUGGUGGAAAAGAAGAAUAUUUCUCUCUUCUAAACACAACAUUUAAUCACAGCUGUUAAGAGGAUGCCUUAUUAGCUACCCACUCAGGCCAUCAUAAUUCAUAGCAUGCAAAGCGCUUUUAUUUCUUGCCUAAUAACCGCAUGGACGUGCUGCAUGCAUUGGUCCUUGCCCGAGCAAAAAAAAGGGAGGAAAGGGGUUUCCACGGGAGACAACGAGGCAGAGGUGGAAGUGCUUGCUGGAGUAAUUUAUUUUGCUUCCCUCUGGUUUCCUGACACCACGGUCCCACACCAUUGUCAACCUAUGUAGUAGUCAAUAAACGAGAGAAUUGCAUAAGAAGCGGCCGACAGCUGGGACCAAGCAGCUUGAGCAGUAUUUGUGUUUUUGAGGUGUGAGCACCGAGAGUUUUUCGAUGUUUAGCCCAAAUAUCAAUUUUUCACCUCUGAACAACAACGAAAACAUCGCUGCAGGUAUUAACUGGGCAGGCUGUGGCCCGUCUAGCCCAGGCCAGAUAUCCUGCCCAGAUAUUAAUUUUUUCAAGCUGAAAAUGGCUAGCCCAGCUAUACUUUUUUUUAGGAAUACCCAGGUAAGGUCAAGUUGUUAUUCUCCGCCCCGCUGGGCUGCAAAUCUUUCCUAGGAGGGAUGCAUUAGGCUUAACAAGAAAAUGGGCUUUAAUAAAUAAUAAAUGGGAUGUAAUUAUAAAAAUUGGGCAAUAACUAUAAAAAAAUGCACCAAACACGUGAUUACUUUAUAAAAUAUUAUUUUUGGAUAUUGAAAAUUUUAAUUUCAUUAAUUAUUGCGAGCGCAAUGUUUCGUUGGAUUUUUACGUAAUAUAAAUUUAUAUUGAAAUUGUAUUUAAUCUGACUAGAAAUUUCGGGAUAAAAAUAUUUCGGAUCCCAUCAAAAUGUGGGAAAUUUUAUUGAAUUAUGUUUUGAACGGUUGGUUGAAAUGGGAUGUACUUUUAACAAACUGUAAAUGGGAUGUAGUAAAUUCCAUUAGAAUUCAAAAAUGGGCUACACAUUCUUACAAAUCUCAAAUGGGCUAUAAGUUCUCUGCCACACACUUCUGGUCUUACUAAGUUGACGCGUCCCCUAAAAAAACAGAGUUGACGCGUAUGCAAGGCUUUAUCAACUUAUAGUCAACACACGGUUCUAGCAGCAGUGGCCGUUGGAUGUCCAUCCAACGGAUGCCGUGCUUCUUCUUCAAUCUUGGAUAUUCUAGCUUCACCCGCCCAAAAAAUGAUUCCUCCCCCUGACAUCUGGGGUGCACCAUUUCAAAAGCUGACCUGUGGGCCUACUAAGUUGAUGUACCAAGGGCUUUGUCAACUUAAUCAAUAUAAACGAUUCUAGCUGCAGUGACCGUACGAUGUCCAUCCAACGGUCGUAGUGCUUCUUCAACCUCUGGUCUUCUUGCUCUAGCAGCCCAAAGCAGCGCCGGUCGUGCCGCCUGCUCCUGCCUCCCGUGGCCGGCUGUGCUGCCGCGGAGGCCUCACCGCCCCUACUAUUCCCAUAGCUGGCCAGGCCCUGCGACGACGGCAGCCUCACACCACAGCUGAACGAGUGAACCCUCAUACUCCUCUUCGUGUGGGCAUCCACUACCGCGUCUUCACGGGCUCCGCGUCGUCCCCUUCCUAGGACUCGCCGUCGUCCACCGCCCUGGUGCUCUUGGCGUGGCAUGGUCAACGUGGUCAAGGAACGACUUCCAUCGAACGUGGACUGUACAUGGAGAGGCUAACAGCUGGGUCCAUGGCGGCAACAAGGAAGUGCCUCUUAUUAUGUGAAAAAUAAUGAUUUCUCCACCUAACAGUAGGGACCCACCGGACGGGCCACCAGUAUUUUGCAAAAAAAUUGUUUCCCCCUGACUGCUGAGACCCACCGGAUGGGCCACCGUAUUUCGCGAAAAAAAUGUUCCCCUCGCUGUUAGCUCGGACCCACCGGAAGUGCCUCCUUAUUACGCACAAAAAAAUGAAUACUCCCCUGGCUAGCUGGGACCCACCUUGCUGGGGGGCUGACUUGUGGGCCUACUAAGUUGACGGGGACGAAGGGCUUUGUCAACUUAGUCAAUAUGAAUGAUUCUAGCUCCAGUGACCAUACGAUGUCCCUCCAAUGGCCGUAGGGCUUCUUCAACCUCUGGUCUUCUUGCUCCAGCCGCCCAAAGCAGCGCCGGUCAUGCCGCAUGCUCCUGCCUCCCGUGGCCGGUUGUGCUGCCGCAGAGGCCUCACCGCCCCCUACUAUUCCCAUCGCUGGCCAGGCCGUGCGGCGACGGCAGCCUCACACCAUAGCCGAACUAGUGAACCCUCGUAGUCCUCUCUGCGCGGGCUUCCACUACCGCGUCGUCCCCUUCCUAGGCCUCGCCGUCGUCUACCGCCGUGGUGCUCUCCGCGCGGCGUGGUCAACAUGGUCAGGGAACGACUUCCAUCGGAAGAGUACUGUACGUGGAGAGGCUGACAGCUGGGUCCACGGCCACAGCCCAGUUUUUUUGUGAUUUUCCAAGUAAGUCGCUUUGUCAGGCCUAUUGGGCUGCAAAUCUUUCAAGACAAGGAGAGCUUUCAUUCGGCUGGCCGAGAAAAUGGCCCAUCAGUAAUGAGAAAUGGGUUGUACAUUUUUAAAACACAUCAAACCGGCAAUUAGUUUCAAAUAUCUUUUUUUCAUUUCAAGAUUUUAAAUUACAUGAAUUUUUAUGCAUGGAGAAUUUGUUGGAUUUUAUAUUGAUAUACAUUUCUUUUUAAAAUCAGUUUGAAUGUGAAUCGAAAUUUCGGGAUUAAAAACAGUUCGGACCGCACCGAAAUAUGCAAAAUUUCGUAUAAUUUUUUAACCGUUGCCACAAUAUGGGCUGUAAUGCUAACAAAAAUAAUAUGGGCUCCAAAAAAAAACUUAAGAAUUAGCAAAUGGGCUGUAAAUUAUUAGAAAUAAUGGUAGAUGGGCUGUAUGCUAUUUUCCACAGAUUUGAGGAUUUCCUAAAAAAAGGUUGACACACAAGCACCGACUGUUGGAUGUCCAUCCAACGGCCAUCGUGCUUCUUCAAUCUCUGCUCUUCCUGCUCCAGCCGCUCAAACAAGCGCCAGCGAGACUGCUUGCUCCCUCCUCCUCGCGGCCGGCUGUGCUGCCGCGCAGGCCUCACAGCCCGACCGUACUCCCAUCGCUGGCCUAGCCAUCCCUGUACUCACCCACACCUGCUGUUAUUCUCCGGCGACGACAGACGAACCAGUAAACCCUCGUAUAGUCGUACUCCCCUCCGCAUGGGAAACAACUGCCGAGUCUUCCCUGCCUCCGUGUCAUCCCCUUUCUAGGCCUCGCUGUCGUCCACCGCCCUGGUGCUCUUGGCGCGGUGUGGUCAACGUGGUCAAGGAACGACUUCCAUCGGACAUGGACUGUACGUGGAGAGGCUGACAGCUGGGUCCACGACCGCAGCAAGGAAGUGCCUCCUUAUUAUGCGGAAAAUAAUGAUUCCUCCACCUGACAGCUAGGACCCACCGGACGGGCCACUGUAUUUCGUGAAAAAAACGUUUCCCCCUGACAGCUGGGACCCACCAGCUACAUCUUUGCACACAAGGAAGUGCCUCAUAGUCGGGACCCACCUGGUUGAAGUGUACGUAGUGUUGUCAUUCUGGUCGCGAACGUGUAUGUACAUACUGGUUGAUGUAGAGGCGCGCACAUGUACCACAAAACGGAGGAAACGGACCUCAAAACAGAGGAAACGCCUUGUGUUCGACCGGCCACGUUCGAAACGGGAUCCUGUUCAUCGGGAGGGGUCUGGCGUACCGCCAAACGGAGGAAACGGACCGCCUACGGUCGAAACGGGGGUCCUGUUGAUCGGGAGGGGUGUGGCGUACCGCAAAACGGAUGAAACGGACUUGUGUUGGAGCGCUACGGUCGAAAUAGGGGUCCUGUUCAUCGGGAGGGGUGUGGCGUACCGCAAAACAGGACUCCACGGGAUACUUUUCAUCUCCAUCGCCGACCCCCUCCAGCCUCCACGAGCUACUGUUCAUCCACCGUUGACCUCCUCCAGCCUCCACCUGCAACUAUUCAUCCACGGGCUGCUGUUCAUCCAGCCUCCACCGCGUGCUACUCCACCGGCUACUAUUCAACCAGCCCUCUCCACGGGCUCCUGUUCAACCACCCCUCCACGGGCUACUGUUCAUCCUGCCCUCCACCGUCUACUAUUCAUCCUGCCCUCCACGGGGUGGUCCUGUUCAUCUAGCCCUCCAUGGGGUGGUCCUGUUCAUCCAGCCCUCCACCGGGUCCUGUUCAUCCAGCCCCAACCGGCUCGAUCGAUCGGGGUCCUAUUCAUCCAGAGGCAAUACCACGGGGUCCUGUUCAUCCACACCCACCGGGAACUGUUCAUCCAAAUCCCCCCCCCAAUGCUCAAUGUUCAUCCAGAGGCAGCAUCGAUCAGCUUCAGUUAGCAGCAGUAGCGAAGGAAUCGCUCGAUCGGGUUCACUUAAUAGCCAUCAAUCGAUUGCUCGGGUUCAGUAACGCGUAGCCUGCAGUGCAAUCACUCGGUUCAGUUAGAGCCCAACGGCUCGCUCGGGUUCAGUUAGAGCCAACGCCUCGCACACACGCGUGUAUGGGUACGAGAGAAACGCGCAUCGCUCGGCCCCCGACCUCCCACCGUAACCAGGAACUCCCCGAAGUUUUCCUCGCCCUCGCUUCUACCACGGUUUUUUCUGUCAUGGAUGGCCCAAAGAAUGUCAUGCAGCUGCAUCUCCGGCCCGCCCAGGACGAAAAGCCCAUUUUCUGUCAUGAUUUUUUGUCAUAGAAGUAGGAGCCCACCACAUCUAUGAUGAUACCGACUUUUGUCACAAUUAUCGUCAUAGAAGUAUCAUAUGUAUGACAGAAAUUUUUUUCGUCCGGCCCAAAAUGUCACGGAUGUGUCUUUUUUUUGUAGUGAUAGUAGUAGAUGCAGAAUCAUUUCGGUCUACUUGUCGUGGACGUGAUGCCUAUAUACAUGAUCAUGCCUAGAUAUUCUCAUAAUUAUGCAAUUUUAUAUCAAUUGCUCGACAGUAAUUUGUUUACCCACCAUAAUACUUAUGCUAUUUUGAGAGAAGCCACUAGUGAAACCUAUGGCCCCCGGGUCUAUUUUCCAUCAUAUAAGUUUCCAAUCUAUUUUACUUUGCAAUCUUUACUUUCAAUCUAUAUCAUAAAAAUACCAAAAAUAUUUAUCUUAUUUUUUGGGAACAUAGUAAUUUCAAAAAAAUCCUACGCACAUGCAAGAUCAUAGUGAUGCAUAGCUACGAGAGGGGAGAGUGUGUCCAUGUACCCUCGUAGACCGAAAGCGGAAGCGUUAGCACAACGCGGUUGAUGUAAUCGUACGUCUUCACGAUCCGACCGAUCAAGUACCGAAUGCACGACACCUCCGAGUUCUACACACGUUCAACUCGAUGACGUCCCUCGAACUCCAAUCCAGCCGAGCUUUGAGGGAGAGUUCCGCCAGCACGACGGUGUGGUGACAAUGAUGAUGUUCUACCGAUGCAGGGCUUCGUCUAAGCUCCGCUACGAUAUUAUCGAGGUGGAUUAUGGUGGAGGGGGGCACCCCACACGGCUAAGAGAUCAAAGAGAUCAAUUAUUGUGUCUAUGGGGUGCCCCCCUCCUCCAUAGAUAAAGGGGGGAGGAGGAGGGGGUCGGCCAAGGGGAGGAGGCGUGCCCAAGGGGGGCAAUCCUACUCCAAGUAGGUUUUGCCCCCCUUUCCUAUUCCAACUAGGAGAAGGGGGAAGGAGGAGGUGUAGAAGGGGGGCCGCCACCCCCUUCCCUUUCCCAAUUCGGAUUGGGGCAAGGGGGGCCGCGCGCCACCUCCUGCCGCCUCUCCUCUUCCACCACUUGGGCCCAUGAGGCCCAAUAACCCCCCGGGGGUUCCGGUAACCCCCUGGUUUCUCCGGUUUAUAUCCGAUAACCCCAGGAACUCAUCCAGUGUCUGAAUAUAACAUUCCAAUAUAUCAAUCUUUAUGUCUCGACCAUUUCGAGACUCCUCGUCAUGUCCGUGAUCACAUCUAGGACUCUGAACUACCUACAGUACAUCAAAACACAUAAACUCUUAAUAUAACCAUCAUCGAACUUUAAGCGUGCGGACCCUACGGGUUCGAGAACUAUGUAGACAUGACCGAGACACGUCUUCGGUCAAUAACCAAUAGCGGAACCUGGAUGCUCAUAUUGGCUCCCACAUAUUCUACGAAGAUCUUUAUCGGUCAAACCGCAUAAAAACAUACGUUGUUCCCUUUGUCAUCGGUAUGUUACUUGCCCGAGAUUCGAUUGUCGGUAUCUCAAUACCUAGUUCAAUCUCGUUACCGUCAAGACUCUUUACUCGUUUUGUAAUACAUCACCCCCCAACUAACUCAUUAGUUGCAAUGCUUGCAAGGCUCAUAGUGCUGUGCAUUACCGAGUGGGCCCAGAGAUACCUCUCCGACAAUCGGAGUGACAAAUCCUAAUCUCAAAAUACGCUAACCCAACAAGUACCUUCGGAGACACCUGUAGAGCACCUUUAUAAUCACCCAGUUACAUUGUGACGUUUGGUAGCACACAAAGUGUUCCUCUAGUAAACGGGAGUUGCAUAAUGUCAUAGUCAUAGGAACAUGUAUAAGUCAUGAAGAAAGCAAUAGCAGAAUACUAAACGAUCAAGUGCUAAGCUAAUGGAAUGGGUCAAGUCAAUCACAUCAUUCUCCUAAUGAUGUGAUCCCAUUAAUCAAAUGACAACUCAUGUCUAUGGCUAGGAAACAUAACCAUCUUUGAUCAACGAGCUAGUCAAGUAGAGGCAUACUAGUGACACUCUAUUUGUCUAUGUAUUCACACAAGUAUUAUGUUUCCGGUUAAUACAAUUCUAGCAUGAAUAAUAAACAUUUAUCAUGAUAUAAGGAAAUAAAUAAUUACUUUAUUAUUGCCUCUAGGGCAUAUUUCCUUAAGUCUCCCACUUGCACUAGAGCCAAUAAUCUAGAUUACACAGUAAUGAUUCUAACACCCAUGGAGCCUUGGUGUUGAUCAUAUUUUGCUCAUGGAAGAGGCUUAGUCAACGGGUCUGCAACAUUCAGAUCUGUGUGUAUCUUGCAAAUUUCUAUGUCUCCCACCUGGAAUUGAUCCCGGAUGGAGUUGAAGCGUCUCUUGAUGUGCUUGGUUCUCUUGUGAAAUCUGGAUUCCUUUGCCAAGGCAAUUGCACCAGUAUUGUCACAAAAGAUUUUCAUUGGACCCGAUGCACUAGGUAUGACACGUAGAUCGGAUAUGAACUCCUCAUCCAGACUCCUUAAUUUGCUGCUUCCGAAGCAGCUAUGUACUCCGCUUCACACGUAGAUCCCGCCACAACGCUUUGUUUAGAACUGCACCAACCGACAGCUCCACCGUUCAUUAAGGCAAAUUUUAACAUGGUCCCUCUUACCUCCUUUUUUACAUGUGAGGUAAGAAGGUAAGAGUCAAUCAAGCCAUUCAUUGAUGAUAUCAACGGCUAAGAUCUAUUUUAUACUCUUACCUCUCAUGUGAAAAGAUUGGGUAAGAGGGACCAUGCUAAACUGCUCUCAAUAUAAACAUGUAUCCGGUUUGCGAUUUAGAAUCGUCCGGAUCAGUGUCAAAGCUUGCAUCGACGUAACCAUUUACGACUAGCUCUUUGUCACCUCCAUAAACGAGAAACAUACCCUUAGUCCUUUUCAGGUAUUUCAGGAUGUUCUUGACCGCUGUCCAGUGAUCCACUCCUGGAUUACUUUGGUACCUCCCUGCUAGACUUAUAGCAAGGCACACAUCAUGUCUGGUACACAACAUUGCAUACAUGAUAGAGCCUAUGUCUAAAGCAUUGGGAACAUCUUUCAUCUUCUCUCUAUCUUCUGCAGUGGUCGGGCAUUGAGUCUUACUCAACUUCACACCUUAUAAUAGAGGAAAGAACCCUUUCUUUGCUUGAUCCAUUUUGAACUUCUUCAAAACUUUGUCAAGGUAUGAGCUUUGUGAAAGUCCAAUUAAGCGUCUUGAUCUAUCUCUAUAGAUCUUGAUUCCCAAUAUAUAAGCACCUUCACCGAGGUUUUUCAUUGAAAAACUCUUAUUCAUGUAUCCUUUUAUGCUAUCCAGAAAUUCUAUAUCAUUUCCAAUCAGCAAUAUGUCAUCCACAUAUAAUAUCAGAAAUGCUACAGAGCUCCCACUCACUUUCUUGUAAAUACAGGCUUCUCCAAAAGUCUGUAUAAAACCAUAUGCUUUGAUUACACUAUCAAAGCGUUUAUUCCAACUCCGAGAGGAUUGCACCAGUCCAUAAAUGGAUCGCUGGAGCUUGCACACUUUGUUACCUCCCUUUGGAUCGACAAAACCUUCUGGUUGCAUCAUAUACAACUCUUCUUCCAGAAAUCCAUUCAGGAAUGCAGUUUUGACAUCCAUUUGCCAAAUUUCACAAUCAUAAAAUGCGGUAAUUUCUAACUUGAUUCGGACAGACUUAAGCAUCGCUAUGGGUGAGAAAUUCUCAUCGUAGUCAAUCCUUUGAACUUGUCGAAAACCUUUUGCAACAAGCCAAGCUUUAUAGACAGUAACAUUACCGUCAGCGUCAGUCUUCUUCUUGAAGAUCCAUUUAUUCUCAAAGGCUUGUCGAUCAUCGGGCAAGUCAACCAAAGUCCACACUUUAUUCUCAUACAUGGAUCCCAUCCCAGAUUUCAUGGCCUCAAUCCAUUUUGCAGAAUCUGGGCUCACCAUCGCUUCUUGAUAGUUCGUAGGUUCGUCAUGGUCUAGUAACAUAACCUCCAGAACAGGAUUAGCAUACCACUUUGGUGUGUAUCUUACUCUGGUUGAUCUACGAGGUUCAGUAACAAGUUGAUCUGACGUUUCAUGAUCAUCAUCAUUAACGUCCUCACUAAUUGGUGUAGGUGUCACAUGAACCGAUUUCUGUGAGGAACUACUUUCCAAUAAGGGAGCAGGUAUAGUUACCUCAUCAAGUUCUACUUUCCUCCCUGUAGGAUCGAAAGUAUGUCUAGAGGGGGGUGAUAAGACUACUUGACCAAAUAAAAACUUAACCUUUUCCCAAUUUUAGUUCUUGGCAGAUUUUAGAUAAUUUAGGACAAGUCAAGCAAUCAUCACAUAAUUCAAGCAAGCAUGCAAAGAGUAUAUAGGCAGCGGAAAGUAAAGCACACAACUUGCAAGAAUGUAAAGGGAAGGGUUUGGAGAAUUCAAACGCAAUUGGAGACACGGAUGUUUUUCCUGUGGUUCGGAUAGGUGGUGCUAUCCUACAUCCACGUUGAUGGAGACUGCAACCCCCGAAGGGUAACGGUUGCGCGAGUCCACACAGGGCUCCACCCAAGGGUAACGGUUGCGCGAGUCCACACAGGGCUCCACCCACAAAGGGUCCACGAAGAAGCAACCACCCACAAAGGGUCCACAAAGUAGCAACCUUGUCUAUCCCACCAUGGCCAUCGCCCACACAGGACUUGCCUCACUAGCGAUAGAUCUUCACGAAGUAGGCGAUCUCCUUGCCCUUACAAACUCCUUGGUUCAACUACACAAUCUUGUCGGAGGCUCCCAAGUGACACCUAGCUAAUCUAGGAGACACCACUCUCCAAGAAGUAACAAAUGGUGUGUAGGUAAUGAACUCCUUGCUCUUGUGCUUCAAAUGAUAGUCUCCCCAACACUCAACUCUCUCUCAUAGGAUUUGGAUUUGGUGGAAAGAAGAUUUGAGUGGAAAGCAACUUGGGAAGGCUAGAGAUCAAGAUUCAUAUGGUAGGAAUGGAAUAUCUUGGUCUCAACACAUGAGUAGGUGGUUCUCUCUCAGAACAUAUGAGUUGGAAUGGUGUGUGUGUUCUGAUGGCUCUCUCCUCGAAUGAGAAGAAGGUGGAGGGGUAUAUAUAGCCUCCACACAAAAUCCAACCGUUACAUAGUUUUCCAAUCUCGGUGGGACCGAAUCAAUAAACUCGGUCGGACCGAAAAUGUAAACCUAGUGACCGUUAGAGAUUUUCGGUGGGACUGACAUGCAACUCGGUAGGACCGAUGUGGUUAGGGUUUGGGCAUAACGUAAUCUCGGUGAGACCGAUUACACAAACUCGGUGAGACCGAAUUUGGUACUUAGCUAACCAGAGAGUUGGUCAGGCAAACUCGGUGGGACCGAUUUGCUCUUUCGGUGAGACUGAGUGGAACUCGGUGAGACCGAAAAGUUACAAAGGGGAAACACUGAGUUUACAUUGCAAUCUCAGUGGGACUGAUUCGCUCUUUCGAUGAGACCGAAAAGUUACGAAAGGGAAAGAGAGAGUUUGCAAUCCCAUCUCAGUGAGACCGAGAUCCUUAUCGGUAGGACCGAAUUGCUAGGGUUUGGCAGUGGCUAAUGACAAGUGAAACUCGGUGGCGCCGGAUAGGAAGAAUCGGUAGGACCGAGUUUGGCUUAGGGUUUAGGCAUAUGUGGAUAUGGGAAAGUAGUUGAGGGUUUUGGAGCAUAUCACUAAGCACAUGAAGCAAGAGGCUCAUUAAGCAACACCUCAUCCCUCCUUGAUAGUAUUGGCUUUUCCUAAAGACUCAAUGUGAUCUUGGAUCACUAAAAUAUAAAAUGAAGAGUCUUGAACUUUUGAGCUUGAGCCAAUCCUUUGUCCUUAGUAUUUUGAGGGUUCCACUUUCACAUCCAUGCCAUGCCAAUCAUUGAGCUUUCCUGAAAUAAUCAUCUUGGAAUAGCAUUAGCUCAAUGAGCUAUAUGUUGUUAUGAAUUACCAAAACCACCUAGGGAUAGUUGCACUUUCAAUCUCCCCCUUUUUGGUAAUUGAUGACAACAUAUAGAUCAAAGCUUCGACAAAUGAUAAUAAGCAUGAAAUAUAUCGUCGCUUUGAGAAGUAUGUGAUAAGUAAGAGCUCCCCCUAAAUUUGUGCAUAUUUUAAAAUUUGCUUUGGAAUGCAAAUGCACAAAGAGUUAGAGUCAUGGGUUACUCUUCCAUGUCACAUACAUCUUGGUGGAGCGCUCAAAAUGAUAAGAAUGAAAUACAUGCACUCAUCACCAAGAAUAGUGAAUGAUCACACAAGAUAGAUAGUAUAAUAGCAAUAAGCAAGCAUUAAGUGUAGCUUAUGAUCAAACACAUGAUCAUCAAUGUCUCACAAAUAAUGACGUAGUACUCAAGCACUCAAAAGCAAACAAGUUUGAAAAACCACCAAAUAAAGCAAGAGAGAAAAGCAACACUCUCUCUCUCGAAGCCUAUGAUCUAUACAUCUUCUCCCCCUUUGGCAACAAGUUACCAAAAAGUUCCUAGAAAAUGCAUAGUGCUAAAUCUUCUGUUGGUGGUGGAGUCCGGAUCACUCCAAGGACGAAGGCUUCGAUAGAUGCUGAAGUAGUCGCUGGAGUUGGAGCUGAAGUAGAUGCUGGAGCUGAGGCUAUAGCUGGUGCUGAAGUGGUGGCUCUGGUGUCAGCAACUGGCACGGCAGAUGACCUCGGGCCUCAUGGCACUCUGGAAAAGGCAUGAGUGGUAGUCCUGCCUCUCCUGUCCUGCAUGUCCUCCUGGAGCUGCUCCACUGCAGACUGAACUUCCGUUACUUUGACAUCCAAGUCAUAGAACUUCUGUUCCAUGAUUCUCUCUAGGCUCUGCUGAUUCUGAGUGAGGGUGGCCAGACUUUGCUCAAUCCUCAGCGUGGAUGCAAUCAAGUAACCAAGCUGCUCUUGUUUGGUCUUCAAGAAGUACUCAGAUGCCUCCACUUGAGUAGGCAUCUUGGCAGCUUUCUCCUUCCUCGCCUUCUCCUUCUUUGCAAAUGCUUGGGCAGAUGAUGGCUCGUUCUCAGUCAUGACAACUUGAUUGUCUUCGAAAUCUGGACGGAUGGGCAGGUGUUCCUUGUCCAAUAGAUAUACGCCCGUGCCUAUCUUGGAGUUGAUGAGUUCCUGAAUUUGAGGGGCAUAUCCGCAGCUCCUCUUCUGAUCUGCUGCAGUCCUCUUGAUAGUUUCCACUAUGAGGCUCAUCACCUUGAACUUCUGAGGCACAUCAAACACAUGUAGCAAGUUGAUAGCAUGACCUCUGAUCAUCUUGUGAUCGCCUGACUUGGGCAAUAAGGUGUGCCUCAAGAUCCAAUUGAUAGUCGGGAGCCCUGACAGAAGGUAAUGUACUGAUCCAAACUUGAAGGUAUCAAGUGCUUCAUUUGGGAUCUCCUUGUACAUAUUCGACAUCGAGUUGUGGUCCAUCUUCUUCUUGGCAUAGAUAUCCAAGUCAUCAUCUUGCUCCUCUGGGGCAUUAAUGAUCUGUGCCCAUUCAGCAACUGUGGAUUGGUACCUUGUACCCUCAGACAUCCAUGUGAUCCUCCCAUCCGGAUAAAAGUGAGAUGUGGAGUAGAACUGCAUGAUAAGCUCCUCGUUCCACUUUGUGAGCUUCUGCCCAACAAAGUCAGCUACUCCACAAGCAUGAAAGCUGUCAUAUACUCCUGGGUAGUGUUCCUCCUUCUCCCUCAUGUAGGUCCAGUCAACCCAUCUCAUAUCACAGACGAUUGGCUUCUUAUCUAGCAAAACAGUCUCAUAAAAAUCCUGCUUCUCCUUGGUGUGAAACAUGUAGUCCACGACAGUCCUUCUCCUUCAAGCAUAUGGGUCUGCUUCUCUCCAUUUCCUCAGCCCUGAAUCUCUUCUGAGCUUCAUGUCCUCAGCCACAGGAUGAGCAUCAUUGUGGUCUGGGAUCUUGGGCUUUAGCUUUCUCAGGACAUUCUCUUCCUCAUCUUCAGCAAUAGUCUCAGGCACUGGGGCCUUGUUCUUCUUAGCUGCAGGAAUGCUCCUUGUAUUUCUCUUAGGCUUUGGCUUUGGAGCUGGCUUGGCCUUGGAAGCAGCUCCCCCUGAUUUUAUGGCAUCUCCCAUUAGCUUGGGUGCCUUGGGCGCUGGUGCAGCUGCCUCUUCUUCUUCCUCCUCUUCCAUGAUGGAAGCUUUGCCAAGCACUCUAGCAACAGUCUUCUUUACCCUUUCCUUCCUUUUCUUGCCCUCAGCUGCAACUGGCUCUAUGGGCUUCUCAGUUGACAUUCUGACCUUUGACAUUGGUUGCCUGCCUGCUGGCCUUUUGAUUUCCAGGCCUGGCUUAGUGCCUUGAGCUGGCUCAAUUCUCUUGGAAGUGGCCUCUUCCUCUGCCACAUAGUCCUCAUCUUCGGAAUCUGAAGUCCUCUUCUUCCUUUGUCUCGUGGAAGCCUUUGGCAAAUUGCUAGGAGUGCUCCUGCUGCCUUCAUCAGAAGAACUUGAGGGACUAGUGCCCUCACUCAUCACCACUUGCUGCUCUGACAUAUUUUGGCUAUCACUUUGAUCAGACAUGCUGCAAACUGACUGCUGACCCGGUGAAUAGAUUAUAGAAGAGAUAGAGUGGAUGAGCAUCACAAAAUGCAGAGAUUUUUGCAAAAGAAUGAUCCAAAAACUUAGUUUUAGUUUCCCACUGAAAUCAUCUCGGAUCUACCGAUUUUCAAACUCGGUGAUACCGAAGCAGUUUUAGAACCUAAACUAGUGAACUCGAUAGGACCGAGUCACAGUUCGGUGGCACCGAGACUGCUAGGGUUUCACUGAGUUCAAAAAUCGGUCACACCGAUAAGUAAUUCUCGGUCAGACCGAGUCUCACUUGUGCAAUGGCAUAAGCCAAAUCGGUGGGACCGAGUUUUUCAACUCGGUGGGUCCAAGAUAGUUUCGGCGGAAACCUAAACCUAGAAUUUUCGAAUCAAACCUAAUAUAUGAGCAUUUUGACUGGAUAGGAGUGUUUCAGUCGUGGCUAGAAUCAAUAUGAUCACAAUGUGCUAGGAAUCAGAUUGGGGAAUAGCACAAAGAUCAAGUCCAUACCUAGUUCGGCGGGGACUUGCUACGGCGGCAACGGCGGGGCAGAAUUCCCGUUAACAGCGACGGAGACCAGCGACUGGAGGCUACUGGCAGCGAGAAGACGAUCCGGAGACCUCGAGGGCAGAGCAGGCUAUCGCGCAGGCGAAGGGGUUCGGAGAAAUUUCCAAAAUUUGCCCGUGACUAUAUAUCGCCCGACCCUGUCGGUGUGACCGAGAGGAACAACUCGGUGGCACCGAGAUUCAUAACUGCAAGCAGUUACUGAAACUCGGUGUGACCGAAGUGUUCAAAUCGGUUGCACCGAGAUCGAAAACCUAGAUCAACUUAAUGAUCUCGGUAGGACCGAAAGUGGAGUAUCGGUCAGACCGAGAAUCAUAAAGAGGUUUUGGAAGUUUAAGUCUAUGACGAAUCGGGGACUCUGAGCUCUCCUCACACAGAGUGGUUCGAAUCUGACUUGAUCAAAUUUUGUGAUGCAGCAUGAAUAGAGUUUGAGACGAGAAAAGCAUAGAUGGCUAGAGGAGGUUCUUAGGCAUUCUUGUCCAUCCACUUGGCAAAAGAAGAUAAAACCAAACAAUCAAAACAACAAGUGGAUGUCCUCGAAUGAGUAAAUUAUGCAACCAGCAUGCUCACACAAUAAGAUGGCAAAUGAAAUAUGUGGCAAGGCAUGCACAACCAAUUCUAGCAUCUAUCAAGUAAUUUGCGAUGACUAGGUCAUCUAUAUAUGAGUAUAUUGACUUAGGAGUCAAGUGAGAACACUUGAUCAUAGGUCAUACUCAUCGUUUAAGCUCAAGUGGGGUUACCACUUUUACAUAAAGCAUUGAUUUGUUCACAUCUUUAGAGUUGCUUUAGCUCAAGUCUUAGAGUAAAGCUCCCCCUAGAUGUGAUAUCCCCCCUUAAGAGGGAUGAACUAACCUUGUCAAUGAUGACUUCAUGUAGAUAUUGGAGAUGUGGAUGCUCAAUGUUGAUGUAGAUCUCUUGGAGCUAUCCAUUUGAGUGAAUUGCACUUUCAAUACCUACAUGGGUUAGUCCCACAAGGAACAAACAAGGAUAUCCAUAGACAUAGAGUGAUACACACAAAGAUGAUGUCCAUGAAAUUUUUUAGGUUACCUUGUCCCUUGUCUUACCAACAAGAGGGUUUAUGACUCCUUGAACUAGUGCAAGAUGUGGAAGUUCAUUGCACUUGUUCUUGCCAAAAUGAUAAGAGUGAAGUAUGUUGGCGGAGUCACCCUCAAGAACUCUCUAGUUCUUAUUCUUUUGGAUCCACAUCAUCUUGAUGGGAAUCCUUGGAGUUGUAGUCGUACUUGAUGAAGUGGAACUUGAAGUAGUCUUGGGAAUCCACUUGACUAAGGUCUUUGGAGCUUCUUCAAAUGCAUCAAUUUUCUCUUGAAGCUUGUCCUUGCCUUUUUGCUUGUAGUCUUGUGGUGGAAGAUCAUCUUGAGCUUGUGUCCCCUUGAAAGAAGUAUACUUCUCUUGUUGAGGGACAAACUUUGUCUUGGGGUAUUGAUCUUCUUCCCACUCAACUCCAUUGGCAUUGAACUUUCGUUCAAAACCAAUACCUUGAUUCUUUCGGUGCAUUCCUUGCUUGCGUACAAUUUCCUCGAAUUGCUUACUCCCGGCAAGGCUUUUGUACACUCCUUUCUCUAUAAUUCCCUUUAAUAAGCUAUUUUCUUGCUCAAGUGUAACUUGGCUAAGAGAAUCAUUAGUGAAAUCAAGAGAACUACUAGAAGCAACAAUAUUGGAUUUAGCAUGAUCAUUGUUACUACUAGAGGAAGAAUCUUUCUUGUUACUAGACUUGACUUGAGGCAUGUAAGUGGAUAAGAGUAAACGCUUGGCAAUGUAAGAAGAACUUUUCUUGCGAAGAUCAUCAUUGAUUGCCUUUAAGAACUCAUGCUCUUGAUCAAGAUUGAGCUUUUCAAAGCGUAAUUUCUCAUGAGCUCUUAAAAGUUCUCGAUGAUCUUCGAAGAUGGUUUCAUGAGCUAACUUAAGAGUGUUUAGUUCUUUAGUUAGGGCCUCAAUUUUCUCCUUAUCAUUGUCAUUCGUUUUAUCUUGAUUAGCAUGAUUAAUUGGUCUUUCAUCAUAAUAUUCAUCACUAGAGUUGUCACCAAGCAAAUCAUCACCUAACAAGUCAUCUUCAUCACUAUUGAAAUCAACAUACUCGGGGUGUGUUACCUUAGGACCUUUGGCCAUGAAGCAUCUUCCAAUUCCUUCAUUUGGUGAGUCAAAUAUGUCGUAGGAGUUGGUUGACACAAGUGCUAGACCGGCAACACCUUCAUCUUGAGUAUCUUCGGAGUCAGAGUAAUAACUUCUCUCGGAGUGGCUGUCGGAGUCGGAGCCGGAUACCCAUUCACCAACAUGAGCUUGAUGUCUUCGUCUUGUGUGGCUCCUUGAUGAUUUUUCCUUCCUUUCCGAAUCCUUGCUUCUCCGUGAGUAUCUUUGUUCAUAACGAUCAUCUCUACUCCUUCUCUCUCUUGGUGGUGAUCCUUUGCUUCUUCUUUUUGGAGAAUCUUCUCUUCUCUUGUAGGGAGCCGUACACUCAUUGGAAUAGUGUCCGGGUCUUCCACAGUUGUAGCAGUUUCGCUCUCGACUAGAAGAUCUUUUGUCAUUGUAGGACCUUGACUUGGAGCUUCUAUCUUUGCUUCUACUCUUGUAGAACUUGUUGAAGUUCUUCACCAUUAAGCUCAAUUCUUCAUUGAAGUCUUGUUUCUCACUUGAUGAUGUAGGGGCUUCACAUGAGGCUUUAUAGGCACCACUUGAUUUGUUGUGAAGUUCCUCUUUAUCCUUAAGUGACAUCUCAUGAGCAACAAUUCUCCCAAUCACCUCCAUUGGCUUGCAAUCUUUGUAAUUGGGCAUCAUUUGGAUCAAUGUGCACAUGGUAUCAUAUUUUCCAUCCAAGGCUCUUAGAAUCUUCUUGAUGAUGAAUUUAUCGGUCAUCUCUUCACUUCCUAAGCCGGCAAUCUCAUUUGUGAUGAGAGCAAGCCUAGAGUACAUUUCAGCAACACCUUCACCAUCCUUCAUCUUGAACUUGUCAAGUUGGCUUUGAAGCACAUCCAACUUGGAUUCCUUGACGGAGUCGGUACCUUCAUGCAUAUCAAUCAAAGUGUCCCAAAUUUCCUUUGCAUUCUCAAGGCGGCUGAUUUUGUUGAAUUCUUCGGGGCACAAUCCAUUGAAGAGAAUAUCACAAGCUUGAGCAUUGUAUUGCAACAUCUUCAACUCAUCCGCGGUAGCUUCACGGUUCGGUUCUCUCCCAUCAAAGAAGUCACCUUGCAAACCAACACACACAAUAGCCCAAACAGCGGGGUUAUGUCCAAGAAUAUGCAUUUUCAUUUUAUGCUUCCAACUAGCAAAAUUAGUACCAUCGAAGUAAGGACCUCUACGGUGAUAAUUUCCCUUGCUAGACGCCAUACUCUCCUAGGUUGUGAAACCAAGGCUAUGACCACCAAAAGCUAUGGAGAUCAAAGCGAAUGGAGACCAAAGCUCUGAUACCACUUGUAGGAUCGAAAGUAUGUCUAGAGGAGGGUGAUUAGACUACUUGACCAAAUAAAAACUUAACCUUUUCCCAAUUUUAGUUCUUGGCAGAUUUUAGCUAAUUUAGGACAAGUCAAGCAAUCAUCACAUAAUUCAAGCAAGCAUGCAAAGAGUAUAUAGGCAGCGGAAAGUAAAGCACGCAACUUGCAAGAAUGUAAAGGGAAGGGUUUGGAGAAUUCAAACGCAAUUGGAGACACGGAUGUUUUUCCCGUGGUUCGGAUAGGUGGUGCUAUCCUACAUCCACGUUGAUGGAGACUUCAACCCACAAAGGGUAACGGUUGCGCGAGUCCACACAGGGCUCCACCCACGAAGGGUCCAUGAAGAAGCAACCACCCACAAAGGGUCCACGAAGUAGCAACCUUGUCUAUCCCACCAUGGCCAUCGGCCACACAGGACUUGCCUCACUAGCGGUAGAUCUUCACGAAGUAGGCGAUCUCCUUGCCCUUACAAACUCCUUGGUUCAACUCCACAAUCUUGUCGGAGGCUCCCAAGUGACACCUAGCCAAUCUAGGAGACACCACUCUCCAAGAAGUAAGAAAUGGUGUGUAGGUAAUGAACUCCUUGCUCUUGUGCUUCAAAUGAUAGUCUCCCCAACACUCAACUCUCUCUCAUAGGAUUUGGAUUUGGUGGAAAGAAUAUUUGAGUGGAAAGCAACUUGGGAAGGCUAGAGAUCAAGAUUCAUAUGUUAGGAAUGGAAUAUCUUGGUCUCAACACAUGAGUAGGUGGUUCUCUCUCAGAACAUAUGAGUUGGAAUGGUGUGUGUGUUCUGAUGGAUCUCUCCUCGAAUGAGAAGAAGGUGGAGGGGUAUAUAUAGCCUCCACACAAAAUCCAACCGUUACACAGUUUUCCAAUCUCGGUGGGACCGAAUCAAUAAACUCGGUCGGACCGAAAAUGUAAACCUAGUGACCGUUAGAGAUUUUCGGUGGGACUGACAUGCAACUCGGUAGGACCGAUGUGGUUAGGGUUUGGGCAUAACGUAAUCUCGGUGAGACCGAUUACACAAACUCGGUGAGACUGAAUUUGGUAAUUAGCUAACCAGAGAGUUGGCCAGACAAACUCUGUAGGACCGAUUUGCUCUUUCGGUGAGACCGAGUGGAACUCGGUGAGACCGAAAAGUUACAAAGGGGAAACACUGAGUUUACAUUGCAAUCUCGGUGGGACCGAUUCGCUCUUUCGGUGAGACCGAAACGUUAUGAAAGGGAAAUAGAGAGUUUGCAAUCCCAUCUCGGUGAGACCGAGAUCCUUAUCGGUAGGACCGAAUUGCUAGGGUUUGGCAGUGGCUAAUGACAAGUGAAACUCGGUGGCGCCGGAUAGGAAGAAUCGGUAGGACCGAGUUUAGCUUAGGGUUUAGGUCAUAUGUGGAUAUGGGAAAGUAGUUGAGGGUUUUGGAGCAUAUCACUAAGCACAUGAAGCAAGAGGCUCAUUAAGCAACACCUCAUCCCUCCUUGAUAGUAUUGGCUUUUCCUAAAGACUCAAUGUGAUCUUGGAUCACUAAAAUAUAAAAUGAAGAGUCUUGAGAUUUUGAGCUUGAGCCAAUCCUUUGUCCUUAGUAUUUUGAGGGUUCCACUUUCACAUCCAUGCCAUGCCAAUCAUUGAGCUUUCCUGAAAUAAUCAUCUUGGAAUAGCAUUAGCUCAAUGAGCUAUAUGUUGUUAUGAAUUACCAAAACCACCUAGGGAUAGUUGCACUUUCACUCUGAUCAUAGAAACUUUAUUUUCUUGUUACGAUGAUUUUCCACUUCACUCUGAAAUUCUUUGAACUUUUCAAAUGUUUCAGACUUAUGUUUUAUUAAGUAGAUAUAUCCAUAUCUUCUUAAAUCAUCUGUGAAGGUGAGAAAAUAACGAUACCCGCCGCGAGCCUCAACAUUCAUUGGACCACAUACAUCUGUAUGUAUGAUUUCCAACAAAUUUGUUGCUUGCUCCAUAGUUCCAUAGAAUGGCAUUUUAGUCAUCUUUCCCAUGAGGCAUGGUUCACAAGUACCAAGUGAUUCAUAAUCAAGUGGUUCCAAAAGUCCAUCAGUAUGGAGUUUCUUCAUGCUUUACACCGAUAUGACCUAAACGGCAGUGCCACAACUAAGUUGCACUAUCAUUAUCAACUUUGCAUCUUUUGGCCUCAAUAUUAUGAAUAUGUGUAUCACUAUUAUCGAGAUUUAAUAUAAAUAGACCACUCUUCAAGGGUGCAUGACCAUAAAAUAUAUUACUCAUAUAAAUAGAACAACCAUUAUUCUCUGAUUUAAAUUUAUAACCGUCUCGCAUCAAACAAGAUCCAGAUAUAAUGUUCAUGCUCAACAUUGGCACCAAAUAACAAUUAUUCAGGUCUAAAACUAAUCCCGAAGGUAGAUGUAGAGGUAGCAUGCCGACCGCGAUCACAUCGACUUUGGAACCAUUUCCCACGUGCAUCGUCACCUCGUCCUUAGCCAAUCUUUGCUUAAUCUGUUGUCCCUGUUUUGAGUUGCAAAUAUUAGCAACAGAACCAGUAUCAAAUACCCAGGUGCUACUGCGAGCAUUAUUAAGGUACACAUCAAUAACAUGUAUAUCACAUAUACCUUUGUUCACCUUGACAUCCUUCUUAUCCGCCAAAUGCUUAGGGCAGUUCCGCUUCCAGUGACCAGUCUGUUUGCAGUAGAAGCACUCAGUCUCAGGCUUAGGUCCAGACUUGGGUUUCUUCUCCUGAGCAGCAACUUGUUUGCUAUUCUUCUUGAAGUUUCCCUUCUGCUUCCCUUUGCCCUUUUUCUUGAAACUGGUGGUCUUUUUGACUAUCAACACUUGAUGAUCUUUCUUGAUUUCUACCUCCGCAGCCUUUAGCAUUGCGAAGAGCUCGGGAAUCGUCUUAUCCAUCCCUUGCAUGUUAUAGUUCAUCACAAAGCUCUUGUAGCUUGGUGGUAGUGAUUGAAGAAUUCUGUCAAUAACGCUAUCAUCCGGAAGAUUAACUCCCAGUUGAAUCAAGUGAUUGUUAUAGCCAGACAUUCUGAGUAUAUGCUCACUGACAGAACUAUUCUCCACCAUCUUGCAGCCGUAGAACUUAUUGGAGACUUCAUAUCUCUCAAUCCAUGCAUCUUCUUGAAAUAUUAACUUCAACUCCUGGAACAUCUCAUAUGCUCCAUGACGUUUAAAAUGUCGUUGAAGUCCUGGUUCUAAGCCGUAAAGCAUGGCACACUGAAAUAUUGAGUAGUCAUCAGCUUUGCUCAGCCAGACGUUCAUAACAUCUGGUGUUCCUCCUGCAGUAGGUCUGGCACGUAGCGGUGAUUCCAGGACGUAAUUCUUCUGUGCAGCAAUGAGGAUAAUCCUCAAGUUACGGACCCAGUCCGUGUAAUUGCUACCAUCAUCUUUCAACUUUGCUUUCUCAAGGAAUGCAUUAAAAUUCAAUGGAACAACAACACGAGCCAUCUAUCUACAAUCAACAUAGACAAGCAAAACACUAUCAGGUACAAAGUUCAUGAUAAAUUUAAGUUCAAUUAAUCAUAUUACUUAAGAACUCCCACUUAGAUAGACAUCCCUCUAAUCCUCUAAGUGAUCACGUGAUCCAAAUCAACUAAACCAUGUCCGAUCAUCACGUGAGAUGGAGUAGUUUCAAUGGUGAACAUCACUAUGUUGAUCAUAUCUACUAUAUGAUUCACGCUCGAACUUUCGGUCUCACUGUUUUGAGGCCAUAUCUGCAUAUGCUAGGCUCGUCAAGUUUAACCUGAGUAUUCUGCGUGUGCAACUAUUUUGCACCCGUUGUAUUUGAAUGUAGAGCCUAUCACACCCGAUCAUCACGUGGUGUCUCAGCACGAAGAACUUUCACAAUGGUGCAUACUUAGGGAGAACACUUAUACCUUGAUAAUUUAGUGAGAGAUCAUCUUAUAAUGGUACCGUCAAUCAAAGCAAGAUAAGAUGCAUAAAAGAUAAACAUCACAUGCAAUCAAUAUAAUUGAUAUGAUAUGGCCAUCAUCAUCUUGUGCUUGUGAUCUCCAUCUCCGAAGCACCGUCAUGAUCACCAUCGUCACUGACGCGACACCUUGAUCUCCAUCGUAGCAUCGUUGUUGUCUCGCCAACUUAUGCUUCUACGACUAUCGCUACCGCUUAGUGAUAAAGUAAAGCAUUACAGGGCGAUUGCAUUGCAUACAAUAAAGCGACAACCAUAUGGCACCUGCCAGUUGCCGAUAACUCGGUUACAAAACAUGAUCAUGUCAUACAAUAAAAUUUAGCAUCAUGUCUUGACCAUAUCACAUCACAACAUGCCCUGCAAAAACAAGUUAGACGUCCUCUACUUUGUUGUUGCAAGUUUUACGUGGCUGCUACGGGCUGAGCAAGAACCGUUCUUAUCUACACAUCAAAACCACAACGAUAGUUCGUCAAGUUAGUGUUGUUUUAACCUUCUCAAGGACCGGGCGUAUGCAACUCAGUUCAACUAAAGUUGGAGAAACUGACACCCACCGGCCACCUGUGUGUAAAGCACGUCGGUAGAACCAGUCUCACGUAAGCGUACGCGUAAUGUCGGUCCGGGUCGCUUCAUCCAACAAUACUGCUAAACCAAAGUAUGACAUGCUGGUAAGUAGUAUGACUUGUAUCACCCACAACUCACUUGUGUUCUACUCAUGCAACUAACAUCUACGCAUAAAACCAGGCUCUGAUACCACUGUUGGGGAACGUAGUAAUUUCAAAAAAAAUCCUACGCACACGCAAGAUCAUGGUGAUGCAUAGCAGCGAGAGGGGAGAGGGUGUGUCCACGUACCCUCGUAGACCGAAAGCGUAAGCAUUAGCACAACGCGGUUGAUGUAGUCAUAUGUCUUCACGAUCCAACCGAUCAAGUACCGAACUCACGACACCUCCGAGUUCUGGACACGUUCAACUCGAUGACGUUCCUCGAACUCCGAUCCAGCCGAGCUUUGAGGGAGAGUUCCAUCAGCAUGACGGUGUGUUGACGAUGAUGAUGUUCUACCGAUGCAGGGCUUCGCCUAAGCACCGCUACGGUAUUAUCGAGGUUGAUUAUGGUGGAAGGGGCACCGCACACGGCUAAGAGAUCAAAGAGAUCAAUUGUUGUGUCUAUGGGGUGCCCCCUCCUUCGUAUAUAAAGGGGGGAGGAGGAGGGGGUCGGCCAAGGGGAGGAUGCGUGCCCAAGGGGGGCAAUCCUACUCCAAGUCGGUUUUGCCCCCCUUUCCCAUUCAAACUGGGAGAAGGGGGAAGGAGGAGGUGGAGAGAAGGAAGGAGAAGGGGGGCCGCCGCCCCCUUCCCUUUCCCAAUUCGAAUUGGGGCAAGGGGGGCCGCACGCCACCUCCUUCCGCCUCUCCUCUUCCACCACUUGGGCCCAUGAGGCCCAAUAACCCCCCCCGGCGUUCCGGUAACCCCCCCCCCGGUUUCUCCGGUUUAUAUCUGAUAACCCCCGGUACCCAUCUAGUGUCCGAAUAUAACAUUCCAAUAUAUCAAUCUUUAUGCCUCGACCAUUUCGAGACUCCUCAUCAUGUCCGUUAUCACAUCCAGGACUCCAAACUACCUACAGUACAUCAAAACACAUAAACUCUUAAUAUAACCGUCAUCGAACUUUAAGCGUGCGGACCCUACGGGUUCGAGAACUAUGUAGACAUGACCGAGACACGUCUUCGGUCAAUAACCAAUAUCGGAACCUGGAUGCUCAUAUUGGCUCCCACAUAUUCUACGAAGAUCUUUAUCGGUCAAACCGCAUAACAACAUACGUUGUUCCCUUUGUCAUCGGUAUGUUACUUGCCCGAGAUUCGAUCGUCGGUAUCUCAAUACCUAAUUCAAUCUCGUUACCGGCAAGUCUCUUUACUCGUUCCGUAAUACAUCAUCCCCCAACUAACUCAUUAGUUGCAAUCCUUGCAAGGCUUAUAGUGAUGUGCAUUACCAAGUGGGCCUAGAGAUACCUCUCCGACAAUCGGAGUGACAAAUCCUAAUCUCAAAAUAUGCCAACCCAACAAGUACCUUCGGAGACACCUGUAGAGCACCUUUAUAAUCACCCAGUUACGUUGUGAUGUUUGGUAGCACAUAAAGUGUUCCUCUGGUAAACGAGAGUUGCAUAAUCUCAUAGUCAUAGGAACAUGUAUAAGUCAUGAAGAAAGCAAUAGCAGAAUACUAAAUGAUCAAGUGCUAAGCUACCGGAAUGGGUCAAGUCAAUCACAUCAUUCUCCUAAUGAUGUGAUCCCGUUAAUCAAAUGACAACUCAUGUCUAUGGCUAGGAAACAUAACCAUCUUUGAUCAACGAGCUAGUCAAGUAGAGGCAUACUAGUGACACUCUGUUUGUCUAUGUAUUCACACAAGUAUUAUGUUUCCGGUUAAUACAAUUCUAGCAUGAUAUAAGGAAAUAAAUAACAACUUUAUUAUUGCCUCUAGGGCAUAUUUCCUUCAUUAUUAUCUCUAUCAGAUCUCACUUUUGCAAGUGGUCGUGAAGGGAUUGACAACCCCUUUAUCACGUUGCUUGCAAGGUUCUUAUUUGUUUGUGUAGGUGCGAGGCGACUUGUGUGUAGUCUCCUACUGGAUUGAUACCUUGGUUCUCAAAAACUGAGGGAAAUACUUACACUACUUUGCUGCAUCACCCUUUCCUCUUCAAGGGAAAACCAACGCAGUGCUCAAGAGGUAGCAGUCCACAUGUGAUGAGCUUGAGGCAAUUGGCGAGAAAUAGGAGCCGGCGAGAACGGAGCCAAGAGUGGCCGUUCAAAAUAGGAGACCAAAAGCUCCUCCACCGGGAUACGCCAAAAUAAACACCGACGUGGGUGCCGAAGAGGAAGCUAGACACCAGAGAGGAAUUCCCCCCUCCGGUAGGGUGCCGGAAUGGGUCUAGAUUGGUUUUCGGUGGCUACAGAGGCUUGCGGCGGCGGAACUCCCGAUCUAGGUUUAUUUCUGGGGGCUUCUGUAUUUAUAGGAAUUUUUGGCAUAGGUCUCACGUCAGGGGUGGGGGGGGGGGGUUCUCUGGAUCGUCCACGAGAUAGGGGCCCUCGCCCAGGGGGUAGGGCGCGCCCCCCACCCUCGUGGACAGCCCGGGACUCUUCCGACCCAACUCUUUUACUCCGGGGGCUUCUUUUGGUCCAUAAAAAAUCAUCAAAAAUUGGCACGUCAAUUGGACUCCAUUUGGUAUUCCUUUUCUGCGAUACUCAAAAACAAGGAAAAACAGAAACUGGCACUGGGCUCUAGGUUAAUAGGUUAGUCCCAAAAAUCAUAUAAAAUAGCAUAUAAAUGCAUAUAAAACAUCCAAGGUUGAUAACAUAAUAGCAUGGAACAAUCAAAAAUUAUAGAUACGUUGGAGACGUAUCAAUGGAAUGGUUGAAAGCACCUACUGCCUCUAUCGUUUUUGCCACCAAAGUCGUUCAUCUCCUACAUCCUUCCGAUGAGAUAGUAAGCUACCAUGCUCAGAUUUUUCAAAACGUUGAAGCACGACUUUAUUUAUUGAAUGCGUUGAAUGCAACACCUCUUAAGGGAAUUGAAAAUAUUCCAGUUGUUCGCGACUUCCUAGACGUCUUUCCAGAAGAACUUCCAGGAAUACCUCCUGCUCGGGCUGUCGAGUUCGUCAUCGACUUGAAACCAGGCGCCGUUCCUAUCGCCAAAAGACCCUACAAGAUGCCGCCUCAUGAACUCCUUGAACUUAAGGAGGAAAACGACAAAUCUCUUCGCAAGGGUUUCAUUCGUCCAAGCUCCUCUGCUUGGGGAGCACCUUCCCUCUUCGUCAAGAAGAAGGAUGGAACAAACCGUUUGGUCCAAGACUACCGUCCUAUCAACCAAGCUACAAUUUAGAACAAAUAUCCCCUUUCUUGGAUCAAUGAUCUGUGUGAUCAACUGGCUGGUUCAUCGAUAUUCUCUAAACUCGACUUGAGGUUGGGUUACCACCAGAUCCAUGUUCGUGAAGAGGAUAAUCCAAAGACCGCAUUCGUCACUCGUUAUGGUUCUUACGAUUACAUGAUGUCUACUACACGACCUUCUUCUUGUAGACGUUGUUGGGCCUCCAAGUGCAGAGGUUUGUAGGACAGUAGCAAAUUUCCCUCAAGUGGAUGACCUAAGGUUUAUCAAUCCGUGGGAGGCGUAGGAUGAAGAUGGUCUCUCUCAAACAACCCUGCAACCAAAUAACAAAGAGUCUCUUGUGUCCCCAACACACCCAAUACAAUGGUAAAUUGUAUAGGUGCACUAGUUCGGCGAAGAGAUGGUGAUACAAGUGCAAUAUGGAUGAUAGAUAUGGGUAUUUGUAAUCUGAAAAUAUAAAAACAGCAAGGUAGCAAGUGGUAAAAGUGAGCGUAAACGAUAUUGCAAUGCAUUGAAACAAGGCCUAGGGUUCAUACUUUCACGUGUAAGUUCUCUCAACAAUAAUAACAUACUUGGAUCAUAUAACUAUCCCUCAACAUGCAACAAAGAGUCACUCCAAAGUCACUAAUAGCAGAGAACAAACGAAGAGAUUAUUGUAGGGUACAAAACCACCUCAAAGUUAUUCUUUCUGAUCGAUCUAUUCAAGAGUCCGUAGUACAAUAACACGAAGCUAUUCUUUCCAUUCGAUCUAUCAUAGAGUUCGUACUAGAAUAAUGAUGACCCACAAGUAUAGGGGAUCUAUCUUAGUCCUUUUGAUAAGUAAGAGUGUCGAACCCAACGAGGAGCAGAAGGAAAUGAUAAGCGGUUUUCAGUAAGGUAUUCUCUGCAAGCACUGAAAUAAUAGGUAAUAGAUAGUUUUGUGAUAGGAUGAUUUGUAACGAGUAACAAGUAACAAAAGUAAAUAAAGUGUAGCAAGGUGGCCCAAUCCUUUUUUGUAGCAAAGGACAAGCCUGGACAAACUCUUAUAUAGAGAAAAGCGCUCCCAAGGACACAUGGGAAUAACGUCAAGCUAGUUUUCAUCAUGUUCAUAUGAUUCGUGUCCCGUACUUUGAUAAUUUGGUAUGUGGGUGGACCGGUGCUUGGGUACUGUCCUCACUUGGACAAGCAUCCCACUUAUGAUUAACCUCUAUUGCAAGCAUCCGCAACUACAACAAAAGUAUUAAGGUAAACCUAACCAUAGCAUGAAACAUAUGGAUCCAAAUCAGUCCCUUACGAAGCAACGCAUAAACUAGGGUUUAAGCUUCUGUCACUCUAGCAACCCAUCAUCUACUUAUUACUUCCCAAUGCCUUCCUUUAGGCCCAAAUAAUGGUGAAGUGUCAUGUAGUCGACGUUCACAUAAUACCACUAGAGGAGAGACAACAAACAUCUCAUCAAAAUAUAGAACGAAUACCAAAUUCACAUGACUACUAAUAGCAAGACUUCUCCCAUGUCCUCAGGAAGAAACGUGUGACGCCCUUGAUUCAAUCGUACACUAAUCAUACACGCAAAUGUGUAUGAUCAAGAUCAAGGACUCACGGGAAGAUAUCACAACACAACUCUAGACACAACUUAAAAUAAUACAAGCUUUAUAUUACAAGCCAGGGGCCUCGAGGGCUCGAAUACAUAAGAGUCAGCAGGACCAAGAAUAUCUGAGUAGAGACAUAAGUUAAACAAGUUUGCCUUAAGAAGGCUAGCACAAAAGCAACAACGAUCGAAAAGGCAAGGCCUCCUACCUGGGAGCCUCCUACCUACUCCUAGUCGUCUGCGGUCUUCACGUAGUAGUAGGCAUCCUCCGGGUAGUAGUUAUCAUCAGUGGCAUUGUCUGGCUCCUGGGACCGUCAUCUGGUCGCAACAAUUGGGUAUGGGGGAAAAAGAAGUAGCAAAGCAACCGUGAGUACUCAUCCAAAGCACUCGCAAGACUUACAUCAGAUCUAAACUAAGUAUGCAUCUGUAUCAAAGGAAUGGGUUGUAUCUGUGGACUAAACUGCAGAAUGCCAUAAGGGAAGGGGAAAGCCUAGCCUAUCGAAGACUAGCAUCUUCAAGUAUCUUGCAGCAUAUAGAAGAGUACAGAUCAACAUAAUGUAAAGUUGUAGUAGUGUUAUCAACCUCGUCCAGAGAUCCCUUCUCGUCUCCCCACGAGAAAGCAAUCCUAGAGCCAUACUAUCCAUUUCUCAUCACCAUCCAUUUCUCAUCACAAUCCAUUCAUUUCUCAUCACAAGUAUCCAGUUCUAGUUGUAUCGAUCGGGAUACAAAUCCAAGUGUCCGUUACCGUAGGACAAGCUAUCGAUAUAUGUUUUCUUCCCUGCAGGGGUGCACCAACUUACCCACCAUGCUCGAUUAACUCCGGCUGGACACACUUUCCUGGGUCAUGCCUAGCCUCAGCCAAACAAUAUGUUGCAACCCGACCUAGGCUUAAUAGAGAGGCCAGCAUGCCAGACUAAAUCUAUGCCCCAGGGGUCAUGGGCCAUCUCCUCGGGAACUCCUGCACGUUGCGUACGCGGCCGGUGAGCAGACCUAGCUACCUCCUUCAACAAGGUAGGUGCUUACCAGUCCAAACCGGCACGCGCCGCUCAGUCGCUGACAUCUAUUAAGCUUCGGCUGAUGUAUACGACGCAGAAUGCCCAUACUAUGCCCACGAGAUGGUUAGUGCUAUCAGUCCAGAGGCCCCUCAGAUCAAAUAUCCAAAUCGUAGUGGAUUAGCAGCACAUGGUAACGAGCAGAGACUCCCGAUCGAUAUGACCCCGUCGCCCCUUCUCGAGUACUUGCGGCAAGGGCUAAGAAUGCUCGGCCACGCCUCGUAAGUAUCUCGCAGGCACCUUCCAGGUCAACCCGACUCCACAUCACUCGCUAUUAAGCUCACGCGGGUACACCUCAGGGCCAACCCGUCUUAGUAACAUGGCUCAGUGCAAAUUCAUAGUAACCAUAGUAACUGUGUCUAACACCAAGGGGAAAACCCGAGGAAUCACCCCCGUUGAAUUCCAGUCGAUGUUGUCAUCAAGGUGAACGUAAGAGGAUCCACGCUCGACGUUCAUAUUUGAUGGAUUGCACGACAGAGCCAUAACGGAAGUGGUUAAGGAGGAAAUCACCCUCGAUGACGUCGACCAUAUAGCUACACUACAGGGAUCUCAUCAGGUGUGAUGUAAGAGGUUCCACCCUCGGCACUCGAUGGUAACUCUGUAGAGUCGUACAACUAGGGGGGGUGAUGUGAGGUGUCGGGGCCUGGACGUCGAUCACGUUGAUCGAGUCAUCAAACAUAAAGCAAGACAACUUGGACGAGUUGGGGGUCACUGAUGGAUCUCUAACCAACCUAUACUAAGUAGUUUAGGAUAAGCAGGUAAGGUAUGAAAGCAUGUAACAAAAACAGGCUAUGCAUCAGAGUAGGAUCAUACAUAAAGCAGUAGCAGUUCUAAUGCAAGCAUGAGAGGGAAAGAAAUGGGCGAUAUCGGAAUGCUCAAAGGGGGUUUGCUUGCCUGGUUGCUCAGACAAGAAGGAUGGUUCGUUGGUGACGUAGUCGAUCACAGCGGCAUCAUCGGUCUCGGGGUCUACCGGAGAGAAGAGGGGGAAGAAACAGUAAAUGCAGAGCAAACAAAGGUACCACUAAGCAUUACAUGACGAUAGGAAGAGCUAGGGUUGACCUAACAUAGGGCUACACGAUAUAGGUGAAGGGGAAAUUCAACCAGGAAUGUUUUCCCGGUUCCGAACCUGUGUUAGACAGAUGACCGGAGGGGCAAAGUUCCAUGUUCAGCAUGCUAGGGGCAUGUGACAGAAGAAUGGACCACAUAUUCAGAUUCGUCUUGUCUUUCUGACCAACUUUCAUGUAUAAAACUUUUUCAUCCGAGGUACAUUUUAUUUUCUAUGAUUUUCAAAGAUUAAAACAUUUUCAGGAUUUAUUUAUAGUAACAGAAAUGGAAUAUUGCAUCAGCAUGAUGUCAUAGUGACGUCAUCAGUCAACAGCCGCACUGACCCGGUCAAACCUGACAAGUGGGGCCACAGGGACCCACAUGUCACCCUUUGUGGGUUAAUAGUGGAUUAAUUUGACUAAUAGUAGUAGUUAGGGGUGUGGGCCCCAUUAGUCAAUGACUAAUUAGUGAUUAAACUAACUAACAGCCAAACGCAGCGGCGCGGCUCGGGAGGGGCGCGGAUUUCGCGCACAGGGGGUCUGCGGGGUUGUGGUUGGGCACGUUCGACGCGGCUCGGCGUCGCGCAUCGAACGGUGGUGGCCAGAGUGGCUGGAACGGAUGGGAGCGAGUGCUUCAAGCUCGCCGGCGGCGAGGUGCUUCGGGCGAGCAACAACAUCGGUGGUACGACGCGAGUUCGGGCUAUCCAGAGCGCGAGGCGAGGCCUACGUGCACGCGCGAGCAAGAUGGGCGUGAACAAAAGACCAAAAGGUCGCCGGAACGACGCCGGCAACGAGCUAGGCGGAGGCGCAUCCGGUCGGAGCACGGGGUCGGCGCUACGGGGCUCGACAAAGCGCGAGGGAGGGGUGCAACGGGCCCGCACGGACGUGCUGAGCACGAUUCCGAGCUCAUCUGAGCUCGACGGGCAGCAACGACACGACUACGAGCACGCCGGUGGAAGCAGAGGCACGGCAAUGACGGUGAACUAGCUAGGGACAAACGCGGCUGCGGGAAGAAGGAAUGGAGGGAGAGAGGAGCUCACCGAGCGGCCAAGAAAAGCCCUUGAUGGUUUAGUAGCUGCCGGGUUCGUCGGAGACGACAAGAAUCGUCAGCGACAGAGGCGGAAGGGGGCGAAGCAGAAAGCCCUCAGCAGAGCCUCCCAGCUCCUGCUGAUGGUCUGAGACGAAGGAGCGGAGAACGCCGAAGCUUGUGGAGGCGUUGGUGAAGCUCGGGGUCGCCGGUCGCCGUAGCGGUGCGAGAAGAACAACGACCACAUCGUCGGGCGACGUGAGGGGGGGGGGAGAGGCCAGAGGGAGAGCAGGGUGGAUCUGGGGGGAGGCGCAAGUGGGAGUGAGGAGAGAGGGUCGAGGCGACGCGGAGGGAGGGGAUCCUUAUCCCCUCGUUGGCGAGGCGCGAGGCGGCGAGCGGGUUCGUCGGCGACCACGGGCGCGGAUCAGUCGAACAGGAGAAGGGGAAGGCGACCGGGGAGGGGGAGUGGGCCGGCUGGGGUGGACAUGGUGGGCCGGCCCAGGUGGGAUGGCCCAAACCCAAGGGGGGCAUAGGCUCUACCACUCCUUCUUUCCUUUUUCCUUUUCUUUUCUUUGUUGUGAAUUUUAGCUACUAUUUUCUAUUAAUUUAUAAAACUAAAUGAGUUUUGUUUUGAACAAAACUUGGCACAUAAAACUAACACAAUACCUUGAGAUGGAACAGAAAGUUUGGGGUCAAAAGGAGUUGUCUAAUCAAUUUUAGAAAUUUAAAAGGACAUCUUAAAUACUGCUGGACUAGAUAAUAAAAUCCCAGGGGCAAUUUGGGAAUUCCAAAAAUGUUGGUUCCAACAAGACAAUUACUUAGUGAUUAUUUGCCACACUUUGAACAUUUUAGUUUUCAUGUUUGGCAAAUUUGAAUUUUUGACUUUGAAUUUGAGUUUGAACAUGAACAGUGAUUUGGAUCAAGUGAGGAUUAGCAAUAGUAGUGUGAUGACAUGGCACCAUCAAUAGGGGAUUAAUGUAGCAUGACACACGGGGUGUUACAAAUCUCCUCCACUACAAGAAAUCUCGUCCCGAGAUUUAAGUGGGGAAGUAAAGAGUAACUUCAGGUGAACUGACCCUUCUAGGGUUAAUUGUCUGGUGAACAACGUAGGGAAUGAGGCAGAAGUAUCUCUCGAGUUGAAACUUAAUAAAAUAUCGAGAGCAAAGUAUGAAGGUACAAUAGGAAGUUUCAAGCGGAUGGACAAACGAUUGAUACCUGAACCGAGUGUGAGAAAGGAGUUCAGAGCAUCAGGAAUAGAUCAUCUCUUAGAAGGUGGCUCGUGACAUGAUACGAAGCCAAGCGUGAGGAAUAACCUUAGAAACAGGGGGUACAUGAGAGUCAGGUUUCGAUCCUGUGGAACUGUGGGUUAUGGGCCCACCAUGUGGGUUAAAAGUAGGAAGGGUGCUGGCAUCUUGCACGGUUAUGAUAGCAAGGCAUGUCAGAGGGUAGCCUGUCAGUUAUGUCGGCAACAACGUUGGUACCAAGGGCGAGGGACGAAGAGAACCAUUAUCCUGCUCGUUGAACGAGGCGGGCCAUUAGGCAAAGUUCUCGUCCAUCGGUGGCUACCGGAAUGUCAUCAACAAAUGUAACAGGGUCUUAUUGACAGAGUGAUGCAACGAGGUGUUUACAUAAGCAGGGAAAUAUUACUCAUUAUAUAAUAUAGAUCACAAUAAGGAUUAAACAAACCAAUGGAAAGGAAAAUGUAAUUGUCAGAUUAAACAGAACAAUGGAAAGGAAAAUGUGUUUAAACACAUAUUUCAGGGGUAUAUCCUUCCCAAGGACAAGCAGAGCAUGGUAUCCAUGACAGGAUAGAAGUUUAAAACCAUUUAGGUAAGGGGAAAGAAAUUUCAUGACAUUACCCAUACAACGGUGUUGGGAUAAUUGAUAAAGAAGGUUUAGUAUCGUGCUUCAAAUGUUCUUAUUGGAGAUUGGAUUACCACAGACAUGCUUCGAGAUAGCAAAGGUCAGACUUUGGAUACACCAAGGAUCCAUCAGGAAUUUCUAGAACAUAUCACGUUAUUUUAUCAGGAAAAAGAUGAGGAGGUGGCCGAUGGGUUCAGUAGCAAUCCAUCAACAUGUCAACAAGGAUGUAUUCCCAAAAUUUAAUAUGAUCAAGUUUGUGUUGGGGGGGGGAGACAAGAAUGUUGUUGAUGCGGACACAAAUCAUCAAGAGGCAAGGAUGGUAUUACUAGCCAUGAAUUCAAUUUACAUCUCUGAAGAAGCCAAAGUGUUGACGGUGAUCAAGACAAAUUUUGUCGAGAGACUCUAAGAAGAUGCCAUCGGGCAGAAAAUGAAGGAUGAAGUGAAAGGCUAUGAGAACCACAGAUUCGAGACAAGCUUAAAGUCAAGCUUGUUGUUCAAGGUGAAAUGAUAAGAUGAGGAAGAUCGACGUAUGCUUAGCUAAUCAUCGGAAGUUGCUCUGGGCAUAAGGACCAGGUAGCACAGUUAAAAAGUUGUCAUGAUAAAAUAUAGCCAAUCAGGCUAGGAAUGAUGUGAUGGGAUAUAAAGCUUCCCAGUAUCAAGUACUAGGUGUAAUGCCAGAAGGUAAAUUGGAGUAGAGGUUGGACAGGGGAAAUGAGUUAUAGAUAAUAAGUAAUUUAACUUACCUAGUACAUGGGAUCAAGGAGGAAAUAUGGUCGGGUCCAUAAAUGCAAGGGAUCCAAUUUGCGAUACCGAAAGAAUUAUUCAAAGGAUUACAUAUCCUUGCAAGAGGCUUUCAUGAUAAGUUCCACACCAUGUCCGUGGGCAUGAACACAAAGGUUCAGGGUCGACUCACACUUCUACAAUGCAUAACCUUUCAUUUUAUUUCUCGCUCUUGAUGAAGCUGUAGUAUCGAAAUUUUAUCUGACAAAAAGCCAGUAGAGUAUAACCCGCAUAACUCCCGAGUUCACAAAGAUUAGGGAAGGCAUAGGUUCAACCCAUCGAGGCAUCUUAGGAACAUAUAUCAUAAAUUCCAAGAAUAAAUAAUACAAGCUUGGUAGUAGAGCAUGCUUGAGAAAGCGGAGGAUACAAUUUACCAACAGCAUCAUGUAUCCGAGGAAAAGCUCACAAUCUUAUUGAAUAUGAAGGACGUUGUCGGAUAAAAUCCAAAAAAAGGUCUGCUGGUCCACAAGGGAUCCGAUGUGAGCAUCAAUAUUCAACUAGAGGAACAAAGAAUGCAAGGAGAUCAGAUUAUAGAAACAACCGACUAACUCAAAGCUCAAUUGCAAAGGAAUUAUGAAUUACAAGACAAGGGAUCAGAAGCAAUGCUCUGAUUAGGGAUGGAUAGACAGAAUAGCCUUAGGGGUACAAUCGAUGGCAAUUUGAUUGAUCGAGAUUCAGCACAUGUUAAAAUGACGUCUGAGCCGGAAGGAUGAAUUCUAGGAUCUGAUUGAGGAUUGCGAGCAUUUACAACAUAUUCUAACAACAGACUCAAAAUGAUAAUGACAAAGGCUAACAAUAGGAUUACUAGACUUAUGGUAUUAACCAUAAUGCAAGCAAGCAAGAAAUUCAAGAACAAUAGGUUAUUGAGGAUUUUCACAAGAACGAAUGGUAUUACGAAGACUAUUGUGAAGUACAUGAAUCAACUAAGUAUGAGCAGAUACUCGAUAGGUGCACAAAGUUAUCCGUAGGGAUAUUCAGAUGACAAGGAACUACAAGGCAGUAAGCUCAAAGGAUUCUCGAAAAAAGGAGAGCAGUUCAGGGCUUCUUGUAAUAACAAGAUCAAUGGGAUAGAGUGUAAGAUGGGCAAGUGUGUGGUUAUCCAUAAGGGUAUUUCGGUGGUAGGGAAUUGCAAGGGCAACAGGCACAAAGUCUCGAGAGAAUAUCAUAGAGUAUCUUCGGACUCUUCUGAUACAUCAUGCGAUCAUCUGAAAUAAGGGGCUCUCCGGGCAGAUGUGAUCACGAGAUCCUAAUGUUCGAGUUAGUAAAACCUUUUAACCCGAAUAGAAGAGAGAUCAGAGUCCCAGACUAUAGACGAGGAAUAAAAGAUCCUAAUACCACUCAAUUGGCGAUGUGAGCCCGUAAGACACACAGCCAAGUUAGUAAAACGGUUUUCGGUUUCUAGACUCAACUUCGACCAAGGAGUUGGAAAGGGGGGGUCCUACAGGCAGUCGACUCUGAUACCAAAUUGUGACACCCUCAAUUCAAUCGUACACUAAUCAUACACGCAAAUGUGUACGAUCAAGAUCAAGGACUCACAGGAAGAUAUCACAACACAACUCUAGACACAAAUUAAUAUAAUACAAGCUUUAUAUUACAAGCUAGGGGCCUCGAGGGCUCGAAUACACAAGAGUCAGCGGAAGCAACAAUAUCUGAGUACAGACAUAAGUUAAACAAGUUUGCCUUAAGAAGGCUAGCACAAAAGCAACAACGAUCGAAAAGGCAAGGCCUCCUACCUGGGAGCCUCCUACCUACUCCUAGUCGUCUGCGGUCUUCACAUAGUAGUAGGCAUCCUCCGGGUAGUAGUUGUCAUCAGUGGCGUUGUCUGGCUCCUGGGAUCCGUCAUCUGGUCGCAACAAUCGGGUAUGGGGGAAAAAGAAGUAGCAAAGCAACCGUGAGUACUCAUCCAAAGUACUCGCAAGACUUACAUCAUAUCUAAACUAAGUAUGCAUCUAUAUCAAAGGAAUGGGUUGUAUCUGUGGACUAAACUGAAGAAUGCCAGAAGGGAAGGGGAAAGCCUAGCCUAUCGAAGACUAGCAUCUUCAAGCAUCUUACAGCAUAUAGAAGAGUACAGAUCAACAUAAUGUAAAGUAGUAGUAGUGUUAUCAACCUCGGCCAGAGAUCCCUUCUCGUCUCCCCGCGAGAAAGCAAUCCCAGAGCCAUACUAUCCAUUUCUCAUCACCAUCCAUUUCUCUUCACAAUCCAUUCAUUUCUCAUCACAAGUAUCCAGUUCUAGUUGUAUCGAUCAGGAUACAACUCCAAGUGUCCAUUACCGUAGGACAAGCUAUCGAUAGAUGUUUUCUUCCCUGCAGGGGUGCACCAACUUACCCACCACGCUCGAUUAACUCCGGCCGGACACACUUACCUGGGUCAUGCCCGGCCUCGGCCAAACAAUACGCUGCAACCCGACGUAGGCUUAAUAGAGAGGUCAGCAUGUCAGACUAAACCUAUGCCCCAGGGGUCAUGGGCCAUCUCCCUGGGAACUCCUGCACGUUGCGUACGCGGCCGGUGAGCAGACCUAGCUACCUCCUUCAACAAGGUAGGUGCUUACCAGUCCAACCCAGCACGCGCCGCUCAGUCGCUGACAUCUAUUAAGCUUCGGCUGAUAUAUACGAUGCAGAACGCCCAUACUAUGCCCACGUGAUGGUUAGUGCUAUCAGGCCAGAGGCCCCUCAGAUCAAAUAUCCAAAUCGUAGUGGAUUAGGAGCACGCGGUAAUGAGCAGAGACUCACGAUCGAUGCUACCCCCAUCGCCCCGUCUUGCCUACUUGCGGCAAGGGCUAAGAAUGCCCGGCCACGCCUCGUAAGUAUCUCGCGGGCACCUUCCAGGUCAACCCGACUCCACGUCACUCGCUAUUAAGCUCGCGCGGGUACCCCUCAGGGCCGACCCAUCUUAGUAACAUGGCUUAGUGCAAAGUCAUAGUAACCAUAGUAACUGUGUGUCUAACACCAAGGGGAAAACCCAAGGAAUCACCCCAGGUGAAUUCCACUCGAUGUUGUCAUCAAGGUGAACGUAAGAGGAUCCACCCUCGAGGUUCACAUUUGAUGGGUUGCACGACAGAGCCGUAACGGAAGUGGUUAAGGAGGAAAUCACCUUCGAUGACGUCGACCAUAUAGCUACACUACCGGGAUCUCAUCAGGAGCGAUGUAAGAGGUUCCACCCUAGACACUCGAUGGUAACUCUACAGAGUCGUACAACUAGGGGGGUAAUGUGCGGUGUCGGGCCUGGACGUCAAUCAUGUUGAUCGAGUCAUCGAACAUAAAGCGAGACAACUGGGACAAGGUGGGGGUCACUGAUGGAUCUCUAACCAACCUAUACUAAGCAGUUUAGGAUAAGCAGGUAAGGUAUGAUAGCAGGUAACAAAACAAGUUAUGCAUCAGAGUAGGACCACACAUAGAGUAGUAGCAGUUCUAAUGCAAGCAUGAGAGGGAAAGAAAUGGGCGAUCUCGGAAUGCUCAAAGGGGGUUUGCUUGCCUGGUUGCUCAGACAAGAAGGAGGGGUCGUUGGUGACGUAGUCGAUCACAGCGGCAUCAUUGUUCUCGGGGUCUACCGGAGAGAAGAGGGGGAAGAAACAGUAAAUACAGAGCAAACAAGGGUACCACUAAGCAUUACAUGACGAUAGGCAGAGCUAGGGCUGACCUAACGUAGGGCUACAUGAUAUAGGUGAAGAGGGAAUUCAACUGGCAAUGUUUUCCCGGUUCCGGACCUGUGUUAGACAGAUGACCGGAGGGGGAAAGUUCCAUGUUCAGCAUGCUAGGGGCAUGUGAUGGACCGCGUAUUCGGAUUCAUCUCAUCUUUCUGAGCAACUUUCAUGUAUAAAUUUUUUUCAUCCGAGGUGCAGUUUAUUUUCUAUGAUUUUUCAAAGAUUAAAACAUUUUUGGAUUUAUUUAUAGUAACAGAAAUGGAAUAUUGCAUCAGCAUGACAUCAUAGUGACAUCAUCAGUCAACAGCCGCACUACCCAGGUCAAACCUGAUUAGUGGGGCCACCGGGACCCACAUGUCAGCCUCUGUGGGUUAACAGGGGAUUAAUUUGACUAACAGUAGUAGUUAGGGAUGUGGGCCCCAUUAGUCAGCGACUAAUUAGUGAUUAAACUAAUUAACAGAUUAAUUAGCAUUUUGUUUAUUUAUAAAACCUGUUUAAUUAGCACGGGGCCCACAUGUCAGUUGCACUGGGGGCAGCCACGUCAGUGUUGACCCAAGUCAACAGGACAAAGGGGGCCCCUGGGCCCACCAGUCAGUGGCCCAGGUGGUGCCACGUGGAUGCCACGUCGGACACCGGCUGUAGACGCGCCGGAGUUGACUCCGGCGAGCCAAACGCGGCGGCGCAGCUUGGGAGGGGCGCGUAUUUCGUGCACAGGGGGUCUGCGGGGUUGUGGCUGGGCGCGUUCGACGUGGCUCGGCAUCGCGCAUCAAAUGGUGGUGGCCGGAGUGGCUGGAAAGGACGGCGACGAGCGCUUCGAGCUCGCCGGCAAGGUGCUUCGGGCGAGCAACGACAUCGGUUGUACGACGCGAGUUCGGGCUAUCCAGAGAGCGGGGCGAGGUCUACGUGCACGAGCGAGCAAGAUGGGCGCGAGCAAAAGACCAAAAGGUCGCCGGAACGACGCCGGCGACGAGCUACGCGGAGGCCCAUCCGGUCGGAGCACGGGGUCGGCGCUACAAGGCUCGACAAAGCGUGGGGGAGGGGUGCAAUGGGCCCGCACGGACGUGCUGAGCACCAUCCCGAGCUCAUCUGAGCUCGACGGGCAGCAAUGACACGACUAUGAGCACGCCGGCGGAAGUAGAGGCACGGCAACGGCGGCGAACUAGCUAGGGACGAACGCGGCUGCGGGAAGAAGGAAUGGUGGGAGAGAGGAGCUCACCGAGCGGCCAAGAAAAGCCCUCGACGGUUUAGUAGCUGCCGGGUUCGUCGGAGAUGACGAGGAUCGUCGGUUACAGAGGCGGAAGGAGGCGGAGCAGAAAGCCCUCAGCGGAGCCUCCCAGCUCCUACUGAUGGUCGGAGACGAGGAGUGGAGAACGCCGGAGCUCGUGGAGGCGUUGGUGAAGCUCGGGGUCACCGGUCGCUGUGGCGGNNNNNNNNNNNNNNNNNNNNNNNNNNNNNNNNNNNNNNNNNNNNNNNNNNNNNNNNNNNNNNNNNNNNNNNNNNNNNNNNNNNNNNNNNNNNNNNNNNNNNNNNNNNNNNNNNNNNNNNNNNNNNNNNNNNNNNNNNNNNNNNNNNNNNNNNNNNNNNNNNNNNNNNNNNNNNNNNNNNNNNNNNNNNNNNNNNNNNNNNNNNNNNNNNNNNNNNNNNNNNNNNNNNNNNNNNNNNNNNNNNNNNNNNNNNNNNNNNNNNNNNNNNNNNNNNNNNNNNNNNNNNNNNNNNNNNNNNNNNNNNNNNNNNNNNNNNNNNNNNNNNNNNNNNNNNNNNNNNNNNNNNNNNNNNNNNNNNNNNNNNNNNNNNNNNNNNNNNNNNNNAGAGGGUCGAGGCGACGCGGAGGGAGGGGAUCCUUUUCCCCUCGUCGGCGAGGCGCGAGAUGGCGAGCGGGUUCGUCGGCGACCACGGGCGCGGGUCGGUCUAAUAGGAGAAGGGGGAAGGCGACCGGGGAAGGGGAAGUGGGCCGACUUGGGUGGACAUAGUGGGCCGGCCCAGGUGGGAUGGCCGAAACCCAAGGGGGCAGGGGCUCUACCACUCCUUCUUUCCUUUUUCCUUUCCUUUUCUUUGUUUUGAAUUUUAGCUACUGUUUUCUAUUAAUUUAUAAAACUAAUUGAGUUUUGUUUUGAACAAAACUUGGCACAUAAAACUAACACAAUACCUUGAGAUGGAACAAAAAGUUUGGGGUCAAAAGGAGUUGUCUAAUCAAUUUUAGAAAUUGAAAAGGACAUCUUAAAUACUGCUGGACCAGAUAAUAAAAUCCUAGGGGCAAUUUGGGAAUUCCAAAAAUGUUGGUUCCAACAAGACAAUUACUCAGUGAUUAUUUGCCAAACUUUGAACAUUUUAGUUUUCAUGUUUGGCAAAUUUGAAUUUUUGACUCUGAAUUUGAGUUUGAACAUGAACAGCGAUUUGGAUCAAGUGAGGAUUAGCAACAGUAGUGUGAUGACAUGGCACCAUCAAUAGGGGAUUACUGUAGCAUGACACUGGGGGUGUUACAAAAUGUAACUACUCACAAAGCAUAUUCAUGUUCAUAAUCAGAGGGGAGCCAUGAAAUCUGUAGCGAUGGUGAGCCCAGAUUCCACAAAAUGGCCAGAAGCCAUGAAAUCUAAGAUGGGAUCCAUGUAUGAGAACAAAGUGUGGACUUUGGUUGACUUGUCCGUUGAUCGGCAAGCAAUUGAGAAUAAAUGGAUCUUCAAGAAGAAGACUGACGUUGACGGUAAUGUUACUGUCUACAAAGCUCGACUUGUUGCCAAAGGUUUUCGACAAGUUCAAGGGAUUGACUACGAUGAGACCUUCUCAUCCGUAGCGAUGCUUAAGUCUGUCCGAAUCAUGUUAGCAAUUGCCGCAUUUUAUGAUUAUGAAAUUUGCCAAAUGGAUGUCAAAAUUGCAUUCCUAAAUGGAUUUCUGGAAGAAGAGUUGUAUAUGAUGCAACCAGAAGGUUUUGUUGAUCCAAAGGGAGCUAACAAAGUGUACAAGCUCCAGCGAUCCAUUUAUGGACUGGUUUUGAUAGUGUGAUCAAAGCAUUUGGUUUGAUACAGACUUUUGGAGAAGCCUGUAUUUACAAGAAAGUGAGUGGGAGCUCUGUAGCAUUUCUGAUAUUAUAUGUGGAUGACAUAUUAUUGAUUGGAAAUAAUAUAGAAUUUCUGGAUAGCAUAAAGGGAUACUUGAAUAAGAGUUUUUCGAUGAAAGACCUCGGUGAAGCUGCUUACAUAUUGGGCAUUAAGAUCUAUAGAGAUAGAUCAAGACGCUUAAUUGGACUUUCACAAAGCACGUACCUUGACAAAGUUUUGAAAAAGUUCAAAAUGGAUGAAGCGAAGAAAGGGUUCUUGCCUGUGUUACAAGGUGUGAAGUUGAGUAAGACUCAAUGUCCGACCACUACAGAAGAUAGAGAGAAAAUGAAAGAUGUUCCCUAUGCUUCAGCCAUAGGCUCUAUCAUGUAUGCAAUGCUGUGUACCAGACCUGAUGUGUGCCUUGCUAUAAGUCUAGCAUGGAGGUACCAAAGUAAUCCAGGAGUGGAUCACUGGACAACAGUCAAGAACAUCCUGAAGUACCUGAAAAGAACUAAGGAUAUGUUUCUCGUAUAUGGAGGUGACAAAGAGCUCAUCGUAAACGGUUACAUUGAUGCAAGCUUUGACACUGAUCCGGACAAUUCUAAAUCGCAAACCAGAUACGUGUUUACAUUAAACGGUGGAGCUGUCAGUUGGUGCAGCUCUAAACAAAGCGUCGUGGCGGGAUCUACAUUUGAAGCGGAGUACAUAGCUUCUUCGAAAGUAGCAAAUGAAGGAGUCUGGAUGAAGGAGUUCAUAUCCGAUCUAGGUGUCAUACCUAGUGCAUCAGGUCCAAUGAAAAUCUUUUGUGACAAUACUGGUGCAAUUGCCUUGGCAAAGGAAUCCAGAUUUCACAAGAGAACCAAGCACAUCAAGAGACGCUUCAAUUCCAUUCGGGAUUUAGUGCAAGUGGGAGACAUAGAAAUUUGCAAGAUACAUACGGAUCUGAAUGUUGCACACCCGCUGACUAAGCCUCUUCCACGAGCAAAACAUGAUCGGCACCAAGGCUCCAUGGGUGUUAGAAUCAUUACUAUGUAACCUGGAUUAUUGACUCUAGUGCAAGUGAGAGACUGAAGGAAAUAUGCCCUAGAGGCAAUAAUAAAUUUAUUAUUUAUUUCCUUGUAUCAUGAUAAAUGUUUAUUAUUCAUGCUAGAAUUGUAUUAACCGGAAACAUAAUACCUGUGUGAAUACAUAGACGAACAGAGUGUCACUAGUAUGCCUCUACUUGACUAGCUCGUUAAUCAAAGAUGGUUAUGUUUCCUAACCAUAGACAUGAGUUGUUAUUUGGUUAACAGGAUCACAUCAUUAGGAGAAUGAUGUAAUUGACUUGAACCAUUCCUAUUGCUUUCUUCAUAACUUAUAUAUGUUCAUAUGACUAUGAGAUUAUGCAACUCCCGUUUACCGGAGGAACACUUUGUGUGCUACCAAACGUCACAACGUAACUGGGUGAUUAUAAAGGUGCUCUACAGGUGUCUCCAAAGGUAUUUUUUGGGUUGGCAUAUUUCGAGAUUAGGAUUUGUCACUCCGAUUGUCGGAGAGGUAUCUCUGGGCCCUCUCGGUAAUGCACAUCACUCAAGCUUUGCAAGCAUUGCAACUAAUAAGUUAGUUGCGGGAUGAUGUAUUACGGGACGAGUAAAGAGACUUGCCGGUAACGAGAUUGAACUAGGUAUUGAGAUACCGACGAUCAAAUCUCGAGCAAGUAACAUACCGAUGACAAAGGGAACAACGUAUAUUGUUAUGCGGUCUGACCGAUAAAGAUCUUCGUAGAAUAUGUAGGAGCCAAUACAAACAUCCAGGUUCCGCUAUUAGUUAUUGGCCGGAGACGUGUCUCGGUCAUGUCUACAUAGUUCUCGAACCCGUAGGGUCCGCACGCUUAAAGUUCGGUGACGAUCGUAAUUAGGGUUUUUGUGUUCUGAUGAACCGAAGUUUGUUCGGUGUCCCAGAUGUGAUCACAGACAUGACGAGGAGUCUCGAAAUGGUCGAGACAUAAAGAUUGAUAUAUUGGAAGCCUAUAUUUGGAUAUCGGAAACGUUCCGGGUGAAAUCGGGAUUUUACCGGAGUACCGGGGGGUUACCGGAAGCCCCCCGGGGGUUAUUGGGCCUACAUGGGCCCUAAGGGUGAAGAUGAGGGCCGACCAGGGCAGGCCGCGCGCCCCCUCCCUCCUAGUCCGAAUAGGACAAGGAAGCGGGGCGGCGCCCCCCUUUCCUCUUUCUCCCUUCCCCCUUCCUUUUCCAACAAGGCAAGAGGGGGGAGUCCUACUCCCGGUGGGAGUAGGACUCCUCCAGGCGCACCCCUUGGGCCGGCCGCACCUCCCCCUCUCCCUCCUUUAUAUACGAGGGCAAGGGGGCACCCCAUGACAGACAAGUUGAUCUGCAUGAUCGUUCCUUAGCCGUGUGCGGUGCCCCCUUCCACCUAUUCCACCUUGGUCAUAUCAUAGCGGUGCUUAGGCGAAGCCCUACAUCGGUAUAACAUCAUCACCGUCAUCACGCUGUCGUGCUGACGAAACUCUCCCUCAACACUUUGCUGGAUCGGAGCUCGAGGGACGUCACCGAGUUCAAUGUGUGCCGUACGUUCGGUACUUGGAUCGGUCGGAUCGGGAAGACGUACGACUACUUCCUCUAUGUUGUGUCAACGCUUCCGUUGCUAGUCUACGAGGGUACGUAGACAAACACUCUCCUCUCUCGUUACUAUGCAUCACCAUGAUAUUGCGUGUGCGUAGGAUUUUUUUUGAAAUUAUUACGUUCCCCAACAGUGGCAUCCGAGCGUAGGUUUUAUGCGUUGAUGUUGUGCAUGAGUAGAACACAAGUGAGUUAUGGGUGAUAUAAGUCAUACUGCUUACCAGCAUGUCAUACUUUGGUUCGGCGGUAUUGUUGGAUGAAGCGGCCCAGACCGACAUUACGCGUACGCUUACGCGAGACUGGUUCUACCGACGUGCUUUGCACACAGGUGGCUGGCGGGUGUCAGUUUCUCCAAGUUUAGUUGAACCAAGUGUGGCUACGCCCGGUCCUUGCGAAGGUUAAAACAUCACCAACUUGACAAACUAUCAUUGUGGUUUUGAUGCAUAGGUAAGAACCGUUCUUGCUAAGCCCGUAGCAGCCACGUAAAACUUGCAACAACAAAGUAGAGGACAUCUAACUUGUUUUUGCAGGGCAUGUUGUGAUGUGAUAUGGUCAAGACAUGAUGCUAAAUUUUAUUGUAUGAGAUGAUCAUGUUUUGUAACCGAGUUAUCGGCAACUGGCAGGAGCCAUAUGGUUGUCGCUUUAUUGUAUGCAAUACGAUCGCACAGUAAUGCUUUACUUUAUCACUAAGAGGUAGCGAUAGUCGUGGAAGCAUAAGAUUGGCGAGACGAAAACAAUGCUACGAUGGAGAUCAAGGUGUCGCGCCGGUGACGAUGGUGAUCAUGACAGUACUUCGGAGAUGGAGAGCACAAGUACAAGAUGAUGAUGGCCAUAUCAUAUCACUUAUAUUGAUUGCAUGUGAUGUUUCUCUUUUAUGCAUCUUAUCUUGCUUUGAUUGACGGUAGCAUUAUAAGAUGAUCCCUCAUUAAAUUAUCAAAGUAUAAGUGUUCUCCCCGAGUAUGCACCAUUGCGAAAGUUCUUCGUGCUGAGACACCACGUGAUGAUCGGGUGUGAUAGGCUCUACGUUCAUAUACAACGGGUGCAAAACAGUUGCACAUGCGGAAUACUCAGGUUAAACUUGACGAGCCUAGCAUAUAACAGAUAUGGCCUUGGAACAUGUAGACCGAAAGGUCGAGCGUGAAUCAUAUAGUAGAUAUGAUCAACAUAUUGAUGUUCACCAUUAAUACUACUCCGUCUCAUGUGAUGAUCGGACAUGGUUUAGUUGAUUUGGAUCACAUGAUCACUUAGAGGAUUGGAGGGAUGUCUUUCUAAGUGGGAGUUCUUAAGUAAUAUGAUUAAUUGAACUUAAAAUUAUCAUGAACUUAGUACCUGAUAGUAUCUUUCUUGUCUAUGUUUGAUUGUAGAUAUAUGGCUCGUGCUGUUGUUCCGUUGAAUUUUAAUGCGUUCCUUGAGAAAGCAAAGUUGAAAGAUGAUGGUAGAAAUUACAGGGACUAGGUCCGUAACUUGAGGAUUAUCCUCAUUGCUGCAUAGAAGAAUUACGUCCUGGAAGCACCGCUAAGUGCCAAGCCUGCUGCAGGAGCAACACCAGAUGUUAUGAACGUCUGGCAGAGCAAAGCUGAUGACUACAUGAUAGUUCAGUGUGCCAUGCUUUACGGCUUAGAACCGGGUCUUCAACGACGUUUUGAACGUCAUGGAGCAUAUGAGAUGUUCCAGGAGUUGAAGUUAAUAUUUCAAGCAAAUGCCCGGAUUGAGAGAUAUGAAGUCUCCAAUAAGUUCUAUAGCUGCAAGAUGGAGGAGAAUAGUUCUCUCAGUGAACAUAUACUCAAAAUGUUUGGGUAUCAUAAUCACUUGACUCAACUGGGGGUUAAUCUUCCUAUUGAUAGUGUCAUUGACAGAGUUCUUCAAUCACUGCUACCAAGCUACAAAAUCUUCGUGAUGAACUAUAAUAUGCAAGGGAUGAAUAAGACUAUUCCUGAGCUCUUCGCGAUGCUAAAAGCCGCGGAGGUAGAAAUCAAGAAGGAGCAUCAAGUGUUGAUGGUCAAUAAGACCACCAGUUUCAAGAAAAAGGACAAAGGGAAGAAGAAAGGGAACUUCAAGAAGAACAACAAACAAGUUGCUGCUCAGGAGAAGAAACCCAAGUCUGGACCUAAGCCUGAGACUGAGUGCUUCUACUGCAAGCAGACUGGUCACUAGAAGGGGAACUGCCCCAAGUAUUUGGCAGAUAAGAAGGAUGGCAAAGUGAACAAAGGUAUAUGUGAUAUACAUGUUAUUGAUGUGUACCUUACUAAUGCUUGUAGUAGCACCUGGGUAUUUGAUACUGGUUCUGUUGCUAACAUUUGCAACUCGAAAUAGGGGCUACGAAUUAAGCGAAGAUUGGCUAAGGACGAGGUGACGAUGCGCGUGGGAAAUGGUUCCAAUGUUGAUGUGAUCGUGGUCGGCAUGCUACCUCUACAUCUACCUUCGGGAUUAGUAUUAGACCUAAAUAAUUGUUAUUUGGUGCCAGCAUUGAGCAUGAACAUUACAUCUGGAUCUUGUUUGAUGCAAGACGGUUAUUCAUUUAAAUCAGAGAAUAAUGGUUGUUCUAUUUAUAUGAGUAAUAUCUUUUAUGGUCAUGCACCCUUGAAGAGUGGUCUAUUUUUGAUGAAUCUUGAUAGUAGUGAUACACAUAUUCAUAAUGUUGAAAUCAAAAGAUGCAGAGUUGAUAAUGAUAGUGCAACUUAUUUGUGGCACUGACGUUUAGGUCAUAUCGGUGUAAAGCGCAUGAAGAAACUCCAUACUGAUGGACUUUUGGAACCACUUUAUUAUGAAUCACUUGGUACUUUCGAAUCGUGCCUCAUGGGUAAGAUGACUAAAACGCCAUUCUCCAGUACUAUGGAGAGAGCAACGGAUUUGUUGGAAAUCAUACAUACAGAUGUAUGUGGUCCAAUGAAUGUUGAGGCUCGUGGUGGAUAUCGUUAUUUUCUCACCUUCACACAUGAUUUAAGUAGAUAUGGGUAUAUCUACUUAAUGAAACAUAAGUAUGAAACAUUUGAAAAUUUCAAAGAAUUUCAGAGUGAAGUUGAAAAUCAUCGUAACAAGAAAAUAAAGUUUCUACGAUCUGAUCGUGGAGGAGAAUAUUUGAGUUACGAGUUUGGUCUACAUUUGAAACAAUGCGGAAUAGUUUCACAACUCACGCCACCCGGAACACCACAGCGUAAUGGUGUGUCCGAACGUCGUAAUCGUACUUUAUUAGAUAUGGUGCGAUCUAUGAUGUCUCUUACUGAUUUACCGCUAUCGUUUUGGGGUUAUGCUUUAGAGACGGCUGCAUUCAUGUUAAAUAGGACACCAUCGAAAUCCAUUGAGACGACGCCUUAUGAACUGUGGUUUGGCAAGAAACCAAAGUUGUCGUUUCUAAAAGUUUGGGGCUGCGAUGCUUAUGUGAAAAAGCUUCAACCUGAUAAGCUCGAACCCAAAUCGGAGAAAUGUGUCUUCAUAGGAUACCCAAAGGAGAUUGUUGGGUACACCUUCUAUCACAGAUCCGAAGGCAAGACUUUUGUUGCUAAAUUCAUAGUUUUUCUAGAGAAGGAGUUUCUCUCGAAAGAAGUGAUGGGAGAAAAGUAGAACUUGAUGAGGUAACUGUACCUUCUCCCUUAUUGGAAAGUAGUACAUCACAGAAACCGGUUUCUGUGACACCUAUACCAAUUAGUUUGGAAGCUAAUGAUAAUGAUCAUGAAACUUCAGAUCAAGUUACUACCGAACCUCGUAGAUCAACCAGAGUAAGAUCCGCACCAGAGUGGUAUGGUAAUCCUGUUCUGGAAGUCAUGCUACUAGAUCAUGAUGAACCUACGAACUAUGAAGAAGCGAUGGUGAGCCCCGAUUCCACAAAAUGGCUAGAAGCCAUGAAAUCUGAGAUGGGAUCCAUGUAUGAGAACAAAGUGUGGACUUUGGUUGACUUGCCCGUUGAUCGGCAAGCAAUUGAGAAUAAAUGGAUCUUCAAGAAGAAGACUGACACUGACGGUAAUGUUACUGUCUACAAAGCUCGACUUGUUGCGAAAGGUUUUCAACAAGUUCAAGGGAUUGACUAUGAUGAGACCUUCUCACCCGUAGCGAUGCUUAAGUCUGUCCGAAUCAUGUUAGCAAUUGCCACAUUUUAUGAUUAUGAAAUUUGGCAAAUGUAUGUAAAAACUGCAUUCCUGAAUGGAUUUCUGGAAAAAGAGUUGUAUAGGAUGCAACCAGAAGGUUUUGUCGAUCCAAAGGGAGCUAACAAAGUGUGCAAGCUCUAGCGAUCCAUUUAUGGACUGGUGCAAGCCUCUCGGAGUUGGAAUAAACGCUUUGAUAGUGUGAUCAAAGCAUUUGGUUUUAUACAGAUUUUUGGAGAAGCCUAUAUUUACAAGAAAGUGAGUGGGAGCUCUGUAGCAUUUCUGAUAUUAUAUGUGGAUGACAUAUUAUUGAUUGGAAAUAAUAUAGAAUUUCUGGAUAGCAUAAAGGGAUACUUGAAUAAGAGUUUUUCAAUGAAAGACCUCAGUGAAGUUGCUUACAUAUUGGGCAUUAAGAUCUAUAGAGAUAGAUCAAGACGCUUAAUUGGACUUUCACAAAGCACGUACCUUGACAAAGUUUUGAAGAAGUUCAAAAUGGAUGAAGCAAAGAAAGGGUUCUUGCCUGUGUUACAAGGUGUGAAGUUGAGUAAAACUCAAUGUCCGACCACUGCAGAAGAUAGAGAGAAAAUGAAAGAUGUUCCCUAUGCUUUAGCCAUAGGCUCUAUCAUGUAUGCAAUGUUGUGUACCAGACCUGAUGUGUGCCUUGCUAUAAGUCUAGCAUGGAGGUACCAAAGUAAUCCAGGAGUGGAUCACUGGACAACGGUCAAGAACAUCCUGAAGUACCUGAAAAGAACUAAGGAUAUGUUUCUCGUAUAUGGAGGUGACAAAGAGCUUUGACACUGAUCCGGAUGAUUCUAAAUCGCAAACCAGAUACGUGUUUACAUUAAACAGUGGAGCUGUCAGUUGGUGUAGUUCUAAACAAAGCGUUGUGGCGGGAUCUACAUGUGAAGUGGAGUACAUAGCUGCUUUGGAAGCAGCAAAUGAAGGAGUCUGGAUGAAGGAGUUCAUAUCCGAUCUAGGUGUCAUACCUAGUGCAUCGGGUCUAAUGAAAAUCUUUUGUGACAAUACUUGUGCAAUUGCCUUGGCAAAGGAAUCCAGAUUUCACAAGAGAACCAAGCACAUCAAGAGACGCUUCAAUUCCAUUCGGUAUUUAGUCCAAGUGGGAGACAUAGAAAUUUGCAAGAUACAUACGGAUCUGAAUGUUGCAGACCCACUGACUAAGCCUCUUCCACGAGCAAAACAUGAUCAGCACCAAGGCUCCAUGGGUGUUAGAAUCAUUACUGUGUAAUCUAGAUUAUUGACUCUUGUGCAAGUGGGAGACCGAAGGAAAUAUGCCCUAGAGGCAAUAAUAAAGUUAUUAUUUAUUUUCCUUGUAUCAUGAUAAAUGUUUAUUAUUCAUGCUAGAAUUGUAUUAACCGGAAACAUAAUACAUGUGUGAAUACAUAGACAAACAGAGUGUCACUAGUAUGCCUCUACUUGACUAGCUCGUUGAUCAAAGAUGGUUAUGUUUCCUAACCAUAGACAUGAGUUGUUAUUUGGUUAAUGGGAUCACAUCAUUAGGAGAAUGAUGUGAUCGACUUGACCCAUUCCAUUUAGCUUAGCACUUGAUUGUUUCGUUUGUUGCUAUUCCUUUCUUCAUAAAUUAUAUAUGUUCCUAUGAAAUGAGAUUAUGCAACUCCCGUUUACUGGAGGAACACUUUGUGUGCUACCAAACGUCACAACGUAACUGGGUGAUUAUAAAGGUGUUCUAUAGGUGUCUCCGAAGGUAUUUGUUGGGUUGGCGUAUUUCGAGAAUAGGACUUGUCACUCCGAUUGUCGAAGAGGUAUCUCUGGGCCCUCUUGGUAAUGCACAUCACUCAAGCCUCGCAAGCAUUGCAACUAAUAAGUUAGUUGCGGGAUGAUGUAUUACGGAACGAGUAAAGAGACUUGCCGAUAAGGAGAUUGAACUAGGUAUUGAGAUACCGACGAUCAAAUCUCGGGCAAGUAACAUACCGAUGACAAAGGGAACAACAUAUAUUGUUAUGCGGUCUGACCGAUAAAGAUCUUCAUAGAAUAUGUAGGAGACAAUAUGAGCAUCAAGGUUCUGCUAUUGGUUAUUGACCGGAGACGUGUCUCGGUCAUGUCUACAUAGUUCUCGAACCCAUAGGGUCCGCACGCUUAAAGUUCGGUGAUGAUCGUAAUUAGGGUUUUUAUGUUUUGAUGAACCGAAGGUUGUUCGGUGUCCCGGAUGUGAUCACGGACAUGAUGAGGAGUCUCAAAAUGGUUGAGACAUAAAGAUUGAUAUAUUGGAAGCCUAUAUUUGGAUAUGGGAAACAUUUCGGGUGAAAUCGGGAUUUUACCGGAGUACUGGGGGGUUACCGGAACCCCCUGGGGGUUAUUGGGCCUACAUGGGCCCUAAGGGAGAAGAGGAGGGCCGGCCAGGGCAGGCCACGCGCCCUCCCCCCUAGUCCGAAUAGGACAAGGAAGGGGGGCGCCCCCCUUUCCUCUUUCUCCCUUCCUCCUUCCUUUUCCAACAAGGCAAGAGGGGGGACUCCUACUCCCGGUGGGAGUAGGACUCCUCCAGGCGCACCCCUUGGGCUGGCCGCACCUCCCCCUCUCCCUCCUUUAUAUACGGGGGCAAGGGGGCACCCCAUGAAACACAAGUUGGUCUUCGUGAUCGUUCCUUAGCCGUGUGCGGUGCCCCCUUCCACCAUAUUCCACCUCGGUCAUAUUGUAGCGGUGCUUAGGCGAAGCCCUGCGUCGGUAGAACAUCAUCACUGUCAUCACGCCAUCGUGCUGGCGAAAAUCUCUCUCAACACUUUGUUGGAUCGGAGCUCGAGGGACAUCACCGAGUUGAAUGUGUGCAGAACUCGGAAGUGCCAUACGUUCGAUACUUGGAUCGGUCGGAUCGGGAAGACGUACGACUACUUCCUCUACGUUGUGUCAACGCUUCCGUUGCCGAUCUACGAGGGUACAUAGACAAACACUCUCCUCUCGUUUCUAUGCAUCACCAUGAUCUUGCGUGUGCGUAGGAAUUUUUUUGAAAUUACUACGUUCCCCAACAAGUUUCCCCGGCAGAACAGCUCCGCCAGAGCCCUAGAUUGGUUCCGCCAAGGUUCCACCUCGUGGCGGUGGAGUCUCAUCCGGAAAGAUGGCUUAUCAUUUUUUUCUCAUCGAAAGACUUCAUAUAGCAGAAGAUGGCCAUCGGAGGGCCACCGAGGGGCCCACGAGGUAGGGGGCGUGCCCAGGGGGUAGGGCGCGCCCCCACCCUUGUGGGCAGGGUGUGCCCCCUGGUGAACUUCUUGCGCUCAGUAUUUUUUGUAUAUUCUGAAAAUGACUUCCGUGAAGUUUCAGGACUCUUGGAGCUGUGCAGAAUAGGUCUCUAAUAUUUGCUCCUUUUCCAGCCCAGAAUCCCAGCUGCCGACAUUCUCCCUCUUUAUGUAAACCUUGUAAAAUAAGAGAGAAUAGGCAUAAGUAUUGUGACAUAAUGUGUAAUAACAGCCCCUAAUGCAAUAAAUAUCGAUAUAAAAGCAUGAUGCAAAAUGGACGUAUCAACUCCCCAAAGCUUAGACCACGCUUGUCCUCAAGCGAAAGCCGAAAUCAAAAAAAAUGUCCACAUGUUUAGAGAUAGAGGUGUCAAUAAAAAUAAAAUACGGACAUGAGGGCAUCAUGAUCAUUCGUAGAACAACAACUUAUAUAAUUCUUGUCAUAUCAUCUCUUAUGCUGGAUUAACAAUUAAAUCACAAUUUCAAGUAUGAAUCAUAAACUUCAUUGGUAACUAACAAACUAUAAUCUCAGUCAUUGGAGCAAUUGCAAUUUAUCAUAACAUAGGAAAGAGUCAAUAUAAGAGCUUUUCAGCAAGUCCAUAUACUCAACUAUCAUAUAGUCUUUCACAAUUUCUGACACUCACGCAAUACUUAUGGGUAUGGAGUUUUAAUCGGACACAGAGAAAGAUAGGGGCUUAUAGUUUUGCCUCCCAAUGUUUUACCUCAAGGGUAAUGUCAACAAUAAUAGUUCAUGAAAACUCACAUCCAAUUAGCCAUAUAUACCAGGAUCUUUCCAACAUGUUGUGCUUGCCAAAAGAUAAAAUGUAAAAAGGAAAGGUGAAGAUCACCAUGACUCUUAUGCAAGGUAGGAGAUAAAAGUAAAAGAUAGGCCCUUCGCAGAGGGAAGCAGAGGUUGUCAUGCGCUUUUAUGGUUGGAUGCACAAAAUCUUAAUGCGAAAGAAGGUCACUUUAUAUUGCCACUUAUGAUAUGGACCUUUAUUAUGCAGUCUGUCGCUUUUAUUUUUUCCAUAACACACGAUCGUAUAAAGCUUAUUUUCUCCCACACUAAUAAGUCAUACAUAUUUAGAGGGCAAUUUUUAUUGCUUGCACCGAUGACAACUUACUUGGAGGAUCUUACUCAAUCCAUUGGUAGGUAUGGUGGACUCUCAUGACAAAACUAUUUUAAGAGUGUUUCGAAGCACAAGUAGUAUCUAUACUUAGUGCAAAGAAUUUGGCUAGCAUGAGGGGGAAAGGCAAGCUCAGCAUGUUGGAUGAUCCAUGACAAUAUAAUUUCUCUCAGAUGUAAGAAAACAUAACCCAUUACGUUGUCUUCCCUGUCCAACGUCAACCCUUUAGCAUGUCCUAUUUUAAUGAGUGCUCACAAUCAUAAAAGAUGUCCAAGAUAGUAUAUUUAUAUGUGAAGACCUCUCUUUAUUUAUUACUUCCUAUUAAUUGCAACGAUGACCAAAACUAUGUUUGCCAACUCCCAACAACUUUUAUUCAUCAUACUUUUAUAUGUGAGCUCAUUACUCUCCAGAAGAUCCAUAUGAUAUCUUUUAUUCUUUUUAUUCUUUCUAUUUUCUUUUAUUCACUCAAGAUCAUGGCAAAAUAAUCAAGCCCUUGACUCAACACUAAUCUUUAUUAUAUAUAGCUCACGGACUCGAUCACAUAGAAGGAUCAUAAGGCAAAACUCACAACUAGAUCAUACUAAGAACUUUUAUUCUACUAGAUCAAAAUAUUAUCAUAAGGAUCGAACUAAGAAAAGCAGUAAAGAUAAAAGUGAUGGUGAUACGAUACCAGGGCACUCCCCCAAGCUUGGCAGUUGCCAAGGGGAGUGCCCAUACCCAUGUGAUUAUGUCCCUUUUGUUGGUGAAGAAGUUGAUGGUUUUGUUGAUGGCGUAGGCUUGUCGUCCUUCUUCCAAGGCAUAGGCUCACCAUCAUAGAAGGAUGAUCGAGUCUCCUGAAACCUCAAAUCUGCAGCCAAACUCAUCCUCUUGAAUCUAUAUUCAUACUCACAGUUUUGAUUUUGCAGGUCAUAGAUCUAGGCUUGGAGGUGCUCGAUUUUCUCAUGAAGCUUGAAGAUGGCCUCCCCAAUGUCCUUGACGUCCAGCUUGUGGUUGUUGGUGAACUCCGUGAUCAUAAUGUGAUUGGAAUCGAGUCCACGCUCCACCAUCUCCGGAUACUUGAAAACUUCUUGCUCCAAUGCCUCGAGCCUUGCCUCCGUGCUUCCAGUCUUCCUUGGUCCCUGAACAUCGCGGAUGUGCAACAACCCCUCCCGCAUCUCAAUGGUUUGAGGGUGUUGCAGCACCUCCGCGAGGUAGGGGAUGAUGACCUUCUCAAAGAAAUGGUCCUUGGGGGCACUUGAAGACGACAUGACGACCUGGAUCUGUCAGAAAAACAGCUCGAACAAAGACAGGAGAUUUUUGCGUGAUACGGGAGUCAAAACCUCCGGGAGAUUAUAUAGUGAUUUUUUACCGACAAAAAUAUGUGUCGUGUAUGAAAACGGAGUCCGGAAAGCACACGAGGUGCCCAUGAGGUAGGGGGGCACGCCCUCCACCCUCGUGUCCUUCCUGUACUGCUUCUUAUUUUUCUAUUUUUCUAAAUAUUCCAAAACAGAAGAAAAUUGCCAUUAGAACUGUUUUGGAGUCGGUUUACUUACCGUACCACAUACCUAUUCCUUUUCGGAGUCUGAAACAUUCCGGAAAGUGUCCCUUAUGUAUUCCUCCGGGGUUACAGUUUCAAUAACAUUGGUUUCAACAUUUAUAGGAUUACCUGAGAUAUAAUGUUCAAUUCUUUGACCAUUCACCACCUUCGGAUUUGUGCCUUCGAAGUUGUUGAUUUUUAUGGCACCGGAAUGAUAGACCUCCUCGAUAACGUAAGGACCUUCCCAUUUAGAGAGAAGUUUUCCUGCAAAAAAUCUUAAACCAGAGUUGUAUACCAAUACAUAAUUACCUACAUUAAACUCACGCUUUUGUAUUAUUUUGUCAUGCCAUCUUCUAACUUUUUCUUUAAAUAAUUUGGCAUUCUCAUAGGCUUGGGUUCUCCAUUCAUCAAGUGAGCUAAUGUCAAAUAACCUCUUCUCACUGGCAAGUUUGAAAUCAUAAUUGAGCUCUUUAAUAGCCCAAUAAGCCUUAUGUUCUAGUUCGAGAGGUAAGUGACAUGCUUUUCGAUAAACCAUUUUAUACAAAGACAUACCCAUAGGAUUUUUAUAGGCAGUUCUAUAGGCUCAUAAUGCAUCAUCAAGUUUCUUGGACCAAUUUUUUCUAGAUCUAUUAAUAGUGUUUUGCAAAAUUAAUUUGAGUUCUCUAUUGCUCAAUUCUACUUGACCACUAGACUAUGGGUGAUAAGGAUAUGCAAUUCUAUGAUUAACAUCAUAUUUAGCAAGCAUUUUACGGAAAGCACCAUGAAUAAAAUGUGAACCACCAUCAGUCAUUAAAUAUCUAGGGACUCCAAACCUUGGAAAAAUAACUUCUUUAAGCAUCUUAAUAGAAGUGUCAUGAUCAGCACUACUAGUUGGAAUAGCUUCUACCCACUUAGUAACGUAAUCAACAUCAACUAAAAUAUCUGUGUAUCCAUUGGAGGCAGGAAAAUGUCCCAUAUAAUCAAAACCCCAAACAUCAAAUGGUUCAAUAACAAGUGAAUAAUUCAUAGGCAUUUCUUGACGUCUACUAAUAUUACCAAUUCUUUGACAUUCAUCACAAGACAAUACAAACUUACGGGCAUCCUUGAAGAGAGUAGGCCAAUAAAACCGGAUUGCAAUACCUUGUGCGCAGCACUAUCUCCAGCAUGGUGUCCUCCAUAAGCCUCGGAGUGACACUUGCAUAGGAUCUGUUCCUGUUCAUGCUCAGGUACACAACGUGUAAUGACACCAUCUACUCCUUCUUUAUAAAGAUGUGGGUCAUCCCAAAAGUAAUGUCUCAAAUCAUAGAAGAACGUUUUCUUUUGCUGGUAUGUGAAACUAGGUGGUAUAAAUUUAGCAACAAUGUAGUUAGCAUAAUCAGCAUACCAUAGAGCAGUAUGAGAAGCAUUUAUGACAUUUAAUUGUUCAUCAGGAAAGCUAUCAUCAAUAGGUAGUGGGUCAUCAAGAACAUUUUCUAACCUAGACAAGUUGUCUGCAAUAGGGUUCUCAGCUCCUUUUCUAUCAACAAUAUGCAAAUCAAAUUCUUGUAGCAAGAGAACCCAUCUAAUAAGUCUAGGUUUAGCAUCUUUCUUUUCCAUAAGAUAUUUAAUAGCAGCAUGAUCAGUGUGAAUAGUUACUCUAGAAUCAACAAUAUAAGGUCUGAACUUAUCACAAGCAAAUACAACUGCUAAGAAUUCUUUUUCAGUAGUAGCAUAAUUUCUCUGAGCAUUGUCUAGUUUUACUAGCAUAUUGAAUAACAUUUAAUUUCUUAUCAACUCUCUACCCUAGAACAACACCUACAGUAUAAUCACUAGCAUCACACAUAAUUUCAAAAGGUAAAUACCAAUCAGGUGGUUGAACAAUAGGUGCAGAGAUCAAUGCUUUCUUAAGUAUUUCAAAUGCUUCUACACAAUCAUCAUCGAAAACAAAUGGUAUAUCUUUUUGCAAUAAAUUAGUCAGAGGCCGAGAAGUUUUUGAGAAGUCCUUAAUGAACCUCCUAUAAGAACCGGAAUGACCAAGGAAACUUCUUAUACCUUUGAUGUCCUUGGGGCAUGGCACAACAUCAACUUUGGCUUUAUCAACCUCAAUACCUCUUUCAGAAACUUUAUGCCCCAAGACAAUACCUUCGUUAACCAUAAAGUGACACUUUUCCCAAAUCUAGACAAGAUUAGUUUCUUCACAUCUCUGCAAAACUCGUUCAAGGUUGCUUAAGCGAUCAUCAAAAGAGGAUCCAUAGACGGAAAAAUCGUCCAUGAAAACCUCACAUAUCUUUUCACAAAAGUCAGAGAAUAUAGCCAUCAUGCAUCUUUGAAAGGUAGCAGGUGCAUUACAUAAACCAAAAGGCAUACGUCUAUAAGCAAAAGUACCAAAAGGGCAAGUAAAAGUAGUCUUUGAUUGAUCAUUGGCUGACACAGGUAUUUGAGAGAAACCAGAAUAACCAUCUAGAAAGCAAAAAUGUGUAUAUUUGGAUAAUCUUUCUAGCAUUUGAUCGAUAAAAGUUAAGGGGGUAAUGAUCUUUUUUAGUAGCUUUAUUUAAUUUGCGGAAAUAAAUUACCAUCCUAUAACCUGUAAUAAUUCUUUGCGGGAUCAACUCAUCUUUAUCAUUAGGAACGACAGUAAUACCUCCCUUCUUAGGGACACAAUGGACAAGACUUACCCAUUGACUAUCAGCAACGAGAUAAAUUAUACCUGCCUCAAGAAGCUUUAAUAUUUCCUUUCUUACCACUUCCUUCAUUUUAGGGUUUAGCCGUCGUUGAUGAUCACGAACUGGUUUGGCAUCUUCCACCAAAUUUAUUUUGUGUUGACACAGUGUGGGACUAAUGCCCUUAAGAUCAUCAAGAGUAUAUCCAAUAGCAGCACGGUGCUUCUUCAGAGUUUUCAAUAAUCUCUCUUCUUCAUGCUCUAAAAGGUUAGCACUAAUAAUAACAUGAUAUAUCUUUUUCUCAUCAAGAUAGGCAUAUUUAAGAGUAUCAGGUAACGGUUUGAGCUGAAACACGGGAUCACCCUUGGGUGGAGGAGGAUCCCCUAGGAUUUCAACAGGCAAAUUGUGUUUCAGGAUGGGUUCCUGUUUAAAGAAUACUUCCUCUAUUUCCCUUCUUUCAUUCAUAAACAUAUCAUUUUCUUGGUCUAGCAAAUAUUGUUCUAAAGGAUCACUAGGAGGCACGGUAAUAGAAGCAAGACCAAUAAUUUCAUCCUUACUAGGCAAUUCCUCUUCACGGUGUUGUCUACAAAAUUUAGAGAAAUUAAAUUCAUGAGACAUAUCACCUAAACCAAUAGUAACAACAUCCAUUUUGCAAUCUAUCUUAGCGUUAACUGUGUUCAAGAAGGGUCUACCAAAUAUAAUGGGACAAAAGCUAUCUUGUGGGGAACCAAGAACAAGAAAAUUAGCGGGAUAUUUAGUUUUCCCACACAAGACUUCAACAUCUCUAACAAUUCCAAUUUGUGAAAUCAAUAUCUUCUAUCUCAGCAGGUGCAGUAUCAUGCAUAAUUUCUUUGUAUAAGUCAUGAGGUAUAGCACUAGCACUAGCACCCAUAUCACAUAAGCCAUGAUAACAAUGAUAUCCUAUUUUAACAGAAAUAAUAGGCAUGCCUACCAAAUAUCUAGGUUUAUCUUUAGCACAAGGUUUAGCAAUUCUAGCAGUCUCAUCACGGAAAUGAAUAACAUGCCCAUCAAUAUUAUCAGACAAGGGAUCUUUAACAAUAGCAAUAUUAGGUUCAACUUUAAUUUACUCAGGAGGUGUAUAGGUCCUUAUAUUGCUUUUACGAACCACAGUUGAAGCUCUAGCAUGAUCUUUUAUCCUAACAGGGAAAGGUGGUUUCUCGACAUAAGCAGUAGGAACAAUAGGAUCAUUAUAGGUGACAUUCUUUUCUUCAACUUUAAUAGGUGCAACUACUUUUACUUCUAUGGGAGGCUGAUAUUUAAACCACUUCUCCCUAGGGAGAUCAACAUGAGUAGCAAAAGAUUCACAGAAAGAAGCUACUAUCUUAGAGUCAAGUCCAUAUUUAGUGCUAAAUUUACGGAAAACAUCGGUAUCCAUAAAAGAUUUAACACAAUCAUACUUAGGUGUCAUACCCGACUCCUUACCUUUGUCGAGGUCCCUAUCUUCAGAGUUGCGUUUAAUUCUUUCCAAUAAAUCCCAUUUGAAUUCAAUAGUCUUCAUCAUAAAAGAGCCAACACAAGAAGUAUCGAGCAUGGUGCGAUUGCUAUCAGAAAUCCGAGCAUAUAAAUUUUGAAUAAUCAUUUCUCUUGAGAGCUCAUGAUUGGGGCAUGAAUACAACAUUGAUUUAAGCCUCCCCCAAGCUUGAGCAAUGAUUUCUCCUUCGCGAGGCCAAAAAUUAUAUAUAUAUAUAAUCGCGAUCACGAUGAACAAGAUGCAUAGGAUAAAACUUCUGAUGAAAUUCCAAUUUCAAUCGUUUGUAGUUCCAUGACCCCGUAUCAUCACAUAGCCUAUACCAUGUCAAUGCAUCUCCCUUCAAAGAUAAAGGGAAGACCUUAUUUUUAAUAACAUCUCUGGGCACACAUGCAAGCUUAAAUUAUCCACAAACUUCAUCCACAUAUAUUAGGUGCUCAUCAGGAUGCAUUGUUCCGUCUCCUGCAAAAGGAUUAGCUAACAGUUUUUCUAUCAUACCCGAAGGAAUUUCAAAGCCGACAUUUUCAUUUUAAGUAGGUUCAGUAGGUUGAGGAGCAACUCUUUGCUCUACUGGUCGGGGUGAAGAUACCCCGAACAAGCCCCUCAGAGGAUUACUUUCCAUAGUAACAAGUGACAGUAAAUUUCAGCACACUAUAUAAAUAUUUCCUUACCAAAUUCCACCUACCAAAGGCUCUUCACUCCCCGGCAACGGCGCCAGAAAAGAGUCUUGAUGACCCACAAGUAUAGGGGAUCUAUCGUAGUCCUUUCGAUAAGUAAGAGUGUCGAACCCAAUGAGGAGCAGAAGGAAAUGAUAAGCGGUUUUCAGCAAGGUAUUCUCUGCAAGCACUGAAAUAAUAGGUAACAGAUAGUUUUGUGAUAGGAUAAUUUGUAACGAGUAACAAGUAACAAAAGUAAAUAAAGUGCAUCAAGGUGUCCCAAUCCUUUUUGUAGCAAAGGACAAGCAUGGACAAACUCUUAUAUAGAGAAAAGCGCUCCCGAGGACACAUGGGAAUAUCGUCAAGCUAGUUUUCAUCAUGUUCAUAUGAUUCGCGUUCGGUACUUUGAUAAUUUGGUAUGUGGGUGGACCGGUGCUUGGGUACUGUCCUCACUUGGACAAGCAUCCCACUUAUGAUUAACCUCUAUUGCAAGCAUCCGCAACUACAACAAAAGUAUUAAGGUAAACCUAACCAUAGCAUGAAACAUAUGGAUCCAAAUCAGCCCCUUACGAAGCAACGCAUAGACUAGGGUUUAAGCUUCUGUCACUCUAGCAACCCAUCAUCUACUUAUUACUUCCCAAUGCCUUCCUCUAGGCCCAAACAAUGGUGAAGUGUCAUGUAGUUGGCGUUCACAUAACACCACUAGAGGAGAGACAACAUACAUCUCAUCAAAAUAUCGAACGAAUACCAAAUUCACAUGACUACUAAUAGCAAGACUUCUCCCAUGUCCUCAGGAACAAACGUAACUACUCACAAAGCAUAUUCAUGUUCAUAACCAGAGGGGUAUUAAUAUGCAUAUAGGAUCUGAACAUAUGAUCUUCCACCAAAUAAACCAACUAGCAUCAACUACAAGGAGUAAUUAACACUACUAGCAACCCACAGGUACCAAUCUCAGACUUGGAGACAAGAAUUGGAUACAAGAGAUGAACUGGGGUUUUGAUAGGAGAAGGUGUUGGUGAAGAUGCUGAUGGAGACUGCCCUCUCGCGGGGAGAGGAGCGUUGGUAAUGACGAUGGCGAUGAUUUCCCCUCCCGGAGGGAAGUUUCCCCGGCAGAACAGCUCCACCAGAGCCCUAGAUUGGUUCCACCAAGGUUCCACCUUGUGGCGGUGGAGUCUCGUUCGGAAAGAUGGCUUAUCAUUUUUUUUCUCAUCGAAAGACUUCAUAUAGCAUAAGAUGGCCAUCGGAGGGCCACCAGGGGGCCCACAAGGUAGGGGGCGCUCCCAGGGGGUAGGGCGUGCCCCCACCCUUGUGGGCAGGGUGUGCCCCCCUGGUGAACUUCUUGCACUCAGUAUUUUUAUAUAUUUUGAAAACGACUUCCGUGAAGUUUCAGGACUUUUGGAGUUGUGCAGAAUAGGUCUAUAAUAUUUGCUCCUUUUCCAGCCCGGAAUCCCAGCUGCCGACAUUCUCCCUCUUUAUGUAAACCUUGUAAAAUAAGAAAGAAUAGGCAUAAGUAUUGGGACAUAAUGUGUAAUAACAGCCCAUAAGGCAAUAAAUAUCGAUAUAAAAGCAUGAUGCAAAAUGGACGUAUCAAAUAACACCUUAAGACAUAUAUCAACCAAAACCCUAAUGUCACCUAGAUACUCCAAUGUCACAUCAAGUAUCCAUGGGUAUGAUUAUACGAUAUGCAUCACACAAUCUCAGAUUCAUCUAUUCAACAAACACAUAGAACUUCAAAGAGUGCCCCAAAGUUUCUACCAGAGAGUCAAGACGAAAACGUGUGCCAACCCCUAUGCAUAAGUUCAUGAGGUCACGGAACUCACAAGUUGAUCACCAAAACAUACAUCAUGUGGAUCACGUGAUAUCCCAUUGUCACCACAGAUAAGCACAUGCAAGAUAUACAUCAAGUGUUCCCAAAUCCUUAAAGACUCAAUCUGAUAAGAUAACUUCAAAGGGAAAACUCAAUUCAUCACAAGAGAGUAGAGGGGGAGAAACAUCAUAAGAUCCUACUAUAAUAGCAAAGCUCGCGAUACAUCAAGAUCGUGCCGACUCAAGAACACGAGAGAGAGAGAGAGAGAUCAAACAUAUAGCUACUGGUACAUACCCUCAACCCAAGGGUGAACUACUCCCUCCUCGUCAUGGAGAGCGUCGAGAUGAUGAAGAUGGCCACCGGAGAGGGAUUCCCCCCUCCGGCAGGGUGCCGGAAAAGGUCUAGAUUGGUUUUCGGUGGCUACGGAGGCUUCUGGCGGUGGGACUCCCUUCUAUUCUGUUCCCUGAUGUUUUUAGGGUAUAUGGACAUAUAUCAGGGGAGCCACGAGGGGCCCACAAGGGUGGGGGCGCGCCCAGGGGCAGGCGCGCUCCCUGCUUCGUGGCCACCUCGAAGCUUCCUUGACUUCAACUCCAAGCCUCCUAGAUCACGUUCGUUCCAAAAAUCACGCUCCCGAAGGUUUCAUUCCGUUUGGACCAAGUUUGAUAUUCCUUUUCUGCGAAACACUGAAACAAGGGAAAAACAGAAACUGGUACUGGGCUCUGGGUUAAUAGGUUAGUCCCCAAAAUAAUAUAAAAGUGUUUAAUAAAGCCCAUAAACAUCCAAAACAGAUAGUAUAAUAGCAUGGAACAAUCAAAACUUAUAGAUACAUUGGAGACAUAUCAGCAUCCCCAAGCUUAAUUCUUGCUCGUCCUCGAGUAGGUAAAUGAUAAAAACAGAAGUUUUGAUGUGGAAUGCUACCUAACAUAUUUAUCAAUGUAAUCUUCUUUAUUGUGGAAAGAAUAUUCAGAUCCAUAAAAUUCAAGACAAAAGUUUAAUAUUGACAUAAAAAUAAUAAUACUUCAAGCAUACUAACUAAGCAAUCAUGUCUCCUCAAAAUAACAUGGCCAAAGAAAGUUCAUCCCUUCAAAAUCAUAUAGUUUGGUCAUGCUCAAUUUUCGUCACACAAGAAUGCUCUCAUCAUGCACAACCCCGAUGACAAGCCAAGCAAUUGUUUCAUACUUUAGUAAUCUCAAACCUUUUUCAACUUUCACGCAAUACAUGUGCGUGAUCCAUGGAUAUAGCACUAUGGGUGGAAUAGAAUAUAAUGAGGGGGUUAUGCGGAGAAGACAAAAAGGAGAAAGUCUCACAUCGACGCGACUAAUCAAUGGGCUAGGGAGAUGCCCAUCAAUUGGUGUCAAUUCAAGGAGUAGGGAUUGCCAUGCAACGGAUGCACUAGAGCUAUAAAUGUAUGAAAUCUCAACAAAAUAAACUAAGUGGGUGUGCAUCCAACUUGCUUGCUCACGAAGACCUAGGGCACUUGAGGAGGUCCAUUGUUGGAAUAUACAAGCCAAGUUCUAUACUGAAAAAUUCCCACUAGUAAAUGAAAGUGACAAAACAAUAGACUCCCUACUCAUAAUACCUAGGGCACUCUCUAUCAUGAAGAUCAUGGUGCUACUUUGAAGCACAAGUGUGGAAAAAGGAUAGUAGCAUUGCCCUUUUUUCUUUUUUCUUUUUUUGGGCCUUCCUUUUUUUAUUUGGCCUUUAUCCCUUUUUAUUUUUUAUUAUUUGAGACAAUGCUCUAUUAAUGAUGAUCAUCACACUUCUAUUUAUUUACAACUCAAUGAUUACAACUCGAUACCAGAACAAGAUAUGACUCUAUAUGAAUGCCUCCGGCGGUGUACCUGGAUGGGCAAUGAAUCAAGAGUGACAUGUAUGAUAAAUUAUGCAUGGUGGCUUUGCCACAAAUACGAUGUCAAGUACAUGAUCAUGCAAGGCAAUAUGACAAUGAUGAAGUCUGUCAUAAUAAACGGAACGGUGGAAUGUUGCAUGCCUAUAUACCUUGGAAUGGCUAUGGAAAUGCCAUAAUAGGUAGGUAUGGUGGCUGUUUUGAGGAAGAUAUAAGGAGGUUUAUGUGUGAUAGAGCGUAUCAUAUCACGGGGUUUAGAUGCACCAGCGAAGUUUGCACCAACUCUCAAGGUGAGAAAGGGCAAUGCACGGUACCGAAGAGGCUAGCAAUGAUGGAAGGGUAAGAGUGCGUAUAAUCCAUGGACUCAACAUUAGUCAUAAAGAACUCACAUAAUUAUUGCAAAAAUCUAUUAUUCAUCGAAACAAAGUACUACGCGCAUGCUCCUAGGGGGAUAGAUUAGUAGGAAAAGAUCAUCGCUCGUCCCCGACCGCCACUCAUAAGAAAGACAAUCAAAUAACACCUCAUGUUUCAAAUUUGUUACACAAUGUUUACCAUACGUGCAUGCUAUGGCACUUGCAAACUUGAACACAAGUAUUUCUCAAAUUCACAACUACUCAACUAGCACAACUUUAAUAUCACUAUCUCCAUAUCUCAAAACAAUCAUCAAGUAUCAAACUUCUCAUAUUUUUCAAUGCACUUAUAUGAAAGUUUUUUUUAUUAUAUCAAAAGCAAAUUACCAUGCUGUUCUAAAGGACUCUCAAAAUAAUAUAAGUGAAGCAUGAGAGAUCAAUUAUUUCUAUAAUAUAAAACCACCACCGUUCUCUAAAAGGAUAUAAGUGAAGCACUAGAGCAACGACAAACUACUCCGAAAGAUAUAAGUGAAGAUCAAUGAGUAGUUGAAUAAUUAUGCAACUAUGUGAAGACUCUCUAACAUUUAAGAAUUUCAGAUCUUUGUAUUUUAUUUAAACAGCAAGAAAAACAAAAUAAAAUAAAAUGACGCUCCAAGCAAAACACAUAUCAUGUGGUGAAUAAAAUAUAUCUCCAAGUAAAGUUACCGAUGGAUGAAGACGAAAGAGGGGAUGCCAUCCGGGGCAUACCCAAGCUUAGGCUCUUGUUUGUCCUUGAAUGUUACCUUGGGGUGGCCUGGGCAUCCCCAAGCUUAGGCUCUUUCCACUCCUUGUUCCAUAGUCCAUUGAAUCUUUACCCAAAACUUGAAAACUUCACAACACAAAACUUAACAGAAAACUCGUAAGCUCCGUUAAUAUAAGAAAAUAAAUCACGACUUAGGUAUUGUUGUGAACUCAUUAUAAAUCCAUAUUGGUGUAAUAUCUACUGUAUUCCAACUUCUUUAUGGUUCAUACCCUCCGAUACUACUCAUAGAUUCAUCAAAAUAAGCAAUCAACACAUAGAAAACAGAAUCUAUCAAAAACAGAACAGUCUGUAGUAAUCUGUAGGUUUCGAAUACUUCUGGAACCCCAAAAAUUCUAAAAUAAAUUUCUGGACGUGAGGAAUUUAUCUAUUAUCAUAUUCAAAAAGAAUUAACUAGAUAGCACUCUCCAGUAAAAAGUUGUAGCUAAUCUCGUGAGCGCUAAAGUUUCUGUUUUUUACAGCAAGAUCAAAAAGACUUCACCCAAGUCUUCCCAAAGGUUCUACUUGGCACAAACACUAACUAAAACAUAAAACCACAUAUAAACAGAGGAUAUAUGAAUUAUUUAUUACUAAACAGGAACAAAAAGCAAGAAACGAAAAUAAAAUUGGGUUGACUCACAACAAGCGCUAACGUUUAACGCCCGAUUUCAAUGAUGCUCACAUAAAAGAUAUGAAUUGUAACAUAAAGAGAGCAUCACGAAGAAUAUGACUAGCACAUUUAAGUCUAACCCACUUCCUAUGCAUAAGGAUUUUGUGGGAAAACAAUUUAUUGGAACAAUAAUCAUCUAGCAUAGGAAGGAAAAACAAGCAUAACUUUAAAACUUUCAGCACAUAGAGAGGAAACUUGAUAUUAUUGCAACUCCUACAAGCAUAUGUUCCUCCCUCAUAAUAAAUUUCAGUAGCAUAAUGAAUGAAUUCAACAAUUCAACCAUCACAUAAAGCAUUAUUUUCAUGAUCUACAAGCAUAGAAAAUUUACUACUCUGCACAUAAGCAAGAUUCUUCUCAAUCGGAAUAGUGGGAGUAUCAUAAGAAACUCGAAUACUAUAAAUUGUUUCCACAUUAAAAGAGUAACAUUCAGAAAAAGGGUAAUCAUAAUCAUGAUAAGUUUUAUAAAUAUAAUCAUCACUACUUUUAAGCAUGAGUGUCAUCACAAUAAUCAUCAUAAGUAGGAACUUUGUUCUCAUCAUAAUCAAUUGAAACCUCUUCCAAGAUAGUGGAAUCAUUACUAAAUAAAGUCAUGACCUCUCCAAAUCCACUUUCAUAAUUAUCACAAUAAGAUUCAACAUCCUCCAAAAUAGUGGGAUCAUUACUCCCUAAAGUUGACAAUCUUCCAAACCCACUUUCAUCAAUAUAAUCAUCAUAAAUAGGAGGCAUGCUAUCAUCAAAAUAAAUUUGCUCAUCAAAACUUGGGGGACAAGAAAUAUCAUCUUCAUCAAACAUAGCAUCCCCAAGCUUGUGGCUUUGCAUAUCAUUAGAAUCAUAGAUAUUCAAGGAAUUCAUACUAACACCAUUGCAAUCAUGCUCAUCAUACAAAGAUUUAGUGCCAAACAUUCUAAUGCAUUCUUCUUAUGACAAUUUGGCACAAUUAUCGGAAUCCUUAUUUUCACGAAAGACAUUAAAAAGAUGAAGCAUAUGAGGUACCCUUAAUUCCAUUUUUUGUAGUUUUAUUUUAUAAACUAAACUAGUGAUAAAACAAGAAACAAAAAGAUUCGAUUGCAAGAUCUAAAGAUAUAACAUCAAGUGCUAACCUCCCCGGCAACGGCGCCAGAAAAGAGCUUGAUGUCUACUACACAACCUUCUUCUUGUAGACGUUGUUGGGCCUCCAAGUGCAGAGGUUUGUAGGACAGUAGAAAAUUUCCGUCAAGUGGAUGACCUAAGGUUUAUCAAUCCGUGGGAGGCGUAGGAUGAAGAUGGUCUCUCUCAAACAACCUUGCAACCAAAUAACAAAGAGUCUCUUGUGUCCCCAACACACCCAAUACAAUGGUAAAUUGUAUAGGUGCACUAGUUCGGCGAAGAGAUGGUGAUACAAGUGCAAUAUGGAUGAUAGAUAUGGGUAUUUGUAAUCUGAAAAUAUAAAAACAGCAACGUAGCAAGUGGUAAAAGUGAGCGUAAACGGUAUUGCAAUGCGUUCAAACAAGGCCUAGGGUUCAUACUUUCACUAGUGUAAGUUCUCUCAACAAUAAUAACAUAAUUGGAUCAUAUAACUAUCCCUCAACAUGCAACAAAGAGUCACUCCAAAGUCACUAAUAGCGGAGAACAAACGAAGAGAUUAUUGUAGGGUACGAAACCACCUCAAAGUUAUUCUUUCUGAUUGAUCUAUUCAAGAGUGCAUAGUAAAAUAACAAGAAGCUAUUCUUUCCGUUCGAUCUAUCAUAGAGUUCGUACUAGAAUAACACCUGAAGACGCAUAUCAACCAAAACCCUAAUGUCAAGUAGAUACUCCAAUAUCACCUCAGGUAUCCGUGGGUAUGAUUAUACGAUAUGCAUCACACAAUCUCAGAUUCAUCUAUUCAACCAACACAUAGAACUUCAAAGAGUGCCCCAAAGUUUCUACCGGAGAGUCAAGACGAAAACAUGUGCCAACCCCUAUGCAUAAGUUCACGAGGUCACGGAACUCGCAAGUUGAUCACCAAAACAUACAUCAAGUCGAUCACGUGAUAUCCCAUUGUCACCACAGAUAAGCACAUGCAAGACAUACAUCAAGUGUUCUCAAAUCCUUAAAGACUCAAUCCGAUAACAUAAUUUCAAAUGGAAAACUCAAUUCAUCACAAGAGAGUAGAGGGGGAGAAACAUCAUAAGAUCCAACUAUAAUAGCAAAGCUCGCGAUACAUCAAGAUUGUGCCGACUCAAGAACACGAGAGAGAAAGAGAGAGAGAGAGAGAGUGAGAGAGAGAUCAAACACAUAGCUACUGGUACAUACCCUCAGCCCCGAGGUUGAACUACUCCCUCCUCGUCAUGGAGAGCGCCGGGAUGAUGAAGAUGGCGACCGGAGAGGGAUUCCCCCCUCCGGUAGGGUGCCGGAAAGGGUCUAGAUUGGUUUUCGGUGGCUACGGAGGCUUCUGGCGGCGGGACUCCCGAUCUAUUCUGUUCCCUGAUGUUUUUAGGGUAUAUGGACAUAUAUAGGCGAAAGAAGUCGGUCAGGGGAGCCAUGAGGGGCCCACGAGGGUGGGGGCGUGCCUAGGGGGCAGGUGCGCCUCCCUGCCUCGUGGCCACCUUGAAGCUUCCUUGACUUCAACUCCAAGUCUCCUGGAUCACGUUCAUUCCAAAAAUCACGCUCUCGAAGGUUUCAUUCCAUUUGGACUCCGUUUGAUAUUCCUUUUCUGCGAAACACUGAAACAAGGGAAAAAACAGAAACUGGCACUGGGCUCUGGGUUAAUAGGUUAGUCCCAAAAAUAAUGUAAAAGUGUUUAAUAAAGCCCAUAAACAUCCAAAACUGAUAAUAUAAUAGCAUGGAACAAUCAAAAAUUAUAGAUACGUUGGAGACGUAUCAGUACACCGUCAUGUCUUUUGUCUUGAUGAUACGUCUCCAACAUAUCUAUAAUUUUUGAUUGUUCCAUGCUAUUAUAUUAUCAACCUUGGAUGUUUUAUAUGCAUUUAUAUGCUAUUUUAUAUGAUUUUUCGGACAAACCUAUUAACCUAGAGCCCAGUGCCAGUUUCUGUUUUUUCCUUGUUUUAGAGUAUCACACAAAAGGAAAAUCAAACGGAGUCCAAUUGACCUGAAACUGCAUGGAACUUAUUUUUGGACCAGAAGAAGCCCACGGAGCAUCGGAGAUGGACCAGAAGAGUCCCGGGCUGCCGACGAGGGUGGGGGCGUGCCCAGGGCGCGCCCCUGCCUCGUGGACAGCCCGGAGACCCCCCUGACUUGUUCUCGACGCCAAAACCUCAUAUAUAUAUAUAGAAACUUCCAGAAAGAAACCUAGAUCGGGAAUUCCACCGCCAGAAUCCUCCGUAGCCACCAAAAACCAAUCUAGACCCGUUCUGGCACCCUGCUUGAGGGGGGAUCCCUCUCCGGUGGCCAUCUUCAUCAUCCCGGCGCUCUCCAUGACGAUGAGGGAGUAGUCCACCCUCGGGGCUGAGGGUAUGUACCAGUAGCUAUGUGUUUGAUCUCUCUCUCUCUCUCCUAUUCUUGACUCGGCACGAUCUUGAUGUAUCGCGAGCUUUGCUAUUAUAGUUGGAUCUUAUGAUGUUUCUCCCCCUCUACUCUCUUGUAAUGGAUUGAGUUUUCACUUUGAAGUUAUCUUAUCAGAUUGAGUCUUUAAGGAUUUGAGAACACUUGAUGUAUGUCUUGCAUGUGCUUAUCUGUGGUGACAAUGGGAUAUCACACGAUCCACAUGAUGUAUGUUUUGGUGAUCAACUUGCGAGUUCCGUGACCUCGUGAACUUAUGCAUAGGGGUUGGCACAUGUUUUCGUCUUGACUCUCUGGUAGAAACUUUGGGGCACUCUUUCAAGUUCUUUGUGUUGGUUGAAUAGAUGAAUCUGAGAUUGUGUGAUGCAUAUCGUAUAAUCAUACCCACGGAUACUUGAGGUGACAUUGGAGUAUCUAGGUGACAUUAGGGUUUUGGUUGAUUUGUGUCUUAAGGUGUUAUUCUCGUAAGAACUCUAGGAUAGAUUGAACGGAAAUAAUAGCUUCAUGUUAUUUUACUAUGGACUCUUGAAUAGAUCAAUCAGAAUGGAUAACUUUGAGGUGGUUUCGUACCCUACAAUAACCUCUUAGUUUGUUCUCCGCUAUUAGUGACUUUGGAGUGACUCCUUGUUGCAUGUUGAGGGAUAGUUAUAUGAUCCAGUUAUGUUAUUAUUGUUGAGUGAACUUGCACUAGUGAAAGUAUGAACCCAAGGCCUUGUUUCCCAGCAUUGCAAUACCGUUUUCGCUCACUUUUAUCAUUAGUUACCUUGAUGUUUUUAUAUUUUCAGAUUACGAAAACCUAUAUCUACUAUACAUAUGGCACUUGUAUCACCAUCUCUUCGCCAAACUAGUGCACCUAUACAAUUUACCAUUGUAUUAGGUGUGUUGGGGGACACAAGAGACUCUUUGUUAUUUGGUUGCAGGGUUGCUUGAGAGAUACCAUCUUCACCCUACGCCUCCCACGGAUUGAUAAACCUUAGGUCAUCCACUUGAGGAAAAUUUGCUACUGUCCUACAAACCUCUGCACUUGGAGGCCCAACAACAUCUACAAGAAGAAGGUUGUGUAGUAGACAUCACUUGACAAAUGCUCCAGCCACAUUCUCUCAUCUGAUGAACUACAUAUUCAUGGAUUGCCUCGACAAGUUCAUUGUAGUCUAUCUGGAUGAUAUUCUGGUAUAUUUGAAGAACAAAGAAGAACAUGCCGAACAUCUUCGUCUUGUUCUGGAAAACCUUCAAGCCUCAUUUGGUACAAGGGGAUUUGAGAGGUUUUGGGAGGCGGGGAUUCAGGAGGAUUUGGUGAAUCCCUUCCUUCCACCCAAUCCCCUCAAUUCCCCUCACAUCCCCAAGUUUUCAAUCCCCUUCCAUAAAAACAUGUUUGGUAGACGGGGUUUGAUAUAAUAGACUGAUGGCAAUAGUGCAAUUAAAAAUCCCAUCUUUGCUAGUUUAACAAAUCUAACCAUGUUGGUCCUCACAAUAUUCUGUUACAAGAAUAGGUUACUCCCAGAUUAUAACUUGCUCCCAGAUUAUUUUGUUACAAGAACAACAUGUCCUCAUAAUAUUAUGUUACAACCAAAGUUUAACAUAGGUGGUAGCCAUGUUUGUAUUUCGGUGGCUGCAUUUCAUGUUGCCAUUGGCAAUUGAGCUCUUUCCUUUGUUACCAUCUAACUCCAGCCUAGAAGCAGCAAAUACUCGUAAUAACUCUGCAUGAAAACAUCGAUCUUGAGUCCACAUAAAAGAAGGCCAAAAGCAAAUACUCGUAAUAACUCUGCUUGAAAACAUUGAUCUCUGUCAAAAUAAGAACAAGUUAGCAAGGGCCAUUACAUAAUUCAGUUCAACAGAAAUGGACCAAGUUCUUAUAAAUAGCAUUCGUGCUAUAAAGAACAAGUUAGCAAGGUCUGAGAUCAUUGUUUCUAAAAUUCAUCGAUUGUUUCUAAAAUGAUCCAUACAUAUCUUGCCGCCAAGACUAAUUUGGUACACAGAUUCAGUUUGCUACUGCAAGUAAUCACAAUAAAACUUAUUCUCAAAUGAUUUAUGAUGGCGAGAACAUGAAAAGAAAAAGUUACAUCUUACCGGGGAAAAUACCAGCUCUUCGGUUGGUGUGAAGGAGGCUGAUGGCUGCGAGGCAUGGAGAAGGUUGAUGCUGGCGGAGCGUGGAAGAGGCUGCAAGGUCCAUGGAGGGAAGGGAGAUCAAGUUAGUAAGGUUUAGUACAUAGAUUCAGUUCAACGGAAAUGGACCAAGUUAGCUAGCUAGCUAGAUGAAUAGAUAGUAAUGAACUACAAGUACUAGUAUGCAUGAUGCUCCCAAGAUAACAAGUGUACUAGUAAGCCAAUGCAAUGCAGAACAUGAUUCACGAACAAACAAACAAACAAACAGGUGAUCGGUGCUCCCAAAUAACCAGCAUGAGGUGUACAGUGUACUAGUUCAUCCAUCCUACAGACUAUAUCACCACAACUAGAUAACAAUAUUGGUAAGCAAUGCAAAGUACGAUUUACAAAAAAAUAGUGGAUGGGUGCAAACAUCAUCAUCAUAAAGUUAUUCUAGACUGCUAUCCUAUUUCUAGGAAUGGAGAAAACGGCAUCACACAAGAGAAUUAAGUAUUAAAAGCGUAGCAUUGACCAGAAAUAGUAUGUUGCAAUUCCAGGAGCAAAUGGAUACUAUGCAGAGCAACAUUACCAGUCCCAUCUCAUUGACUAGUAAUGAAACUGUAUGAUACAUACUUCUGGAUGAGUCAUUGUAGUUUACAGAUCCUGUGAUUAAGCUUUUUUUAACCCUCACACCGUAGAACAACCAUUCUGCAGUAAAUUUUAUAAAAUAAUAAGUGUGAUUAAGCCUAUUCAAUAAACAUAUCUUAAAUUUUUGGGAUCAGCGUGCAAUCAAAUGAUGGAAUUCAAUCAUCAAUUGUAGCAUGAAACUAAACUGUAAUUGUACUUAAAUUUCUCUAUGUUUCCUUUUACGAUGAUGCGAUCCAGUUCGGUUCAAAAGCUAAAAAAAUACCAGGCGUUAUGCCAGUACUUAACUCACAGUCUCACACCCAUGCAUGAUGUAAUUCGGUUCGAUUGUCCCACAAAUUGGAUACGCAGAUUAUAUAUAGUAGAAGAUUAGUCUAAUCGGACUGAACUGAAAUCAAGAGUCUACAUAAUCGACUAGCUAGAGAUCAAGAUCCUCAUAGAUGAAGUCAAUUGACCUAUAAAGAGAGCCCGGCUUGGAUCAACAAUGCAAGGGAUUCAAGAUAUAGCCGAAAAUCCAGGGGAAUUAGGCAGCACACGUACAUCCAUAGGAAAUAAAAUACAACUCUUACCUAGGGACAAGCAAGCUUGGGCUCCAUGGUGGAGGGCUGGGGCGGCGAUGCAUGUCGAUGAACGGGAGGGCCUUGGAGGUGGCUGGGGUUGCCGGAGAGGGAGAGCGGAGAAGGGGAGGCGGCGGUGGCCCAGCGGUGUAAACCCUAGUCCCCGCCUUUGCUCGCAAAGUGGAGAAUGGGAGGGAGCGGCGGCGUGGUGGCGUAAACCCUAGUCCCCGUCUCUCCCUGAUGGCAGGGCGGCUCCUCUCGGUGGUGGUGGGGCGGCAUCGUCGCUUUGCCAUCUCGUUCCCUGCCUGUGCCCUCGAGGCUCGGGAGACGCAUGGAUUAAAGGGGAUGGAAGGGGGAUGGAAGGGAUUGCGUUGGGAAAACCAUGUGAAACAAAUGGUUCGUCGGGGUUUUCUGAGGUUUUUGGGCCCCGCGGGGUUGAUUCUCUAGAAACCCUCUCAAUCCCCUUGUACCAAAUGAGGCCUCAAGAGCAUCAACUUUAUGCCAAGUAUGCCAAGUGCGAAUUCUGGCUUCCCGAAUUAACCUACCUUGGGCAUGUCAUCUCCAAGGAUGGUAUUGCCGUCAACCCAGAGCGAGUUCAGGCUAUUCUUGGCCGGACCCCUCCGAAGACUAUCAAGCAAGUGAGAAGCUUUCUCGGACUUGCUAGUUAUUGCCACCGUUUCAUCGAGAACUUCUCCAAGAUUGCCAAGCCCCUGACUAAUCUACUUCACAAGGGCGUUAAGUUUGAUUGGAUUGAAAAAUGUCAGGAAAGUUUCUAGGCACUCAAGGACAAGCUGACGUCUGCCCCAGUGAUUGCUCCCCCUGAUGCGAUCAAGGACUUCGUCAUCUAUUGCGACACUUCACCACAAGGAUUAGGUUGUGUCCUAAUGCAAGAGUGCAGAGUGAUUCCUUAUGCCUCCCGUCAAGUGCUUCCUCUGUUGGAAAUAUGCCCUAGAGGCAAUAAUAAAUUAGUUAUUAUUAUAUUUCUUUGUUCAUGAUAAUCGUUUAUUGUCCAUGCUAUAAUUGUAUUGAUAGGAAAUUCAGAUACAUGUGUGGAUACAUAGACAACACCAUGUCCCUAGUAAGCCUCUAGUUGACUAGCUCGUUGAUUAAUAGAUGGUUACGGUUUCCUGACCAUGGACAUUGGAUGUCGUUAAUAACGGGAUCACAUCAUUAGGAGAAUGAUGUGAUGGAUAAGACCCAAUCCUAAGCCUAGCACAAAGAUCGUGCAGUUCGUAUGCUAAAGCUUUUCUAAUGUCAAGUAUCAUUUCCUUAGACCAUGAGAUUGUGCAACUCCCGAAUACCGUAGGAGUGCUUUGGGUGUGCCAAACGUCACAACGUAACUUGGUGGCUAUAAAGUUACACUAUAGGUAUAUCCGAAAGUGUCUGUUGGGUUGGCACGAAUCGAGACUAGGAUUUGUCACUCCGUGUAAACGGAGAGGUAUCUCUGGGCCCACUCGGUAGGACAUCAUCAUAAUGUGCACAAUGUGAUCAAGGAGUUGAUCACGGGAUGAUGUGUUAUGGAACGAGUAAAGAGACUUGCCGGUAACGAGAUUGAACAAGGUAUCGGGAUACCGACGAUCGAAUCUCGGGCAAGUAUCGUACUGCUAGACAAAGGGAAUUGUAUACGGGAUUGAUUAAGUCCUUGACAUCGUGGUUCAUCCGAUGAUAUCAUCGUGGAGCAUGUGGGAGCCAACAUGGGUAUCCAGAUCCCGCUGUUGGUUAUUGACCGGAGAGUUGUCUCGGCCAUGUCUGCAUGACUCACGAACCCGUAGGGUCUACACACUUAAGGUUCGAUGAUGCUAGGGUUAUAGGGAAAGUAUGUACGCGGUUACCAAAUGUUGUUCGGAGUCCCGGAUGAGAUCCCGUACAUCACGAGGAGUUCCGGAAUGGUCCGGAGGUAAAGAUUAAUAUAUAGGAAGUAUGGUUUUGGCCACCGGAAGUGUUCCGGGCAUCACCGGUAGUGUACCGGGACCACCGGAGGGGUCCGGGGGUCCACCAGGUGGGGCCACCAGCCCCGGAGGCCUACGUGGGCCAAUAGUGGGAAGGGACCAGCCUCUAGGUGGGAUGGGGUGCCUCCCACCAAGGCCCAAGGCGUCCUCAAGAGGAGAGGGGGCAAACCCUAGGGGCAGAUGGGCCCUAAGGCCCACCCUAGGUGCGCCCCCCUCUCUCUCUCCCCCUUGGCCGCCUCCCAGAUGGAAUCUGGGGGCUGCCGCCACCCCUAGGGAGGGAACCCUAGGUGGGGGCGCAGCCCCUCCCCUCCCCCUAUAUAUACUUGAGCAAAGGGGCAUCCCAACACACGAUUGAAUCUCCCUGUUGGCGCAGCCCUACCCCUCUCCCUCCUCAUCUCUCGUAGUGCUUGGCGAAGCCCUGCUGGAGUCCCGCGCUCCUCCACCACCACCACGCCGUCGUGUUGCUGCUGGAUGGAGUCUUCCCCAACCUCUCCUUCUCCCCUUGCUCGAUCAAGGCGUAGGAGACGUCACCGGGCUGUACGUGUGUUGAACACGGAGGUGUCGUCCGUUCGGCACUAGGAUCAUCGGUGAUUUGGAUCACGACGAGUACGACUCCAUCAACCCCGUUCACUUGAACGCUUCCGCUUAGCGAUCUACAAGGGUAUGUAGAUGCACUCUCCUUCCCCUCGUUGCUAGAUUACUCCAUAGAUUGAUCUUGGUGAUGCAUAGAAAAUUUUGAAUUUCUGCUACAUUCCCCAACAGUGGCAUCAUGAGCUAGUUCUAUGCGUAGUUUCUAUGCACGAGUAGAACACAAAGCAGUUGUGGGCGUCGAUAUUGUCAAUUUACUUGCCGUUACUAGUCUUAUCUUGAUUCGGCGGCAUCGUGGGAUGAAGCGGCCCGAACCGACCUUACAUGUACUCUUACGUGAGACUGGUUCCACCGACUGACAUGCACUAGUUGCAUAAGGUGGCUAGCGGGUGUCUGUCUCUCCCACUUUAGUCGGAUCGGAUUCGAUGAAAAGGGUCCUUAUGAAGGGUAAAUAGAAAUUGAAAUAUCAUGUUGUGGUUUUCGCGUAGGUAAGAAACGUUCUUGGUAGAAACCUAUAACAGCCACGUAAAAACUUGCAACAACAAUUAGAGGACGUCUAACUUGUUUUUGCAGCAUAUGCCUUGUGAUGUGAUAUGGCCAAAAGGAUGUGAUGAAUGAUAUAUGUGAUGUAUGAGAUUGAUCAUGGUCUUGUAAUAGUAAUCACGACUUGCAUGUCGAUGAGUAUGACAACCGGCAGGAGCCAUAGGAGUUGUCUUAAUUUAUUUAUGACCUGCGUGUCAACAUAAACAUCAUGUAAUUACUUUACUUUAUUGCUAAAGCGUUAGCCAUAGUAGUAGAAGUAAUAGAUGACGAGACAACUUCAAGAAGACACAAUGAUGGAGAUCAUGAUGAUGGAGAUCAUGGUGUCAUGCUGGUGACAACGAUGAUCAUGGAGCCCCGAAGAUGGAGAUCAAAAGGAGCAAAAUGAUAUUGGCCAUAUCAUGUCACUAUUUGAUUGCAUGUGAUGUUUAUCAUGUUUUACAUCUUAUUUUCUUAGAACGACGGUAGCUUAAAUAAGAUGAUCCCUCACUAAAAUUUCAAGAAAGUGUUCCCCCUAACUGUGCACCAUUGCGAAGGUUCGUCGUUUCGAAGCACCACGUGAUGAUCGGGUGUGAUAGAUUCUAACGUUCGAAUACAACGGGUGUAAGCCAGAUUUACACAGCAAAAACACUUAGGUUGACUUGACGAGCCUAGCAUGUACAGACAUGGCCUCGGAAUACGGAAGACCGAAAGGUUGAGCAUGAGUCGUAUAGAAGAUACGAUCAACAUGAAGAUGUUCACCGAUGUUGACUAGUCAGUCUCACGUGAUGAUCGGACACGGCCUAGUUGACUCGGAUCAUUUUUCACUUAGAUGACUAGAGGGAUGUCUAUCUGAGUGGGAGUUCAUUAGAUGAACUCAAUUAUCAUGAACAUAGUCUAAAUUGUCUUUGCAAAUAUGUUGUAGAUAAAUAGCUCACGUUGUAGCUCCCUGUUUCAAUACGUUCCUAGAGAAAGAUUAAGUUGAAAGAUAUUGUAAGCAAUGAUGCGGACUAGGUCCGUAGUCCGAGGAGUGUCCUCACUGCUACACAGAAGGCUUACAUAUUUGAUGCACUACUCGAUGUGCAAACCCCUACAACGUCGUCUGUGGAUGUUGUGAACACCUGACAGACAUGUCCUGAUGACUACUUGAUAGUUUAGUGCACCAUACUUUACGGCUUAGAAUCGGGAUUCCAAUGACGUAUUGAACGCCAUAAGACAUAUGAGAUGUUCAAAGAGCUGAAAUUGGGAUUUCAGGCUCAUGCCCGUGUUGAGAGGUAUGAGACCUCUAACAAGUUCUUUUGCCAACAAGAUGGAGGAGAAUAGCUCAGCUAGUGAGCAUGUGCUCAGAAUGUCUAGGUGCAACAAUCACUUAAAUCAAGUGGGAGUUAAACUUCCAGAUAAGAUAGUGAUUGAUAGAGUUCUCUAGACACUAUCACUAAGCUACCAGAUCUUCGUGAUGAACUAUGACAUGCAAGGGAUGGAGUUGAUCCUGGAGCUAUUCGUGGUGCUUAAGACCACAAAAGGUAGAAAUCAAAGAAGGAGCAUCAAGUGUUGAUGGUUUAACAAGACCAGUGGUUUCAAGAAGGGCAAGGGCUAGAAGGGAAACUUCAUGGAUGGUAAACCAGUUGCCGCUCCAGUGAAGGAACCCAAGGUUGAACCCAAAACCGAGACUAAGUGCUUCUAUUGUAAGGGGAACGGUCACUGGUAGCGGAAUUACCCCAAAUGCAUGGUAGAUAAGAAGGCUGGCAACUUCAACAAAGUAUAUACGUAUUAUUAAUGUGUACCUCGCUAGUACUCCUAGUAGCACCUGGGUAUUGGAUACCGGUUUAGUUGCUAUUACUGGUGACUUGAAGCAAAAGCUACGGACUAAACAGAGACUGGCUAAGAGUGAGGUGACGAUGUGUGUUGGAAGUGUUUCCAAAGUUGAUGAGAUCACCAUCGCACGCUCCAUCUGCCUUCGGGAUUAAUAUUGAACUUAGAUAAAUGUUAUCAGGUGUCUACGUUGAGCAUGAAUAUGAUUAGAUCAUGUUCAUUGCAAUACGGUCAUUCAUUUAAAUUAGAGAAUAAUGGUUAUUCUGUUUACAUGAAUGACACAUUUCAUGGUCAUGCACCCUAUGUGAAUGGUUCAUUGAAUCUCGGUCGUGGUAAUACACAUCUUCACACCAAAAAGAUGUAGAGUUAAUAAUGAUAGUACCACUUUCUUGUGGCACUGCCGCUUAGGUCAUAUUGGCAUAAAGAAGCAUGAAGAAACUCCAUGUCGAUGGAUGUUUGGAGUCACUUGAUUUUGAAUCGCUUGACACAUGCGAGCCAUGCCUCAUGGGCAGGAUGACUAAGACCCCGUUUUCAGGUACAAUGAAACGGGCAAGUGACUUGUUGGAAAUCAUACAUGCUAAUGCGUGUGAUCCAAUGAGAAUUGAAGCGUGCGGUGGAUAUCGCUAUUUUCUCAUCUUCACUGACGAUUUGAGUAGAUAUAGGUAUAUUUACUUAAUGAAGCACAAGUCUGAAACGUUUGAAAAGUUCAAGCGAUUUCAGAGUGAAGUUAGGAAUCAUCAUAACAAAAAGGAUCAUGUUCCUACGAUCUGAUCAAAAGGGGAUUUUCAAAGUUAUGAGUUUGGCAAUCACUUAAGACAUUGUGGAAUUGUUUCACAGUUGAAGCCACCUGGAACACCACAAGGUAAUGGUGUGUCCGGACGUUGUAAUCGAACCCUAUGAGAUAUGGUGCGAUCUAUGAUGUCUCUUACCAAUCUACCGUUUUCAUUUUGAGGUUAUGCGUUAGAGACAACUGCAUUCACUUUAGAUAGGACACCAUCCAAGUCCGUUGAGACGAUGUCGUAUGAACAUUGGUUUGGCAAGAAACCAAAGUUGUCGUUUCUUAAUGUUUGGGGCUGCGAUGCUUAAGGCUUCAGCCGGAGAAGCUCGAACCCAAAGCGGACAAACACAUAUUCAUAGGAUACCCAAAGGUGACAGUUGGGUAUACCUUCUAUCUCAGAUCCGAGGGCAAAUUGUUUGUUGCUAAGAACGGGUCCUUUCUCGAGAAGGAGUUUCUCUCGAAAGAAUUGAGUGGGAGGAAGAUAGAACUUGAUGAGGUUGUCGGACCUUUAUUUCAACCAGGGAAUGAUGCAACACAGAAAGAUGUUUUCUGUGGUACCUAUGUCUGUUGAAUAGGAAGUUAAUGAUAGUGAUCAUGAAGCUUCGGAUCAAGUUGCUAUCGAACCUCGUAGGUCGACAAGGAUAUGUACUACUCCUAAGUGGUACGGUAAUCCUGUCUUAGACAUCAUGUUGUUAGACAACAAUGAACCUACGAUCUAUGGAGAAGCGAUGGUGGGCCCGUAUUCCGACAAAUGGUUAGAAGCCAUGAAAUCUGAGAUAGGAUUCAUAUAUCAGAACAAAAUAUGGACUUUGGUGGACUUGCCCGAUGAUCGGCAAGCCAUUGAGAUAAAUGGAUCUUUAAGAAGGAGACGGACGUGGGUGGUAAUGUUACCGUCUAUGAAGCUCGACUUGUGGGAAAGAGUUUUUUUUCACAAGUUCAAGGAGUUGACUACGAUGAGAAUUUCUCACCCGUAGUGAUGCUUAAGUCCGUCGGAAUCAUGUUAGCAUUAGCUGUAUUUUUCGAUUAUGAAAUCUUACAGAUGGAUGUCAAAACAAGUUUUCUUACCAAGUUUUCGUAAGAAAAGUUGUAUGUGAUACAACAAAAGGUUUUGUCGAUCCUAAGGAUGCUAAAAGGUAUGCUGGCUCCAGCAAUCCUUCUAUGGACUAGAGCAAGCAUCUCAGAAUCGGAAUAUAUGUUUUGAUGGAGUGAUCAAAGCUUUUAGGUUUAUACAAUGUUUGCUAGAAACUUGUAUUUACAAGAAAGUGAGUGGGAGCACUACAAAAUUUCUGAUAAGUAUAUGUGGAUGACAUAUUGUUGAUCCGAAAUGAUGUAGAAUUUUUGGAAUGCAUAAACAGUUGUUUGAAGAGUGAUUUUCAAAGGAAGACCUGGAUAAAGAUGCUUACAUAUUGGGCAUCAAGAUCUAUAGAGAUAGAUCAAAACGCCUGAUGAUACUUUCAAAGAACGCACACCUUGACAUGUUUUUGAAGGAGUUCAAAAUAGAUCAGUCAAAGAAGGGGUUCUUACCUGAGUUGUAAGGUGUGAAGUUGAGUAAGACUCAAAGCUUGGCCAUGGCAGAAGAAAGAGGAAGGACGAAGGUCGUCCCCUAUGCUCUUGUCAUAGGCUCUAUACGGUAUGCCAUGCUGAGUACCGCACCUGAUGUGUGCCUUGCCACAUGUCUGGCAAGAGGGUACAAAGGUGAUCUAGGAGUAGAUCACUAGAUAGCGGUCAAAAUUAUCCUUAGAGGAAUAAGGAAAUGUUUCUCGGUUAUGGAGGUGAUAAAGAGUUCGACAUAAAGAGUUACGUCGAUGCAAGCUUAACACCUAUCCGGAUAACUCUGAGUAGAGAUACCGGAUAUGUAUAAUGGAGCAAGAAUUUGGAAUAGCUCCAAGUGGAACGUGGUAGCAGCAUCUACGAUAUGACAUAAAGUUUUGCGAAGUACAUAGGGAUCUAAAUAUGGCAAGACCCGUUGACUACAACCUCUCUCAAGCAUAACAUGAUCAAACCCAGAACUCUUUGAAUGUUUAUCACAUUGUGAUGUGAACUAGAUCAUUGAGUCUAGUAGACUCUUGGAUGUUGGUCACAUGGCGAUGUGACCUAUGAGUGUUAAUCACAUGGCGAUGUGAACUAGAUUAUUGACUCUAGUGCAACUGGGAGACUGUUGGAUAUAUGCCCUAGAGGCAAUAAUAAAUUAGUUAUUAUUAUAUUUCAUUGUUCAUGAUAAUCGUUUAUUGUCCAUGCUAUAAUUGUAUUGAUAGGAAACUCAGAUACAUGUGUGGAUACAUAGACAACACCAUGUCCCUAGUAAGCCUCUAGUUGACUAGCUUGUUGAUCAAUAGAUGGUUAUGGUUUCCUGAAAAUGGACAUUGGAUGUCGUUGAUAAUGGGAUCACUUCAUUAGGAGAAUGAUGUGAUGGACAAGACCCAAUCCUAAGCCUAGCACAAAGAUCGUGUAGUUCGUAUGCUAAAGCUUUUCUAAUGUCAAGUAUCAUUUCCUUAGACCAUGAGAUUGUGCAACUCCCGAAUACCGUAGGAGUGCUUUGGGUGUGCCAAACGUCACAACGUAACUGGGUGGCUAUAAAGGUACACUACAGGUAUCUCCGAAAGUGUCUGUUGAGUUGGCACAAAUCGAGACUGGGAUUUGUCACUCCGUGUAAACGGAGAUGUAUCUCUGGGCCCACUCGGUAGGACAUCAUCAUAAUGUGCACAAUGUGAUCAAGGAGUUGAUCACGGGAUGAUGUGUUACAGUACGAGUAAAGAGACUUGCCAGUAACGAGAUUGAACAAGGUAUCAAGAUACCGACGAUCAAAUCUCGGGCAAGUAUCAUACCGCUGGACAAAGGGAAUUGUAUACGGGAUUGAUUAAGUCCUUGACAUCGUGGUUCAUCUGAUGAGAUAAUCGUGGAGCAUGUGGGAGCCAACAUGGGUAUCCAGAUCCCGUUGUUGGUUAUUGACUGGAGAGUUGUCUCGGCCAUGUCUGCAUGACUCACGAACCCAUAGGGUCUACACACUUAAGGUUCGAUGACGCUAGGGUUAUAGGGAAAGUAUGUACGCGGUUACCGAAUGUUGUUUGGAGUCCCGGAUGAGAUCCCGGUCGUCACAAGGAGUUCCAGAAUGGUCCGGAGGUAAAGAUUAAUAUAUAGGAAGUAUGGUUUUGGCCACCGGAAGUGUUCCGGGCAUCACCGGUAGUGUACCGGGACCACCGGAGGGGUCCGGGGGUCCACCAAGUGGGGCCACCAGCCCCGGAGGCCUACAUGGGCCAAUAGUGGGAAGGGACCAGCCCCUAGGUGGGCUGGGGCGCCUCCCACCAAGGCCCAAGGCGUCCUCAAGAGGAGAGGGGGCAAACCCUAGGGGCAGAUGGGCCCUAAGGCCCAUCCUAGGUGCGCCCCCUCUCUCUCCCCCUUGGCCGCCUCCCAGAUGGGAUCUGGGGGCUGCCGCCACCCCUAGGGAGGGAACCCUAGGUGGGGGCGCAGCCCCUCCCCUCCCCCUAUAUAUACUUGAGCAAAGGGGCAACCCAACACACGAUUGAAUUCCCUGUUAGCUCAGCCCUACCCCUCUCCCUCCUCGUCUCUCGUAGUGCUUGGCGAAGCCCUGCUGGAGUCCCGCGCUCCUCCACCACCACCAUGCUAUCGUGCUGCUGCUAGAUGGAGUCUUCCCCAAACUCUCCUUCUCCCCUUGCUGGACCAAGGUGUAGGAGACGUCACCGGGCUGUACGUGUGUUGAACAUGGAGGUGCCAUCCGUUCGGCACUAGGAUCAUCGGUGAUUUGGAUCACGACGAGUACGACUCCAUCAACCCUGUUCACUUGAACGCUUCCGCUUAGCGAUCUACAAGGGUAUGUAGAUGCACUCUCCUUCCCCUCAUUGCUAGAUUACUCCAUAGAUUGAUCUUGGUGAUGCGUAGAAAAUUUUGAAUUUCUGCUACGUUCCCCAACAUCCUCAUGAAGAGAACUACCCGGUUCAUGACCAUGAGCUUGCCACGAUUAUCUUUGCACUGAAGCUAUGGCGAUAGUACCUUCUCGGCAAUCAUUGCGAGAUCUUCAUUGAUCAUCAGAGUCUGAAGUAUUUGUUUACUCAGCCAGAUCUGAACCUCCGUCAGCAGCGAUGGCUAGAAGCAAUUGCUGACUACAACUGCGGUAUAUCCUAUACCCCUGGUAAGGCUAAUGUAAUGACCGAUGCCCUGAGCCGUAAGUCUUACUGCAAUAAUCACAUGGUCUACAAAGCUCAACCCUGCCUUUAUGAAGAGCUAUGCAAGCUAAACCAUCAACUAGUUCCACAGGGUUCUCUGAAUAACCUUGUCUUGGAACCAACUCUUCUGAAAUCAAUCAAGCCUGCUCAAGCCAAAGAUGCUCAUGUUGAUCUGAUGAAAAAGGAUCUCGCCUUAGAGAAAUCCACUUGGUGAAGAUGGAACCUUAUACUUCAGAGAUCGUAUUGUAGUACCCCUGUUCGAGCUUAUGACAGAGAAGGUGAUGAAAGAAGCGCAUGACACCCCUCUCUCUAUUCAUCCGGGAAGUACCAAAAUGUACUUAUACAUUCAUCAGAAGUAUUGGUGGUCCAAUAUGAAGCAGGAUAUUGCUCGAUAUAUUGAAGAAUGUGAUGUUUGUCGUUGCGUCAAAGCAGAACAUCAGAAACCGGCUGGACUUCUACAACCUCUCCCUAUUCUUGAAUGGAAGUGGGAUAAGAUCCAAAUGGACUUCGUCACUGGCCUUCCCAAGUCUCAGAAGGGUAACGAUGCUAUCUUUGUCUUCAUCAAUCAAUUCUCGAAAGUUGCUCACUUUCUGCUAGUCAAGGAGACAAUAACUGCUAGUCAAUUAGCAAACCUGUAUAUCUUCAGAAUUGCGUCACUCCACGGCAUUCCAAAGGAGAUCAGUUCAGACCGCGACAAUAUAUUCGCUUCAAAGUUCUAUUAUAGUUUACAAGAGGCAAUGGGAACUCAUAUAACCUGGAGCACUGCUUAUCACCCCCAAUCCCAAGGCCAAGUCGAGCGAGUCAAACAAAUCCUUGAAGAUAUGUUGUGUGCUUGUGUUAUUUCUUUCGGCAAGAAGUGGGAAGAAUCUCUCCCUUAUGUGGAGUUCUCUUAUAACAACAGUUAUCAAGCCAGCUUGAAGAUGGCACCCUUCGAAGUGAUUUAUGGACGUAAGUGUCGAACCCCUCUGAAUUGGUCAGAAACCGGGGAAUGAAGGCUCAUUGGUCCAGACAUUAUUUAACAAGCUGAAGAGCAGGUUCACAUUGUCCGGGAUAAUCUCAAGGCGGCCAAGUCCCGCCAGAAGAGAAACUAUGACCGGAAACACUGGGGAUCAACUUAUCAACCUGGUGAACAAGCUUAACUGCGUGUCACUCCUUUGAGAGGCACUCAUCGGUUCGGAGUCAAGGGCAAGCUAGCUCCGCACUACAUUGGUCCCUUCCGCAUUCUCGCCCGUCAUGGACUGGUGGCUUAUCCACUGGAGUUUCCACCUCAGUUCGCUCACGUCCAUGACGUCUUCCACGUGUUGCAACUUCGUCGUUACUUCAAGGAUCCGGAACGUGAAGUGGAUCCAGAACUGAUUGAAGUACAAGAUGAUCUCACUUAUAAAGAGCAUCAGAUCUGCAUUCUUGAAGAAGCUAAACGUCGAACCCGCCAGAAGGUUACCAAGUUCCUCAAGGUGCAAUUGUUGAAUCAUACUAAAGAUGAAGCCACUUGGGAACGCGACGAUAACCUCCGGGCCGAAUACCCCGACCUGUUCCCUUCUACCUCUUAAUUCUCACGAUGAGAAUUUCUUUUAGAGGAGUAGAGUUGUAACUCCCCGGUGUAAUGAUGCUACAGUAACCCCUGGGGUUAAGUUAAUCAUUUUUGCUAAACAAGUGUUUCAUCAUCCUGGGUUCUCUCUCUUUUCAAAUUUCAGUUGAAUUCAAUUUCAAAUUAUGAGUGAAAUUCCAAAUUACUCAAACAUGAAAACUAAAAUGUUCAUCAUGUGCCAAAUAAUCCAUAACUAAUAUUGUUGGUGAACCAACAUUUUUGCAAAGUGUUUAAGUGGCCUAAACUAUUUAAAAUAGUGGUUUAAACAAUUAAUUAAAUGAUUUUUUAAUUAUAAAAAUUCGAACUAUUUUAUUUAAGUGCUAAAACCUAAUGUGGUAGUGGCCUAAAUUUAUUAAGCUAAAUUAAUUACAAGUCUUAUAUUUUAUUAAACUAUUUUGUUUUAAAAAUAAAUAAGAAAACAGAAAAAGUCUUAAAAGAAGAAGAAAGAAAAGAAAACCUCCCCUGUUCCCCCCACUCGGCCUUGGCCUAACAGGCCGGCCCAACCAGCCCACUCCCCCUCCCCGGUCGCUUCCUGUUCCUCCGAUCGGGCGGGGCAGCGCGCGCCUGUUGAUACGUCUCCGUCGUAUCUACUUUUCCAAACACUUUUGCCCUUGUCUUGGAUUCUAACUUGCAUGAUUUGAAUGGAACUAACCCGGACUGACGCUGUUUUCAGCAGAAUUGCCAUGGUGUUAUUUAUGUGCAGAAACAAAAGUUCUCGGAAUGACCUGAAACUCCACGAAGAUUAUUUUUGGAAAUAAUAAAAAAUACUGGCAAAGAAUCAAGGCCAGGGGGCCACACCCUAUCCACGAGGGUAGGGGCGCGCCUGCCCCCUGGGCACGCCCCCUGCCUCGUGGGCCCCCUGGAGCUCCUCCGACCUCAACUCCAACUCUAUAUAUUCACUUUCGAGGAGAAAAAAAAAUCAAAAAAAAAGAUUCAUCAUGUUUUACUAUACGGAGCCGCCGCCAAGCCCUAAACUCUCUCGGGAGGGCUGAUCUGGAGUCCGUUCGGGGCUCCAGAGAGGGGAAUCCGUCGCCAUCGUCAUCAUCAACCAUCCUCCAUCACCAAUUUCAUGAUGCUCACCGUUAUGCGUGAGUAAUUCCAUCGUAGGCUUGCUGGACGGUGAUGGGUUGGAUGAGAUUUGUCAUGUAAUCGAGUUAGUUUUGUUAGGGUUUGAUCCCUAGUAUCCACUAUGUUCUGAGAUUGAUGUUGCUAUGACUUUGCUAUGCUUAAUGCUUAUCACUAGGGCCCGAGUGCCAUGAUUACAGAUCUGAACCUAUUAUGUUUUCAUCAAUAUAUGAGAGUUCUUGAUCCUAUCUUGCAAGUCUAUAGUAACCUAUCAUGUGUUAUGAUCCGUUAACCCCGAAGUGACAAUAAUCAGGAUACUUACCGGUGAUGACCGUAGUUUGAGGAGUUCAUGUAUUCACUAUGUGUUAAUGCUUUGGUCCGGUACUCUAUUAAAAGGAGGCCUUAAUAUCCCUUAGUUUCCGCUAGGACCCCGCUGCCAUGGGAGGGUUGGACAAAAGAUGUCAUGCAAGUUCUUUUCCAUAAGCACGUAUGACUAUAUUUGGAAUACAUGCCUACAUUACAUUGAUGAAUUGGAGCUAGUUCUGUGUCACUCUAGGUUAUGACUAUUACAUGAUGAACCACAUCCGGCAUAAUUCUCUAUCACUGAUCCAUUGCCUACGAGAUUUCCAUAUAUUGUUCUUCGCUUAUUCACCUUUCCAUUGCUAUUGCUAUCAUCACUACAAAAUACCAAAAAAAUUACUUUUGCUAUCAUUACCUUUUGCUACCGUUACCACUACUAUCAUAUUACUUUGCUACUAAAUACUUUGCUGCAGAUAUUAAGUUUGCAGGUGUGGUUGAAUUGACAACUCAGCUGCUAAUACUUGAGAAUAUUCUUUGGCUCCCCUUGUGUCGAAUCAAUAAAUUUGGGUUGAAUACUCUACCCUCGAAAACUAUUGCAAUCCCCUAUACUUGUGGGUUAUCAAGACUAUUUUCUGGCGCCGUUGCAAGUCUAUAGUCACCUACUAUGUGUUAUGAUCCGGCAACCCCGAAGUGACAAUAAUCGGGACCACUCCCGGUGAUGACCGUAGUUUGAGGAGUUCAUGUAUUCACUAUGUGUUAAUGCUUUGGUCUGGUACUCUAUUAAAAGGAGGCCUUAAUAUCCCUUAGUUUCCGCUAGGACCCCGCUGCCACGGGUGGGUAGGACAAAAGAUGUCAUGCAAGUUCUUUUCCAUAAGCACGUAUGACUACAUGCCUACAUUACAUUGAUGAAUUCGAGCUAGUUCUGUGUCACCCUAGGUUAUGACUGUUACAUGAUGAACCACAUCCGGCAUAAUUCUCUAUCAUCGAUCCAUUGCCUACGAGCUUUCCAUAUAUUGUUCUCCGCUUAUUUACUUUCCCGUUGCUAUUGUUACAAUCACUAUAAAACACCAAAAAUAUUACUUUUGCUAUCGUUACCUUUUGCUACCGUUACCACUACUAUCAUAUUACUUUGCUACUAAAUACUUUGAUGCAAAUAUUAAGUUUCCGGGUGUGGUUGAAUUGACAACUCAUCUGCUAAUAGUUGAGAAUAUUCUUUGGCUACCCUUGUGUCGAAUCAAUAAAUUUGGGUUGAAUACUCUACCCUUGAAAACUGUUGCGAUCCCCUAUGCUUGUGGGUUAUCAAGACUAUUUUCUGGCGCCGUUGCCGAGGAGCAUAGCUCUAUUCUUUGAGUCACUUGGGAUUUAUAUCUGCAUAUCAUUAUGAAGAACUUGAAAGAUCCAAAAACCAAGAUUUAUCCCUCAACUACGAGGGGAGGUAAGGAACUACCAUCUAGCUCUGCACUUGAUUCACCUUCUGUUUUGAGUAAGCUUGCACUACAAAAAAAGACACAUCCGUGACAUUUUGGGCCAAACGAAAUUUUUUUCUGUCAUACAUAUGACACUUAUAUGAUGAUAAUUGUGACAAAACCCGGUAUCAUCAUAGAUGUGGUGGGCUCCUACUUCUAUGACAAAAAAUCAUGACAAAAAAUGGGCUUUUCGUCCUGGGCGGGCCGGAGACGCAGCUGCAUGACAUUCUUUGGGCCGUCCAUGACGGAAAAAACCGUGGUAGAAGCGAGGGCGAGGAAAAUUUCGGGGAGUUCCCGGUUACGGUGGGAGGUCGGGGGCCGAGCGAUGCGUGUUUCUCUCGUACACGUACGCGCGUGUGUGCGAGGCGUUGGCUCUAACUGAACCCGAGCGAGGCGUUGGGCUCUAACUGAACCCGAGCCAGGCGUUGGGCUCUAACUGAACCCGAGCGAUUGCACUGCAGGCUACGCGUUACUGAACCAGAGCGAUCGAUCGAUGGCUGUUAACUGAACUCGAUCGAGCGAUUCCUUCGCUACUGCUACUAACUGAAGCCGAUCGAUGCUGCCUCUGGAUGAAUAGUGAGUGUUGNNNNNNNNNNNNNNNNNNNNNNNNNNNNNNNNNNNNNNNNNNNNNNNNNNNNNNNNNNNNNNNNNNNNNNNNNNNNNNNNNNNNNNNNNNNNNNNNNNNNNNNNNNNNNNNNNNNNNNNNNNNNNNNNNNNNNNNNNNNNNNNNNNNNNNNNNNNNNNNNNNNNNNNNNNNNNNNNNNNNNNNNNNNNNNNNNNNNNNNNNNNNNNNNNNNNNNNNNNNNNNNNNNNNNNNNNNNNNNNNNNNNNNNNNNNNNNNNNNNNNNNNNNNNNNNNNNNNNNNNNNNNNNNNNNNNNNNNNNNNNNNNNNNNNNNNNNNNNNNNNNNNNNNNNNNNNNNNNNNNNNNNNNNNNNNNNNNNNNNNNNNNNNNNNNNNNNNNNNNNNNNNNNNNNNGAGGGCUGGAUGAACAGGACCACCCCAUGGAGGGCAGGAUGAACAGUAGAUGGUGGAGGGCAGGAUGAACAGUAGCCCGUGGAGGGGUGGUUGAACAGGAGCCCGUGGAGAGGGAUGGUUGAACAGUAGCCGGUGGAGUAGCACGCGGUGGAGGCUGGAUGAACAGGAGCCCGUGGAUGAACAGUCACAGGUGGAGGCUGGAGGAGGUCGACAUUGGAUGAACAGUAGCUCGUGGAGGCUGGAGGGGUUCGAUGGUGGAGAUGAACAGUAUCCCAUGGAGUUCCGUUUUGCGGUACGCCAUGCCCCUCCCGAUGAACAGGGCCCCCGUUUCGACCGUAGCGCUCCAACACAAGUCCGUUUCCUCCGUUUUGCGGUACGCCACACCCCUCCCGAUGAACAGGACCUCCGUUUUGACCGUAGGAGGUCCGUUUCGCCCGUUUUGUGGUACGCCACACCCCUCCUGAUGAACAGGACCCCCAUUUCGACCGUAGGAGGUCCGUUUCCUCCAUUUUGCGGUACGCCAGACCCCUCCCGAUCAACAGGACCCCGUUCCAAACGUAGGAGGUCCGUUUGCUCCAUUGUGCGGUAUGCCAGGCCUCGUUUCCAUUACCUGUUCCGUCCAAGCCCUCCCGAUGAACACGACCACACAUUCUGUUCCGACCCAGCCAGUUGACUCCCAUGCGUUCCGUUGCCUCCCCAUUAACACGACGCAUUCCGUUGCCUCCCCAUGAACAUGACACAUUCCGUUGCCUCCCCAUGAACACGGUGACGACGUUGUUUCUCCAUUCCGACCUAGCCAUGUACACGAGCCCUGGCCGUACGUAUGCACGAGUAGGCGUUCGAGACCCCGCCCGUAUGUACACAUAUGUGGCCGUAUUUUCUUUCUUACACCCUGGCCGUUGUACGUACGUGUACAUGCUACGUGCGCGCCUCUACUAUGACACGUCCGCGCCUCUACAUCGACCAGUAUGUACGUACACGUUCGCGACCAGAAUGACAACGCUACGUACUCUUCAACCAAGUGGGUCCCGAUUGUCAGGCACUUCCUUGCUGGCGAAGAUGUAACUGGUGGGUCCCAGCAGUCAGGGGGCGAAUCGUUUUUUUUUGCCCGGACGCACUUCCUUGCGUGUGAAGAUGUAGCUGGUGGGUCCCAGCAGUCAGGGGGAAAUGUUUUUUUGCAAAAUACAGUGGCCCAUCCGGUGGGUCCCAGCUGUCAGGUGGAGGAAUCAUUAUUUUCCGCGUAAUAAGGAGGCACUUCCUUGCUGUGGCCGUGGACCCAGCUGUCAGCCUCUCCACGUACAGUCCACGUCCGAUGGAAGUCGUUCCUUGACCACGUUGACCAUGCCGCACCGGGAGCACCAGUGCGGUGGACGACGACGAGGCCUAGGAAGGGGACGACACGGAGGCAGGGAAGACUCGACAGUUGUUUCCCACGCGGAGGGGAGUACGACUGUAUGAGGGUUUACUGGUUCGUCUGCCGUCGCCGGAGAAUAAUAGCAGGUGUGGGUGUGUAGAGGGAUGGCUAGGCCAGCGAUGGGAGUACGGUCGGGCGGUGAGGCCUGCGCGGCAGCACAGCGGCGCUUGUUUGAGCGGCUGGAGCAGGAAGAGCAGAGAUUGAAGAAGAACGACGGCCGUUGGAUGGACAUCCAACAGUCAGUGCUUGUGCGUCAACCUUUUUUAGGAAAGCCUCAAAUCUGUGGAAAACAGCAUACAACCCGUCUGCCAUUAUUUCUAAUAAUUUAUAGCCCAUUUGCUAAUUCUUAAGGUUUUUUUGGAGCCCAUAUUAUUUUUGUUAGCAUUACAGCCCAUAUUGUGGCAACGGUUAAAAAUUAUACGAAAUUUUGCAUAUUUCGGUGCGGUCCGAACUGUUUUUAAUCCCAAAAUUUCGACUCACAUUCAAACUGAUUUUAAAAAUAAAUGUAUAUCAAUAUAAAAUCCAACAAAUUCUCAACGCAUAAAAAUUAAUGUAAUUUAAAAUCAUGAAAUGAAAAAAAAGAUAUUUGAAACUAAUUGCCGGUUUGAUGUGUUUUAAAAAUGUACAACCCAUUUCUCAUUACUGAUGGGCCAUUUUCUCGGCCAACCGAAUGAAAGCUCUCCUCGUCUUGAAAGAUUUGCAGCCCAACAGGCGUGACAAAGAGACUUACUUGGCAAAUCACAAAAAAACUGGGCUGUGGCCGUGGACCCAGCUAUCAGCCUCUCCACGUACAGUACUCUUCCGAUGGAAGUCGUUCCUUGACCACGUUGACCACGCCGCGCGGAGAGCACCACGGCGGUGGACGAUGGCGAGGCCUAGGAAGGGGACGACGCGACAGUGGAAGCCCGCGCGGAGAGGAUUACGAGGGUUCACUGGUUCAACUACGGUGUCAGGCUGCCGUCGCCGCAGGGCCUGGCCAGCGGUGGGAAUAGUAGGGGGCAGUGAGGCCUCUGCGGCAGCACAGCCGGCCACGGGAGGCAGGAGCAUGCGGCACGACCGGCGCUGCUUUGGGCGGCUGGAGCAAGAAGACUAGAGGUAGAAGAAGCACUACGGCCGUUGGAUGGACAUCGUACAGUCACUUGAGUUAGAAUCGUUCAUAUUGACUAAGUUGACAAAGCCCUUCGUCCCCGUCAACUUACUAGGCCCACAAAUCAUCCUCCCAGCAAGGUGGGUCGCAGCUAGCCGGGGGAGUAUUCAUUUUUUGUGCGUAAUAAGGAGGCACAUCCGGUGGGUCUGAGCUGACAGCGGGGGGAACAUUUUUUUCGCGAAAUAUGGUGGCCCGUCCGGUGGGUCCCAGCAGUCAAGGGGAAACGAUUUUUUUUGCAAAAUACUGGUGGCCCGUCCGGUGGGUCCCUGCUGUCAGGUCGAGGAAUAAUUAUUUUCCGCGUAAUAAGGAGGCACUUCCUUGCGGCUGCCGUGGACCCAGCUGUCAGCCUCUCCACAUACAGUACUCUUCCGAUGGAAGUCGGUCGUUGACCACAUUGACCACGCCACACCGAGAGCACCACGGCGGUGGACGACGGCGAGGCCUAGGAAGGGGACGACGCGGAGCCGUGCAAGACGCGGCAGUGGAUGCCACGUGAAGAGGAGUACGAGCGUUCACUGGUUCGGCUGUGGUGUGAGGCUGCCAUCGCCGCAGAAUAACAGGGGGUGUGGGUGAGUGGAGGGAUGGCCUGGCCAGUGGUGGGAGUAGUAUGGGGGCGGUGAGGCCUCCGCGGUAGCACAGCCAGCCACGGGAGGCAGGAGCAGGCAACACGAUCGGCGCUGCUUUGGGCGGCUGGAGCAAGAAGACCAGAGGUUGAAGAAGCACUAUGGUCGUCGGAUGGACAUCAUACGUUCACUGGAGUAUUGACUAAGUUAACAAAGCUCUCCGUCCCUGUGAACUUAGUAGGCCCACAAGUCAACCAAACAAUAUGGUGGGUCCCAACUAGCAGGGGGGUAUUCAUUUUUUUGGGCGUAAUAAGGAGCCACUUCCUUGCGUGCGAAGAUAUAGCUGGUGGGUCCGACCUGUCAGCGGGGGGAAUGUUUUUUUCGUGAAAUACAGAGGCCCUUCCUAUGGGUCCUAGCUGCCAGGUGGAGGAAUCAUUAUUUUGUGCGUAAUAAGGAGGCAUUUCCUUGUGUGCGGCCGUGGACCCAGCUGUCAGCCUCUCCACGUACAGUCCACUUCCGAUGGAUGUCGUUCAUUGACCACGUUGACCAGGCCACGCCAAGAGCACUAGGGCGGUGGACGAUGGCGAGGCCUAGGAAGGGAAUGACACGGAGCCAGGGAAUACUCGGUAGUUGUUUCCCACGCGGAGGAGCACGAGGGUUUACUGGUUCAUCUGCCGUCGCCGGAGAAUAACAACAUGUGUGGGUGAGUAGAGGGAUGGCUAGGCCAGCGAUGGGAGUACGGUGGGGCUGUAAGGCCUGCGCGGCAGUAUAGCCGGCCGCGGGAGGAGGGAGCAGGCACUCCCGUCGGCGCUUGUUUGAGCGGCUUAAGCAUGAAGGGUAGAGAUUUAAGAAGCACGACAGCCGUUGGAUGGACAUCCAACAGUCACUGCUCUCGUGUGUUGACUAAUUUGACAGGGCGUUGCGUGUGCGUCAACCUUUUUUUUAUGAAAGCAUACGCGUCAGCCUGUAGUAGGCGCACAAGUCAGCCUCAAAUGUGUGGAAAACAGCAUACAGCCCAUCUGCCACUAUUUCUAAUAAUGUACAGCCCAUUUGCUAAUUCUUAAGAAUUUUUUUGGAGCCCAUCUUCUUUUUGUUAACAUCACACCCCAUAUUGUGGCCACGGUUAAAAAGUAUAUGAAAUUUUGCAUAUUUCGGUGCGGUCAACUGUUUUUAAUCCAGAAAUAUCGAUACACAUUCAAACUAUUUUGAAAAAUAAUUUAUAUAAAUAUAAAAUCCAAAUAAUUGUCCAUGCAUAAAAAUCAAUGGAAUUUAAGAUCUUGUAAUGAAAAAAAAAUUGAAACUAAUUCCCGGUUUGAUGUUUUUUAAAAAUGUACAGCCCAUUUCUGGGCAAACUGAAUGAAACUCUCCUCGUCUUGAAAGAUUUGCAGCCCAGCAGGGCCGAUAAAGCAAGUAGGCCUUGUUUGGGUAUUUCUUUUAAAAAAUAGAACUGGGCUAGCCAUUUUCAGCAAGAAAAAACACAACUGGGCUCAUUAUGUGGUAAAUAUAAAUAAAACUUGUCACACCCUAGCUAGUUCACGCAUUAGAGUGUUGCAUCAUGUCUACUCUUCUAGAAAACUGAAAUGGGGAUGGCAGAACCCCCAGCACCCCUGGAAACAACUAGGGUUUACUAAAAUCUUUUUCAAUAAACCUGAAAUGCCCUUCUAAAAAGUCCACCCUUUUCGCUUUGGGGUUAUAACCUCUGACAAAAUGGGUUCACAUUUUUCCAGGACACAUAAGGUCAUUGGAUUAAAUCAUUACUAUUUGCAUUUGGGCAAUUUAAAUCCUAUAAAUAUUAUAAAAUGUCCAAAUAAUCCUAAAAUGUCCAAAUGUGCCUCUGAAUAUUUCCAGGUUUUUCCUAAAUGGAAUAGUAUUUUUACUAUUUCAAAACACAAAUCAGGAAUAAAUAAAAAACAAAAACAAAAGCAGAGAGCAGAGGCUUACCUGGCGCCCACCUAGCAGGCCCACCUAGCCGGCCGAGCCCAGCAACCGCUCCAGUGAGCUGCUUUACUCGGCCAUGCAGGCAGGCAGGUGCUCGACGCCGGCACCAGCGCGCGCCACGCAGCUGCCCGCCGCCCUGCUCCCUCUCCUCGCUGUUCUGCUGCCCUGAGUUGGUCACCCACUCCUCCCCCGAGCUCGCAGACACGCCCCUUCCUCCCCAGCUCCCCUCCCUCGCUCCCCUAUACCAUGGCCGACUCUAUCGCGCACGCGCCACUGUGAUAACCGCGUCCGCCGUCGUCGCUGUGUCGUGUCACCGUGUCCGUUCGCUCCGCCAUCGUCGUCCACGUCGAGUAGGCCGAGCCCCGAGCGCUGGCCCGCUCUGGAGUCGCCCCUGACCCCGUCUCCCCCAACUCCGGCCGCUGAGAUCGCCAUCGUCGCCCCGCUCAGCUCCGGCCUUCCCCGAGCCCGCUUCGACGCUUGCUGCAAUCGCCGUGAGCUCAGCUCCGUCCUCCCCCUCUCUGUUAACUCUCUACUGCACCGUAUGCACCGCGCCACGCUCACCUGCACCCGCCGCCACCGAGCUCGUUGCCGACGUGACUCCAGCCACCCACCGGCCACACCAUUGUGACCAACACACUCACCGCACCCGCAGGAACCCGUAGCACUACUACACGCACCUCGUCGUGCCCCGUAGCCUCGUGUUCAACCUCACCCGAGCUCCGGCAGCUGCACAGCUCGUCGCCGGCGACGUUUCCGGCCACCCCGAGCUCCACCACUGCCACCAAAUGACGCGGCUUGCUCCCAGCUACGCGUAGAUGCUCUCCGCCUCCCAUUUGGUCGCUGGAGCAUGAAACCCGCACUGCCCCACCGUGUCUGGCCUCGCCGGCGGCUAAAUGCCGGCGAGUUUGACCUCGUUUGACCCUGGUUGACCCCGUGUGGGCCUAGGUUGACUUCCCCUGAGUCUAUGACACGUGGGACCGCUUUGCAAAUUAACUUAGAGUAGCACUAACUAAAUUUAGUUAGUUAAUUAACUACUGACACGCGGGUCCCACUAGUCAGGUUUGACCUGGACCGGCUCCGUUGACCAUUGACGUCACCCUGACGUAAUGCUGACGUAAUAAUUCUAUUACUGGAAUUAUUCUUAUAUAGGAAAUUCCAGAAAAUACUACAAACUUCAAAAAUUCAUAACUUUUAAUCUGUAACUGCAAAUGCAAAGAGUUAUAUAUGAAAUUUGAUCAGAAAAAUUCAAUCUUUCCAUCUGUAGUGGUUUCAUGCAUGACAAAACACUUUAACCUUGCUGUUUAGGUGAAACAAGCUAAUCCACUUAUAUGGCUUAAGAACAUAAGCUUUCAUUUGAAUCCUUGAUUCAAAUAGACUCAAACCAACUUGUUUCACAAUGCAUUAGCCAGGACACCCCAUAUUGCCAUGUCAUAGCAUGCAUCAUAUUUUUGCAUAUUGCCAUGUGAUGAUUGUGUUUUGUGGUGUCUUUCAUGGUAGGUUCUGCCUCCGAGGAUAUUUCCGAGUAUGCAAUUGAAGGGCAGUACCCUACUACUACUCCAUCAGGCAAGCAGCCCCAUUGAUCAUAUCGAUACAAUCCCAUGUUCUCGCUCCUGCUCUCAUUUACUGCAUUAAGACAAUAACGUUUCAAACUGCUGUGUGCAGCGGUAGUUGAACCCUUAUCCUCUGCAUGACCUGUCAUUGCCACAAUAACUAGAUGAAAGCCACUUGCAUGUGUAGGAGUUGAUUGAGCCAUGUAUGUGUUUCCUACCUUGCUAUGCCUGCUAUGCUUAGAGUUGGGUCAGGUCUGGUUCAUCUGGGUGAUGGACGAGAGUGAAAUGAUUACGUCGGUAAUGUGAGGGAUGUGUUGAACAUGAUUUGGUAAAGGUAUCAAUGAGAGGCCAUGUAGGAGUACAUGGUGGGUUGUUUCAUUGAGGCCGUCCCUAAGAACCGAGAUCUGUAUGCAUGAUUUAUGAUUCAGCUACUACCACACAUUGGGCCCUGAAAUAUGACCCCGCUCGACUUACUGACCUCUCUCGUCAUCUUUCUAGGAGUUGCACCUAGUUUCUGGUGUUUAUAGGUUAUGUGUUGGCGGCCAUGCGUAGCGCUGACCCUAAGGGUGGGCUAUGAUGUAGUAGAUACACCAUGGCCGGGAAUGCCGGGCACCCGUUUGGCGUCUCGGGACCCUGUACACAUCGUUUGGGACUGUUGAGGACACCCCGGCCGGAUUUCCUUGUUGUUGGAACCUGAAUAGGCGAUAAACCUGAACUAGAGACUUGUGCGGUUAGUCAGGUCGUGGUCUACACCCACGUCAGCUUUCGCUUGAAGUCUGCCGAGCACAUGUCGUGUGUAGACGCUAAGUCGUGGAAACAUGUGUGACGAAGUACAACCCUGCAGGGUAUAAAACUAUUCGAAUAGCUGCGUCCGCGGUAAAGGACUACUUGGUUGCCUAUGCAGUUCAUAGAAAAGUUAAUGGUUACUACUAAAAGACUCAAGAUAAGUGUGAGUACCGAGGAUGGCCCUCUCAUAGGAUGACGAGGGAGGAUCCUCGGUGGAGUAUUGUGUUGGUGAUUAGUGGACUCGUGUGCGAAAACUAUUUUACAAGUGGUGUCUCGUAGGAUAGCUUAGCCAAGAGUCAUAGCUGGCUUGCUGCAAUAACUCCACCACCUUCUUGAGAAUGAGCAUGUAUAGUAGGAUCUGUUGUAAGGCUUACUGAGUACCUUUGUACUCAUGUUGCUUUAAUUACUGUUUUCAGACGACAACACUGCCCCCUCCGACGGGUUUUACGUAGACCUCGACGUCGAUGAGUGACUUGCCACCCAGGUGGUGAUUCUGGCCAUGGAGGGCCCUAUGUAGAUAGACAGGCUUCGUCAAGCCUUCUUUCUUUCUAGUGUCUAUACUCAGACUAAUUUGCUUCCGCAUGUGCUUGUAUGCAUGUAUGACUUGAGUGUCGGGUCAUGUGACCCCUACCUGUAUGAACAUGUUAUGUAUGGCUCUCCGGAGCCUUUAAAUAAAGUACUUUGAGUUGUAGAGUUUUGUUGUGAUGCCAUGUUGUAUUUACACAUAUCGAGCAUAUUGUGUGUAUGAUUGAAAUGUUUGGUAUGUGUGGGAUCCGACAAUCUAGUUGUUUAUCCUUGGCAGCCUCUCUUAUGGGGAAAUGUAGUAUAGUGCUUCCAUGAGCCAUAGUAGUCCGCUACAGCCCGGUUCACCGGAGUCCUGCUAGCCCAGCACUACUGCUCAGGACACUUGACUGGCCGGCAUGUGUUUCACUUCGUUCCUGUGUCUCUCCCUUCGAGGAAAUGUCACGCGGUGACAUUCGGAGUCCAGCCUAGCCUGCUAGAGCCCAGGUUCCCGGAUUCCUGUUAGCCCAGUGCUACAGCCUGGAUUCACACGCUGCUGACCGACAUGCUCGAUGUGAUUCAUGUAUGCCUGUCCCCAUAGGUUAGUGCCUCUUUGGGUUCACGACUAGCCAUGUCGGCCUGGGUUCUCUGUCAUAUGGAUGCUAGAGACACUAUCAUAUACGUGAGCCAAAAGGCGCAAACGGUCCCGGGCCAUGGUAAGGCGACACCCAUGGGGAUACCGUGCGUGAGGACGCAAAGUGAUAUGAGGUGUUACCGGCUAGAUCAAUGUGACUUGGGAAUCGGGGUCCUGAUAGCGUUGGCAUUAGAGUCGGACUGCCUGUAGGUUCGUUGAGCCAAACUGGUUGAUGUCGAGUCUAGAAAUGCUUUAGCUAUAUGUAGGGAGAUUGAUUGUGGGAGGGAACGUAAGGCUCUUUUACUCCUUUACCUUAUGCCCUCUGAUCUGAGUCAUUCUCUUCUCAUUCUAUAUGGGUUAAGGAGUAGGCUUUCUUCUCUCUAUCAGGUUCACAUGUUACUAAUCCAUAGUAGCUUAUAGGAUUGUUGUCACAAGCCUCAGUAUAGUUUCUACUACUUUUAGUAUGUUGUCAGUUGAACCAGAACCUUGUUAUGAUGUUGUUGAGUGGUUUUGCAAACUGUUGUGAAUGUCUCAAAUCUUUUUCUGAGCAUUUACAGCCGUUAUGCUGUCCGAUUUCUCCUAGAAAAUUCUAAUGCCUUUGCAUUAUUCUGUGCUUUCAGAUGGCCACCCGUUCCCAGAACCAAGUGGUUCGUCUGACUCAGUGCCUCGAUGUACCCGGUCACACGGCCAUGCUGGUCCGGGUGAUGGUGGAGACAGGCUAUCGAUGGUAUCCUGAGUAUACCGUCGAGGAGCAGUUCCAAGAUUUCAAUCAGAGCCAAUACCUUUGUAUUGUCAGGAUAUAUCCCUCUUAUCCUAGAGCCACUGAACCCCUCCACUGCACUUAUGGACUUGGGGUUACUAUUGAGAUGUCUGUGCAGGACGCAGCUUACUCAAUGAUGGCUAUCAUUUGAGCCAGAACUACCUUGCUCCAGAACACCGAUUUUCGCUACAUGCCAGCCUCACUCGCUGGAGCACAGGGGUACCAUCAGGCUUUAUACUAUGACUCUACACAUGAGGAGUCACUACUCCGCACCACUGCCGAGAUACUUGAGGACAAGGACCACGAAAAUCGUGCCUUGCGAAUGGAGCUUUUAAACUCUCGUUCUGACCACUGGGCAACUUUGACUCUGUUUGCACUUGCCGUGCAGGCGGGAUACAUGGACAUGAGGGACCUGUACCCCGUACGGUUUGAAUUGCCAGAUUGUAUGGACUGGCGUGAUGUAGGAGGCAUCACCCCUCCUCGUGGUCCCUGGCUGCAACCGUUUGUGGGACCAAGGCCACAUCCAAGUCCCUAUGGCCCGCAAGCUCCACAGGACUCCUAGAUGAUCAUGUGCCGCUUCCAGGUUUUGGUGGUGACUUUUAUGAGGAUUACAACGGAGCUGUCUAAGCUAGUAGUAGUUUCACUAGUACUGUAAUAGUUGUAUUCUCCACAGUCCUGCGUGACCAGUGGGAUACGACUUGGUGUGUAUCACGUUCCGGAGGUGUAGAAAAAUAAUGUAUAGGAGCUUGGAAUGCCUCCGAUGAGAUGUAACUUCUUCCACCGUAGUUGUACUCUAGCCUAGGCUUGUACUAAACUAUGUACAGUGUGUAUGACCGAUGGUAUAUAUAUGGCAGUUUCUAUAUUACCAUGUCGUGCAAUGAACAUCUCAGCAUUCCAUGUUAUCCAUUACAUUUCGCACUUCUUUGCCAAGAUUGUGCCAUCCUUGUCUAAACCAUUGUCUUGUUUUUCCUAGGAUGGUUAACACCCGCAGCGACCCUGCUGCCUCGGAGCAGGGGGAAGCCAAUGCGGCUAGGGAUGAGAAUCUGCCUCACCCGCCUUCUCUGGCCGAAGUUAUGCUGGAGGCAGAAAGAAACAAGCGUGAGACUAACCGCUUGCUGGAGCGGAUUGAGCAGAACACUGCACGUCAUCAGUGAAACGACUUGGUGUCAAUCACCGACUUUAUCAAGUUGUACCCACCAAAGUUUAAUCAUUCCAUUGAGCCCCUCGACGCAGAUGAUUGGACUCGUAGCAUCACCCAUAAGCUAUGUUCUGCCAACGUAGCCGAAGCUGAUAAGGUUACCUAUGCUGCCUAUCACCUCGAAGGCCUUGCUAGCCUUUGGUGGGAAAACUUUGAGGCUAUGCGCCCGGUCGGCCAAAUCACUACUUGGGCUGAAUUCAGUGAGGCUUUCCGUGAGCAUCACAUCCCGGAAGGUCUCAUGGAUCGUAAGAGGUAAGAGUUCUGCAAUUUCACCCAAGGCAGACUGACUGUGGAUGCAUACAACCGUGAGUUUGGAAAUUUAGCACGUUAUGCUCCUAAAGAGGUAUCCACCGAUGCUAAGAAGCAGGCAAGGUUCCGCAAGGGACUUAGCCCCGAGCUUCACCGUGAUCUUCGUCUGCACGAGUGCACCUCCUUCCAGAAGCUGGUCAAUAAGGCCAUCAGUGCUGAGACAUGUCAGACUGACUAUGACGCUUCAUGCAAGCACUCCCGUGAUUUUGGUUCUUCAUCGGGCUCUGAAUCUCAGAAGCGCCGGGUGUGGAUUCCAAGCACAGCGCUGCCACCCAGGUUCACUCCGAGGCCAUCCUUUGAGGCGCCUCGCCCCAACCAGCAGUUUGCACCGCCUAAGACCUAUGGUGGCCCCGUUGCUAAUGCUGCUCCACAUCCCAAUGUUGUGACAUGUUUCAAGUGUGGAGAGCCGGGUCACUACAAUCGAGAGUGUCCCCAGAACAACAACCCCAACCAGUCUGGAAAGUCCGUUGGCCGUGGUAAGCCAGCGGGAAAGACAUUCUACGCCAAGCCAGCCACCACUACACGUGGCCAUGUCAAAUAUGUCUUAGCUGAGGAGGCUCAUGAUGAUCCUAAUGUCGUCCUUGGUAUGCUCCUUGUUAAUUGUCAUCCGACAUAUGUCCUUUCCGAUACUGGAGCAUCUCAUUCAUUCAUAUCCAAGAUCUAUGCUCAAUUGGAUAACACGACAUUCCGUGACAUGCCCAGUUCCAUGGAAAUUCAUACCCCUAGCUCUAGAUGGCAAACUUCUAGAGUAAGCCAUGGGAAUGAAAUUCUUGUCGAUAGACUUGUCUUACUUGCAUCUUUAAUAGCUCUCAAGUCCUCGGACAUAAACAUCAUCUUGGGUAUGGACUGGAUGUCAGCUCAUUAUGCUAAGAUUGAUUGUGCCACUAGAACCAUUCAACUUACUCACCCAUCAGGCAAGACAGUCAAUGUCUUAACUCGAGUGGCCAAGCGCCAGCUUUACUCCCUAAAUGCCAACCCCCUUCCAGACCUUGAAGAUAUUCCGGUAGUCUGAGACUUCCCAGAUGUCUUUCCAGAAGAACUGCCAGGUGUUCCGCCUGACAAGGAUGUCGAGUUCGUGAUAGACCUUGUUCUAGGAACCGUCCCAAUUUCUGGAAGACCCUAUAAGAUGGCACUCUUAGAACUAGCCGAACUUAAGAAACAACUCGAUGAGUCCUUGAAAAAAGGUUUCAUCCAUCCUAGUUCUUCUCCUUGGGCUUGCCCCGUCCUCUUCGUCAAGAAUAAGGAUGGAACGGAUCAGAUGGUUGUAGAUUACCGACCUGUCAACUUGGUCACUAUCAAGAACAAGUAUCCGCUUCCCAGGAUCAACGAUCUGUAUGAUCAGCUCACUAGAUCCUCAGUCUUUUCCAAAAUGGAUUUGAGGUUGGGCUACCAUCAAAUCAAAAUAAAAAACAGGGACAUUCGCAAAAUGGCCUUUGUUACUCGUUAUGGCCAAUACGAGUACACCAUCAUGUCCUUCGGUUUAACCAAUGCCCCAGCCACCUUCUCUCGGUUAAUGAACUCAAUCUUCAUGGAGUAUUUGGAUAAGUUCAUCGUGGUAUACCUCGAUGAUAUACUCAUCUACUCCAAGAACGAGAAAGAACAUGCCGAACAUCUAAGGCUGGUAUUGAUGAAACUUCGAGAGCAUAGCCUUUAUGCCAAAUUCUCCAAGUGUGAAUUUUGAUUGCCAGAAGUGACCUAUCUAGGCCAUGUAAUCUCUGGUAAGGGUAUUGUUGUCAAUCCCGAGUGAGUGCAAGCCGUCCUUGAUUGGACUCCACCUGAAACGGUCAAGCAAGUUCGGAGCUUCAUUGGCUUAGCGAGCUAUUGUCGCCGCUUCAUCGGGAAUUUCUCCAAGGUUGCUAAACCUCUAACUGAACUCCUCAAGAAAGAUAAAAAGUUCGAGUGGACCCUACAGUGCGAGUUCAGCUUUCCGGAACUGAAAAGACGCCUGACAUCUGCUCCUGUAUUGGUACCACCAGAUUUCUCCAACGACUUUAUUAUCUAUUGCGACGCCUCGCGACAAGGACUAGGUUGCAUACUCAUGCAAUAUCGUCAGGUAAUUGCCGAUGCUUCAUGAAAAUUACACCCACAUGAGGAAAACUAUUCCACACAUGAUCUAGAGCUUGUAGAUGUAGUCCAUGCACUUAAAACUUGGCGACAUUACCUUCUCGGUGAUUGUUGCGAGAUCUUCACCGAUCACCAAAGUUUGAAAUAUAUCUUCACCCAACUGGAUUUGAAUCUCAGGCAAAGACGUUGGGUCGAGUUGAUCUCAGAUUAUGUCUUAGGAAUAACUUACACCCCGGGAAAAUCCAAUGCCAUGGCUGAUGCACUAAGUCGUAAAUCCUAUUGUAACAAUCUGAUGUUACAACAAGGCCAACCACUUCUCCAUGAGGAAUUUUGGAAGCUUAACCUUCACAUUGUUCCUCAAGGAUUCUUAUCCACCCUGGUGGCGAAACCUACCCUUACGGAUCAGAUCAUCAAAGCACAGAAGGUAGAUCUGGGAAUCUCCCGUAUUAAGAGAAACAUUAAGAAAUGAGUCACAAAUUGUUUCUCUGUUGAUGAUCAAGGUGUCGUAUUCUUUGGAAACCGCUUAGUGGUUCCCAAGGCACGAAACCAGAGGCGGUUGAUUCUUAAGGAAGCUCAUCAAUCCCCUCUCACCAUUCAUCCCAGUAGUACUAAAAUGUAUCAAGACCUACGCCAGAGGUUUUGGUGGACUAGGAUGAAGAGAGAAAUUACUCAAUACAUUGCUAGUUGCGACGUCUGUCGUCGUGUUAAAGCAGAGCAUCAACGGCCUGCUGGCACCCUUCAACCUUUGGCUAUUCCUGAAUGGAAAUGGGAUAAGAUCGGUAUGGAUUUCAUUUCCGGGUUUCCCAGGACCAAGAAAGGGAAUAAUGCUAUCUUCGUCAUGAUCGAUCGUCUCCCCAAAGUAGCCCACUUCCUACCUGUUCGUGAGAGUAUAAUCGCUAGCCAGCUAGCUAGCUUAUACAUCUCCAGAAUAGUGUCUCUUCAUGGUGUCCCAUUGGAAAUUAACUCAGACCGUGGAAGUCUCUUCACCUCACGAUUUUGGGAAAGUUUCCAAAAUGCUAUGGGAACUCGUCUCUCUUUUAGCACCGCCUUCCACCCCCAAUCAAGUGGUCAAGUAGAGCGAGUAAAUAAAAUUCUGGAGGAUAUGCUCCGAGUUUCUGUCAUCUCAUUCGGAAUGGACUGGGAGAAAUGCUUUCCAUUCGCGGAGUUCGCUUAUAACAAUAGUUAUCAAGCUAGCUUGGGCAAAGCUCCUUUCAAAGUUCUCUAUGGACGAAAAUGUCGAACGCCUCUUAACUGGUCAGAAACUGGGGAAAGACAACUCUUUGGCCCGGAUAUGAUUCAGGAAGAAGAAGAGUAGGUUCGCGUUAUUCGUGAGAAAUUGAACACAGCCCAAUCUCGUCAAUAGAGCCAAUAUGACCGCAAACAUAAGCUCAUGACUUAUGAAGUCGGCGAGAAGGCUUAACUUCGGGUUACUCCUUUAUAGUGAACCCAUCGUUUUGGUAUCAAAGGCAAAUUGGCUCCUCGUUACAUUGGACCCUUUCGCAUUCUUGCCAAAUGAGGAGAAGUUGCCUACCAAUUGGAACUACCUCCGCAUCUCUCCAGAGUUCCUGAUGUCUUCCACGUUUCACAACUCAGGCGUUGCUUUGCGGAUCCUAUCUGUGGAGUGGACCACAAAACGCUUGAUCUCCAAGAUAAUCCCACAUAUCGGGAAUAUCCCGUUCGUAUCCUUGAUCAAGCCGAGCGUACCACUCGAUGCCACAACAUCAAGUUUCUCAAGGUUCAAUGGUCACACCAUUCUGAGAAAGAAGCCACUUGGGAAAGGUAGGAUCGUCUUCGACUUGAGUACCCCACCUUCUUCCCAACGGAUCCUAAAUCUCGGGACGAGAUUCUUUUGAGUGGGGGUGAGUUGUCACACCCUAGCUAGUUCAUGCAUUAGAGUGUUGCAUCAUGUGUACUCUUCCAGAAAACUGAAAUGGGGAUGGCAGAACCCCCAGCACCCCCCUGGAAACAACUAUGGUUUACUAAAAUCUUUUUCAAUGAACCUGAAAUGGCCUUCUAAAAAGUCCACCCUUUUUGCUUUGGGGUUAGAACCUCUGACAAAAUGGGUUCACAUUUUUCCAGGACACAUAAGGUCAUUGGAUUAAAUCAUUACUAUUUGCAUUUGGAUAAUUUAAAUCCUAUAAAUAUUUUAGAAUGCCCAAAUAAUCCUGAAAGUAUUUUUAGGCUGUUGAGAAUAUUCCCAAAUGUGCCUAUGAAUAUUUCCAGGUUUUUCCUAAAUGGAAUAGUAUUUUUAAUAUUUCAAAACACAGAACAGGAAUAAAUAAAAAAGAAAAACAAAAGCACAGAGCAGAGGCUUAUCUGGCGCCCACCUAGCAGGCCCACCUAGCUGGCCCAGCCCAGCAACCCCUCUAGAGAGCUGCUUGCCUCGGCCAGGCAGGCAGGCAGGUGCUCGACGCCGGCACCAGCGCGCGCCAUGCAGCCGCCCGCCGCCCUGCUUCCUCCCCUCGCUGUUCUGCUGCCCUGAGCCGGUCACCCACUCCUCCCCCGAGCUCGCAGACACACCCUAUUGGUGUCAAAACCGGCGGAUCUCGGGUAGGGAGUCCCGAACUGUGCGUCUAAGGCGGAUGGUAACAUGAGGCAAGGAACACGAUGUUUUACCCAGGUUCGGGCCCUCUCGAUGGAGGUAAAACCCUACGUCAUGCUUGAUUAAUAUUGUUGAUAUGGGUAGUACAAGAGUAGAUCUACCACGAGAUCAGAGAGGCUAAACCCUAGAAGCUAGCCUAUGGUAUGAUUGUAUGUUAUUGUUCUGUCCUACGGACUAAAACCCUCCAGUUUAUAUAGGCACCGAAGAGGGUUAGGGUUACACAAGGUCGGUUACAAAGGAGGAGAUAUCCAAAUCCGUACUGCCUAGCUUGCCUUCCACGCCAAGUAGAGUCCCAUCCGGACACGAGACGAAGUCUUAAAUCUUGUAUCUUCAUAGUCCAACAGUCCGGCCAAAGGAUAUAAUCCGGCUGUCCGGAGACCCCCUAAUCCAGGACUCCCUCAGUAGCCCCUGAACCAGGCUUUCAAUGACGUUGAGUCCGGCGUGCAGUGUUGUCUCCGGCAUUGCAAGGCGGGUUCCUCCUCCAAACAUAUCACAGAAGAGUUUGAAUACAAGGAUAGUGUCCGACCCUGCAAAAUAAGUUCCACAUACCACCGUACAGAGAAUAAUAUUUGCACAAAUCUUAAUCUGCUGACACGUUUUGGCAACAUGACAUCAUGCCAUGGCUCGGUGAUUAUUCGAACCAUUUUUCUUUAACCAGCUCCACACAUAACGCGAGGCAGUUUCUUGACACGUCUUUUCAAAGCAGAGAUCGUGUUCCCCUAAUUACGGGAUUCUCAUCAAUAUGGUCGUGGGUAACCCAACCGUGUCUAGGACUCCUAGAUUAUAGGCAAGUCCCAAACGGCUAUGGAGAGGACGCUUGAUAUUCACCCUCUUUAUAAAGGGACAAGGCUUUUACUUUUUCCCUCCCGUGCUCAAUCGAAUCCUUCCCCCGCCUCGAGUUCUAACACCCAAAGCCCAGGUAAGGUGCUUCGGACCUUCAACUAUGUCCGGAUCUAGCCUUCAAGGCCGGUGGAUGCCCUCCUCCGUUACGGAAGAGGAUAUCAAGAAGUUGAGGGAGGCCAGAUACCUGACCGUCGAGGUUUCGCAUCGGCUGCCUGCCCGAGGGCAGGUCAUCCCUACUCCUGAACCCAACAAGAACGUUGUGUUCAUCUCCCACUUCCUCCGAGGUCUAGGACUCACUCUGGAUCCCUUCGUUAGGGGUUUGAUGUUCUAUUACGGGCUAGAUUUCCACGAUCUAGCCCCGGACUCCUUUCUCCACAUCUCGGCAUUUAUUGUGGUAUGUGAGGCCUUCCUCCACAUUACCCCUCACUUCGGCCUGUGGCUCAAGACCUUCGACGUGAAGCCGAAGGUGGUCGAGGGGCAGCACGCAGCGUGCAGAGGCGCAUUAAUAAGCAAGAUCGCUGGAGCUUCAUGGCCAAAGGGUUCCUUUCCAGAGGUGUCCGGAUUAUGGCAACGGGAGUGGUUUUACAUCACAGCUCCUAGAAGUGCCAAGUGGGUGGCUGCCCUUGCUUUCCGCUCGGGCCCUCCACCACAACUAAUGUCAUGGAUUAGCAGAGGGCUAAGCUGGGAUCCAGCCAAGGACGUGCCUAUACUGCAGAGCCGCAUUCAGGAUCUCUUCGAAGGAGAUUUCAGUCUAGUUACGGUGGUGCAAGUCAUGCUGGUUCGUCGAGUCCAGCCUUGCAAACGCCGACCCCUCCACAUGUGGGAGUUCAACCCAGAAGGGCCGCGCACUAUUCAGAAUUCCUUGGUCUGACGCAUGAGGAGAUGUACAAAUCAUUCUUCGGACCCCAAAUAGAGUGUCCGGAUACUAUCGAGGACGUGGUCCUGAGCAGCAACCGUACCGUCGACCAAGUAAGUAAUCCUUUAGCCGAACACACCGUAUUUCAUUUACCAUGACAUCAUUCUGAGAAAUCACUCUUUGACUAGGACUGGCUAACAAGGGCGAAGAUGAUUCGGUGUUCGGCCCCCCUUCCUGAGGGUUUGGAGAAUCCGGUACUAGAAAAGAUGCUUGAGCUAGCACCUUGCCCAGAGCCCUCAAAGGAAGAUAAAGGGGGAAUAAUGAGGUCGAAAGCGGGCCCCCAUCGCUACCAAUUCCAACCGAGGGAGUGAGCGCCUCCGUGAAGGAGGAUAACCAAGGGGAAGAGCCUGACCUUUUCUCGCUUCAUGGAAGGAAGAGGACUGCCUCUGAAGAUCCGGAAACCAAGGCUUCCAAACGGGAGAAGAAGUCUCCACCAGAUGGUCCUGCCUUGGAGGGUGCUCUUGCCGCACAAAGUCCGCACGAGGAUCAACCCUCCAACGUGCUGUAAGUAAUCAAAAAGUACUUUAAUAGUGGAGAUAUACUACCUUACCUCUAAGGAAAAUAACCGAAGCGUUUAUCUUGCAGUUCGGAUCUUAGCCCUUCUCAGCAGAGCUCGUCUUCGGCGGAUCUUCUUCCGGAGAUGAUGGAGAGUGAAACGCCUCCCCCGGACUCCCCCGCUCAAGAAGCGGGCGACCUUGAAGUGCCGUCACGGAGGGCCUCUCCGGAUCCAGUGAGGCCAGAAGAUAAUCCUAUAGUCACCCGAAGUCCCCAGCGUCCGGCUCUUGAAGAGAGCAAACAAAAGAGUCCGGCACUGUCUGGUAUGCGGUCGGACGUACUAAGGGAGCUGUUGGAGCGAGCGGCCAUCUCAGAAGAACACCGUACGUUGAUGGGUACAGUGAUGGAAAGAAUUUCGUCCGCCAAAAGUGGAUUGCAUGAAGCCUUUAUGAGUCUACUGACGGGCUUUGAGGUACGUGAAAUGAUAUACUUUUUGAUAGUACUGCACAUUUUUAGGUGUGCCCUGUGUAGAUAGUGGCCCCUAAGACUCUAGUUGUCGUCGAGAACGGCAGCAAACAAAGGAUCGUAGUCCCACGUAAUAACCAAACCGCCUUUAUGUGCAGGUGGUGGAAGCUCCGGUGCCUAGCCGGACUAAUGAGUUUGCCGAGCUAAAGCGGCAACUAGAUGCGACAGAUGCCGACAUCGAUCUUGUUAACAAGCGGCUUGACGAGGCACGGGGUAAGUAAUGUUUUCUGGUGAAUUUUACAUAGUAAGAGCAGCGUAACGCUAGUAUCUUUAAUAUGUUGUGACUGCAGAUGGAGCUGCCACCGUGGAGAUCCUUCGGGCGGAACUUGCCCGAGCCAAGGAACAAGCAAGAAUUAGUAUGCGGCCGCUUUAAAGGCGGUCGAAGAGUUAAGAGCUGAAAGGGCUACACAUUGCGAGAGCAAAGAUAAAAUGGCCAAGAUGGAUGUAAAGUUAAAAGACACUGCCGACCGCUGCCAGCUCCUUGAAGAAGAAAACCGAGCGAAGGCGACGGACCUUGAAAAGGCCGCGGUGGUGACCAAACACACCUUCUCUGCUAUGAGGGCAAAGAAGGAAGAGCUGCGAGAAGCUAGGGAUAUUGCGGCUGGGAAGCCCUUUUUGCUGCGGAGGAAGUUCGGAGAUCCGUGGUAUGCCCCUCUGGAUCGGCUGUGGAGUUCGGCAGAUGCAUAUAUGGACUUGGCGGCGAGCGCUGUCGAUGCGGCCGAAUACUUCUGAGAUCAAACAGAUCGUGAAGUGGACAACCUGUUCUGGUCGCAGUUUAACAUUCCAGAGCGUCCACUUCCAUUGACUGAUCAGCUAGCCGAACGGACCGAACUCAACAGGUUGUCCGGACUCGCCAUGAGGUCCGUCGUAGAUCAUCUAUGGCCAGAAAAAUUGAAGCCGAACAGCUAUUUCAGCUUAGUGCAGCAGUUCCUUGGAGAGGUGCCGCGCAUCAAUGCGAUGAAGAGGUCGGCGUGUAUAGAGGGCUCGCGGAUGGCCCUUGCCCGUGUCAAAGCAUACUGGGCGGAGAUGGAUGCUACCACUGUUGCGGCGCAGGGUUCGGCCAUAGGCCGAGUGGCUGCCGAGCACUAUUUCGAAGAAGUUCUCGAGGGCGCUUGUUUGAUAGAGGCCCAGUGCUCGAAGAAUAUUAUGUUUGAGUGACAUGUAUUCCCAUUGUAAACACAAUGUUUUUAUGAAAUUUAUUAAGGUUGUACUUAUACUUUUGCCCGAAAGUAAUAUGAUGCCUCCUGUGCGGCCGUUUAUGUGUACAUGUGUAUAACCUGAAAGAUUGCAGUCGUUGGCUUCAGCCCCCACGCAUAUAAUGCGGGGGUGUUUGCAGAAGACGCGUAUUCACACUUAAUCCAACGUCUUGGUCCUAAUAAGGAGGUGAUGGCACAGCGAACUAGGCAACCGGAUAUAAUGUUUUAACACUUUCACUUAGCCAUAUGAGUUUGACAGUGGGGCUACUAUAUAGCCCCUAAUGGCUCCACACUCUCCCAAAUUCGGGGUGUGUACAUGCCUGGCCAGGAAACGACCCUUCAUUAAGGCGGAGGAAUUCUAACAUUCCGAUAGGUCAUCGAGUGGUUGACCAGUCUCACGCUAUAUCAGGACAGUUAGUUUUCGGCUUUCUCUACUGAGGUGCUCGUCCAGAUGAACCGUGGCACAAUUGCAAUAGUUCUCCUGGUGCCGCCUUAGCCGAUAGAGCGGAACAUAAGGCAGAAAAACAUAGGAGCCGGGCAAACCCAACAUUUGACCAAAGACAUGAUUCGGAGUUGAUGCAUAUAAGGCCAAACUCGCGACGCCGAACACUCCCUAAGGUAUUCGGUCUUUAUGGUAUAAACCGGGCCUAAAUAGUGCCCUUUGUAAGAAGCCCCUGGUGUCCAGGUACGUGCAUUAUUCUGACGUGGCCACAUGCCAAGACGUCAGCAUCCUUCUCAACUGUACUGAGAAUCCGAGGGAUGUGUAUCAACAAGAGACAGUAAAAAAGGUUUACGUAGGGUCUUAAUCUAAAAAGAAUCCUUGGAACGGGUCCCUGCUGCACGUCUGCGCCUGUGUCUCCGUUGUGACGUAUCCUGUACGGGUGUAGCACGAUGGUCAUCUGUAAAAGAGAGAAACUUAGAUGAACAGUUGUCGUGCAAAAAGGUAGGUUUAAAGAAACCAUGUACAGUUCAAGAUGAGUAAAAAUUGCCACUUGUCUGCGCGCAUUGAGCCCCUUGUAUUUGUAAUAGGGGUGUGGCCAUCAAACCUGUAUGAAUUGCAUGUAGCUACACCGGACUCGUCUAACCGUGUCCGUCGUCUUGACGACCUAUCAAAUGCUUUAGUUGGUGAAGCCGUUUUUAGUGUGCGGCUGCCAAGGCAGUCGCACUCUCUUCGGCGCUCAAGGAUCGCUCAAUAUUUCCAUUCACUAUAAUGAUGCCACGUGGACCGGGCAUCUUAAGCGUGAGGGAAGCGUAAUGCGGUAUCGCAUUAAAGCGAGCGAAAGCUUCGCGUCCAAGUAGUGCUUGAUAGCCACUUUGGAACGGAGCAAUGUGGAAGGUUAUAUUUUCGCUACGGAGGUUAUCGGGGACGCCGAAUAUAACCUCUAGUAGCAGGGAGCCCGUGCAAUGAGCCCCUGGGCCUGGCGUUACUCCUUUAAAGGUAGUAUUGCUGUGGCAAAUUUUUGUUGGGUCUAUCCCCAUUUUGCGGAUUGUGUCCUGAUAUAUCAGGUUUAGACUGCUGCCACCGUCCAUCAGGACUCGUGUGAAAUGGUAUCCGUCAAUUAUUGGGUCUAAUACCAAGGCAGCCCAUCCUGCACGCCGGAUACUUGUUGAAUAAUCCCGAUGGUCGAAAGUGAUCGGUUGAGACGACCAGUGGCAGGACUCCACGGUGAUAGGCCCUUGGGCAUAUUUCUUUGGGAGUGCCGCUUUAUUUCUCCCCUUGAUCACAUGUAACACGUUCACUGUUUUGACUUUUGGUGGAAAUUUCUUUUGUUCCCCAGUGUCUUGCUUGAGAGGCUCAUCCUCGUCUUCGCUUGGUGUAUCCUCCCCCUUGUGUACGGCAUUGAGCUUGCCGGACUGCUUGAAGACCCAACAUUCUCUGUGGGUAUGAUUAGCGGGUUUACCAGGGGUGCUAUGGAUCUGACAUAUUUGGUCCAGAAUUUUGUUUAAGCUAGACAGUUCGGUGUUUACUGCCAUGCUCUUCGGGCUAUCUUCUUUCUUCCGGCGCGGAUUAUUUUUGCUGCAUCGUGAUUUCCCAUUUCCAUCUCUAACUUCGGAUGUACUUGGGUCGCUGGUGCUGCAUCUGGCUAGCCAGCUGUCCUCACCUGCGCAAAAGCGGGUCAUGAGGCUUGUUAAUGCUGUCAUUGUUCUCGGCUUUCUUGGCCGAGGUGUCUGGAAAGCCAUUCGUUGUGGACGCUAUGCUUAAAAGCUGCCAAGGCUUCGGCGUCCGGACAGGCGACUAUUUGGUUCUUUUUAGUAAGAAACCUAUUCCAAAGCUUUUGGGCUGACUCUCCGGGUUGUUGAGUUAUAUGACUCAAAUCAUCCGUGUCUAGAGGUUGGACAGAAGUCCCUUGAAAAUUUGCCCGAAAAGCGUCUUCGAGCUCUUCCCAGAUUCCAAUGGAGCUUUCGGGGAGGCUUUUGAUCCAGUGCCGAGCUGGCCCUUUGAGUUUGAGGGGUAAAUACUUAAUGGCGUGGAGAUCAUAACCUCGAGCCAUAUGGAUAUGGAGGAUAUAGUCCUCAACCCAGACCCCAGGGUCUGUUGUUCCGUUGUAUGCCUCUAUGUUUACGGGUUUGAAUCCCUCUGGAAAUUCAUGGUCCAGCACCUCGUCGGUGAAACAUAGGGGGUGUGCGGCACCCCUGUAUCUGGGCGUACCAUGGUGUUCGGAUGUUUGUUGUGUUGCAUCAUAUGCUGGAGCGCGCUUGCGUGGCCCAUAUAUGGAUCUGGUUGCGCCGUCCUUUUGAUGCGAGCCCUCGCGUGGAUCGCGAAUUGUCUUAUGUGCGGCGUUGUUUGCCGCUGUAUGUUGGCCGUGAGAUUGUCUAUCCGGCCAGAUGGCCGUUUUAAUUUUUGGUUGUGGGGGAUCUAAGGCAUCCUCAUCGAAUUCAGGUAGCAACUUCCGCUUCAGGUAGCUCUUGGUGGGGUGAUUACCGCCGUACUUCGCUGCUGUAUUGAGCACUUUACUCCAUCUGAUUCGGAGUGUGUCUUGCGCAGCCUUGAGCCUUUGCUUCUGCUUUUUUAGACUCCUCGUGGUGGCAAAAAGCCUUUGACGGGCAUUAUGUUGCUCCGGGUGUCUCUCUGGUAUGAUGUCAUCCGGACUAUUAUCUUUGAAAGAGUCGGGUUGUUCGGUUUGAUUCUCCGUGUUGCCGUGGUCCGGCGAUGGUUCACCCUGCUCUAACGCUGGGUCUGUAUGAUCGUUGUUUCUGCCGAGGCAGGAUUUGGAGCGGCGCUUACGCCGCCGCUUUGACUGCUUCUCGAGGGGACAACCCUUCGUUGCGUCCUUCCGUUCCUCGUCGUCGUCUUCUUUUGGUGUGUCCACCAUGUAUACGUCAUGUGAUGAAGUGGGCAUCCAGUGCCCUGUGGGUAGUGGUUCCUGUUCAUCUCCUGCAUCAUCGUCCAUACCGUCGAUGCCUUCGGAGUCGGAGUCGAGCAUGUCGGUUAAGUCAUCGACAGUGGCUACUAAGUGGGUGGUGGGUGGGCGGCGAAUUUCUUCGUCAUCUACAUCCCAAUCCCGCCGGACAUAGUUCGGCCAGGACUCUCCUGACAAGGAGAGAGACUUUAAUGAGUUCAGUAUGUCGCCAAAGGGUGAGUGCUGAAAGAUAUCCGCGGAGGUAAACUCCAUGAUCGGCGCCCAACUGGAUUCGACAGGAACUGGCACAGGCGGUUCGGAGUCCGUGGCCGGAGAAGUAUCCGGCAGUUUAACAACACGGCUCUCGUGAAGGGUAAGAUCGAUAUUCGGCUCGAUCGCCGUUGGGGAUGCGGCCUCUAUGGCGGGGUCUAUCCACCCGUCCAUGGGAGGCGCAACUGGCUCCAAAUUAAUGGUCGGAGCGGCUGCCAAUGUGAUUUCUUGAACACUGUCCGAUGGCAGAGCUACAUCGUAUUCAUCGUUACCGCGCGACGCACAAGGCAGGGGCUCGAACCGUCGAAGAUCAAGUCUUUGUGGAUAUCGGUCGUGUAAUGUAAGCUUCCAUACCUGACUUGAUGGCCAGGGGCGUAGCUUUCGAUCUGCUCUAGAUGGCCAAGUGAGUUGGCCCGCAGUGCGAAGCCGCUGCACACGAAGAUCUGUCCAGGGAGAAAAGUCUCACCCUGGACUGCAUCGCUAUCGAUGAUCGUAGGAGCCAUCAAGCCUAACAGCGACGACACAGAGGAACUCUCAAUGAAAGCACCAAUGUCGGUGUUAAAACCGGUGGAUCUCGGGUAGGGGGUCCCGAACUGUGCGUCUAAGGCGGAUGGUAACAGGAGGCAAGGAACACGAUGUUUGACCCAGGUUCGGGCCCUCUCGAUGGAGGUAAAACCCUACAUCCUGCUUGAUUAAUAUUGUUGAUAUGGGUAGUACAAGAGUAGAUCUACCACGAGAUCAGAGAGGCUAAACCCUAGAAGCUAGCUUAUCGUAUGAUUGUAUGUUAUUUUUCUGUCCUACGGACUAAAACCCUCCGGUUUAUAUAGACAUCAGAGAGGGUUAGGGUUGCACAAGGUCGGUUACAAAGGAGGAGAUAUCCAUAUCCGUACUGCCUAGCAUGCCUUCCACGAUAAGUAGAGUCCCAUCCAGACACGAGACGAAGUCUUCAAUCUUGUAUCUUCAUAGUCCAACAGUCCGGCCAAAGGAUAUAAUCCGGCUGUCCGGUGACCCCCUAAUCCAGGACUCCCUCACGCCCCUUCCUCCCCAGCUCCCCUCCCUCGCUCUCCCGCACCAUGGCCGACGCUACCGCGCCCGCGCCACCGUGAUAACCGCGUCCGCGGUCGUCCCUGUGCCGCGUCACCGUGUCCGUUCGCUCCGCCAUCGUCGUCCACGUCGAGCAGGCCGAGCCCCGAGCGCUCACCCGCUCUGGAGUCGCCCCCGACCCCGUCUCCCCCAACUCCGGCCGCCGAGAUCGCCAUUGUCACCCCGCUUAGCUCCGGCCUUCCCCGAGCCCGCUUCGACGCUUGCUACAAUCGCCGUGAGCUCAGCUCCGUUAACUCUCUCCUGCACCAUAUGCACCGUGCCAUGAUCACCCGCACCCGCUGCCGCCGAGCUCGUUGCCGACGUGACUCCGGCCACCCACCGGCCACACCACUAUGACCAACACACUCACCGCACCCACAGGAACUCGUAGCACUACUCCACAUGCCUCGUCAUGCCCCGUAGCCUCGGGUUCGACCUCACCCGAGCUCCGGCAGCCGCACAGCUCGUCGCCGGUGACGUUUCCAGCCACCGCGAGCUCCACCACUGCCACCAAACGACGCGGCUUGCUCCCAGCUAUGCGUAGAUGCUCUUCGCCGCCCAUUUGGUCGCCGGAGCACGAAACCCGCACUGCCCCGCCCUGUCUGGCCUCGCCGGCGGCUAAACGCCGGCGAGUUUGACCCUGGUUGACCCCGUGUGGGCCCAGGUUGACUUCCCCUGAGUCUAUGACACAUGGGACCGAUCUGCAAAUUAACUUAGAUUAGUACUAACUAAAUUUAGUUAGUUAAUUAACUACUGACACGCGGGUCCCACUGGUCAGGUUUGACCUGGACCGGCUCUGUUGACCACUGACGACCCUGACGUAAUGCUGACGCAAUAAUUCAAUUACUGGAAUUAUUCUUAUACAGGAAAUUCUAGAAAAUACAACAAACUUCAAAUUUUCAUAACUUUUAAUCUGUAACUCCAAAUGCAAAGAGUUAUAUAUGAAAUUUGAUCAGAAAAAUUCAAUCUUUCCAUCUGUAAUGGUCUCAUGCCUGAAAAAACACUUCAACCUUUCUGUUUAGGUGAAACAAGCUAAUCCACUUAUAUGGAUUAAGAACGUAAGCUUUCAUUUGAAUCCUUGAUUCAAAUAGACUCAAACCAACUUGUUUCACAAUGCAUUAGCCAGGACACCCCAUAUUGCCAUGUCAUAGCAUGCAUCAUAUUGUUGCAUAUUGCCAUGUGAUGAUUUUGUUCUGUGGUGUCUUUCGUGGUAGGUUCUGCCUCCGAGGAUAUUUCCGAGUAUCCAACUAAAGGGCAGUACCCUACUACUACUCCAUCAGGCAAGCAACCCCAUUGAUCAUAUCGAUACAAUCCCAUGUUCUCGCUCCUGCUCUCAUUUACUGCAUUAAGACAACAAUGUUUCAAACUGCUAUGUGUUGCGGUAGUUGAACCCUUAUCCUCUGCAUGACCUGUCAUUGCCAUAGUAACUAGAUGAAACCCACUAGCAUGUGUAGGGGUUGAUUGAGCCAUGUAUGUGUUUCCUACCUUGCUAUGCCUGCUAUGCUUAGAGUUGUGUCAGGUCUGGUUCAUCUGGGUGAUGGACUAGAGUGAAAUGAUUACGUCGGUAAUGUGAGGGAUGUGUUGAACAUGAUUUGGUAAAGGUAUCGAUGAGAGGCCAUGUAGGAGUACAUGGUGGGUUGUUUCAUUGAGGCCAUCCCUAAGAACUGAGAUCUGUAUGCGUGAUUUAAGAUUCAGCUACUACCACAUAUUAGGCCCUGAAAUAUGACCCCGCUCGACUUACUAACCCCUCUUGUCCUCUGUCUAGGAGUUGCAACUAGUUUCUGGUGUUUAUAGGUUAUGUGUUAGCGGACGUGCGUAGCGCUGACCCUAGGGGUGGGCUAUGAUGUGGUAGAUACACCGUGGCCGGGAAUGCCGGUCGCCCGUUUGGCGUCUCAGGACCUUGUACACAUCGUUUGGGGCCGUUGAGGACACCCCGGACGGAUUUCCUUGCGGAUGGAACCCGAAUAGGCGAAAACCUGGACUAGAGACUUGUGCGGUUAGUCAGGUCGUGGUGUACACCCACGUCAGCUUUCGCUUGAAGUCUGUCGAGCACAGGUCGUGUGCAGACGCUAAGUGGUGGAAACAUGUUUGACGUAGUACACCCCUGCAGGGUAUAAAACUAUUCGAAUAGCCGCGUCCACGGUAAAGGACUACUUGGUUGCCUAUGCAGUUCAUAGACAAGUUAAUGGUUACUACUAAAAGACUCAAGAUAAGUGUGAGUACCGAGGAUGGCCCUCUCGUAGGAUGACGAGGGAGGAUCCUCGGUGGAGUAUUGUGUUGGUGAUUAGUGGACUCGUGUGUGAAAAUUAUUUUAGAGUGGUGUCUCGUAGGAUAGCUUAGCCAAGAGUCAUAGCUGGCUUGUUGCAAUAACUCCACCACCUUCUUGAGAAUGAGCAUGUAUAGUAGGAUCUGUUGUAAGACUUGCUGAGUACCUUCGUACUCAUGUUGCUUUAAUUACUGUUUUCAGACGACAACACCACCCCCUCCGACGGGUUUUACGUAGACCUCGACGUCGAUGAGUGACUUGCCACCCAGGAGGUGAUUCUAGCCAUGGAGGGCCCUGUGUAGAUAGACAGGCUUCAUCAAGCCUUCUUUCUUUCUAGUGUCUAUACUCAGACUAAUUUGCUUCCGCAUGUGCUUGUAUGCUUGUAUGACUUGAGUGUCGGGUCAUGUGACCCCUACCUGUAUGAACAUGUUAUGUAUGGCCCUCCGGAGCCUUUAAAUAAAGUACUUUGAGUUGUAGAGUUUUGUUGUGAUGCCAUGUUGUAUUUACACAUAUUGAGCAUAUUGUGUGUAUGAUUGAAAUGCUUGGUAUGUGUGGGAUCCGACAAUCUAGUUGUUUAUCCUUGGCAUCCUCUCUUAUGGGGAAAUGUAGUCUAGUGCUUCCAUGAGCCAUAGUAGUCCGCUACAGCCCGGUUCACCGGAGUCCUGCUAGCCCAGCACUACUGCUCAGGACACUUGACUGGCCGGCAUGUGUUUCACUUCGUUCCUAUGUCUGUCCCUUCGGGGAAAUGUCACGCGGUGACAUCCGGAGUCCUGCCUAGCCUGCUAUAGCCCGGGUUCCCGUAGUCCUGUUAGCCCAGUGCUACAGCCCGGAUUCACAAGCUGCUGACCGACAUGCUUGAUGUGAUUCAUGUAUGCCUGUCCCCUUAGGUUAGUGCCGCUUUGGGUUCACGACUUGCCAUGUCGGCCCGGGUUCUCUGUCAUAUGGAUGCUAGUGACACUAUCGUAUACAUGAGCCAAAAGGCGCAAACGGUCCCGGUCCAUGGUAAGGCGACACCCGUGGGGAUACCGUGCGUGAGGCCGCAAAGUGAUAUGAGGUGUUACCGGCUAGAUCGAUGUGACUUGGAAUCGGGGUCCUGACAAAACCCUAGCUAGACGGGCCACAGCCCCCGCACAGCCCCGUUGUUACCCUGAUCCAUCGCUAAAACUAGUAUAAAUAACAACUGCUUGUUCCUCAAAAACAACUGCGCGACUUGCUGGGUCCCUAGUGUUAGCCGCUCGUAGUGUAAUUCUCUCGUUUAUUGACUACAUUGACAAUGGAGUGAGCCCCAGAUGUCCAACCAUUAGGAGGAACCAUAUUUUUGGGCUUGUACUAUAGAGGCACUUGCUUGCGUACUGCCAUGACGCUGGUGGGUCCCUACUGUCAUCCUCUCCACGUACAGUCAUCUCCUUGUUCCUCUCGGUUGUUGACGACGUUGACAAUGCAAGAGGGCGGCGCACCGCGCACGGCGAGCGAACCAAGGCCGCAAGGCGGAGGACGACAGCGAGGCCACAUACAGAACGAACAGGAGCCGUUGAAGAUGCAUCGGUCCAGUCGCAGGCGGAGUGGAGUACGGGGGUUGACUGGUUUGGGCGUGGGUGCGUGUUGGGCCUGACGUCGCUGGAGAAUAACAGGACAUGUGGGGGAAUAGAGGGAGGGACUUGCCAAUGUUGGAGGGUACGUACGGUAGGGCGGCGGAGGCGCAGCCAGCCAUAGGAGGCGGGAGCAGGCGGAGCCGACGAGGUGGUUUGGUUUGGGCGAUUGGAGGAAGAAGAAGACAAGAGAUAGAAGAUACAUGACAGAUGUUGGAUGUCAAUCCAACGGCUGGUAGGCAGAAUCGUUUGUUGACUGGCUAGUGAGUCGACACCACCUUGGAUAGGCUAUUUCCUCGUGGGUCCCAAAUGUCAGAAUCCAAAUCUGUCACGAUGAUGCAGCCUUUCCUAUGAAAAUUUAUAGCCCAUUUGAUGUGCUAGUUCGAAAUAAGUUUGUGGGUGCUGGUGGGGGCUAAUCACUUGGCUUCUGGAAUGCACAGUGAGCUCAAGUAGCCGGCAAGAGUGAUGUUAUUUCCCUUGGUUUGGAUUUGUUACAAUAUUUCACUCUAAAUUAAACGAAUGGCAAGCCAUUUGCCUUGUUUCAAAGAAAAUAUGACAGUCACAACCGAGUUGAAAAGGGCAGGAACAUCUAACUCCAGCUUACAAACUGUACAAAAGCACGAGGGUUAAUUGUUCAUCAGGUUAAAAAAACAGAUUGAAAAGGGCAAUGACAUCUAACUCUAGCACUGUUUUUGGCAGUCACAGUCAAAUGGAUCGGUCAGGUCCAUAGAAUGAACAUCUUGGGUCGUAAAAUUUACUGGAUUAUGACCACAAUAUGUUGUAAAUAGAAGCCCGACACGUACAGAAGCUCUUUUGCCCACCUGAAACUCCUUUUUUUGCUCUUCGACAUACCCAUCCAUCAAAACCAUGCUGCUGAUAAACUUAAGCCUGAUGGACAAUAGUAACCUCGCAUUCAGCAGGAAGAAUGUGACAAAUCUUGUGUUUGCACGGUUGGCUACAUAUCGUUCUAGCGUUAUUGUCUUCAAUCGAAUCUCAUGAGAAGUGAGAAAAUCCCGAUGCUUACGAAUCCACCGAUUGGUUAUAACUUUCUUACCCCGUCCUGUUGCCUAAAUAGACAUGAAGGUUGAAAACAGUUAAGGUCUAAAGAAGAGUGUCGAAAGAGCAAUAGCUGAACGGUUAAUUCUAGUACACUAUAUGCGGGCUUCCAAUGUGCAUGAAAUUAUCACCUUUAUAUACAACUUCUCCAGACAUGGAAAGCAUUGCAGCAAGCCAAUAAUCUUGUUCGGAUCAAAACUAUUCAUUUGGAUAUAUAAGAUCUUGACAGAAACUAGCACCAUUGAUAGGCCAUCCAAGGAGAAACUCUUCAUUGAGCAUAGAACACAAUAUUAGUACAAAAUAUGUACUCCAAGAUGACAUAUAAAUUAUGCGCAGAAAUUUAAAAUGCAGCUUAUGGUUACAAGUGUAGAUGAUAAUAUAAAGUACCUGAAGAACUGUGGAGCCAAACACCAUAUUGAAAUGAGCACAGAGAUCAUGUAUUACAGCCAAGGUCUCCAGUUUAGGCGCAGAGAGGAUGGUUAUUUGCAACGGUGAAUAACUAGAAUCAAGGAUCAACCUUUGAAGUGAAGGGGCAUAUCGGAUGAUGAGCUGCCUUCCGUCAAAAGAAAUUCCACUUCUUACAAAGUUAGGCGACUUUAUUUGGAGACAACCGAUUCUAACUGUGAAAACAAGCACCAAGCACUCCAGCGCAAGGCAAAUGGAGUGGAUGAUGAUGUGCAAUGAGGCCUCCAAUAUACGAACCCGCACAAGUGAAAGUUUCUUGAGAAAUGGGAGUCGAAGGUUUAGUACCAGAUUGUCUGGUAGGUAGCACUACGCAAAGGUGGCGGUGUGGAGAGAGGACGAAAACCCCGAGAUGGACAUCGGUGCUGAGGACACAAGUUCAUGGCAUUCGGUAUGUGGUAUGUGAUUUCUAGUGGAAUAGUAGAACUCAAGCAGCUGUAGUUCUAUAAAUUCAGGGGAUUCCAGCCAGGCAUCCACCGUGCAGGGCAUGGUAUGCUUGCUCAGGUAGCCUGAUGGGAUGCAUAGGCUUUGAACGGAGCCCUGGUGGGAGGAGAUGAUGGCUCUGGGGAUUUCAAAAUCAUUGACGAGAGAUAGCCGACGAUAGUCGAGAUUAAGGGGAACGGCACGCCAUCGAGGGCGCCACCGAAUUGAGAGGACUUGGGUGCGGCAGCAAUCCUUGGUGGGGAGAAGCGAGUUGAUCUCCCCAAGGAUGGCAUCCGGGAGAUCGCUGAUACGGUCCACCCGAGAUUCUACGGGUUCCUGGGAUCCGGUGGGGGCGGGGUCGCCGCUUCUCCCCGCGUUGCCGGGUGCGGGAUCUACAACAGGCGUCGCCGCUGGCGGGAGCCUCAUCUUCUUGGUGCUGGGGUUAGCCGACUCCAUUUUCCUCAAGGGCGUCGCGUCGUGCUCACGGAUUUGAGCAGAGUAACGAAUGACGAGCCUAGUUGUAGUGCGAGCGAAGAACAAGGGGAGCUGGGGGUUUUCUGUAGGAGUGAGGAAGACGGGGAGCUGGGGUUUUCUGUAGGAGUGAGGUGAGAAAUUUGGGGGUAUGAGUGGAGCGAGCUGACGUGAGGUGGGUGGGAGCGAGGAGGAAGAAGAGCACCCAGGUUUUUUUGGGGGGGGUGUGCUGGGUGUGGGUAGCGCCUCUCAUUCAGUAAAUAUAUGGGCUUUUGAAUUGAUUUUACUAUUUACUAGUGUGGAUGGGCUGUUUUGUCUUGGGACCCGAGAAACAAUUACUACUAGUAUAGUGGAGACACUCUACAGCUACCCAGAAAAACAAUUACUACUAGUACAAUGGAGACACUCUACCGCUUCUGGCUCCUCCUAGGUCAUUGAAACGUCUCCCUCUACUGAAUGCCAUUAUACUUUUGUUCACCGUCAUGCGGGCCAUGUAGCGCGCGGGCCCAAAUGCCAUCCACCGAAUUGGAAGGCAGUAUGCAGGUGGAGAGUCACCCCGGUCGUAGCGCGGCAGUAAUGAGCCGUCGUAUCACAAAACCCCACCUCCCCACAGUCUAAGUUUGACGGACGAAGCAACCAUCAUUUCACUCUUCGCUGAAUCCCCUUCUCCCUCGCCGUCUUCAAGAAAGGAAACACUUGCAUCUGCCACUGUUCUUCUCUCCGAACGAAGGGAAGGUAAGCAGAUCCAUGAUGUUGGUAUAUUUUCGUUCAGAGGAAAAUAAAAGAACUUUUGCAAAGCAGUAACCGAUCCUCACUCUCUUUUUUGUUUCAUUGUCAUUGCGAUUUUGUUUUACUUUUAGUGGACUCCUAGUAUUCGUCAGUUUCAUGAUGGACCAAGGAGAACUAGGCAAAGAUCUGCCGAUAUUGGAGCAGACGCGGGAGGCUAAUCCCCACGAGACACAGAGCUCCAAGAAGAUGGAGGCAACCACCGAGGCGACCCCAGAUACUGAGAUGGUCAACACCUCGUUUGAGGUUACAACCCCCGUGGCACUGCAGGAGCAGUUUUNNNNNNNNNNNNNNNNNNNNNNNNNNNNNNNNNNNNNNNNNNNNNNNNNNNNNNNNNNNNNNNNNNNNNNNNNNNNNNNNNNNNNNNNNNNNNNNNNNNNNNNNNNNNNNNNNNNNNNNNNNNNNNNNNNNNNNNNNNNNNNNNNNNNNNNNNNNNNNNNNNNUCCCCAAGGUGAUUUCCUUCUUUGCCGAUCUCGAUUGUGGUUUUUCAUCUAAGUAUGUGGUGAUUUUUUAGAAAAGGAAGUAUGUGGUGAUUAAUAAUGCAAAAUUUUAUUAGCUUCGAUGCCAUGGUAUACGUAGUGGUUUAAAUAACUUGUGUUUCUUAUACUGAAAAGUAAUUCAGAAUUUGUUUUUGUUUCAAUUAGAGCCCUGAUGCAGACAAGGAUUGUGUGGUUGUACAUGUCACUCGCUAUGAGGCGGACGACCUGAAUAUACGCACUGGGAAAGCAGAGUUCUUAGGCUGUUGGAUCCUGGAAGCCAUUUGCGGUUAUACCAAUGAGGAGUUGUAUUCCAGCCUCACUGUUGUCAGGCGUGUUGUCCAGGGUGUACUGAAGCACAAGAAGUUCAAAGCUACUCCUUCGUUUGUGAGGAAUACUGUUCUUGUCAAGCUGAUGCAGGAAGAUGACGUGGCAUGCCUCCACAAACAAGUUUAUCAGUGGCAAGGCCACAAGGUUGUCUUCAUGAAGGUUCACAGGAUUGAGCUGCCGCGGGACAUCCUCGAUGAUGUUCAUGGCAAGGUCUGUCUUGUGUCCUGCCCAAAUUAGAUCGAGGCAUGAAAUAGUUUCCCCAGCUAGUAUUUAAUAGUAGUUUGGAUUGUGUCUAAUUAUCCGAACCUUGCCUGUUAUCGACCCCUCUUGGGCUAGUACUCUGUUUGAAUCCGUCUAUGGGAACUGCUGCUACUUUCGUGUGCCCGUGAAUCAUGUGAGAACCAUCGUAAUUGUUGCCGAAAUAGAUUCGUCCUCACUAGUUUUUUCAUGAAUAUGGCAUGGUUUAUCAUACGAGCAGUGUGUGUUUUGAUGAAAUAGAGCACUCGUUCGAGAACCCUGCGCCGACAUAUACAUAAGUACUUGUAAACACUGUUGGUGCUACCCCACUUGUAAGCAGUUGUGCAAAACAUGGCACAUUGCCUCAGCUCGCUUCAACACUAGGCUAUCGACUAGCUAACAAUCAACAAUCUGCUGUCUGACAUUUAAGAAACUAUGUAUCUUGUUACAGUGGUUCAUGCAGUUAAUUGAGGCCACAAUGUAAUAAAUUCCAAACAUUCACACACUAGUCCAAAGCUCAUGUGGAACACUCACAUUAAACUCGUCUUCAUAAAAAACUCGAAAAGCAUAAGUUAAGCAAUUUUAUACAUCUUAAUGAUUCAUAGAACAUAACAAACAUAUACUAGUUCACAGCAAAAGACAAAGUUGUGAGAAGGUUUAAAAAUCAGGAAAAAACAAGCAAGGCUUCUCUCUGAGCAAAGGGCCUCCCGGCAGGCUUAAAUUUCCUGGAGUUCACUCUGGUUUUUUCUUGUUGCCUCCAUUCAGGGUUAGGUUCUCUCAUUCUAGAAUAACCAAUUAUAAUUGUGGUCUCAGCUGGAAUGCUGAACUGAACCAUGCAGUGUACUGACCAGCUGAAAUGCUUGUGCCUUCCACUAAAUUUAAGCACCGCUAUUUGCAGAAAUAAGCAGACCACAAUGCCUCUUGUCCGCGCACCUGUCGAAAAAACCGCCGUGCAGCCGUGCCAUCUAGUCCUUGGUCCAAGGAUGAACUGGUAGAAAGUGCAUUCCGGACUAGGAUGCAGUUGUUUUCACUCGUCCCUGCACUGCAAUCAGGAAGUAAAAUGUAUGAAUCAGCUUCUUUUAGAUUGCGUUGGUCACUCUACCUUAGUUACUACCAAUGUAGGGAUACCUUGAAGACGGGAGGUUAGACGACGGCAGCGAGGGAUAGCCAUCUCAUUUUGCACAGUUGUACUAAAACUGAGGUGUGUGCUUUUGAUUGCGCGGAUAGAAACGAUACGGAGACAGACAUCCCAAAACGAUAUGGAGACAGACAUCCCUGUUUGCGCAAAUAAGAAAUACGGUUAUUUAAACAGUGACAAAUAUUACUACUUUCCCCCAUUUCCUCUUAGAACCAAGUCCUAGAUUCAUGCUACAGCUUUCCCACUUUCUUCCCUGUUUGAACCUACGCUUUGAGUCGACUGUAUGAAAUAGCUUUACUUCUAAUAAUAGUAGAAGUCUACGUGGCUUUGGAACAGCGGACGGAAGUAGAAAAGGAUCCACGCGAAGGGAGCUGGGGCAGUAGAGCAAGGCAGGUUUCGAAGGAAUAUAUACCUGAGGGUCAUCGGCAUGUCACAAAGAUGGCGUCGGGAGGCCGCAUCUUGGCCACAAUAGCGCAGGGGGGGAGAAGGGGUCGGAGGCCCUCCCGAGCCGGCGCUCUCUCGGAGAGAACAGCGCGGCGGCCGAUCGGGACGCGCGGGCAGCCGUUGGUCUCCUCCCUCGCCGCUGACGACAGCGUGAAUGAUGCACCUAUACACCUGCCCCGGUCGAGGUUGUCCGGCCGGAUUUGUGACCAGCCGUGAGCUGAGAGAGAGUGUGGCCACCUAUGUGUUGCUUAGAUCUAGAGAGCAUGAGAGAGUGAAUGAGAGGAACCCUAGUAAAGGAAGCGCUAAGGCUACUGCUUUUAUAUAUAGUGGAGUGAUUUUGUUGUACCAGCUUCAAAAAAAAUGCGCUCCUACGUGUACCCGCGAGUGGGUGUGAGAGAACUAGUGCGUGCGUGCACCGCUUCUCUUCGUGAGAGUACAAUAUACUAUGCCCAAAGAACGUUCGCCGCAAGAGUAAUAGUACAAGUGUGUGGCGUGUGAGCUAAAAUAAAAUGUGUGCGCCGUCUUUUGUUUUUUAGAAGUUCUGAGGGUAGGGUGUGAAGAGCACAUAUGUGCGUGACGUCUACCUGCAGAUAGACGGUGGGUGCGACGUGCGAGUCUGCAAGAGGACUUAGGAGAGUCGUGACUCGUGAGGGUGCGUGUGCGUGAGAGAGAGGGGGGCACGUUUCAAUGCAAUGCAUGUGUCCGUAAAUCAUUAUCCGACAAACAUUUGCCACAAGCCUUUUCCUGACGAACACCGUAAGGACCGUUAGAUCGGCAUCCGACAGUAUCAGUUUUGCCAUGUCAUUUAACAGAACAGCCACUCCUCCUACACAUAAAUCUUCCACGUGAGUGUUAGCAACUGCCGUAUGCUCCCUCCGUUCCGAAAUGAAGUGCAUAUAGCUUUAUUGAAAAUUCGAACCUCGCAAACUUUUACCGAGUUUUCGUGUACCAAAUUGCACAUGUAGAAUACCAUGUAUAUAUCAUUUCAUUCAUCUUUGAGAGGUAACUAUAUAGUUGGGUGAGGAGUCUACAAAGAAAGACCAUCGUAUCACCUGCAACAAUUUCAAGCAUCCUUUAGUGUCGAGGGAUAUCAUAGGAACUCUAUAUGAUAUGAUUUUUAUAGGAUUUUUUCCUUUAGAGCCAAUUGGUUCAUAGGAAUAGAUUCAUAUACUCCACACUUCAAAGGAAAUAAACAUGAUAUCAUUUCUAUAGCUUUAGAGCCACUUGGUUCAUAUGAAUGGAUUCCUAUACUCCCUUAAUUUCAAAGGAAAAUAGACAUUAGCGUAUAUUCAAUAGAAAAGUUCCUAUGAUAUGAACCAAAUUACAUCUCUUUUCUAAUCCCUCCUCGUAGGAAUUGAGAAACAUGUCAUCUCUAGAUUCAAUAGAAAAGUUCCUAUGAUGUGAACCAAAUGACAUCUCUUUUCCAAUCCCUACUCAUAGGAAUUGAGAUGCUCCAUGUCACCUCCUUCCCUACAACUUCCAUGUAUACAUCUUCUAUUCCUAAAUAGAUAGUACAACCCACUAGUAGCUUUUUUCCAAAACAUGCAACUAUGGCACAAGAACUAUAUAGUGUGCCAAUAACUUUGAAAGAUGGUCACUGGAUGAAGCUAACCCGACAGUGCAGAGAUAGGCAAAUCCGAGCACUACUGGCCGUUGGAUAUCAUCAACAUUCCAUCAGAUCUGCCACAUGUACAAUUUAGAAGACUCCAUGGUUGAACUUAAGCAUAAUGCACAAACCUCAAAACACAAGAACUUCUCCUUUGUUCUAGAAUCUUCUGUAUCAUAAUUGAUUAUUAUUUUCUAAAUGAAUUGCCAUUAUUUGUCUUUUACUUUAUGAUUUACUCCCUCCCUUCCAAAAUAGAUGACCCAACUUUGCACUAACUUUGUAAAAAGUUAGUGCAAAGUUGGGUCAUCUAUUUUGGAACGGAGGGAGUACAAUGCACAACCCCAUGAAUCUUAACAUUUUUAUAAAACUUAUAGAUUUUGAAAGAGAUGAACUAUAAGAACUAAACGAACAUCUACAUCAUGCAUAUAUGACUCAAAGCUUUACAUGCUAUAGUGUGUAUUUAUUCAUAAUUUGGUUUCGAAAUCUCAUGCGUUCAAUACAUGUGUACCUUACUAGUUUUGAGUAGAGUAGCAAAUUUCACGCGGCCCCGUGUAUAUCAAAAUGAAGGGCCCAUGCAUCAUUGCCUUUCGGUCGAACCUACGUCCACAAUUUUUUGUACGUACUAUAUCUCCACUGGUCCCCGGACCCAAAAUGCUGCCUCGUUCCCGUAAAACCAAGCGGCCCACACAUAUUUAAGGCGUCAGCUCGAACACGUUUACUACGACGUGGCCCCACACGCCGUAGUACUCCUACAAACCCUACCGCCGCACUCAUUAUUGGUUUUCUUCAAGAGGACGAGGGAGAAGCCGAUUUGUAGUGGAGGCACUUUCAAAAAAAGGAUCUGUAGUGGAGACCCCUACCCAAGGGUGCCCUGGUGCCCUAGGUAGCUCUCGCACGCAUCAUUGUUUUCUCUUUUCUUUAUGCUCUUGCGCCCUAGAGUGAAAUGAUGGUUGCUUCAUGCGUCCAGCUUAAUGCGGGAAAGGUGGGGCUUUGUGAUUUGACCCCUCAUCGCUCAUUUUCUACUACUGCGGCGCUAUGACCGGGGUGCCUCCAAUUCCAACCGUUGCUCCGAACUAUAAUUUGGUGCAUCACACGUGGAACAAGACGGUGGAUGAGCCACAUGGCGGCCAAAGGGGUCAUGUUAAGUGUGUCGCCAUUUCGUGUGCGGACUGACCCUGCUUGAGUUGCUACGCCAACACGACAGGAGCAGCCUACCACUUGGUUUUGCUCCUUGGUGAAUCCCGACUAUAUUUAUCUAAAAAGAUACAUGCUGAACUACCCUCUCCGUCUCGGUUUUUUUAUUUUUAGGCGUCUCGGUUUAUAGGGCCUGCACUUAGUUUUAGGUCAUCCAUUUGACUAACUAAAUAUGAGUUACUAUGUCACAAAAAGUAUAUCAUUGGAUUCUUAAGCGGAUGUACUUGUAUUUAAAAGUCGAGGGUGGGGCUUUUCCUGCGCAGUACGCGGCGGGGCAGUUCCGCCUAGUCAGUUCGAUAGAGACGCGAGAAGACGAGGGAGUAGAUUGCUGCAAAUGUAGGGCUGUGUGAUUUGACAGCGAGUUACUGCUGGAUAGGUGGGGCCCCGUGAUUUGACUUGCCAUUAUCAUUUUAACUGCAGCGCUACGACUGGCAUGAGUCUCCUAGAUUCCUGACCACCACCAUACAGGUGCCUCUCCCAAUUCUCCACCAUGUAGUAGAGGUUGGCUCUUGCAUGAGAGCCCACUUCUCCACUUUUUCCUUGCCUCUCUUUCCUCCACAUAUGCAAAAAUGCCAUGUAAAGCGCACUAUUGUACUUACUUUUGCUUGCUCCUACAGGUGGUUAAGCUUGCCACAUAGGCAUAAAGUCUGAUGUGGCAAGUUAAUCAAGAAGAGAGAGACUAGUUUGGUGACCCAAGGAAGAAACAGUGCUAAGCGCGUGUACCUAGGUAAAAAGACAAUUUUGAGUCUAUAGCUAAUUAAAUGAAGCAAACUUAGCAACACCAUUUCAUUGGAAGAGGUCACUCCUUGGCAAAUGCAAUAAAUACACGUGCUUAGCAUCAUUUCUUCCUUGAGUAUGAAGAAAGAGAUAGAGAGGAGUAAAAAAAUACACGUAUAGCCAACCUUGUUGUAGUAUGAGUGACUAAGUGAUGACUAUGUAUGACAUGCCAACAUCAGAUAGCCUAAUGCACCGUGUUAAAUCUCCAAGGGCGCGACCGCGCGAGUGACACGACGGUCGUGGUAGGCGCGACCAUGAUACGGGCUACUGGCAGCCCUUGGAUCUGAGAUCAAACGGUCGCAUGCUAAGUUGCUGAAUAACCCUCCAGGAUAGGAUAUUCACCCAUAGGUCUAGAAUCACGCCAUGCAACCGUUCGAUCUCAGAUCCAAGGGCUCUCAGAAGCCUGUAUCAUGGGAGAAUGGAAAUCCACUACCCUGCCGUUCGCACGCUGGCAGUUCGCUCCUACUCGUCCCCGCACGUCCUUCAAUACUACGACGGUUCACUCCUAGUCAUCCCGUCCAUUCAAAUUAUGACAGUUCCACUAAUCCUAACCCUCCUCCCAAAUCCAUGGCAUCCCAAAUCUCCACGAUCGGCAGUGAGUACAAGGUUAGAACCAUCACCGGCAAUGAGCUCGACGUCAUCUACACCUGUUCUUCCACGACAGUGAAAGGAUGCCUUUCUCGCUUCAGACGCAUGUUCGAAAACUCAGAUGAUGACUGGGUCGCUGGGCUAGAUGUUGAGUACACCACAGUCCUAGGACGAGAGAAUGAUCUAAAGGACGAAGAGAGGAAGAAGCCCUCCAUGAUCCAGGUUUGCGUACAUAACGUUUGCUUGCUCUACCACAUAUGCCAUGCCGGUGUUGAGUGCCAGGAUUUUAAGAACUUCCUCAAGGACAAAAUAGUGAAAUUUGUUACUAUAGACUUUACGAACGACGAAGAAGUCCUGGGUCGGAUAGGCCUCGUUGUAGGCAACCCCUUCGACCUCCAGAAGAAUCAGCUGGUGCCCUCUUGUCAGCCUUCAAUGCUGACCCUGGUAGGAGCCAUGGUUCAUCCUUCGUACGGUAAACUGGAGAAACCUCCAUACACGUUUCAUCGUCAUGCAUGGCAGCGAAAUGUACUAGAUAUAGACCACAUCCACUAUGCUGCAAUGGAUGGCUACCUUUGUUUCAAUAUCUACAAGGGUUGGAUGAAGAGCAACAGCCAAGUGUGCGGUUCAAGCAAAGAAGUAUCGGCCAAGAGGAAUAGGGACAAGGACGAAGUCGAGGACGUGGACGAGGACUUCGAGUAAGGUGGAAGUGUUGUUGCUCAUGGUGGUUCUAAACUUCUAAUGCAGUGUCUACCGGAUUAGUUGCAUAGUUUAAUUUCAGGUGUGCUUAGUUUAAUUUGAGGGGUGUGUUGUGCUGAGCCACCAGCAGAACUAUGUUAUGUUUCUUCUUGUUACUUUAUCUCUUCAGUAUGUACAUACUACUAGUAUUACUUUAAUAGAAUUUAGCACCCUAAUUAAGCACGUACUAGCUUUUUAAAUAGUACUAUAUGCAUAAUUUGGCGACGAGCACUCUCUAUAUGUACCACCUUUUUUUAAUUUCAAUUUUUGCUCCAUGGCCCAAUCCAUCGAUAGUACUAUUGUACAAAAGUAUACAUUUUUAAAAGGCUAGAGUACUGUUCAUCACAUAUAUAGCCAGUUAAAUUCUUAACCUAGAACGACGUGCAUGCCAUGUAGUAAACCGAUACGGAGGAAGUAUAGUAAAAAUGAGGUGAUUUUACCGAGCGAUCAGCGGGGGAGCAUGGCCUAUCAUGCGGUCCCACGUGUCAUGAUGUACCAAGGCAAUGUGUGUGUCCCUCUUGAGGCAGAAGCAAUACUAGUACGUGGAUUGAGAUGAUGGCGAACCGAAGUGUGAAAUAAUGGUUGCUUCGUCCGUCUGGGAAAGUGCGGCAUUGUGAUUUGACGUCUCAUUGCUCAUUACUACUACUGGGCCGGUACGAGUGGGCUGCAUCCCCCCUGCUAUUCUGCACUGUUAUUUGGUGCUUGACACGUCGACCCGGUUGCUAUAUGUCACACAUGUCGGCGACAGGAAGUACAGAAUUCAUGACAGGGAGCGUCGACGGAGGAGUAUACUAUAGAAUUCAUGAAAGGGAGCGACUUAGUUUUGGAAAAAUCUGUUUUUACGGAGUACGUACCCACUAGGUGUCACGACCGGUUUUCCAAUAAAAUGUUUAUUGAGAAGCCAAUCUUUUGAGUCCAGUAUGAGAAAAAAUCCUCCUUACUGGUAGACAAAAUUCUUGAUACAGUAAGCCAGUAGCAUAAAAUAUAUUACAAGGUCGAGCUAAGGCUGCUCAACAAAUUAUUACAAGCACGCCAAUAAUUAUACAUAAUGGCGGAUAUGACACAAUGGUGUGGUGGCAUACUACUGACUCGAGAUAAAAGUGGUGGUGGAAUAUCACAGUGGAGAGUGGAUAAUAUGACUCCUAAACUGGCAGCUCAUCGAGCAUCGAGGUGAGGCUCGAUGAAUUUAUUUGGGUAGCGGAAGCGGAUAUAAUACAGUAACCAAAUCCAGGAUCACUCGAGACUGACUGGGACUCCUCUAGGCGUCGGACUCGCUAUCGAACUCUUCAUCCAUGAGAUCACCUUCGUCAACAUCUGGCCAAAUCAACAAGCCAGGUGAGUACUUACUCGCAAGAUAGUUCGGACAUAAGAUAUAACAAAUGCAUGCAUGAAUGCGUCAUUAGUAAUUGGUGUUGCACAUUCAAAUUAAUAAUUAUUGGAACAACAUGGUAAGUAAAAAAAGGAGUCGGGUGGUAGUCUUCCCGAAAUCCCAACAAAUUCAUUGAAAAGCCGAUCGGGUGUCUGGAGCGACGCCUCGAAGGGUGAACAAAUAAAUAAUCAUGCCGCAGUCGGGCGUCUAAGCGACACCACGAAAAGGGCUUAUAUUGAGAAGAAAAUGACAUGCGUGCCACAGUCGGAUGUCGGAGCGACAUCGCAGAAAGGGCUUACAUCGCAGGUAAAUAACAAGCGUGCCACAGUCGGAUGUCUGAGCGACAUCACAGAAAGGGCUUAUAAUGAAAAGUAAAUAACAAGCGUGCCACAGUCGGACGUCUGAGCGACAUCACAAAAAGGGCUUAUACUGAAAAGUAAAUAACAAGCGUGCCACAGUCGGACGUCUGAGCGACAUCACAGAAAGGGCUUAUACNNNNNNNNNNNNNNNNNNNNNNNNNNNNNNNNNNNNNNNNNNNNNNNNNNNNNNNNNNNNNNNNNNNNNNNNNNNNNNNNNNNNNNNNNNNNNNNNNNNNNNNNNNNNNNNNNNNNNNNNNNNNNNNNNNNNNNNNNNNNNNNNNNNNNNNNNNNNNNNNNNNNNNNNNNNNNNNNNNNNNNNNNNGAGCGACAUCACAGAAAGAGCUUAUAAUGAAAGGUACAUAACAGGUGUGCCACAGUCGGACGUCUGAGCGACAUCACAAAAAGGGCUUAUACUGAAAAGUAAAUAACAAGCGUGCCACAGUCGGACGUCUGAGCGACAUCACAGAAAGGGCUUAUACUGAAAAGUAAAUAACAAGCGUGCCACAGUCGGACGUCUGAGCGACAUCACAGAAAGGGCUUAUACUGAAAAGUAAAUAACAAGCGUGCCAUAGUCGGACGUCUAAGCGACAUCACAGAAAGGGCUUAUAUCAAAAGUAAAGGACAAUUGUGCCACAGUCGGACGUCUAUGCGACAUCGNNNNNNNNNNNAAAUAACAAGCGUGCCACAGUCGGACGUCUGAGCGACAUCACAGAAAGGGCUUAUACUGAAAAGUAAAUAACAAGCAUGCCACAGUCGGACGUCUGAGCGACAUCACAAAAAGGGCUUAUACUGAAAAGUAAAUAACAAGCAUGCCACAGUCGGAUGUCUGAGCGACAUCACAGAAAGGGAUUAUAUCAAAAGUAAAGGACAAUUGUGCCACAGUCGGACGUCUAUGCGACAUCGCAGAAAGGGCUUAAAUUUCAUUAUUCAUAACUGUUAAGCUCACAACGAUAUAAUACUCAUAGGAAAUAUUCAACACAUAAUAAUAAACGGGUUAGUCCAUCCACAGGAAUAAGCAUUUAACCGGACUUAACACUCAUGUGGUUCACCGGAGUUUCUGUCACUGAGACUGACACUGGACAAGAUAAGUUGAACAUAGUACUUGGACAUGGAUAAGAUGAUUCAAGGAUUUUUGACUCUACAGAGUUUGUACUAAAUUUCCCACAGCCAACGGAUUUCCGUAGUCACGAAGGACUAGUUCCGUUUACGGUAUUUCAGCAGAAACACAUCUAACCAGUACACACCCAUCCCACCUCACGAUGCCAGGAAUCACCCUAGACCGCAUUCAAGAAAAACUUUGAGACAGGGAGAUCACAAUCUCGAAUAGCACGGGAUCAAAUUUAUAUACGCGCGCUCUAAGGGGUGCCCCCCUCUCGGUCCCAACCGGAAACACCCAUGCCCCCUGACCGGAUGACUGGCUUUAAUCCAGGGCCAUGGAACCAUCAUCACGGCCUCUCGAUUUGGUGUGUACCAGGAAAGCGGUUUGCAACUUACUAAUCCAUAUCCCUUGCGGAAAACAUGUGGUAGUACAGGAAGGGAAAACGGAUGGGAACUGGACUGAUUCAUGUUGACACUGGAGUCAAAUAGUCUGGCAUAAGACUGGCAUGCUACAACACUGCCAUCUUACCCAUCCCCAUGCCAUCACAUGGCCAUGCAAACUCAUAUCCAACAACUUAUGGAUUUCCGAAACUCACUUGCCUCAACUUUGCAUGUAAUAUGAUAUUCAUUUAUAUACUCAUAAACAUGCCAUGAAACUACUUAAUGCAAUCAUGCCAAAGACACUCAUCAUAUUAAAAGUUCAAACAUGCUUGCCUGGUUCAGAGUAGUCGGAGCCUAGCUCAGUGAAGUUCGCGGUUCCGUCACCUCCUUUGGUAUCUACGGUAUAAAGAAACAUAUGUGCUAACGUAAAUACCGUGAGGUGCACAAAAAAAUAUUCCAAAUAUUUUUCAAAUAAAUCUGAUAAAAAACUAGACAAAAAUUUAAAGAGGGCAGAAAAAGAAUUAAUCAAAGAUCAUUUUCUGCUUAAAAGUUAUAAGAGUUUUUGUCCAGGGACCUUUUUGUAAAGAAACAGAAAGUUUACAGGGUUUUCUUUAUAAAAACAGAAAAUGCUUCGUUUGAGAAUACGCCGGCCCAGAGGGGAGACGUACUUUGGCAGAAGGCGCCUUCAGAAAACGUUUCGUUUAAAAGAAAAGAGAGACUGACGAGGGGGUCCCACCCAUCAGGUUUGAAAUUUCAAACGGGGGGGGGAGGAACAGAGCGCGUCGGCGCCCGAGAGCUGCGGUGGUCGCCGGCGGCGAUCCACGGCGAGUUAGGAGGAUCGGAGGGUACCUACGUGCUCAGUGUGUUCUUCCGCGUCGGUGGGUGAUGGUGGUGGUCGUCGGCGAGCACCACGUCGACGGCGGUCCUUGCUCUGGCGGACGGCGGCUCGGGUGGAGUUGGAUCUCGUCGGGGAGGGCUGCGGAGGUCAAAUUGAAGCUUGGGUUAGAUCACUAGGUGCUCGAGGAGGCUACUGACGAGGUUUGGGCGUCGGGGAUGGCCUCACCGGAGUGGAUGGAGUUGGGGGCCGAGGCGGAUCGGGGCGGCCGGAGUUGGGGAAGAAGGGCCCCUCGAGGCUCUUCCAGUGGCUGAGCGGGGUCUGGUGAGGUAGUGGAGAUGUGCGGGGUCGAGAGCGAGCUCGGGGGCGCUAUUUAUAGCUGGCCCGAGGCGGUUGCCGUGAACAGGAUAAGUCCGGCGAGUGAUUAUGGCGGCGCAGUGGCGGGACGGUUGGUUUAUGGCUUGAGCAACAUCUAGACCGAGCACUUACUCCAUCCUGGUGCCUAAAUCCGCAAGGCAGGGGCGGUUACGGCCUGUCCCCAACAGAACGGCUGUGCGGCACGUUGGCGGCAGAGAGCGCGCCCUGUGCGUGCCAGGCCGCGGCGACGGUGCAGCGGGGUGUGCUGGCGUGCAUGAGGCCACGCGGAGGGCAGGGGUGCGUUGGGCGGCGCCGAACAGCGUUGCGAGCUGGCGUUGUAUUCUGUUGGCCGCCACGGGUGGUGCUGCCACCGCAGAAGCCGCCAACUCCGGCGAUGCUCGCCGCCACCGACGCCUAGAACCAGCCAAGUGCGCGUGCGGGGCUCUGGACAGGGAGGAGGGGCCGUGCACAACGCGCCAGGCGCACAGUUGACAGGUGACCGAACACUGACGAAGAAACGACACUGAAAUCUUCUGAAACUCUGAAUUUUUCUGAAAGUGCAUAGUAACAGUGCUGGCCAGGUGUUCGACAGAAUGAUUUUGGUAUGUGGGAGGCUCUCCUUGAGCUGAAUUUUGGUGGGGUGGCCUCUCAAUGCAUCUGGGGGCUGCCUGAAUUUUGGUGGAAUUUUUGGAGAAGAGAAGAUAUGAAUUUCAUCAAAUUUGACAAAUCUGGUCCAAACUUGCAGAGGCUGAAAUUUGAAAAAUUCGAAAAGAAGAAGAGUGGAUCUUGAUGGUUCUAGGUUGUGGGUGCUAAGGACUAUCCAGAGGAGUUGGUUCGAGAUCAAAACUCAAAGGCAAUAUGGUACUUGCUUUGAAAAUCACCUAGGUUCAAAAUAAAUGACAGAAUUGAUUUGGGAGAUAAAAUAAUUGAAAUAAAAUCCAAAAAUGGUUUGGACUUGUUGGAACAGAAAGUUUUUGAUUGCCCAAAAUGGAGGGAGGGGUUUUGGGAAGGUUUUACCACCUGAGGCAUGGUAAAACCAUGUGUGGUCUCAAAAUGAAAGAGGUCCCAAAACUCAUAGGAUUACUUUUUAAAGAAAUAAAUAAAUUCCAAGGAUUUAUUUGAGAAGGAAGUUUUCAUAAUUGAAACACCAGAGUUGAAGAAGAUACAAAAAUAAAAUCCUUGCCAGGGGAAAAGUUUUGAGAGAGAGGUUUUUGAAAGGAUUUAAAUGACUUUCAUCAAAACCAACAAAGUUUUUGUUGAAAAUUAAAUAAAAAAUUUUGGAGUGUCACACUAGGGUUUAUAGGGCUCAUCCAAAAAACAUUCGUUUUUCCGUUUGAUAAGUCUCAAUUCUACUAUACUAGUAGUAGUACCAUUACAUGUUGGAUUUCGAGGUGCGUUAGAUCACCCGACGCAAGCAGUGUCAAGAGGAAACUAACCAAUGCAUGUACAAGUUCAUGGAAAUUUAGUGGUCAUUCAUGCAUUCGUUCUAAUUAAUUCCUCGGUAAACAUAACUUCUUGAGAAAAACGAGCAUACUAAUUACUUGUGCAAACUAUGAAAUUAAUUCUACCACUCACCGUCUACCUUGGUUGGAGAGAUUUUGAAAUUGAGCCAUAAACUGGAAAGGAGGGAGUAGUAACUUUUGUCAUGAUUACUAUUUGUGGCCUUGUAUAUAUGCAAAAUGUAUUUGUUUAUAGUGGCCUUGUAUAAGUAAAUGGAGGGAGUACUAACCAAAGUACAUAGUAGGGACGAGGAGUAAACUGAGGGAGUAGUAAAAUUUUCUCCUCAUGCUGCGAGCCACCGCGUGCGUGGGCGAGGGAGCGGGCGUAAGGCAUAGUAAGCAACCUUCACCUCAUCCUGCGAGCCACCGCGCCCGUGGGCGGGGGAGACGGCGUGCUAGGCAAGCUUCUCCUCGUUUUGCAAGUUGACGGGACAUAUCAAAAGUACUCUAGUGUAUAGAGCCUUGCCUCUAAGGUAGGCCCCACAUGGUUUGCCUCUUUUUUUAAUUUAACAUAACGCGUCAAGUCGCAAUUUGUUUGUUCACCCAUGGUAGAUGAUCCUCCCUCCACCAAGUGGACAACUAGUACACGUGCCAAAUUACCACGUGGGCUGCCUUUUUCAUACAGAAAUGAGCUCCACCGUGUACCCGCGCGGGUGUGGUUGGGAAAGAGAUGGGAGUACAUGCACCGUGCGUGCACCUCUUCUCUUGGUGCACAUCCCCCACCUACGUGAGAGAGAUAAGGUGAGAAAGAUGAGACAUAAUGCGCCAUCCAUCCCCAUGCCUCCGCCCAGUCCGACCACCAGUCACCACCACGCCCCACUCCUCCUCACCUUAUCUCUCAUCUUUCUCCCUCCAUUUUUAUAUACAAGGGGCCACUAUCCAAAUUACAAUUUGCAGAUAUACAAGGCCACUAACACUAAUCGAUGCAAUAUUAACGGUGUUUGCCUCGUGGUACUAGCAAAGGAGGACAUUAAUUAUCCCUUGCAUGCAUGCGGGAGUUUGUAAAAAAAUGCAUCUUGAUGUUCCGUGCAAUGCACGGGCAUCUUGCUAGUCCAUGAAAACAACACAUGGCAAAAUUCCACGGCGAAUGAGGGAUUUGAAUCUAUUGGGAGGGGCUGUUUGGAUCUUUCCCAUGGUAGCCAAAAUAUUGGCGACCCUUUUGUCCACCGGUGCCUUUGCCACCGAUGAACGAGGAAUGGCUCGGGUGCUCAUGCUAUCAUGCAUCCUCCAGCGCGCACGUUGGAGACGAGCUCACAUGAGCUGUGUUUUUUUGUCCCACAACACCGCCCGAGCCGCCCGCAGACCGACCGGCAACCCGCAAAUUACGCCAUCCAACCAUAGCCGCACACAUUAUGAUAGCAACUCAACCAACCGGACGAAAUUCACGCAAACACAUAGACAAACUGAUAUUUCAUAUAAACAACGACGGAAAUCAUAUAAAAUACCGGAUUUUCAUACAAACAUGAUGGAUUUCAUUACAUUCAAAUGAACUACACGGUGCUAGUUCUGGACAGCACAGGUAUAUAAUAUCUGGCCUAAAUGGUCACCCGCCGAUCGAUUUGUGUUCCUCAUGUCCGGUGGCACGAUCACCGGACUAUCGGGAGCCCCGGAGGUAUAUGCUUCAGCGCAAAGGAUGGCUCGUUUCCCCACUGCCCAACUGAUAUCAUUGGCUGGUGCCGAAGAUGAUGGUGGCCGGCACCGGUUCGAGUUCAUCACCGUCCACUACUUCGCCAUUGCCAGCAUCGGCUCGAGUUCAUCCUAACAUUCCCCUCUUCCGUGGAGCCCAUGCAGGGUCGACGAAGGUCCUUGCAAAAAAACAAUCCGGCAAGACACCUGCUGUGUACGCUGGCGUCGCCUCCACGGUGGCCUUCAUGGGACCCAAGCGGCGGCGGCCUCCCGUGUUCUACUUCUCCUUGAUGAUGGCGGCGGACGCGGAGGCGCUGGCCACCGACUCGUCGCUCUCCGCGCACCCGGCUUCUGUCACUGCUUGCAUGGCGCGGCCGCCGGCAUGGGAGUCUCGGCCACAGAAACGGGAGACGCGAUACGAGGCGGCGGCGUGGACAGCAGCAACGGCGCCCGUGCGCCGCUCCUCGUCGAGCUGGCCUGGAGUGGCGAUUUGCUGAACCGCGCGCCGGCUUGGGGCGGCAACUGGCUCCGUCGGGCGAGGGGAGGGAGGUGGAUCAGCGAGCUGCAUAGCUCGUAUCCGGCGGGCUACCCAGCCGGCUUGGAUGAGGAAUAACUACUCUUCGUAAGCCAUUGUAAGAGUGGACAAAAUGGUGGAGGAGAUAGGGGAGUGGCGGAGGUGUGCGAUUCUUGGCCGAUGUUUGGCCUCAUUUAAAUAGGAGAUUAAAUUAAUGCCGGACGGGAGGAGCUCGGCCGGCGUUGCAUUUAACGCCGGCCCGGUCAUGAACGGACGUGUGUCCAGAGUGGGUUUCUCGGCUUCCACACGGGCGGGUUUCAUGGAGGCGUUUGAAUGCGGCACGGAGGCGUGUUCGGCCAGGCGUGCCGCGAGUGGCGCCCUCGACUCUGACCUAGGACACCGCGCUAUUCUUCCACUGACAUGUGGGCUCUUUGGGUGCAUGGCAGCGCACAGCAGAGGAACCUUUGGUGGGCCAGGGCGGUCAGAAGCGGGCAUUUCAUAAACCGAUGAUUGUUCACUGAGUGUGACGUCAUCUUUUUCAUGUAGAUAAGCCUACUAUGUUGAUAGCCCAUUCGAUACGUUGUGAUUCAUAAAGACCGCUGCAAACAUCAAUGUUCUGCUUAUCACAGAUAAGAUUGAUUAAUACCCGUAACAAUCCAUGUCCUUAACAAAGGGUGCAUGCACGUGUAUGUUGAACGUGUGUCUUGCGUCAUGUGCUUUGUGCAUGUAGGCGUGCGAGUGUUGCGUGCGUGCAAGGGUACGUUUCAGUGUUGCAUGCAUGGGUGUGUACGUGCGUGUGUUCGUGAGUGCAUGUGUAUGUGUCAGUGUUGCAUGCCAGCAUGCGUGCAUGUGUACGUGUUAGUGUUGCACGCCUACAUGUGUGCGUGUCUUGCGUGCGUGCAUGUGUACGUGCGGGGUGAGGCUACACGUCAGUCGACUGACCUUUUCAUCUCUGGUCAUUAGAUUUUCCAGCCGUUGGAUACGAAAUCAAGGGCCUCCAGUUUAUCAUCAAACUCCACCCCCCUGAGCCGCCAGCCACCACCGGCCGAACNNNNNNNNNNNNNNNNNNNNNNNNNNNNNNNNNNNNNNNNNNNNNNNNNNNNNNNNNNNNNNNNNNNNNNNNNNNNNNNNNNNNNNNNNNNNNNNNNNNNNNNNNNNNNNNNNNNNNNNNNNNNNNNNNNNNNNNNNNNNNNNNNNNNNNNNNNNNNNNNNNNNNNNNNNNNNNNNNNNNNNNNNNNNNNNNNNNNNNNNNNNNNNNNNNNNNNNNNNNNNNNNNNNNNNNNNNNNNNNNNNNNNNNNNNNNNNNNNNNNNNNNNNNNNNNNNCGGGGAUCCCCACCCCACCGCCCAAUGAACACCCCCCAACCGCCGGUGACUACCAACCAGAGGUCUCACGACUUCGAAUACCCACCGACCACUAAUUAAUUACCAUUUAUGUCCUUCAUAUACGCGCUGACGGGUGGGCCCUAUGGUAAUGUGGGCUGCUGAAUGUGGACCGUUUGACUAGUCAAUUGAUCGUGUUAUCAACAAAUUACGGAGCUGUAUGGUGAGCCAGUGACCGUAUGAUCACCCUAAAAUGUACUCCUAUUUAUUAACACAGUACAGACUCAAACUACCAUUUCUUUCAUAUACGGGCUGACAGGUGGGCCCCACGGUUAUGUGCCCCAAUGGCGCAACACUAGUUGCGCCGCGUGGAACGUUUGACUGGUCAAUUGAUUGUGUCAUCAACAAAAUACGGAGUUGUACGGGUGAGCCAGUGACCGUAUAAUCAUGAUAUGUAUUUGUUUAACAUGGUACAGACGCAAGGGUUCAUAUAUACGCGCAAGCACUCACCACUAUAAGCGCACACACGCGAACCCUACCCCUAUGAGCACCUUCGAGAGAGUGGGCCAGCAUAUAUGAUCUUGAGAUUUUACGAAGUCACCAUAGGUGCCUCAUAGUCGAGUGGAACGUCUCCUCCCACUGAACGUACGUCGCCAGAAAAUACUGAAAUUAACACAAGAUAAAUGCGAGCACCGGGACUUUAACCUUGGUGGGCUCGAGAAACCAUUGUCCUCUAACCAUCCAACCACAUGUUGGUUAGCACGACAAAAUGUAUGUGCUGACCGUGAUGAGCUUAUUCUGAAGUCCAGUGACCAUAUCGUGCUUUCGCUUCAAAUACAAUGACCGUAAGUGUCGUCAACAAAAUACGGAGCACGCAUCAAAUGCAAAGUCCGUCAGUGUCAUCAACAAAAUAUGGAGACGUAUCGUGAGCUAGAUACCGUUGUACUAUUGUAUAUGCUUAUUUUCUUAGUGGGCGAUUGCGUGUGUGGUGUGGUGGGCACAUCAUUUCUAGUUGUGGUGGGUCAACACGACGACUCAUGGGUCGGUUCCAUCCUGCACCACAUAUAGGUUGGACCGAGACGUGUUAUACGAAGACCCAUGUGGAGGACUCGGCGUACAACACGAAGCUACCAGAGUCGCGGAGGACUCUAUCCCCACUGGUGAUAAGCCGACUAUAUAUGAUUUGUAACCCUAGGCCCUUAGUAUGUUAUACAAGCUUGGGGGCUAGUUCGUCAAUAGUAUAUACACACGCACAAUGCCUGGUAUUCAUGUGUACUUUGUACACACCCCUAUCACUAAUAUACAGUACCAGGAGUAGGCUCUUUCUUCAACUGCAAUUGAAUUCUAGCAUGUGCAUGUGUUUAUUUCAUAUUAUCAAUCCAUUGAGUGAGAGCGGUUUGAAAUACAGGCAAUGGAUGCUUUUGCAACUCAUAUAUAAACAUUAAUUAGUGCACUCCAUGUUGUUAGUGUGAAGCACUUUAUACAUUUGUCACUUGCAUGGAUACAUUCCAAAUUGCUAGCUACAAAAUAGAAUACAUGUCGAAUUCAACAUAAAGGGGGUUUCGAAGAUUCGAAUUCAUAGGAAGUGCAUUCAUCUAUUUGAACCUGAGAUAAUGGCAUUUGUAAAUCAGAUGUAAAAGGGGGCAUCAAUCUUUGUUGUGAGUUUGAACAUGCUAUAUAUAUUCAUACGCAUAUCUAACUUUUUUUUGAAACCAAGGAGAUUAUAUCUGGAACCAUGCAUGAACUGAGGUAAGUUGCAUAUUUUUUAAUAUAUACUCGUGUACAAUGUAUAUUCAAAUGUACCCCCUCCAUUCCAAAAUAAUCAUAGCUUUAGGAUUUUCAAGAGUAAAGAUUUGUCAAGUUUGACAAAUCCUGAAAGUUCAAUUCAAGAGAACCGAAAACGUUAAUGCUUCUGCUCCCAAAUAUUGAACGAAGCGCCAAAUAGGCCUCUGGUCACCCGAAACCACGCGAGACUAAUGUUUUAGUGGUAGGAAAUUACUGUCCUGACUCUGGCCCAUGUGGCCUAUCGGCCCGAUGUCCAAAGGUCUAAACCGGGGUAGGUUUGUAACUUCACCAAGACGCCAGAGAAGCAUUCAUACGUCGUGGGCACCUACCCAUGCGCUCGGCCGAAAUCUAUCCCGCCCACAUUUGGGACACCUGACAUGACUGUCCUACCCCCAACCCGCAAUAUGUCUGAAAUUCUAGAUGGGGGGAAAGUUUGUAACUUUCCCCAAAUUUCAAACAAGCGCGUCUCAAACCGAAACAUUGUUCCCCCUUAGUUCCCCGCCUCCCUCCGUUUCCCCAUUCACAUUCCAUGAGCGCAAAAACGCCCUCUCCACCAGCCGCGAAACCCCAGCCUCCUUUGUCAUCCACCCCAUAGCGGCCAAUCCACCGCCUCCCUCCUCCAUCACGCCGGAGCCGGUACCACGACGUCGUCGUCCAACGCAACCGCAGCCGCAACGCCCUCAAGGACUUAGCAGCUGAAGCCGAGGCAGAGCUACCUCCACGACGCCGACGCCGACGUGCGCCAUACCAGAACCACUCCGACCACGCCGUCCUGCGCCUCACUACUGCGGCUCCACUGUCGCAACCGUCCACUGCACCGGAGCUGUUCCCGCUACGCCGUCAUUCGCCGCCUCGGAUCUGCUUCCCCGCCGCCGACAGACGGCCACCGCACCACACUCAACAACUUGGUCAUGGGUUCGUCCAAGGCUGCACCGUCCUCCACAACUUCUGGUUUCCGGCAAACAACAAGAAGAUCGUCGGAAAAACAAAAGGAGGACACAGCACUGCCAGCAGAAAGAGGUACACCUCUUCCCUUAUUCGUGCAAAUCUUACGUCUCCACUCACACCGUAUUCAUCCCACGAAAGAAACAAGUUGAGCGCUUCUUACUGCAUCUUCUUCGUGAUACUAAAUGCACAAGGUUUCCUCCCUUUUACUAUUUCACCUUUGCUAGAGGUCAGUAGCCCGCCUGGAUUUCAAUUCAGGGUCAGUCGAACCGCAAUUAAAAGAAGCAGCACCCGCUUAGGCGCGCGGAGCACCUAGUCCGCCUGUUCCCCGGGGAAGCUGUGACACUCCAAAAAUUUUAUUUGGUUUUUAUCAAAAACUUUGUGGUUUUGAGGAGAGACCUUUUUUAAAAAUUUUCUUUUUCAGAAAAACCUUCCUCUUAAAAACCUCCUUUUGCCUUGGCAAGGAUUUUAUUUCUUUCAAACUUUGGUGGUUGAUCUUUUGCAAACUUCUUCUCUGUUAGUUCCCUCUAAAAAUUUAUUUAUUUUUUUGGGAGUUUUAAUUUGUUUUAUUUUUAAGUGAAGCUCUAUGAAAAUUUGGGAUUUUCUUAUCUUUGAAGCCACCCUUGGCUUUGUAUUUUUGCCCAUGAGAUAAAACCCCUCCAAAACCUCCCCUCCCCCUUGUGAUCAACCUAAGUUUUCUGUCCCAACUAAUCCAAACUGGUUUUGGAUUUUAUUCUAAUUUUUUUCCCCUCAAAUCAAUUCUGAAAAUUAUUUGGAGCCUGAGGGAUUUUCAAAGCAAGUACACUUUUUCAUUUGAGUUUUGACCUCAAACCAAUUCUCCUGGAUUGUCCUUUGAACCCACAACCCAGAACCAUCUUGAUCCACUCCUCCUCUUUUCAAAUUUUUCAAAAUACAGUCUCUGCAAGUUUGGACCAGAUUUGCCAAAUUUGGUGAAAUUCAUAUCCACACUGCUCCAAAAAUUCCACCAAAAAUCAUGCAGCCUACUUGAGCAAGGAGAAGCCACUCCACCAAAAAUCAGCUCAAGGAAAAAUCGCCAGAGGCCAAUUUCAUUCGGUCGAACACCUUGUGGGCACUGUUACGGUUCAAAGUUCAGAAAAUUCAGUUUCAGUGUCAUCUUCCGUCCGUCAGUUUCAGUCACGCGGCCACAGUGCCCUUGGCACGUUCCUCGCCGCCUCUUCCUCUUGUCCGAAGCUUCACACGCGUGCGUGGAGCCUUCCUGGCGUCGGUAGCGCGCUGGCCCGCCCUCGCCGGCGUCUUCUGCGGCGUUGGGACCUCCCGUGGCGGCCGACAGGAGGCACACCACGGCAGAACGCCGUUCCGCGCCGCCCAUCACUCCCUGGCUCUCCGCGUGGCCUCAUGCACGCCAGCGCACGCCCGUAGCACAGCCACCGUGGCCGGCAAGCACGGAACGCGCUCUCUGCCGCCGACGGGCCCGCGCCAUCCCCGUUCCGUCGAGCUCGCCCUUAACACCCAAACCCCGGCCAGUUUAACACCAAAACGGACCCAUUGAACCUCCGUGAUGACGCUCGACCCCCUAACCACCCCGACCAAGCACUGCGCCACCGUAAUCACUCGCCGGUGAUCCUCGUUCACGGCAACCGCCUCGGACCGCCUAUAUAAAGGGGUCCCGAGCUCACUCUCGUGCACGCAGCACCUCCACUACUCACCAACACCCCGCCAGGCCACUAGGGGGACCUCGAGGAGGUCUCCUCCCCCAGCUCCGGCCGCCUCGCCCCGCCUCGGCCUCCAGCCCGAUUCGUUCUGGUGAGGCCAUCUCCGGCGCUCAAACCCCGUUCAUUACCCUCUCUAGCUGCCAGGAGCAUAACCCCCUCUUCAAUUUAACCUUUGCAGCCCUCUCCGACGAGCCCCUCGACCACCCGAGCCGCCGUCCGCCGGAGCAGAGCUCGCCGUCGACGUGGUGCUCGCCGACCGACUCCACCACCAUCAACUGACGCGGAAGGGUGCCCUGAGCACGGAGGUACUCUCCGAUCUCUCUGCCUCGCCGUGGAUCGCCGCCGGCGACCACCACGGCUCUCGGGCGCCGGCGAACUCUGCCGCCCCGUUUGAACAUUUGAACCUGACGGGUGGGACCCCACCGUCAGCCUCUCUGCUCUCUCUUUCGAAUCGUUUUCUGGAAGCGCCUUCGGGCAGAAUGCGUUUUCUCUUUGGGCUGGCGUAGUCGCUACCGAAGCGUUUUCUGUUUUUAUAAACUAGCCCCUGGAAAUCUUCUGUUUCAUUACAGAUAAGUCCCUGGACAAAAACCCUUAUAACUUUUAAUCAGAAAAGUAUUUUUGAUUGAUUCUUUUUCUGUUCUCUUUAAAAUUUUGUCUAGUUUUUUAUCAGAUUUAUUUGAAAAAUAUUUGGUUUACCUUCUGUGCACUCCUUGGUAUUUACGUUAGCGCAUAUAUUUUCUUUAAACCGUAGAUACCGAAGGAGGUGACGGAGCCGCGAACUUCACCGAGCUAGGCUCCGACUACUCUGAACCAGGCAAGCAUGUUUGAACUUUUGAUAUGAUGAGUGUCUUGGCAUGUUUUGCAUUUAGUUAGUUUCAUGGCAUGUUGGUGAGCAUAGCGAUGAACGUUGUUUUAUGUGAUAAUGAGGUAAGUGAGUUCGAUGAUCCAUACGUGGAUGAAUGUGAAUAUGAAUGGCCAUGUGUUGGCAUGAGGAUGGGUAUGAUGGCAGUGUUGUAGCAUGCCAGUCUUACGCCAGACUAAGUGACUUCAGUGUCAAACCAUAUCGGUCCAGUACCUAUCAUUUCCUUCCUUGUACUACCACAUGUUUUCCGCAAGGAAUAUGGUUUAGUAAGUUGCAAACCGCUUUCAUGGUACACACCAAAGAAGAGAGGUCGUGAUGAUGGUUCCAUGGCCCUGGAUUAAAGCCAGUCAUCCGGUCAGGGGGCAUGGGUGUUUCCGGUUGGGACCGAGAGGGGGGCACCCCUUAGAGCGCGAGUAUAUAAAUUUGAUCCCAUGCUAUUCGAGAUUGUGAUCUCCCCGUCUCAAAAGUUUUUCUUGGACGAUGACUAGGGUGAUUCCUAGCAUCGAGAGGUAGGAUGGGUGUGUACCGGUUAGCUGUGUUUUCUUCCAAAAUACCGUAAACGGAACUAGUCCUUCGUGACUACGGAAAUCCGUUGGCUGUGGGAAAAUUUUUGUACAAACUCUGCAGAGUCAUAUAUUCCUCCAAAUCAUCUAUUCCAUGUCAAGUUUCGUUCCAUCCUAUCCUAAUCAAUUGUCAGCUUUGAUGACAGAGACUCCGGUGAAUCGCAUGAGUGCUAAAGUCCGGUUGAAUGAUUAUCCCUGUGGAUGGACUAACCCGUUUAUUCUCAUGGAUUGAAUGUUUAUUAUGAGUAUUAUUUGCUGGUGAAUUUAAAGCCCUUUCUGCGAUGUCGCUCAGACGUCCGACUGUGGCAUUUCUUUUAAAGCCCUUUCUGCGAUGUCGCUCAGACGUCCGACCGUGGCAUUUCUUUUAAAGCCCUUUAUGUGGCGUCGCUUAGACACCCGACUGUGGUAUUUCUUUUAAAGCCCUUUUUGUGGCGUCGCUUAGACACCCGACUGUGGCAUCAUUUCCUUAUUUUAUUUGUUCACCUUUCGAGGCGUCGCUUCAGACACCCGAUCGGUCUUUAUUUAUGCUCUGUGGGAUUUCAGGCGGACUACCGCCGUUUCCCUUUUUACUUACCCUGUUAUGCCAAUUUUUUUAUUUAUUGUGCAUUAAGGAAUUAAUCAUGUUGCAUCCAUGCACGCAUUUGUUAUAUCUUACGUCCGAACUGUCUUGCGAGUACUUUCAAAGUACUCACUGGCUUGUUGAUUUGGCCAGAUGCUGACGAAGGCGAUCUCAUGGAUGAAGAGUUCGAUAGCGAGUCCGACACUUAGAGGAGUCCUAGUCAGUCUCGUGCGACCCUGGAUUUGGUCACUGUUUUAUAUCCGCUUCCGCUACCAAAUAAAUUUAUCGAGCCUCACCUCGACGUUCGAUGAAAUGAUAUUCUUAGAGUCUUGUAUUCCCUUCCCGCUAUGUUUUUCCACCACCAACCUAUCCAUGAGUCAGUAGUAUGUCUCCACACCACUGUGUCCUGUCCGCCAUUAUGUAUGAUUAUUGGUGUGCUUGUAAUAAUUUGGUUGAGCGACCGCAGUUCAACCCUGUAAUAUAUUUUAUGCUACUGGCUUAUUGUAUCAAGAAAUUGUCUACCAGUGAGGAGGAUUUCUCUCAUACUGGACUCAAAAGACUGGUUUAUCAAUAAAUAUUUUUAUUGGAAAACCGGUCGUGACAGAAGCGGCGCAUCGAUGUCUAUCAUAGGGGUGUGGGGUGCAGGAGCUGCUUGUGCCCGAUCUGGAGGUCAGCGGGGCUUGAAUGGAUGGCUAGGGACGGUGCCAAGCAUGGCGAUGCGGUAAGGUCAAGGGGAGGGCGCAGGCAGGGGAGGAAUACUAGGCCGAUGGUCGCUGGCAUUUCGAGGAAGAUCGUCAACACUGACUCGCUGGAGGUAGAUGAAGGCGAUCUACCCGUUCUUUGUACAUCGGACGGUGCAGAAAAAAUGGACUGACCUAUUUGCUUUCAGUCGACUGUUAUUUUCAUAGAAUCAUGUAGUAAUUUAAUGUGCCAUGCAUGUUGUAGAGCUAUCAUAUGUCUCCCAUUAUUUAUUUCUCACCGACCUGCUAUCUGCUACCUUUACACUGUACUAAUUGUGCACACACUUCACCCAUACUCACACUAUUGUUUUUUAUGCAUGGGUAUUUCAGACUCUGACGCAGUGUUGAUGAAUGCAGAAAAGAAAAGACAGAAGUCGCUCCAGUGUAAUUCAAAGAUAAGCACUAAGCGUUCCAGCGCUCUAACGGGUGCAGUGUCAGCAGUUGGAGACAGUAAACGUAGCUCUGCAGUUGAUGAUCUCAAUUGCCACACACAACCAUCCCAGGUGCUUGCUUUAACUUCGCGCUGUCAAAUGUGGUUGCAUGUUGCAUAUGGCGUCUAGCUUGUAUUGCUUCCAAUUUGGUUAAAUUGCAUCUACUUACUUUACACAUUAUACCUUUGAUAAUGACAUGCCUUCCUAUUUUUGAUACAUACUACAUAUGUCUAUUAACCAUGUUCGUACAUCAAACUAAUGCUCUUUUGUAUCCCUCGUCAAUCACUUAUGAUGAGACAGUCACCCGGGUGGGUUUCUGUGAGACGCCAUACUCGUUUAAAGAGUGCAGUGUCAUCCUCCCCACAUGAUUCUCAAGAAACAGCAAGGCUAAAUGAAGAUAGUCAACGUAGCUCUCUAGUUGAUCACCGCAAUUCCCCCACACCACCAUCGCAGGUGCUUGCUCUUACUUGGCAGUGUGAUAUGUAGUGUUCGUCUUACAUGAAAGUAGUGUUUGUCAGUAUCAUGCAUCAAUGAGUUCUGAAGAGCAAAUUUUAUUACUUUUUCUUGUGGGUUUGACUUGACAAGGCAAAAUCAAGAAAGAGGAAGGAACAGAGUAAGGAAGGCGAUGAUGGUGGUGCUCUGCAGCAACGUAAAUGGAGCAUCUGUACUGAUUCUCCUUGUACUGAUAGUGCAUUACAAGGUCCAAGUCUCCGCUCCCCUACUCCACCAUCCAAGGUGCUUGCUCUAACUUGGCAGUGUGAUAUCUGGUUGCAUGUUGCAUAUGGUGUCUAGCUCGUAUUGCUCCUAAUUAGUGUAAACUGCAUCUGUUUAGCUUACACAUGAUACAUGUGAAUAUGAAACACUUUCCUGUUUUUGGUACAUACUAUAUCUUAUGAUAAGGCACCUUUAAGUCGCCACUGUGAUAUUGGUUGUGUCUUGCAUAUGAUUUCUAGCAUGUACUGCUUCUAAUUUGUUGAAACACCAUACAGUUUGAACUUGGCAGAGUGAUAUUGGUUGCAUCUUUCAUAUGGUGUCUAGCUUGCAGUGCUUCUAAUUUAUUGAAAUGCCUUCUGCUUAGUUACCACAUCAUAGGUGUGAAUAUGUCACACCAUCCUUUUUUCAUAUGUAUUCCAUCCUUGCAUCAUGUGUAUGCCUUUCAUCCAAGUAGUGUUCGUUAGUAUCAUGCAUGAAUGAGUUCUGAAGAGCAAAUUUUAUUCCUUUUUCUUAUCGGUUUGACUUCACAAUGCAAAGUCAUUAUAGCUGAAGGAAAUUAGUCCGGCAAUGGAUGAUGGUGGUCCUUCAGAGCAACUCAAACAGGGGGUCUCUACAUAUUCUACUCCGCCAUCCUCCCAACAAUAUUCGCAAGACAACACAAGGCUGGACAGUCAACGUAGCUGUGUAGAUGAUGAGCACAUCUCCCCUACUCCACCAUCACAGGUGCUUGCUCUAACUUGACACUAUUAUAUGUGGUUGCAUGUUGCGUAUGAUGUCUAGCUUGCAUUGCUUCUAACUUGAAUUGCAUAUGCUUACUUUACACAUAAUGCCUGUGAAUAUGACACGUGUUCCUGUUUCUAGAACAUACGUGUACAUGAUGAGCACAUCUCCCCUACUCCACCAUCACAGGUGCUUGCUCUUACUUGGAACUGUUAUACGUGGUUGCGUUUUCUGUAUGAUGUCUAGUUUGUAUUGCUUCUGAUUAUGUUGAAUUGCAUCUGCGUAGCUUACAACUUAUACCUGCAACGAUCACUUACCCAUAAGACACAUUUAACUUGGGACUGUGAUGUAGGUUGCAUCUUGCAUUGUCUUCUAGCUUAUACUGCUUCUAAUUUCUUGAAAUGGCACUUACGACGAGACACUUUUUACCUGAUAGAGUGAUAUUGGUUGCAUGUUCAUAUGGUGCCUAGCUUUCAUUUCUUCUAAUUUUGUUGAAAUGCCUUCCGCUUACUGUUUUUUCAUACAUAGUCCAUCCUCCUAUCGUAUGUGUGAAUAUGAAACGCUGUCUUUUUUGUAUAUAUUCCAUCCUCCUAUCCUGCGCUUGCCUUACAUCAAAGUAGUGUUCGUCUGUAUCAUGCAUCAACCAGUUAUGCAGAGCUAAUUUUAUGCAUCUUCUUGUGGUUUUGACUUCAUAAGGCAAUAUAAAAAAAUAGGAAGGAAAAGAGUAAGUUAGGGGAUGUUGGUGGUCCUCCGCACCGACGCAAACAAAGACUCUCUAGAUUUGCCACUGCUACUGCUAAUGAAGUUGAAGUCUCGAGUCUACAUGAUGAGUUCAUCUCCCGUACUCCACCAUCGCAAGUGCUUGCUCUAAGUUGACAGUGUGAUAAUUGGUUUCAUGUUGCAUAUGUUGUCUAGCCUGUAUUUCUUCUAUUUUGAUUAAAUUGCACUUGCUGAGUUCAUACGUUAUACAUGUGCAUAUGACAUGGCUUUCUUUGUCUAGAAUACACUGCAUCUAUCUAUCAUACCAUGUUCUUACAUCAAAGUACUGUUGUUGUGUAUCCCGCAUCAGUCACUCAUGAUUGGACGCUUUUAACAUGGCAGUUUGAUAGUAGUUGCAUCUUGCAUUGAUUUCUAGGUUGUACUGCUCCUAAUUUUUCGAAUUUCCACUUAUGAUAAGACACUUUUAACUUGGCAGAGUAAUAUUGGUUGCAUCUUUCAUAUGGUGUCUAGCUUGCAUUACUUCUAUUUUCUUGAAAAUCCUUCUGCUUAGUUUGCACAUCAUAGCUGUGAAUAUGUCAUGCCGUCCCAUUUUUCUUACAUAUUCCAUCCUCAUAUGGUUGUCUUACAUCAAAGUAUUGCUUGUCUGUAUCAUGCAUCAAUGAGUUCUGAAGAGUGAUUUUAUUCUUUUGUGUUGUGGGUACAGCUUGACAUGGCAAAGUCAAAAAAGAGCAAGGAAAAUAAUAUAGUAGGGAGUGCUGUUACUCAUUAGGUGAAACGGAAAAGGUUCUGCCGUCGAGAUUCUGCUGGUACUUAUAGUGCAGUAGGAGGUCCAAGUCCACCGGCUAAAUCUACAAACACAGUAUCACCUGCUCCACCAGCUACAGCAUCCGCUUCAACUAUACCAGCAUCUCAACCAGUUACUCAUUCGUUUGCUCCAGAACUGGCCAGUUCCCAAGCUGCCUUCACACCUAACACUACUUCCGAAGCACUGCUGACACAACAGGACUUGGCAAGAUCAGAUGAACAUCAUGAGCAUCAACACCAAGACGACAUGACCGAGUCAAGUUGCAGUUGCAUGCUUCUUUAUAUGUACUCUCACAGUUUGAUGUACACUAACACUUUCCAUAUUCGUUGUUGAACUAGCACCACAGCACAAGCGGAAACAGACACCAGGGAUAGUGCUUGACAGAUUAACAAAAUCUAAAGGAGGGAGAAUGGAGAUCCAUUUUGAGGCAGGUUUAAAAAGGCCACGUGAUGCUACAGAGUCAGCCAAGUUAGUAUCAGAGGCAGGCGUUGUUGUUAGGUGUCAUACACGUAUCCUCCCAACGUGGAUCCGGUACAGGAAUGAGAAAGACAAUACCCAGUUUAACACCUUCCUUGACCAUUUAUCCAUAAGUAAUGUUAUUCAUUGCAAUUAGUAAUAUUGUCUUGCUCUGUCCCAUACUUUCUAGCAUCCUCCUAAUAAGACUCACAUUCUUUCUUCAACAGAUGUGGUUCAAGUUGGAUCUGAAAGAUGAUGCAACUAGACAAGCAUGCAUUCAUGUUUUUUAGUCUGCUCUACAACAGUAUCGAUACCACCUUAGAAAAUCUCACUUUGAAGGCAAGGCUAACAAUGAAAUUGCCCAAACAUCUCCAGUGGAAUAUAUUACAGAUGAAGACUAGACAGCCCGGCCUCGUUAAACACUGGUCUGAUCCAAAGUAUCAGGUAGGCUAUAUGUAUUUGAUCAGACCACAUAUUGAACUUGUAUUUAUGUAUGUGCCUUACAAGUGUAUCUUCUUCUAGGCUAACUAUUUAAAGAACAAAACCAACCGUUCUAAAGUGAAAUUCCAACAGACCACAGGAUCUCGUAGCUAUAUUGCACACUGUGAGGCUCUUGUAAAUAGCUGCUACUUCCUUCUUUUUUGUGCCAUGUUAUCAUAUCUAUAUUGACUUGUUCCAAAUACAGAGGAAAUCUCGUGCGGACCAAAAAGAACCUGAACCGAAUGCAAUGCAAAUCUUCAAGGAUUACCACACCAGCAAGAUGAAGGGCAUGAGCACACCAGUUCAAGCCGCUGUUGUAAGUCCUUACUCCUCCUGCCUUGAACUGAUUGGUAUUGUGAUGUGUUCAUUUAACUACUUGGUUUGCAGCCAAUGUCAGUUACUCUGUUCACUUUUAUUCACAGUUUUCUUAACGUAUCAUUUCACCUUACAUGGUUUAAAAGAGAUGAAGGAUAUUCUUUUGGUCUUGAUCUGUAAUCUAGUUGUUAUGUUCACGUGCGCACACAAUGAUAAAAUAGCCCGUUUGUUUUAUAUCUGUUUGCCCAUGAUAUGAAUGAUGUCAUACUAUGUUCAUCCUACUUUAAACCAUGUCUCUUUAUCCUUAUAUGUCAACGAAUGUGAGAAAAUAGACAAUACAGUAGGCAUGCUACAUGGACAUAUGUUCUGAAAGUGAUUUUAUUAUGUAGUUGGCACUACAAUACAUGAUAAUGUAUUACAGUAGUUCACCUAAAUAAGUUAUGUAUAAAUGUUUAACCUACUUUGUUUGUUUUUGUCUCAUUAGUAACUUAUCUGGUACACUAAUCUACAAGUUCAAACUUUCAGGAAGCUAUGGAACAAAUGUCGGAGUAAACGACCACGGGUAGCCUAGCAGGCUCCCCCUGGCCCUUCUGAAAAAAUUACGAGCCGAUCCGGCCCUCAAGAAUCCAAGAUGUGAGGCCGCCUUCCCCCUGCAGGCUGUCUCCCAGGCCGACUAUCGGAAGGCGGCCCGGCUUUAGCCCUCAUGAAGAAAGCCGCAGGAGGGCCGGCUCCAAGAAGCCGGCUGCGAGAAGCCGACUCCCACAAAGCGGUCAAGACCGUACCCUCGAAGUCUGCAUCCACAUAACGGCGAUGUGGCGGGGCGUGGCUACAGUAAAGCCGGCCACCCCCGAAUCUCGGAGCACGCCUGGCACAGCGCACCGUACGGGGUGGCCAUGACCCGUCCGGCGCAGCACUGUUGCCAUGUUGACCCUGAUGCCACCCACGACGGGCUGUCAGCGCGGCCCACGGGCGGUGGGCCCCUUUAGGCAGAGAGACACCCAAAGGCGGUCAGGCCUCCCCCAGUCGGCCGAAGACAGGGCCGGCUCCCCAUAGUCGGCUUGCUUCCUCCCUCGAAGGAGACGCCCCAUUAAGGAGACAAGACGAGGUGAGGCUACAGCGAUCGCCCGUCUGGCGGCGGCACAGUAGCCACGCUUACCUCGGUGAAGCCCUCGUCACCAGGUUUGGGGCAACAGUAACCAGCCACCGACAAGGCCCUUGACAAUGGGGCCUGCCUGUCGACCAAGGAGCAGCACGCCCGACGGUGCUUGCCACGACGCGCUGCAAGGCGUCACCAACGUCUGCGUAGCGAGCGGCCUCGCCGAUCUCCUUGACGAGACCCUCAUCUCCGACGAGCCCGCCUCUGACGCGGGCACCGACCACCUCAUCAACCUCCUCGGCCAGCUCCACGUCUCUGGCGAGCCUGUUGUGGACUUGGAGUCUGUUGGCUCCACCGAUCCGAUGCCUGUCGACUCCGACACGGCCUCGCUCGACGCUUUCCCCACCGACGUCGUGAUCUACAACGACCCGCUUCCCCGGGCCGAUGGCUGCGACGGUGCCACAACCGAGGUGAUGGUCAUCGGCCACGGCGUCGCUUCUGGUGAGAGCGCCCUCGACGCCCCACAUGCGGCGGUCCACGACUUGUCCAUCCCCCUCCCGGCCGAUGCCGACGCCGAAGCACUGGAGGCUCGCCGCCUCGCCCUCCUCGCAGAGGGACGGAAGUUGGCUUCCAUGAGACGCCUCACUGAGGCCCACCAGCGCGAAGCCAACCGCGCCGCCUUUGGCACGCCGCCCCCAGGCGGACCAAGCCGAGCCAGUGUUGUCAGACAGCACGGCGCUGCCCUCGCCGACACGCUAGGAGUCGACCCCCCAGUCUACGCCACUCCACUCGAGAACCUGCACGCCGCCCAGGCGGCCGUAGACGAGCUAGACGGACUGGGGGCCGAAGAACUCCCCCACAUGACUAGACGCAUCCAGCAACUAAUUGAUGCAGCCGCACAGCAGCAGGAAGCCGACGCCCGCGCGGAAAGCCCUCCCCCGCGCCGAGAGCAUGACGCGACGUCCCGGACGCCAACUGCGGGUAAAACCCACGCGCGACACGAGAAAGAGCCGGCUGCCAGCCGAAGCCGAACCCGGAUCUCCAUCGAGCGAGACGCAGAAGGCCGUCCCCGGGCCGUGGAGCGGCGGGGCAACCCGCCUCCGCCUCCACCUCGUGGGGAGAGAUGUCCCACCCCACCGCCUGUCACGCAUCCGACUCUCAGCAGCCGACUAGGUCGCCGCGAAGGAGUCGGCGAGAACGACGCCCGCCAUCGGAUCGACCGCCUAGCGCGAUCCCUGGCGCUAGAAGAAGAAGAUGAUGUCGGCCCGCCUUGCUUCGGCCCCCGCAUCCGCGAUGAGCCUUUCCCCAAAGGGUUCUCGCUCCCAAGAGACACGCCCAAGUACAACGGCUCCGUGAAGCCGGAAGAUUGGUUGAUCGACUACUCCACAGCGGUUCGCAUAGCAAACGGCAACAGGCGCGUUGCCGUGAAGUACGUGCCCCUCAUGCUGCAAGGCACGGCGCGGACUUGGCUCAACAGCCUCAGGCCAUACAGCAUCAACAGCUGGCUAGACUUCACAGAAGCCUUCGUCCGCAACUUCACCAGCACCUACAAGUGGGCUCCCAAGCCCAGACAACUCUCCUUGUGCGUACAAGGCCCCGCCGAAUCCACUCGCGACUACCUCACGCGUUGGGCCGAGCUCCGCAACUCUUGCAAAGGGGUGCGCGAGGUGCAAGCCAUAGAAUACUUCACUGCCGGGUGCCGAGAAGGCACCCUCCUCAAGCACAAGCUCCUCUGCGACGAGCCGACUACCCUCGACGAGCUUCUGGUCAUAGCGGACAAGUACGCCACCGCCGACUCCUCAAUGAAGACUGAACUCCGGGUAGACGCGUCCGGGAAGGUACUCGACCCGGCGCCCAAGAUGCCGGCUGGGGACUCCAGCUGACGCCCGUACCAGAACGACCACAAGCGCAAGGGCCCCGUGCCGCUCUCCACCAGUCGGCAGGUGGCCACAGUCGAAGACGAGCAGCCCGAAGGGCGGCCUGCACCCAAGAAGCAGAGGGGCGGCAGGCCGGCUUGGCAGCCGGCCUUAUCCUACGAGCAAACUCUCUACGCCCCAUGCAAGUUCCACAGUGGCACGAAGCCGUCCAACCACACAACCCGGAAGUGCCACUGGCUCACCCGAAUCUCCAAAGGCGAAGGGCUCACGCCACCUCCGCCUGCUGGUCCGCCGCCUCCGGCUCCGCAGCUGCCGACCGCUCGGCCAGCAGUCGGAGCUAUGCACGAUGAGUUCCCUGACGAGCAUGCCGCCUAUGUCGUCUUUACAAGCCAGCCCGAAGGCCGGCGCAGCAGACGCCGAGAGCACCAGGAAGUCAACGUGGUCGCUACUAACCCCGACGAGCACAUGCACUGGUCAGAAAAGCCUAUCAGCUGGAGCCAGGCCGACCACCCAGAGGUGAUGCCAUCUCCCGGCUCUUAUGUGUUGGUUUUGGAUGCCACCCUUGCAACGGACAGACGCGCCACCCGUUUCUCCCGUGUGCUGAUAGACAGCGGGAGUAGCAUCAACAUCCUGUACCGUGACACCCUGGAGAAGCUGAACGUCAAGACGAAGCAACUCAUGCCUACUCGGACUGUGUUCCACGGCAUUGUACCUGGCCUGUCCUGCGCCCCCAUUGGCAAGAUCAAGAUUGAUGUUCUCUUUGGGGACAAGGAUCAUUUCCGCCGGGAAGCGAUCUGGUUUGAAGUGGUGGACCUGGAGAGCCCCUACCAUGCAUUGCUUGGCCAUCCUGCCUUGGCCAGGUUCAUGGCCAUUCCCCACUAUGCUUACCUUAAUAUGAAGAUGCCGAGCGCCAAGGGCAUCAUCACCAUAGCCGGCGAUUACAAGAAAUCUUCCGAGUGCGCAGCAGCCAGCAGCCGGCUGGCCGAGUCCCUUGUGGUUGCCGAAUAAAAGAAGAUGUUGGACCGAGUCGUGGCCAUGGCCGGCAAACAGCCGGCCCUGUCCCCCAAUCCCAAGGAGUGUGAUGCCCAAGGAUCUUUCCAGUCGGCCAAGGAGACGAAGAAGAUACCUCUUGACCCCGAGCACCCAGAAAGGUUUGCCGUCAUCGGGGCAAACCUAAACAGCAAAUAGGAAGGCAAGCUCGCCGAUUUCCUCCAUGAGAAUCGGGACAUCUUUGCAUGGUCCCCUAAGGACAUGCCGGUUGUUCCGAAGGAAUUCGCCGAGCACAAGCUACACGUCCGAGAAGGCGCAAAACCAGUCAAACAACCCCUGCAUCGACUGUCGGAGGAGAAAAGAAGGAUUGUAGGAGAAGAGAUAGCCCGGCUUCUGGCAGCCGGCUUCAUUAUGGAGGUUUUCUUUCCAGAGUGGCUCGCCAACCCGGUCCUCGUGCUAAAGAAGAACAACAAGUGGCGCAUGUGGAUAGACUACACGAGCCUCAACAAGGCAUGCCCCAAAGAUCCCUUUGCCCUGCCAAGGAUUGAUCAAGUGAUAGACUCCACGGCCGGAUGCGAGCUGUUGAGUUUCUUGGAUGCUUACUCAGGAUACCACCAGAUAAAGCUAGAUCCGGCUGACCGCCUGAAGACCGCCUUCAUCACGCCAUUUGAAGCUUUCUGCUACCUGACUAUGACAUUCGGCUUAAGAAAUGCCGGUGCCACUUUUCAGCGUUGCAUGCAGAAGUUCCUCCUCAAGCAGCUCGGCAGAAAUGCCCACAUCUACGUAGACGACAUUGUGAUGAAGACGGAGAAGCACGACACCUUGCUGGAAGACCUCAAGGAAACAUUUGAGAACCUGCACCGGUUCCAGAUCAAGCUCAACCCCGAGAAAUGCGUGUUCAGAGUGCCAGCCGGCCAGCUCCUAGGCUUCCUGGUCUCCGAACGCGGCAUCGAAUGCAACCCAGUAAAGAUCAAGGCCAUUGAGAGAAUGGCGAUUCCCACCAAACUUCGAGACGUCCAGAAGUUCACCGGGUGCUUGGCCUCCCUGAACCGCUUCAUCAGCCGGCUCGGAGAGAAAGCUCUCCCCCUCUACCGCCUCAUGAAGAAGACCACUCACUUCGAGUGGAACGUCCAAGCCGACCAAGCUUUUCACGAGCUGAAGAAGAUGCUGGCCACACCACCUAUCCUGGCGGCGCCGACUGAGAAAGAGCCCAUGCUCCUCUACAUUGAUGCAACCAGCCGGGUGGUCAGCACCGUUAUCGUAGUCCAGCGCCCAGAAGAGGGCCGAGCCCAGCCGGUCCAAAGGCCGGUGUACUAUUUGAGUGAGGUGCUGUCUACCUCGAAGCAGAACUACCCGCACUACCAGAAGAUGUGCUAUGGCAUGUACUUCGCCGCCAAGAAGCUGAAGCCCUACUUCUAGGAGCACCCCAUCACGGUCGUAUGCACUGCCCCGCUUGCCGAGAUCAUAGGCAGCCGAGAUGCAUCUGGCUGGGUGGCGAAAUGGGCCAUCGAGCUGGCCCCCUACACGAUCUUCUACCAGCCUCGCACCGCCAUCAAGUCCCAAGCAUUGGCCGACUUCCUCGUCGACUGGGCCGAGACCCAGUACCUGCCACCAGCUCCCGACGCCACUCAUUGCCGCAUGCACUUCGACGGGUCCAAGAUGCGCACCGGCUUGGGAGUCGGCGUCAUCCUCACCUCUCCCAAAGGCGACAAGCUUAGAUACACACUGCAAAUUCACUUUGCCACCUCCAACAACGUGGCCGAGUACGAGGCGCUCAUACACGGGCUCCGGCUUGCCAAAGAGCUCGGCAUACGCCGGAUCCUAUGUUACCGAGACUCGGACUUGGUAGUCCAGCAAUCAUCCGGCGACUGGGACGCCAAGGACGCAAAUAUGGCAAGCUACCGCUUCCUCGUUCAGCAGAUCCGCGGGUACUUUGAAGGAUGCGAGUUCCUCCAUGUACCGCGAGCCGACAACGAGCCAGCUGAUACCCUGGCUCGAAUAGGCUCCACUCGGCAGGUAAUACCAACCGGUGUCUCUCUACAAUGCCUCCUCAAGCCGUCUAUCAAGCCGUCUCCGGAGUCCGAUUCCAUCUUCGUGCCGCCUGACCCCGACGCAGCCGGGUCCGGCUCGAAGAACCAAGCAGGUGACCCGGGGACUUCGAUAGUCAGCCCGGGGAUGUUAGUAGGCGGCUCGGGGACUUCCGUAGUUACGCCCGACCCGGGGACUGCCACACCCGGCUCGGGGACUGCGGUAGUCGGCCCGGGGACUGCACCAACACAACAGGCGGCGGCCAACUCCAGCAUUUCACCACCCAGCCCGCCUUCCCUGGUCGCAGUAGCCGUGUUGGCAAUAGAAGAAGUCGCAACUCCAUCAUGGGCCCAGUCCAUCCUCAACUUCCUAAUAAACCAAGAUCUGCCGGCUGACGAAACAGAGGAAAGACAAGUCCAACGCCGAGCCGGAGCAUACACAAUCAUCAACAAAGAGCUCAUCAGGCGCAGUGUCACUAGAGUCUUCCAGCGAUGCGUUGAGCAAGAGAAGGGCAUUCCAAUCCUCAGAGACAUCCACCAAGGAGAAUGCGGCCACCAUGCGGCCUCAAGAUCACUCGUCGCCAAAGCUUUCCGCCUGGGUUCUUUUGGCCGAGUGCUUUGGAUGACGCCAAGGAGUUAGUUAAACAUUGCAAAGGGUGCCAAGUCUUCAGCUCCAAGCAACACAUGCCGGCUUCGGCACUCAAGACCAUUCCCCUCACUUGGCCCUUCGCCGUUUGGGGACUGGACAUGGUGGGCCCAUUCAAGACAGCGCGCGGCGGCAUGACACAUCUGCUUGUCGUCAUGGACAAAUUCACCAAAUGGAUUGAGGCAAAGCCGAUCAAGAAGCUGAAUGGGCCGACUGCCGUGACAUUCAUCGCAGAUAAAACAACUCGGUACAGCGUGCCACACAGCAUCAUCACCGACAACGGCACGAAUUUCGCCAAGGGAGCACUGGCACGUUUCUGCGCGACGCAGGGCAUCCAGUUGGACUUAGCGUCCGUUGCCCACCCGCAGUCAAACGGCCAAGUCGAGCGAGCCAACGGCCUCAUCCUUUCUGGCAUCAAGCCCCGACUGGUCGUACCACUGGAACGUUCGGCCGGCUGUUGGCUCGAUGAGCUGCCGGCCGUCCUUUGGAGUCUGCGCACUACCCCAAACAAGUCAACCGGCUUCACUCCUUUCUUCCUCGUGUAUGGUGCCGAGGCGGUCAUCCCAACUGACAUCGAGUUUGACUCGCCUCGGGUAACCAUGUACACGGAGGUGGAGGCCAAGGAAGCACGAGAAGACAGCGUCGACCUGCUGGAAGAAGGCCGGCUGUUAGCCCUCAGCCGGUCCGCCAUCUACCAGCAGGGCUUGCGCCGCUACCACAGCCGGAAGGUCAGACCAAGAUCUUUCCAAGAGGGCGGCCUCGUGCUCCGGCUGAUCCAGCGAACAGCCGGCCAGCACAAGCUCUCGGCCCCUUGGGAAGGCCCCUUUGUCAUCAGCAGAGCGCUGGGAAAUGACUCCUACUACCUGAUCGACGCACAGAAGCCGAAGGUACGAAAGAGAGACGACUCCGGCAAGGAGUCGGAACGACCAUGGAACACCAACCUCCUCCGAAGAUUUUACAGUUGAAAUGCAGUAUGUAUCAUGCUAACUUUUGUACUAAGUACGAGACAAUAGGCCCCCCGAGGAGAGCUCGGGGACUGCCAUCUUUUAUCUAUGAAUGAAGAGUAUCAUGCUUAUGAUCAUGUCAUUACAUUCACUUUUUUCGUCCGGCAUCGGGUUCGACUAGUCGGCCCGGGGACUGGCCGCCUUGAGUUAUAUUAGAAGUCCUACCCGCGGUCAGACAAGUAGUGUGCCGGCACCCAAGCCUUCUCUUGCCAAAAGUCACAGUUCGAAGAACCGGCUGUCCGGUUGGCAAGAGUUAAAGGCAGGAAAGGACGCCCACAGGAAAAACGGCUAGGGACUAACGGACUAAUAUAACAAAAGUCGAUUUUUCUCCCACCACCGAUCGACUACCAGAGUAGCUGGCCGGCCGGCUUCCAUUCACCUCGCUUCAAUCGAAGAAAGCUCGAGUACUUGCCUUCCCCCCAAAAAAAUAUAGCCAAGUUCUUCCCUAGCCAUAGGCUGCAGAGCAGCUGCCGGUUGGGAAGGCAGCAGCUAGGGGAAGGCGGCAAAGGAAACAGCCUAAGGAUAAAAAGCAUACGCGAAUGGAAGCCAAACACACACAUGAUCAUAUUUACACAAAAGACCUUUGAAAGGCCAGCAUUCAACAUAGUUUGAAUACACCCCCAGUGGGUGGAACUACGCAAGUUUAAUAAAAAUUGUUCAAAGAGUAACAAGCAGGAAAAGCAAGGACGGCAGAUUAAGCCAAGGGAACGACUGGCGAGUCGGGCAGGUUGGUAGAGACGGGAGUGCUGGCUGGAGGAGUGGCCGGCUGGCGAGCCUCGGCAUGAUCACCACCUCCUGCAGAGGGCGCACUAGCACACGCCUCGUUGCUGGAGGCACGGUCAAGCUAAGGCUGGCUGGCUGCUUCAUCGGCCGGCUCGACAUCUUCGCCUUCCUCUCCUUCGUCGUCUUCACCUUCAUCGCUGGAAGCGAUCUCCUCCGCCGAGUCCUCACCCUCUGCCGGGUCCAGCCCGAACCAUUCCUCCGGCUGGGCAACGCCAUCGUCAUUUAUCUCAGGAGCAAAGGCGCUGAUGUCAGUGCACUCGGUGAUCGUCAAGGCACGCUGAGCGAUAGCCGGUCACACCUCCUCCAUCUCCUCGUCGGCUUCCAGCCGCCAGGUGCGCAGCUGGUCCAGGUUCAGCCCGGGAUACCAGGCUCGGACGAACUCCAGUGCCCGCCCAGCUCCAAGCCGGGCUGCCGAUGCCUUCCAGGCCUCGAAGCGGCCAACCGCAACCUCCAGCCAGUCGGCAGUCCGACUCGAGGUGAGGGGAAUCGCUUCGCCUGGCCAGAGGGCGGCCAACAUCUACGCCCCGGCGCGCUGGAGGCGGCGGAGCAUGCGGUGAGCCGGCUGCAGCCGGGCUUGGACCGCCAAGAGUUGCUCCUCAAGCGUCUGGCUCGCGUCCGACGCAAUUUCAGCCCCCGCCUGCCGGCGCGCCUCGCGGUGGGCCUCGAUGGUCUGGGUGGCAAUGACGGAGUAGCCGGGGAAGUAGUCUGCACAAAGAACAAAAAGUAGCACAAGUCAGAAGACAAAUCAGGGGGCAAGGGGCAAGCAAGGAGUGAGGAAGUCGGCUUACCAUCAAUCAGAUCCUCAACCCGGCCGUAGCCCUCGCUCAGCGCUUGUUUUGCCUCAGCCCAGCCCGCCGCUUCGAUCUCGAACUCAGCUUUGAGGGCGUCCUCGCUGUCCUGCGCCUUCUUCAGGGCCGCCUUGUGGCUCUCCUCCUAGUCGGCCAACUUCUUGGCCAGGCGGUCACGCUCCAGGACUAAGGCGUUGCACUCGGCUUCCUUGGCGCGAAGGGCGGUCUGGGCCCCGCUGAGUUGCUCCCUCAAGUCGGCAUUGGCUCCUGCAAGCAUGAAGACAAAGGAAAAAUCAAUAAGGAAGAAGUCGUCGGGGAAUAUUCGACCCGACUGCUCAGCAGUCGGCCCGAAUCUCGGGGACUACACCCAGUGGGUGCGCUGACGCGCCCCCACAGGAGAUGAACGAGACAAAGCACGCACUCCGGCUGUUGGCCAGGUCCUUGGUUUAUUGGCCCAGCUCCUAAGCCUAGGAGUUGAAGGCAGCAGCGCGGAGGUUAUGGUAUUCCUGGAAGAUCAGACAGGAUGCAAGAAUAAGAUAGCUGUCAGGACCUAGUAAGUUCCAAGCCGCCUGCUCAGCAGCCGACUCGGAACUCGGGGACUACACCCAGUGGGUGCGCUGACGCGCCCCCACGGAAGAAAUCAAAAAGCAAAACAACCAAGGCCAGAAGGCUCACCCGGAUGACGGCCCGCAUCAUGAGGAACUCUUGGGUAUAUCGCUGCAGCGAAGCGGGCUGGGCUUGAAGCCGGUUCCUGACCUCCUGGACCGCCGUGUUCACCUCGGCCGUCCCCCCGCUGGGCGUCCACUCGGACGAGCUGGCACUGGCCGCCUCCAGGGCCUUCACCGUCCGGCUGGCCCCCACAGCGCUGUGCGGCUCCGGCACGGAGGUAGGUCCCCCUGCGCGCCGGCGAAAUGCCGGCUGCACCUCGAGGCCGGCCCCUGCCUCCGGCUCGCCCCCGGUCGGCUGCUCUGGCGCCGCGGCUGGUUGGCCUUUUUGGCCCACUCUAGUCGGCGCCGUCUGCGCCUCCUCCUCCAUGAAGACCACGUGGUCCUCCCUCCUCUCCAUCACCGGUGGGUCUCGGUUGACCUCCUCCGACUGGGGCACGGGGAUGUCGGGGGCCACGGCACGGAGGGGAACGACGAGCUGCAGAGGCUGGUUGCGCGAGGCCUUCGCCUCCUUCUCCGCGGCCGCCGCCUUCGCCCGGACCUUGGCCGCCGCGUCGGCCUGCUCCUUUGCCGCCUGGGUGGUCCUUCGCUCCGCCGCCUCCCGCUCCUCCCGCGCCUCCCGUGUGUUCCGCUACGUGGCCUCCAUGAGGUCGGCGCGGGGAUCCACGCGGCGGGAGCCUGAGGACCCUCCAGUCAGCCCGACUACGAAGCCGCCAGGACCUCGCUCGAGGGAAAGCGGUGCCCUGCCUGGCAAGCAAAGAAAAGUUUAGAAGAGCCUCAAUCGAAGAGGACAACAAAAAAUACAAGACGUUUGACGCUUACGCGAGAUCGCCUGCGGCUGUUUCACCGCCUUGCGGAAGCGGGCCGCCUUCACGGCCGCCUAAUCCCGCUUGGUCGCCGCCGUGGAACCCUUGGAUUUCUUCGGCCGGCUGCCGAAGUAGGUCGACGCGGCUCGGCAUUUCUGCGCGCCGCCACGGGCAGCCGUCACGGUAGACGGGCCCGCGCCUUGAUGAUCAAGCACCGGCUGGAGGUGCGGAACGACUUUGACCUCGUCAUCAUCCGCCCAGUCCUCGAGGCCGGCCCCGAGCCCCGUGUCGCCUGCCUCGUCGCCUUCCCCCAUGAUGGCAUCUUCCAUGGCUGCCGCUCCCAGGUCCGGAUCAUCGACAUCGUCCACCGUGCGAUCAGGGAGGAGCUGGCGCUCUACCCCUGCGGCCCUGGCCGUCGGCGGAAGAAGAGGGUUCUGCUGAGGACAAACCAAUUGAUCAGAAGUCAGCCAUCAUGAGGCCGGCUACAAAAAGGAAGAAAAGAAGAAAAACUUACAGCAGGCGGAGGGUUGGCGCGAGAAUACGGCCCCUUGCCGUAUCGCCAAUCCUCGGCGAGCUUGUAGUUGGAGAUGUAGUUCACCAUGUAAGACACCCCGACAUGAGGCAUCUCCCUGGUGCUCAGCCGGCCCGGGUCGAAGCAGCCGCUCAUCUGACAAAUCAUGUGAGGCCGGCCUUGGAGUGGAAGUACUCGGCGCUCCACGAAGGCGGCCACCAGGUCGGCUCCGGUCAGGCCCUCCGACUGGAUCAUCACCCGGAGCCGGGCGACGGCUGCGUUCCCGGCCUGAGAUAACGACCUGGCCCGGUAGCUCCACGAGGGGUGCCUCCCAGCCGGCGGGCCGGCUACGUAAGCAGGCAGGUUGACGAAGUCGCCUUGCUGGGCGACGUUCUUUAUGUAAAAAUAGGACUUCUGCCAGAGCUUCACCGACUGGAUCAGCAGGAUGGGCAGGAACGGAUUGUUCUCGCCUGUCCGCCUCAUGGCAAUGAAGGCUCCGCACGGGGCGGGCACACCCGCGACAACAGUGCCGAGCUUGCACUGGAAGAAUUCUCCCCAGAGCUCGAGAGUGGGGAGAACCCCAAGAAAGCCCUCGCACAGGGUGACAAAAGCUGACAGCAGCAUCACCGCGUUGGGCGUGAGGUGAUGUGGCUGGAGGUGGUAAAACUCAAGAAAAGCGCGAAGGAAUCCGCUCGUCGGGAGGCCAAAGCCGCGCAGGCAGUGCGAGCGGAAUAUUACCCACUCAACCUCCUCCGGUGCCGGCAAAAUCUCCCUCGCCGGCGCACAACGAACCCGCACGUAGUUCUCGCCCGGCAGACACCGCGUCUGGCGGAGGAACUCAACAUGGUCCUCGUGGACGUUGGAGCCGUCCCACGAGCUCGACAACGCCAUGGGAGCGACGGGGCGAGGAACAAGGUGAUGCGACGGCGGAGACACGCACGACCCCGCUACGGCGGGACCGAAGGAACGGAGAGGUCCGACGGCAGAGCGGCGCGGCAAUGGGUCACUGCGGCGGCGGAAGGAAGGAGAAGGAAGGUGAGAAAGGGUGGAGCAAGGGAGAGCGUGCGAGCCUCUGCCGCUCCCUCUCCUCCCCCUACUUAUAGACCCGCGCGGCGGAGCAGAGGAGGCAUGGUGUGGGGGAACGUGGGAUCAACCGUGCCCACUCCCCCACGUCCCGCGAUUAUUGUGCCCUGAUGACGAAAUGAAACCGCCGCGGGAAGGCGAGCGGUCCGUUGUGGGCCGCAGAAGAUCCACGCUUGGGCCGAGGCCUAGAAGUGGCGGGCCCGGGCCUACGGCGGCGUCCCAUCGCGCGCGUGCAUUGGCAGGCUUUCCUUGCCACGUGGCCCGUGGGGUGGUGCGCGGUCAGCUCGCAGGCCGACCCACGUUCCUGCCUACAAGAUACGGAGCUUUCCGAAGACGGCGCGCAUAAGCAAAGCCGGCUCCUCAGGAUAGGAAGCUGACCAAGAUUCUCGUCCCUUUGUCAGCCUCGAAGCUCGAUCAGCUUCGGGGACUACUAUCGGAGUAAACGACCACGGGUAGCCUAGUCGGCUCCCCCUGGCCCUUCUGAAAAAAUUAUGAGCCGAUCCGGCCCUCAAGAGUCCAAGACCUGGGGCCGCCUUCCCCUUGCCAGCUGUCUCCCAGGCCAACUAUCGGAAGGCGGCCCGGCUUUAGCCCUCAUGAAGAGAGCCACGGGAGAGCCGGCUCCAAGAAGCCGGCCGCGAGAAGCCGACUCCCACAAAGCAGUCAAGAUCGUACCCUCGAAGUCUGCAUCCACAUAACGGCAAUGUGGUGGGGCGUGGCUACAGUAAAGCCUGCCACCUCCGAAUCUCGGAGCAUGCCUAGCAUAGCACGCCGUACGGGGUGGCCAUGACCCGUCCGGCGCGGCACUGUUGCCAUGUUGACCCUGAUGCCACCCACGACGGGCUGUCAGCGCAGCCCACGGGCGGUGGGCCCCUUCAGGCAGAGAGACACCCGAAGGCGGCCAGGCCUCCCCCAGUCGUCCCAAGACAGGGCCGGCUCCCCACAGCCGGCUUGCUUCCUCCCUCGAAGGAGACGCCCCAUUAAGGAGACAAGACGAGGUGAGGCUACAGCGAUCGCCCGCCAGGCAGCAGCACUGUGGCCACGCUUACCUUGGCGAAGCCCUCGUCACCAGGUUUGAGGCAACAGUAACGAGCCACCGACAAGGCCCUUGACAGUGGGGCCUGCCUGUCAACCAAGGAGCCGGCAGCUGGCGGGACCCACCAGCUGGCGGGCCCCAGCAGCCGGCGCAGAAGCCGGCGAGCGUAGACACAGAUGGCUAGGGCCCAUGCCCAGCCGGAUUACCAUUGUACCCCCGGGGGUGGGCCUAUAUAAACCCCCCGGGGCACCCAUGCAAAGGGUGGAUCGGAGCUAGUUUUACACACCACAUAGAGAGGAGAGGAGAGCUAGCCGUGCCCUUCUUCUUCUUAUCGCCAAACAGCUCAAGGAGCAUCUUGUAGCCACUUGUUCAUCUAGUGAUCAUGCGGAGACCCUGCAGAGCAGCAGUAGGGGUGUUAUCUCCAUGGAGAGCCCUGAAGCUGGGUAAGAUUCGCCGGCAUGCAUGUCUUUGCCUCAUCCCGCUUCCAGGCACCGGCGACGUCUUACUGGCUCCCACAAUGAUAAGCCACCCGUUGGCAUAUGUCGCACCUACCACCCGACAACAAAUGAUUGAACAGCCGCAACCACCUGAAGGUGACGGGGCUACUACAGGCACAAUGUCCCCUCUUGCUGCAGUGCAUCAGUAUCUCUCCACUAUCAGUGCAAAAAGCACCUUCCUGCGUAAUUCUGGGUUGGUUGUCAAGGUAACCUCGUCCAAAUCGCCUACUGAACAAAAUCUUCCUGCUAGACAGAGUGAUAUAUCUGUGCUCCAGACACAAGUCCAAUCCCUAAUGGACGUUGUUUCGGAAGCAAGAAUAGUAGUUGAGAAAUGUCGUCAGGAUAUGAAUGGUUUUUAAACCAGACUAUCAGACAUUCGCUUCGUUGUUCAAGAGCAAUGGCGGAAAAAAGGUGGAGAUCGUGCUGCUCCAUGAGAUUCUAUAGCCUAAAACAUUAGCACUCAAGUCAAAUGAUCUGUGCUUCUAUACAUCUGAUGGUGCUUUUAUCUGGAAGGACUGUAAAAUUUAUGCCAACAGGCCUUUUGUUGUAUGGUUGGAAUUUAUUUUGUUGUGAUACAACAUUUAUGAUGCUGCCUCAGGAUGCAGUAAUUACGACGCUAUUUUUUUAUAGUGUAGGUUUAUCUUACUAAUGUAUUCGGCCGAAAGCUUCGUAGGAGCCCAACAUGCCAACAUUCGUUGGGCCCAUUCCAAUUGGGCUAAAAACGAUUAUGGGCCGAAAUUGGCAUGUAGCCCACUAAAAAUAUCUAGGCCUAAAUCAGCAUAAGCUUUCAUAUUUUUCUGGUAGGCAUGUGCCCAUAGUGGGCCUUUAACAGGCCUAAACAUAAUUUGGGCCCUCGGUAAAAAUAGGCUGUUUACAGGUGUAAAUAUCUCGAGCCCAUAAAAUACAUGGGCUUUUAAUAGACCGAAAGUGAGAUUGGGCCCUGAUUGUGCCAAAUAACCCACUGGAUUUUAACAGGCCGAAAUUCCGAUGGGCCGUAAAUGCGCCGACCUAAUACACGGGCCUUUAACAGGCCGGAACUUCUGUCGGGCUAGAUUAUCGUCAUUUUUAUAUGGGCCUUUAAUGGGCCCGAUAUGACGUUGGGCCACAUAUGGCCCAUGGUUUACAUCCGGUGUUAACGGGCCGAGAAUGGCAACAGGCCGAAAGUGGCCCAAAGCUAUAGUGGGCCUCUAACAGGCCGAAUGUCAGACAUGGCCGAAUAUGACCCAAAUCCUUCACGGUCGUUUAUGGGCUGAAAGUUUUGAUGGCGUGUAAAUGGGCCCAAAUGAAGCCGGACCUUUAACAGGCCGGAAAUACACCGGGCCGUAAUUCGGCCCAAUUACUUAGCGGACUUUUAACGGGCCAGAAGUGACCAUGGGCCGCGUUGAUGACAAGUUUAGGACAGGCCGUUGACGGGCCGAUUUGAUAGAGAAUGUUGGGCCUUUAGCUGGGCCGGCCCAUUAUGGUCAGCAGAAUCUUGUGGGCCUUCAGCUGGGCCGGCCCAUUGUGGUCCACAAAAUCUUGUGGGCCUUUAGCUGGGUCGGCCCAUUAUGGUCUGCAAAAUCGUGUGGGCCUUUAGCUGGGCCGGCCAUUAUGGUCCGCUAAAUUUUGUGGGCCUUUAGCUGGGCCGGCCCAUUAUGGUCCAUUAAAUCUUAUGGGCCUUCGGUUGGGCCGGCCCAUUUAAUCUUUGUGGGCCACUUUUGGGCCGGUCCAUGUGUCAACAUAUCAUAGGCCCAUCUCGACCGUUGGAUGAGUGACACAUGUGCCAACACGGAGCUGACGCAUGGAUCCGUCAGCCAAUGAGAAUUUUACACAUGGAAAAUCGGCAUUGGUCGUGGCUGUUAACGGGUUAUCGGAUCCAAAAUCCGACCCGAUAGCUUAACGGUGUUCCAUUACAGUGGAUGCCACGUGUCGGUCACCCUUGACGAAAGAACUUCUGUGACGCGCGAUUUAUCAUCAUGGAAGUGGACUCUUCCGUGAUGAUAAUUUUGGCAAUGUCAUGGAACACUUCUUCGAUAGCACAGGUAUGACUAUCUUGAUUCUUUCAUAAAUUUGUCAUGGAUGUACAUGCAUGACAGAAAACGCGACCUACUAUGACAAACACAUAUCAUCCCAGAAGUGUAUUUUUUUUGUAGUGUUGCGACACCUAAACCUGCUUCUGCUAUUAAUUCUGAUAUGUCGCAUGUUAUUGAUGAUGCCACUUAUGCUAUGCAUGAUACUUAUGAUGAAACUACUUCUAUGCUUGAUACUAUUGUGCCACUCGGUGAAUUCCUUGAUGAACAACUUGCUAUGGCUAGAGAGAAUGAAAUUAUUCAAACUGAUAAUACUGAUGAAAGUGAUGAUGAAGGCUCUCCUAAUAAAUAUGAAAUACAUGUUGUGCCUGAGGGCUAUGUUAUGGAUGAAGAAACUAAAAGAGACUUUCUUGCUUGCAAUGAUAGAAGUGAUCUUAAGAAAUUAUUAGCUAAGCUUAAACAAAAAACUCUGAAUGCUAGAAUGAAAUAUGAUCCUGCUUAUGCUACUUCACCUAUCUUUGUUACUGAUCAGGAUUAUGAAUUCUCUGUCGACCCUGAUAUAAUUACUUUGGUUGAAUCUGAUCCUUUUUAUGGCUAUGAAUCAGAAACUGUUGUGGCACAUCUUACUAAAUUAAAAGAUAUAGCCACCCUGUUCACUAAUGAUGAGAGAACUCGCUACUUUUAUAUCCUUAAAAUAUUUAUGUUCUCGUUAAAGGGUGAUGCUAAGAUAUGGUUUAAUUCUCUUGAUCCGGGUUGUGUGUGUAGUCCCCGGGAUAUGAUUUAUUACUUCUCUGCUAAAUAUUUCCCUGCUCAUAAGAAACAAGCUGCCUUAAGGGAUAUAUAUAAUUUUGUGCAAAUUGAAGAAGAGAGUCUCCCACAAGCUUGGGGGAGGCUUCUCCAAUUACUUAAUGCUUUGCCUGAUCAUCCUCUUAAGAAAAAUGAAAUACUUGAUAUCUUUUAUAAUGGACUAACCUAUGCUUCCAGAGAUUACCUGGAUAGUUGUGAUGGUUCUGUUUUUAGGGAAAGAACACCGGAUGAAGCUGAAAUUCUAUUGAAUAAUGUGUUGACAAAUGAAAAUAAUUGGACACUUCCUGAGCCAACUCCUGAGCCUAUUCCUAAACCAACACUGAAGAAAAGAGGUGUUCUAUUUCUCAGUCCUGAAGAUAUGCAAGAGUCAAAGAAUCCAUGAAGAAAAGGGUGUUAAAGCUGAAGAUGUUAAGAAUUUACCUCCUAUUGAAGAAAUACAUGGUAUUAAUAACCCGACACAAGUAGUAAAGGUAAAUUCUCUCUAUAGAUAUGAUAAGGCUGAAAUCCCUCCUACUAAGUUUGCUAGCCAAUGUUUGGAUGAUUUUGAUAACUUUAUGGUUAAGCAAGAAGACUUCGAUGCUUAUUUUGGUAGACAAUUAAAACAAAAUGCUUAUAUGAUUGAACACUUGGGUGAUUAUAUGUCUAGAGUUAAAGGUGAACUUAAAAUCAUUAGUAAACAUUCUUCUAUGGUCACCACUCAAGUAGAACAAGUACUUAAAGCCCAAAAUGAUUUGCUCAAUGAAUUGAAUAGUAAGAAUAAUGACUAUGCUGUUAGAGUGGCUACUAGAACAGGUAAAAUGACUCAAGAACCUUUCUAUCCUGAAGGCCACCCUAAGAGAAUUGAGCAAGAUUCUUAGAGAAAUAAUAUAGAUGCACCUAGCCCUUCUAAAAGGAAGAAAAAGAAAAAUGAUAGGACUUUGCAUGCUUCUAGUGAACCUAUUGCUGAAACACCUGAGAAUCCAAAGGAUAUUUCUAUUUUUGAUGCCAAAACACAAUCUGGUAAUGAACAUGAACCUAGUGAUAAUGUUAAUGAUAAUGUUCAUGAUGAUGCUCAACCUAGCAAUGAUAACGAUGUAGAAGUUGAACCUGUUGUUGAUCUUGAUAACCCACAAUCAAAGAAUCAACGUUAUGAUAAGAAAGACUGUGUUGCUAGGAAGCACGGUAAAGAAAGAGAACCAUAGGUUCAGAAACCCAUGCCUUUUCCUCCCAAACCAUCCAAGAAAAAGGAUGAUGAGGAUUUUGAGCGCUUUGCUGAAAUGAUUAGACCUAUCUUUUUGCGUAUGCGAUUAACUGAUAUGCUCAAAAUGAAUCCUUAUGCUAAGUAUAUGAAAGAAAUUUUUACUAAAAAAAGAAAGAUACGGGAAGCUGAAAUUUCCACCAUGCUUGCUAAUUACACUUUUAAGGGUGGAAUACCUAAGAAGUUUGGAGAUCCAAGAGUACCCACUAUAUGAUGCUCCAUUAAAAGAAACUAUGUUAAAACUGCUUUAUGUGAUCUUGGAGCCGGUGUUAGUGUUAUGCCUCUCUCUUUAUACCGUAGACUUGAUUUGAAUAAGUUGACACCUACUGAAAUAUCUUUGCAAAUGGCUGAUAAAUCAACUGCCAUACGUGUCGGUAUUUGUGAGGGUGUGCCUGUUGUGGUUGCAAAUGUUACUAUUUUAACGGACUUUGUUAUUCUUGAUACUCCCGAGGACGAUAGUAUGUCUAUUAUUCUUGGAAGACCUUUUUUGAAUACUGCAGGGGCUGUUAUUGAUUGCAACAAAGGCAAUGUCACUUUUCAUGUUAAUGGUAAUGAGCAUACGGUACACUUUCCGAGGAAACAAUCUCAAGUUUAUAGUAUCAAUUCUAUUGGAAAAAUUCCAUCAAUUAUUUUGGAGAUUUUGAAUUUCCUCUUCCUAUCGUCAAGAAGAAAUAUGAUAUUCUAAUUAUUGGGGAUGUGCAUAUCCCCGUUGAGGUAACAUAGUGUUAUUCGAAAUUUCUCCGGUUCCAUGUUAUUUGGAAUGAGUUUGUUAACAAGACUUGAUCAACCUUGUUAGUGGAUUCCUUUUGAUGAGCAUGAGAUGGAUGAAUUUAGAAAGCACAACUCUAUGUACCCUCCUUUUACUUUCUGUUAUUUAGUUGAAAUAAAGUAAAAAUAGUAUUUUCUGUCAGUUUCUGAAUUAUCCGUGCAAUAUAAAAAUACCCCGAAAAUAAAAGUUCUCCAAAUGCGCUGCCAAUUUAAUAUGUUUUUUCUGGAAUAUUUGAGAAUAUUUGGCACUAAGAACACAGCAGGGGGAGCUAGCACCUGGCCACGAGGGUCCAGGUCGCGCCCACCCCCCCUGCCUCGUGGGCCCAUGGUGGCCCUCCUCCACUUAUUCCUGCACCCACACACUUCUUCCUCCCAAAAAAAUCACCAUCCAGCUCAAGCAUGAGUUCUAGCUCAUUUUGCUGCGAUUUUCGAUCUCCUUGCUCAAAGCACCUCUCACAAAACUUCUUUAGGGCAUUGUUCCUUGGUAUGUGACUCCUCCAAUGGUCCAAUUAGUUUUUGUUCUAGUCCUUUAUUCAUUGCAUAUUUUUGCUGCUUAGGUGACCCUGUUCUUGAGCUUGCAUGUCAAAUUUAUGUGGUCAAAAGUAGUUUUGAUGCAUGAUAUAGGCUAUAGGAACUUGUAGGAGUAGUUGCUAUCAAUUUUGUUGAACUUGGUUCACUUUUAUUUGAAGUUACUAAAAAUUUCAGAAUUUUUCAGAAAAUAAUGAAGAGAUUUUUUAGGGGCUCAUCGAGCCGAAGCUCGAAGGAAAGCAAAGUGAAGAAGCAGAGAGGCCCAAAUAUAAUCUGCCUCGCACCACGAAGGUUCGGCCGUGUGAAUGGCCUUCCAAUGAUUUCUUGAGAGCAGUCGGGAUUUAUGAUGAUUUUUAUGGAUUUGCUGAGAAUGCAGGCCUCACCGACUUCCUCCACGGCCAAUGCGAACAAUAUCUCUUACUCACCAAUACUUUUGUGCAAAACUUCUACUAUUAUCCUAAGGAAUCACCUCCUUCAGUAGAGUUUCAUUUAUAUCAUGUGGUUAAGAAGAUGUCACUAUAUGAAUUUUGUAGGGUUUGCAAAAUACCUUUCGAGGGUAGCUUAGAGGAACCACAUCGUAAAGAUGUGGAUGGGUUUAUUGACACUAUUACUGUAGGGGAAACUAGGAAGGUUUCUGAUGCAAGAAUUACUAGCAUACAUUUUCCUGUUUUACGCUACUUUGCAAUAUUUGCUAGUCGUUGCUUAAUUGGUCGCUGAAACUAUGGAAACCUUAGUGUUCCUGAUAUUAUUAUUUUGUUCCAUGGUUUAUUCCGUGACGACUCUGUUAGUAUGGGCGGUAUUAUUGCUAAACGGUUAAGUCUGAACCAUACAAAGGGCCCCAUCUUUGGAGGUGUCCAUGCUUCACGCCUUGCUGCAUACUAUAACAAACUGAUAUGUCUCCGUCGUAUCUAUAAUUUUUGAUUGUUCGAUGCCAAUAUUAUUCAACUUUCAUAUACUUUUUGGCAACUUUUUAUAUUAUUUUUGGGACUAACAUAUUGAUCCAGUGCCCAGUGCCAGUUCCUGUCUGUUGCAUGUUUUGGGUUUCGUAGAAUAUCCAUAUCAAACGGAGUCCAAACGGGAUAGAAACGGACGGAGCUUAUUUUUGGAAAGUAUGGAAAAUUCGGAAGGAAAAUCAACGCGAACCAGUGCCCGAGGUGGUCACGAGGCAGGGGGCGCCCCCCCUUAGGGCGCGCCCCCUACCCUCGUGAGCCCACCGUAAGGCGGUUGAAGCUCUUCUUUUGCCGCAAGAAAGCUAAUACUCGGAAAAAAUCACGGCGAAGGUUUCAGGCCAAUCGGAGUUAUGGAUCUCCAUAUAUAUACGAAACAGUGAAACAGAGCCAGGAGGGAACAUAGAACCAGAGAGAAACAGAGAGAUAGAUCCAAUCUCGGAGGGGCUCUCGCCCCUCCCAUGCCAUGGAGGCUAGUGACCAGAGGGGAAACCCUUCUCCCAUCUAGGGAGGACGUCAAGGAAGAAGAGGAAGAAGGGGCCCCCUAUCUCCCUCUCCUCCGGUGGCGCCGGAAUGCCGCCGUGGCCAUCAUCAUCACCGCGAUCUUCACCAACACCUCUGCCAUCUUCACCAACAUCUCCAUCACCUUCCCCCCUCUAUCUACAGGGGUCCACUCUCCCGCAACCCGUUGUACCCUCUACUUGAACAUGGUGCUUUAUGCUUCAUAUUAUUAUCCAAUGAUGUUUGCCAUCCUAUGAUGUCUGAGUAGAUUUUCGUUGUCCUAUCGGUGGUUGAUGAAUUGCUAUGAUUGAUUUAAUUUGCUUAUGGUUAUGUUGUUGUCCUUUGGUGCCCAUCAUAUGAUUGCGCGCGUGGAUCACACCCUAGGGUUAGUUGUAUGUUGAUAGGACUAUGUAUUGGAGGGCAAGAGUGACAGAAGCUUCAACCUAGCAUAGAAAUUGAUGCAUACGGGAUUGAAGGGGGGCCAAUAUAUCUUAAUGCUAUGGUUGGGUUUUACCUUAAUGAACAUUAGUAGUUGAGGAUGUUUGCUAAUAGUUCCAACCAUAAGUGCAUAGAAUUCCAAGUCAGGGAUGGCAUGCUAGCAGUGGCCUCUCCCACAUAAUACUUGCUAUCGGUCUAGUAAAGUAGUCAAUUUCUUAAGGGACAAUUUCGCAACUCCUACCACCACUUUUCCACACUCGCUAUAUUACUUUAGUUGCUUCUUUACCUUAACAGCCCCUAGUUUUAUUUUUGUGCUCUUUACUUUCUUGCAAGCCUUUCCGAAAACACCUACAAAGUACUUCUAGUUUCAUACUUGUUCUAGGUAAAGCGAGCGUCGAGCGUGCGUAGAGUUGUAUCGGUGGUCAAUAGAACUUGAGGGAAUAUUUUUUUCUACCUUUAGCUCCUCGUUGGGUUCGACACUCUUACUUAUCAAAAACUAUUGUGAUCCCCUAUACUUGUGGGUUAUCAAGACCUUUUUCUGGCGCCGUUGCCGGGGAGCAAUAGCGUGGGGUGAAUAUUCUCGUGUGUGCUUGUUUGCUUUAUCACUAAGUAAUUUUUAUUUGGUGUUCUUAGUUGUUCUCUAUCUUUAGUUAUGGAUAAGGAACACGAAAUACAAAAAAAAUGGGUGUACUUUCUGCUCAUGGAGAUGGGGAACCUCCUAAAACCCUCGAUGCUCAAUAUGUGAAAAAUAUUAUGUACCACUUUGAUAAUCCUGAGAAAACCUCAUUCAAUUUGGUAAUGGGAGUAACGUUGGAUCAACGUGAAUACUUUAGGGAUUAUCACUUGGCACAAAAAGGGAAACUAUUAUGGGAUCAAAUUUAUAUAUUGAAGUGGUAUGCUAGACAACUAUGCUCGGGAUAUGAUUAUACUUGUUGCUCUAGGAUGAAUUCUCCACACCUCCCCUUUUCAUGCAAAUUUAAUGAUAAUGUAACCUUGGCUUCUUAUGCUAGAGGUAUAUAUGAUUACUAUGAUGUGGAACAAAUAGAAGAAUUUGUUGCUUUUUGGGGUGCUUAUGAAAUUGAAUCUAUGUUUAAAGAGUUUGAUGAUAUUGAUGAUGCUUGUUAUACAUCUGAAAAUUUAGCUAUCCUCAAAUAUCGCUAUGAGAAUUAUGAAUACAAUUAUGAAAUUAAUGCACUUAUUAAGAAAGUCUCCGCUGUCCAAGAAGAGACUAAUAUUUUGCAGGAAUCUAUGGAAGAAGAAGUUGAUGACACUGUGAGCUCAUUGGACGAAAAAGAUGAGGAUGAGAGCGAAGAACAAAAGGAGGAAGAGCGGAUUUAUCACCCGUGCCCACCUUCUAAUGAGAGUAACUCUUCAACUCAUACAUUGUUUAAUUCCCCUUCGUGCUUACCGAAGGAUGAUUGCUGUGAUGACUGUUAUGAUCCCUAUGAUUCUUUUGAAAUAUCCCUUUUUGAUGAUGCUUGCUAUGCUUAUGGCCAAGAUGCCAAUAUGAAUUAUGCUUAUGGAGAUGAACUUGCUAUAGUUCCUUAUGUUAAACAUGAAAUUUUUGCUAUUGCACCCAUGCAUGAUAGUCCUAUUAUCUUUUUGAAUUCUCCCGAUUAUACUAUAUCGGAGAAGUUUGCACUUAUUAAGGAUUAUAUAGAUGGGUUGCCUUUUACCGUUGCACAUGAUGAUUUCAAUAAAUAUAAUAUGCAUGUGCUUGCUGCUCCUACUUGCAAUUAUUAUGAGGGAGGAACUAUAUCUCCACCUCUCUAUGUUUCCAACAUGAUAAAAUUGCAAGAAACUGUUUAUACUAUGCAUUAGCCUUUACUAGGUGUGCAUGAAUUGUUCUUUUAUGACAUGCCGAUGCAUAGGAAGAGAGCUAGACUUCAUCAUUUCUUGAUAUAUGUUGCUUUGUUAUCACUACUAAAUUACAAAUCAUUGUUAAUUAAAAUUGGCUUUGAUAUACCUUGGGAUCCGGGUGGAUUCACUACUUGAGCACUGUAUGCCUAGCUUAAUGGCUUUAAAUAAAGUGCUACCAGGGUGACAACCCGGAAGUUUUAGAGAGUCAUUUAUUUCUAUUGAGUGCUUUCAUAUAGUUUAAAAACAACAAAAAUAAAGAGGGGAACCCAAAACUUUUCAAAAAGGAAAGUGAAAGUGAGAAAGACAAGCACUGUUGAAGUGGGAGAGCUCCUUGAACUUUGUUCAUGCUCACGGCAACUUUGUGAAUCUUGAUUACAGAAACUUUUCAACAAAAAUAAUUAUCCCCUUGUACAAUUCCAUUGUAUUAUAAAAAUAAUGUGCCAAGGUUUGCCUUUAGGAUGUUUACGAUGCUUGUUGGUUUGUGCGGUGCAGGACAGAAACUUUGGCUGUAGUGGAUGAAUUUUAGUUUUUUACUGGAACGUCAAAUGGUUCUGAUUCUUUUUGCAUUGUCUUUAUGUACAAAUUUUUUAUUUUUCCUAAUUUUUGCAGAAUUUUUCAAGUAUCAUAAGUAUGGUUAAUGUUCAGAUUGCUACAGACUAUUCUGUUUUAGACAGAUUCUGUUUUUGAUGCAUAGUUUGCUUGUUUUGAUGAAACUAUCAAUUCACAUCAGUGGAUUAAGCCAUGAAAAAGUUACACUACAGUAUACACAAUGCAAAAACAAAAUAUGAAUUGGUUUGCAAUAGUACUUAUAGUGGUGAUUUGCUUUAUUAUACUAAUGGAUCUUACCGAGUUUUCUGUUGAAGUUUUGUGUGGAUGAAGUGUUCGAUGAUCGAGAAGGUCUCGAUGUGAGAAGAAGGAAGAGAGGCAAGAGCUCAAGCUUGGGGAUGCCCGAGGCACCCAAGUAAAUAUUCAAGGAGACUCAAGCGUCUAAGCUUGGGGAUGCUGGGGAGGCAUCCCCUCUUUCUUCAACAAGUAUCGAUAUGUUUUCGGAUUCGUUUUGUUCAUGCGAUAUGUGCAAUCUUGGAGCGUCUUUGCUUUAGUUUUCAUGUUUCUUUUUUGCACCAUGCUGGUAUGAGAUCGUCCUUGGUUGAUUUAUAGAAUUCUCUUUGCACUUCCCUUAUAUUCUUUGAGUAUGGCAUUAUAGAAUGCUUCAUGUGCUUCACUUAUAUCAUUUGAAGUUUGGAUUGCCUGUUUCUCUUCACUUAGACAACCGCCAUUUGUAGAAUGCUCUUUUGCUUCACUUAUAUUUGUUAGAGCAUGGGCAUAUCUUUUGUAGAAAGAAUUAAACUCUCUUGCUUCACUUAUAUCUAUUUAGAGAGAUGACAGGAACUUGUCAUUCACAUGGUUAGUCAUAAAAUCCUACAUAAACUUGUAGAUCGCUGAAUAUGAUAUGUUUGAUUCCUUGCAAUAGUUUUGCGAUAUAAAGGUGGUGAUAUUAGAGUCGUGCUAGUUGAGUAAUUGUGAAAUUGAGAAAUACUUGUGUUGAGGUUUGCAAGUCCCGUAGCAUGCACGCAUGGUGAACCGUUAUGUAACGAAGUCGGAGCAUGAGGUGUUUAUUGAUUGUCUUCCUUAUGAGUGGCGGUCGGGGACGAGCGAUGGUCUUUUCCUACCAAUCUAUCCCCCUAGGAGCAUGCACGUAGUACUUUGUUUCGAUGACUAAUAGAUUUUUGCAAUAAGUAUGUGAGUUCUUUAUGACUAAUGUUGAGUCCAUGGAUUAUACACACUCUCACCCUUCCAUCAUUGCUAGCCUCUUCGGUACCGCGCAUUGCCCUUUCUCACCUCGAGAGUUGGUGCAAACUUCGCCGGUGCAUCCAAACCCCGUGAUACGAUACGCUCUGUCACACAUAAGCCUCAUUAUAUCUUCCUCAAAACAGCCACCAUACCUACCUAUUAUGGCAUUUCCAUAGCCAUUCCGAGAUAUAUUGCCAUGCAACUUCCAUCAUCAUCAUAUACAUGACUUGAGCAUUCAUUGUCAUAUUGCUUUGCAUGAUCGUAAGAUAGCUAGCAUGAUGUUUUCAUGGCUUUUCCGUUUUUUUAUGUCAUUACUAUGCUAGAUCAUUGCACAUCCCGGUACACCGCCGGAGGCAUUCAUAUAGAGUCAUAUCUUUGUUCUAGAUAUCGAGUUGUAAUAUUGAGUUGUAAGUAAAUAAAAGUGUGAUGAUCAUCAUUAUUAGGACAUUGCCCCAGUGAGGAAGGGAUGAUGGAGACUAUGAUUCCCCCACAAGUCGGGAUUAGACUCCGGACGAAAAAAAAUAAAAAAGAGAAAGGCCAAAAAAAGAGAAGGCCCAAAAAAAUGAGAGAAAAAGAGAGAAGGGGCAAUGUUACUAUCCUUUUACCACACGUGUGCUUCAAAGUAGCGCCAUGUUCUUCAUAUAGAGAGUCUCUUGAGUUAUCACUUUCAUAUACUAGUGGGAAUUUUCGUUAUAGAACUUGGCUUGUAUAUUCCAACGAUGGGCUUCCUCAAAUGCCCUAGGUCUUCAUGAGCAAGCAAGUUGGAUACACACCCACUUAGUUUCAGUUUGAGCUUUCAUAUACUUAUAGCUCUAGUGAAUCUGUUGCAUGGCAAUCCCUACUCCUCACAUUGAUAUCUAUUAAUGGGCAUCUCCAUAGCCCGUUAAUAUGCCUAGUUGAUGUGAGACUUUCUCCUUUUUUGUCUUCUCCACAUAACCCCCACCAUCAUAUUCUAUUCCACCUAUAGUGCUAUGUCCAUGGCUCAUGCUCAUGUAUUGCGUGAAAGUUGAAAAGGUUUGAGAAACGUCAAAGUAUGAAACAAUUGCUUGGCUUGUCAUCGGGGUUGUGCAUGAUGUGAAUGCUUUGUGUGGUGAAGAUGGAGCAUAGCCAGACUAUAUGAUUUUGUAGGGAUGAGCUUUCUUUGGCUAUGUUAUUUCAAUAAGACAUAAUUGCUUGGUUGGUAUGCUUGAAAUAUUGUUGUCUUUAUGUCAAAGGAUAGAUUAUUGCUUUGAAUCGCUCGUAUCUUAAUAUUCAUGCCAUAAUUAGACAUAUGAUCAAGAUUAUGCUAGGUAGCAUUUCACAUCAAAAAUUAUCUUUUUUUAUCAUUUACCUACUCGAGGACGAGCAGGAAUUAAGCUUGGGGAUGCUGAUACGUCUCUGUCGUAUCUAUAAUUUUUUUAUUGUUCCAUGCCAAUAUUAUUCAACUUUCAUAUACUUUUUGGCAACUUUUUAUAUUAUUUUUGGGACUAACAUAUUGAUCCAGUGCCUAGUGCAAGUUCCUGUCUGUUGCAUGUUCUUGGUUUCGUAGAAUAUCCAUAUCAAACGGAGUCCAAACGGGAUAGAAACGGAUGGAGCUUAUUUUUGGAAAAUAUGGAAAAUUCGGAAGGAAAAUCAACACGAACCAGUGCCCGAGGUGGUCACGAGNNNNNNNNNNNNNNNNNNNNNNNNNNNNNNNNNNNNNNNNNNNNNNNNNNNNNNNNNNNNNNNNNNNNNNNNNNNNNNNNNNNNNNNNNNNNNNNNNNNNNNNNNNNNNNNNNNNNNNNNNNNNNNNNNNNNNNNNNNNNNNNNNNNNNNNNNNNNNNNNNNNNNNNNNNNNNNNNNNNNNNNNNNNNNNNNNNNNNNNNNNNNNNNNNNNNNNNNNNNNNNNNNNNNNNNNNNNNNNNNNNNNNNNNNNNNNNNNNNNNNNNNNNNNNNNNNNNNNNNNNNNNNNNNNNNNNNNNNNNNNNNNNNNNNNNNNNNNNNNNNNNNNNNNNNNCCCACCGUAAGGCGGUUGACGCUCUUCUUUUGCCGCAAGAAAGCUAAUAUUCGGAAAAAAAAUCACAGCGAAGGUUUCAGGCCAAUCGGAGUUAUGGAUCUCCAUAUAUAUACGAAACGGUGAAACAGAGCUAGGAGAGAACGCAGAAUCAGAGAGAAACAGAGAGAUAGAUCCAAUCUUGGAGGGGCUCUCGUCCCUCCCAUGCCAUGGAGGCCAACGACCAGAGGGGAAACCCUUCUCCCAUCUAGGGAGGAGGUCAAGGAAGAAGAGGAAGAAGGGGGCCCCUCUCUCCCUCUCCUCCGGUGGCGCCGUAACACCAUCAUCACCGCGAUCUUCACCAACACCUCCGCCAUCUUCACCAACAUCUCCAUCACCUUCCCCCUCUAUCUACAGCAGUCCACUCUCCCGCAACCCGCUGUACCCUCUACUUGAACAUGGUGCUUUAUGCUUCAUAUUAUUAUCCAAUGAUGUGUUGCCAUCCUAUGAUGUCUGAGUAGAUUUUCGUUGUCCUAUCGGUGGUUGAUGAAUUGCUAUGAUUGAUUUAAUUUUCUUGUGGUUAUGUUGUUGUCCUUUGGUGCCCAUCAUAUGAUUGCGCGUGUGGAUCACACCCUAGGGUUAGUUGUAUGUUGAUAGGACUAUGUAUUGGAGGGCAAGAGUGACAGAAGCUUCAACCUAGCAUAGAGAUUGAUGCAUACGGGAUUGAAGGGGGGCCAAUAUAUCUUAAUGAUAUGGUUGGGUUUUACCUUAAUGAACAUUAGUAGUUGCGGAUGCUUGCUAAUAGUUCCAAUCAUAAGUGCAUAGAAUUCCAAGUCAGGGAUGACAUGCUAGCAGUGGCCUCUCCCACAUAAUACUUGCUAUCGGUCUAGUAAAGUAGUCAAUUUCUUAAGGGACAAUUUCGCAACUCCUACCACCACUUUUCCACACUCGCUAUAUUACUUUAGUUGCUUCUUUACCUUAACAGCCCCUAGUUUUAUUUUCGUGAUGUUUACUUUCUUGCAAGCCUUUCCGAAAACACCUACAAAGUACUUCUAGUUUCAUACUUGUUCUAGGUAAAGCAAACGUCAAGCAUGCAUAGAGUUGUAUCGGUGGUCGAUAGAACUUGAGGGAAUAUUUGUUCUACCUUUAUCUCCUUGUUGGUUUCGACACUCUUACUUAUCAAAAACGAUUGCGAUCCCCUAUACUUGUGGUAUCACAUACCUAUUAGGCACUAUGAAAAAGAAGAAAAAUUGCUGCCUACUAUUUAUUUAGAUUAUAAGAGUAUGGUAGCGCAUGAUUUUAUUGUAAAGAAUAGGGAAAGGGAGCUUAAAUACAAAUUGUUCUUUGAUAAACAUCAUCCUGAGACUAUCGCCUUGCCUGCUUCUUCCUUGUUGGAUUUAUCUACAGGCCAGUAUCUCGUCUCGCUUGAGGCUAUUCACGGAAACCGGAACCCUACAUCAGCCACAGAGCCAGAGUCGGAACCACAAUUUGAUCCUCCACGAUAGUCUAAUUACCAGUGGGAUCCGGAGAUGAUUGCCAACCGGUGGCAAUAAGAGUCUUCUUCUUCGCAGUACGACCCCAACUACAACUUUGGAUAUCCGCCAGACCAUCUGUGGCAAUAGACCAACUUAGGCUAAAAGCCUAAGCUUCGUGGAGUAUGUAUUUCCCACCGACAUUAAAUUUAUGUUCACACACUCAUUGCUAGAUGCCGGUGCUCAUACUUUUUCACUAUAUCAUCCAUGCUAGUUUAUUUUCCUUUUUAUGCCUUCUUCUUAUGUGUUUAAUAAACCUUAAGAAAAACAAAAAAUUUAGUUGUAGCUUUUAGCUAGUUUACUUUCCUUGUAGUAGUAAUUAAAAAGAAAACCCAAAAAGAUUUCCUGAUCUUCUUUUGCUUGUUGGGAGCUGAUGACCCACAAGUAUAGGGGAUCGCAACAACUUUCGAGGGUAGAGUAUUCAACCCAAAUUUAUUGAUUCGACACAAGGGGAGCCAAAGAAUAUUCUCAAGUAUUAGCAGCUGAGUUGUCAAUUCAACCACACCUAGAAACUUAGUAUUUGUAGCCGAGUGUUUAGUAGCAAAGUAAUAUGAUAGUGGUGGUAACGGUAACAAAAGAGUAAUGAAAGCAAAGUAAUAUUUUUCGUAUUAUGUAGUGAUUGUAACAAUAGCAACGAGAAAGUAAAUAAGCGUAAACCAGUAUAUAGAAAGCUCGUAGGCAUUGGAUCAGUGAUGGAUAAUUAUGCCAGAUGUGGUUCAUCAUGUAAUAGUCAUAACAUAGGGUGACAUAGAACUAGAUCCAAUUCGUCAAUGUAAUGUAGGUAUGUAUUCCGAAUAUAGUCAUACGUGCUUAUGGAAGAGAACUUGCAUGACAUCUUUUGUCCUACCCUCCCGUGGCAGCGGGGUCCUAAUGGAAACUAAGGGAUAUUAAGGCCUCCUUUUAAUAGAGAACCGGAACAAAGCAUUACCACGUAGUGAAUACAUGAACUCCUCAAACUACAGCAAUCACCGGUAAGUAUCCCGAAUAUUGUCACUUUGGUUUAAUGGAUCAUAACACAUGAUAGGUGACUAUAGACUUGCAAGAUAGGAUCAAGAACUCUCAUAUAUUGAUGAAAACAUAAUAGGUUCAGAUCUGAAAUCAUGGCACUCGGGCCCUAGUGACAAGCAUUAAGCAUAGCAAAGUCAUAACAACAUCAAUCUCAGAACAUAGUGGAUACUAGGGAUCAAACUCUAACAAAACUAACUCGAUUACAUGAUAAAUCUCAUCCAACCCAUCACCGUCCAGCAAGCCUAUGAUGGAAUUACUCACGCACGGUGGUGAGCAUCAUGAAAUUGGUGAUGGAGGAUGGUUGAUGAUGACGAUGACGAAUCCCCCUCUCUGGAGCCCCGAACGGACUCCAGAUCAGCCCUCCCGAGAGGUUUUAGGGCUUGGCGGUGGCUCUGUAUCGUAAAACGUGAUGAAAUCUUCUCUCCUAUUUUUUUCUCCCUGAAAGCAGUUAUAUAGAGUUGGAGUUGGAGUCGGGAGGUCUCCAGGGGGCCCACGAGGUAGGGGGCGCGCCCUAGGGGGGCGCCCCCUAGGGGGGCGCCCCCCACACUUGUGGCAAGGGUGUGGGCUCCCUGGUCUUCAUCUUUGGCGAGGAUUUUUUAUUAUUUAUUGUAAGAUAUUCCGUGGAGUUUCGGGUCAUUUCCGAGAACUUUUGUUUUCUGCACAUAAAACAACAUCAUGGCAAUUCUGCUGAAAACAGCGUCAGUCCGGGUUAAUUUUAUUCAAAUCAUACAAGUUAGAGUCCAAAACAAGGGCAAAAGUGUUUGGAAAAGUAGAUACAACAGAGACGUAUCAACUCCCCCAAGCUUAAACCCUUGCUUGUCCUCAAGCAAUUCAGUUGACAAACUGAAAGAAAUAAAGAAAAACUUUUACAAACUCUGUUUGCUCUUGUUGUUGUAAAUGUGUCAAGCUAGCAUUAAAGUUUUCAGCAAAGAUUAUAACUAACCAUAUUUGCAAUAAUUCUCAGGUCUCAUGAUUACCCAUAUCAAUAGCAUAAUCAACUAGCAAGCCAUAAUAAUAAAUCUCGGAUGACAACACUUUCUCAAAACAAUCAUAAUAUGAUAUAACAAGAUGGUAUCUCGCUAGCCCUUUCUGAGACCGCAAAACAUAAAUGCAGAGCACCUUUAAAGAUCAAGGACUGACUAGACAUUGUAAUUCAUGGUAAAAGAGAUCCAAUCAUAGUCACACCCAAUGUAAACUAACAAUAAUGAAUGCAAAUGACAGUGGUGCUCUCCAAAUGGUGCUUUUAAUAAGAGGAUGAUGACUCAACAAAAAGUAAAUAGAUAGGCCCUUCGCAGAGGGAAGCGGGGAUUUGUAGAGGUGCCAGAGCUCGGUUUUGAAAUAGAGGUGAAUAAUAUUUUGAGCGGUAUACUUUCAUUGUCAACAUAACAACCAAGAGACGGCGAUAUCUUCCAUGCUACACACAUUAUAGGCGGUUCCCAAACAGAAUGGUAAAGUUUAUACUCCCCCUCCACCAACAAACAUCAAUCCAUGGCUUGCUCGAAACAACGAGUGCCUCCAACAUACAUUAGGUCCCAGGGGGAGUUUUGUUUUGCAAUUAUUUUUGAUUUAGUUUGCAAAAAGCAUGGGACUGGGCAUCCCGGUGACCAGCCAUUUUCUCGUGAGUGAGGAGCGGAGUCCACUCCUCUUGAGAAUAACCCGCCUAGCAUGGAAGAUACAGACAGCCCUAGUUGCUACAUGAGAUAUUCGAGCAUACAAAACAGGAUGAUUAUUUGAAGGUUUAGAGUUUGGCACAUACAAAUCUACUUGGAACGGCAGGUAGAUACCGCAUAUAGGAAGGUAUAGUGGACUCAUCUGGAAUAACUUUGUUGUUUAAGGGAUUGGAUGCACAAGCAGUAUUCCCACUUAGUACAGGUGAAGGCUAGCAAAAGACUAGGAAGCGACCAACUAGAGAGCGACAACAGCCAUGUACAUGCAUUAAAAUUAAUAAACAUUGGAUGCAAGCAUGAGUAGGAUAUAAUCCACCAUGAACAUAAAUAUCGUGAAGGCUAUGUUGAUCUGUUUCAACUACAUGCGUGAACAUGUGCCAAGUCAAGUCACCUAAAUCAUUCAGAGGAGGAUACCACCCUAUCAUACCACAUCAUAACCAUUUUAAUAGCAUGUUGGCACGCAAGGUAAACCAUUAUAACUCAUAGCUAAUCAAGCAUGGCACAAGCAACUAUGAUCUCUAAUUGUCAUUGCGAACAUGUUUAUUCAUAACAAGCUGAAUCAAGAACGAUGAACUCAUCAUAUUUACAAAAACAAAAGAGGUCGAGUUCAUACCAGCUUUUCUCAUCUCAGUCAGUCCAUCAUAUAUCAUCAUAAUUGCCUUUCACUUGCACGACCGAACGAUGUGAAUAAUAAUAAGAGUGCACGUGCAUUGGACUAAGCUAGAAUCUGUGAGCAUUCAAUAAACAGGAGAAGACAAAGCAAUAUGGGCUCUUGGUUAAAUCAACAAUAAAGCAUAUAAGAGCCACUUCAACAAUUUAAUCAUGGUCUUCUCCUACUGACCCCCAAAGAAAAGAAAAGAAAUAAAACUAUUUACACAGGAAAGCUCCCAACAAGCAAAAGAAGAACGGGAAAUAUUUUUGGGUUUUCUUUUUAAUUACUACUACAAGCAUGGAAAGUAAAUUAAUUAAAAGCUACAACUAAUGUUUUUGGUUUUUUUCUUAAGGUUUAUUAAACACACAAGAAGAAAGCAUAGAAGGAAAUAAACUAGCAUGGAUGAUACAAUGAAAAUGUAUGAACACCGACAUCUAGCAAUGAGUGUGUGUGAACAUAAAUGUAAUGUUGGUGAGAAAUGUGUACUCCCCCAAGCUUAGGCUUUUGGCCUAAGUUGGUCUAUGGCCACGGCUGGCCUGGCUGAUAUCCAUAAUAAUAGUUGUUGGGGUCAUACUAUGAUGCAGCAGCUAUCUCCUGCUGAGCUGCAGCAUGGGGACGAGCAGCCUCUUCUCUCCUCUCAUACUCAUCUGCCUUCUCUCUGGUAAUUGUAUAUCCUCCUCUUGCCUGAUAAUCAAAGAAAGCAGGAGCAAGGAGAGUAAUACAGACAGCACAGUGUCUGUCAAAGAUUAGUCGGUACUGGAGAGGUGAUUCGUUCCUCUCAACAAAAUGGUGAGAAACCACAGAAUCAAAAUCUAAAUAAGUAGGAGGCAACUCCAUGUCUCCUUCACGAACGUCUAUCUCAAGAAAUUUAGCUAAGCGGGUUGCAUAAAUUCCUCCAAAGAAAUCUCCAUUAUAUCUAUUAUGGUGCAACCUACGAGCUACAAUGGCUCCCAUAUGAUAAGAUUGGUCUCCUGACACAGCACUCCUGAGAAUGCUAAGGUCAAGGACACACAUGUGACAUGCUUCAUCCUUAGCAUUUAUGCACCAACCUAUGAAGAGAGCAAAAUAAUGUAUAGCAAUAAAGUGAAUGCUCCCUAUGGUAGCUUGCGUUAUAUCUCUAGAUUCCCCUACAGUUAUACUAGCAAGAAAGUUUCUAAAUUCAGAUUUACGGGGAUCCCUAACACUACCCAAUUGUGGAAGUUUGCAAUCAAAAGUGAAAUCCUCUAAGUCCAUGGUAUAAGAUUUGUCAUAAAGAUCAAACAGGACUGAAGGAGAAUUGCGCGAAGAUGAAUACUCAAACCUCCUCACAAAAGAGCUUGUGAGAUCAUGAUACUGGGGGCAUUUGUCUGCCUCAAAGUCCUCAAGACCGGCAUUACGCAAAUAUGCGUUAAAUUCUUCUUUAAUUGCCGCUCGAUCCAUAAAAUUUUCAGAAGGCCAGUCACAAGGACGCACUAGAGCGUCUCUUGGUGGCUCUUCGUCAGCAUCACGCAUUGCAAGCCUAGGUCCUUGCUUCUUUGAAGAACCACCUUGGAACAUUUUCCUAAGCAUAUUUCUUCCUCUGAAAAAUUCUGAAUUUUUUAGUAACUUCAAACUAAAAGUAAACCAAACUCAAUAACAUUGAUAGCAACCACUCCUACAAGUGCCUAGGGCCUAUAUAAUGCAUCAAAACUAAUUUUGACCAUAUAAAUUUGACAUGCAAGCACAAGAAUAGGGUCACCUAAGAAGCAAAAAAUUGCAAUGAAUAAAGCACUAGAACAAAAACUAAUUGGACCAAUGGAGGAGUCACAUACCAAGGAACAAUCUCCCCAUGCAGUUUUGUGAGAAGUGCUUUGAGCAAGGAGAUCGAAAAUGGCAGCAAAGAGGGCUGGAACUCAUGCUUGAGUUGGCUUUUCGUGUUUGUGGGAGGAAGAAGAAGAGGAUGGGUGCAGGAAUAAGUGGAGGAGGGCCACCGUGGGCCCACGAGGCAGGGGGCGCACCCUCCACCCUCAUGGAAAGGUGGUUGGCCCCCCUGGUGUGUUCUUUGUUCCAUAAAUCCUCAAAUAUUCUAGAAAAAAUCAUAUUUAAUUUUCAGGGCAUUUGGAGAACUUUUAUUUUCGAGGUAUUUUUAUAUUGCACGGAUAAUCAGAUAACAGACAGAAAAUUAUUUAUUUUUAAUUUAUUUCAACUAAAUAACAGAAAGUAUAGAGAGGGUACAGAAGGUUGUGCUUCUAGUUUCAUCCAUCUCAUGCUCGUCAAAAGGAAUCCACUAACAAGGUUGAUCAAGUCUUGUUAACAAACUCAUUCCGAUUAACAUGAAACUGGAGAAAUUUCUAAUAGCACUAGGUUACCUCAACGGGGAUAUGCACAUCCCCAGUAAUAACUAUAUCAUAUUUCUUCUUGACAGUAGGAAGAGGAAAUUCAAAACCUCCAAAUAUAAUCAAUGGAAUUUUUCCGAUAGAAUUGGUACUAUGAACUUGAGGUUGUUUCCUCGGAAAGUGUACCAUAUGCUCAUUACCAUUAACAUGAAAAGUGACAUUACCUUUUUUGCAAUCAAUAACAGCCCCUGCAGUAUUAAGAAAAGGUCUUCCAAGAAUAAUAGACAUACUAUCGUCCUCGGGAAUAUCAAGAAUAACAAAGUCCGUUAAAAUAGUAACGUUUGCAACCACAACAGGCACAUCCUCACAAAUACCGACAGGUAUAGUAGUUGAUUUAUCAGCCAUUUGCAAAGAUAUUUCAGUAGGUGUCAACUUAUUCAAAUCAAGUCUACGAUAUAAAGAGAGAGGCAUAACACUAACACCGGCUCUAAGAUCACAUAAAGCAGUUUUAACAUCAUUUCUUUUAAUGGAGCAUGGUAUAGUAGGUACUCCUGGAUCUCCAAGUUUCUUUGGUAUUCCACCCUUAAAAGUAUAAUUAGCAAGCAUGGUGGAAUUUUCAGCUUCUGGUAUCUUUCUUUCUUUGGAAUAAUAUCUUUCAUGUACUUAGCAUAAGGAUGCAUUUUGAGCAUAUCAAUCAAUCACAUACGCAAAAAGAUAGGUCUAAUCAUUUUAGCAAAGCACUCAAAAUCCUCAUCAUAUUUUUUCUUCGAUGGUUUGGGAGGAAAAGGCAUUGGUUUCUGAACCCAAGGCUCUCUUUCUUUACCAUGUUUCCUAGCAACAAAAUCUUUCUUAUCAUAAUGUUGAUUCUUUGAUUGUGGGUUAUCAAGAUCAACAGCAGGUUCAAUUUCUACAUCAUUAUCAUGACUAGGUUGAGCAUUAUUAUGAACAUCAUCAUCAACAUUUUCAUUAGGUUCAUGUUCAUUGCCAGAUUGUGUUUCAGCAUCAGACAUAGAGAUAUCAUUUGGAUUAUCAGGUGGUUCAGCAAUAGGUUCACUAGAAGUUUUCAAGGUUCUAUCAUUUUUCUUUUCCUUCUUUUUAGAAGAACUAGGUGCAUCAAUUUUAUUUCUCUGAGAAUCUUGCUCAAUUCUCUUAGGGUGGCCUUCGGGAUAAAAAGGUUCCUGAGUCAUUCUACCAGUUCUAGUAGCCACUUUAACAGCAUAAUUAUUUUUCUUACUAUUCAUCUCAUUGAGCAAUUCCUUUUGAGCUUUAAGUACUUGUUCUACUUGAGUGGUAACCAUAGAAGCAUGUUUGCUAACAAGUUUAAGUUCACCUCUAAUAUUAGCCAUAUAAUCACCCAAGUAUUUAAUCAUAUCAGCAUCUUGUUUUAAUUGUCUACCAAAAUAAGCAUUGAAGUCUUCUUGCUUAAACAUAAAAUUAUCAAACUCAUCCAAGCAUUGACUAGCAAUUUUACUAGGAGGGAUUUCAGCUUUAUCAUAUCUAUAGAGAGAAUUUACCUUUACUACCUGUGUUGGGUUAUCGGGGUCUGGAGGUUCUUCAAUAAAUAAAGGAUCAAGAUCAUAUGUUUCUUCGACAGGCGGUAAAUUAAGACCAUGUAUUUCUUCAAUAGGAGGUAAAUUCUUAACAUCUUCAGCUUUAAUACCUUUUUCUUUCAUAGAUUUCUUUGCCUCUUGCAUAUCUUCGGGACUUAGAAAUAGGACACCUCUCUUCUUCGGAGUUGGUUUAGGAAUAGGAUCAUUAAUUGGAGCAGGAGCUGGCUCAGGAGGUGCCCAAUUAUUUUCAUUUGUCAACAUAAUAUUCAAUAAGAUUUCAGCUUCAUCCGGUGUUCUUUCCCUGAAAAGAGAACCAGCACAACUAUCCAGGUAAUCUCUGGAAGCAUCGGUUAGUCCAUUAUAAAAGAUAUCAAGUAUUUCAUUUUUCUUAAGAGGAUGAUCAGGCAAAGCAUUAAGUAACUUGAGAAGCCUCCCCCAAGCUUGUGGGAGACUCUCUUCUUUAAUUUGCACAAAGUUGUAUAUUUCCUUUAAAGUAGCUUGUUUCUUAUGAGCAAGGAAAUAUUUAGCAGAGAAGUAGUAAAUCAUAUCCUCGGGACUACGCACACAACCAGGAUCAAGAGAAUUAAACCAUAUCUUAGCAUCACCCUUUAAUGAGAACGGAAAUAUUUUAAGGAUAUAAAAGUAGUGAGAUCUCUCAUCAUUAGUGAACAGGGUGGCUAUAUCAUUUAAUUUAGUAAGAUGUGCCACAACAGUUUCAGAUUCAUAGGCAUGAAAAGGAUCAGAUUCAACCAAAGUAACUAUAUCAGGAUCAACAGAGAAUUCAUAAUCCUUAUCAGUAACACGGAUAGGUGAAGUAGCAAAAGCAGUGUCAUGUCUCAUCCUACCAUUUAGAGAUUGCUUAUUCCAUUUAGCUAAUAAGCUUUUGAGUUCAUAUCUAUCUUUGCAAGCUAAAAUAGCUAAAGAAGCUUCUUGAUCAAAUAAAUAACCCUCAAGAAUAACAAGUGAUUCUUCAUCAUCACUUUCAUCAUCAUAAUCAGAUUCAAUAUUUUCAAUCUCUCUAGCCCUAGCAAGUCGUUCCUCGAGAAAAUCACCAAGUGGCACAGUAGUAUUAAGCAUAGAAGUAGUUUCAUCAUAAGUAUCAUGUAUAGCAGAAGUAGCAUCAUCAAUAACAUGCGACAUAUCAGAACGAAUAGCAGAAGCAGGUUUAGGUGUCGCAAGCUUACUCAUAACAGAAGGUGAAUCAAGUGCAGAGCUAGAUGGCAGUUCCUUACCUCCCCUCGUAGUUGAGGGAUAAAUUGUUGUCCUAGUGUCUUUUAAGUUCUUCAUAAUGAUAAGUAGAUAUAAAUCCCAAGUAACCAAAAGAAUAGAGCUAUGCUCCCCGGCAACGGCGCCAGAAAUUAGUCUUGAUGACCCACAAGUAUAGGGGAUCGCAACAGCUUUCGAGGGUAGAGUAUUCAACCCAAAUUUAUUGAUUCGACACAAGGGGAGCCAAAGAAUAUUCGCAAGUAUUAGCAGCUGAGUUGUCAAUUCAACCACACCUGGAAAGUUAGUAUCUGCAGCAGAGUGUUUAGUAGCAAAGUAAUACGAUAGUAGUGGUAACGGUAACAAAAGAGUAAUGAAAGCAAAGUAAUAUAUUUGGUAUUAUGUAGUGAUUGUAGCAAUAGCAACGAGAAAGUAAAUAAGCGUAAACCAGAAUAUGGAAAGCUCGUAGGCAUUGGUUCAGUGAUGGAUAAUUAUGCCAGAUGUGGUUCAUCAUGUAACAGUCAUAACAUAGGGUGACACAGAACUAGCUCCAAUUCGUCAAUGUAAUGUAGGCAUGUAUUCCGAAUAUAGUCAUACGUGCUUAUGGAAAAGAACUUGCAUGACAUCUUUUGUCCUACCCUCCCAUGGCACCAGGGUCCUAAUGCAAACUAAGGGAUAUUAAGGCCUCCUUUUAAUAGAGAACCGGAACAAAGCAUUAGCACAUAGUGAAUACAUGAACUCCUCAAACUACGGUCAUCACCGGUAAGUAUCCCGAUUAUUGUCACUUUGGGGUUAACGGAUCAUAACACAUAAUAGGUGACUAUAGACUUGCAAGAUAGGAUCAAGAACUCUCAUAUAUUAAUGAAAACAUAAUAGGUUCAGAUCUGAAAUCAUGGCACUCGGGCCCUAGUGACAAGCAUUAAGCAUAGCAAAGUCAUGGCAACAUCAGUCUCAGAACAUAGUGGAUACUAGGGAUCAAACCCUAACAAAGCUAACUCGAUUACAUGAUAAAUCUCAUCCAACCCAUCACCGUCUAGCAAGCCUACGAUGGAAUUACUCACGCACGGCGGUGAGCAUCAUGAAAUUGGUGAUGGAGGAUGGUUUAUGAUGACGACGAUGACGAAUCCCCCUCUCCGGAGCCCCGAACGGACUCCAGAUCAUCCCUCCCGAGAGGUUUUAGGGCAUGGCAGCGGCUCCGUAUCGUAAAACGCGAUGAAAUCUUCUCUCCUAUUUUUUUCUCCCCGAAAGCAGUUAUAUAGAGUUGGAGUUGGAGUCAAGAGGUCUCUAGGGGGCCCACGAGGUAGGGGGCGCCCCCCACCCUCGUGGCAAGGGUGUGGGCCCCCUGGUCUUCAUCUUUGGCGAGGAUUUUUUAUUAUUUAUUGUAAGAUAUUCCGUGGAGUUUCAGGUCAUUCCGAGAACUUUUGUUUUCUGCACAUAAAACAACAUCAUGGCAAUUCUACUGAAAACAGCGUCAGUCCGGGUUAGUUCCAUUCAAAUCAUACAAGUUAGAGUCCAAAACAAGGGCAGAAGUAUUUGGAAAAGUAGAUACGACGGAGACGUAUCAGGAGCUUUCCCGUGUAAAUAGUUUUAUUUCUUUUCUUUUCUUUGGGGGUCGAUAGGACAAGACCAUAAUUAAAUUAUUAAAGUGGCUCUUAUAUGCAUUAUUGUUGAUCUGACAAAAGAGCCCAUAUUGCCUUGUCUUCUCCUGUUUAUUGAAUGCUUGCAGAUUCCAGCUUAGUCCAAUGCACGUGCACUAUUAUCAUUAUUCACAUCGUUCAGUCAUGCAAGUGAAAGGAAAUUAUGACGAUAUAUGAUGGACUGAUUGAGAUGAGAGAAGCUGGUAUGAACUCGGCCUCUCUUAUUUUCGUAAAUAUGAUUAGUUCAUCGUUCCUGAUUCAGCCUAUUAUGAAUAAAAAUGUUUGCAAUGCUUAAUUAGCUAGGAGCUUAUAAUGGUUUACCUUGCGUGCCAACAUGCUAUUAAGAUGGUUGUGAUGUGGUAUGAUGGGGUGGUAUCCUCCUCUGAAUGAUUUAAGUGACUUGAUUUGGCACAUGUUCACGCAUGUAGUUGAAACAAAAUCAACAUAGCCUUCACGAUAUUUAUGUUCAUGGUGGAUUAUAUCCUACUCUUGCUUGCACUCAAUGUUCAUCGACUUUAAUGCAUGUUCAUGACUGUUGUCGCUCUCUAGUUCAUCGCUUACCAGUCUUUUGCUAGCCUUCACCUGUAAUAAGCGGGAAUACUACUUGUGCAUCCAAUCCCAUAAACCCUAAAGUUGUGCCAUAAGAGUCCACUAUACCUUCCUAUAUACGGUAUCUACCUGCCGUUCCAAGUAAAUUUGUAUGUGCCAAACUCUAAACCUUCAAAUAAACAUUCUAUUUUGUAUGCUCGAAUAGCUCACUGGUCAACUAGGGCUGUCCGUAUCUUCCAUGUUAAGCGGGUUAUUCUCAAGAGGAGUGGACUCCGCUCCUCACUCACGAGAAAAUGGCUGGUCACCGGGAUGCCCAGUCCCAUGCUUUAUGCAAAUCAAAUCAAAAUAAUUGCAAACAAAACUCCCCUUGGGACUGUUGUUAGUUGGAGGCACUCGUUGUUUUGAGCAAGCCAUGGAUUGAUGCUUGUUGGUGGAGGGGGAGUAUAAACUUUACCAUUCUAUUUGGGAACCGCCUAUAAUGUGUGUAGCAUGGAAGAUAUCGCCAUCUCUUGGUUGUUAUGUUGACAAUGAAAGUAUACCGCUUAAAAUAUUAUUCAUCUCUAUUUUAAAAUUGAGCUCUGGCACCUCUACAAAUCCCUUCUUCCCUCUGCGAAGGGCCUAUCUAUUUACUUUAAUGUUGAGUCAUCAUCCUCUUAUUAAAAAGCACCCGCUGGAGAGCACCUCUAUCAUUUGCAUUCAUUACUGAUUAGUUUACAUUGAGUAUGACUUGACUGGAUCUCUUUUACCAUGAAUUACAAUGUCUAGUCAGUCCUUGAUCUUUAAAGGUGUUAUGCAUUUAUGUUUCGCGGUCUCAGAAAGGGCUAGUGAGGUACCAUCAUGUUAUAUCAUAUUAUGAUUGUUUUGAGAAAGUGUUGUCAUCUGAGAUUUAUUAUUAUUGCUCGCUAGUUGAUUAUGCCAUUGAUAUGAGUAAACAUGAGACCUAAGCGUUGUUGUGGAUAUGGUUAGUUCAUAAUCUUUGCUGAAAACUUGAAUGCUGGCUUUACAUAUUUACAACAACAAGAGCAAACAGAGUUUGUAAAAGUUUUUCUUUAUCACUUUCAGUUUAUCAACUGAAUUGCUUGAGGACAAGCAAAGGUUUAAGCUUGGGGGAGUUGAUACGUCUCCGUCGUAUCAACUUUACCAAACACUUUUGCCCUUGUUUUGGACUCUAAUUUGCAUGAUUUGAAUGGAACUAACCCGGACUGACGCUAUUUUCAGCAGAAUUGCCAUGGUGUUAUUUAUGUGUAGAAACAAAAGUUCUCGGAAUGACUUGAAACUCCAUGGAGAUUAUUUUUGGAAAUAAUAAAAAUACUGGCAAAGAAUCAAGGCCAGGAGCCCCACACCCUAGCCAGGAGGGUGGGGGCGCCUGCCCCACUGGGCGUGCCCCCUGCCUCAUGGGCCCCUGGAGCUCCUCCGACCUCAACUCCAACUCUAUAUAUUCACUUCCGGGGAGAAAAAAUCAGAAAAAAAAAGAUUCAUCGUGUUUUACAAUACGGAGCCACCGCCAAGCCCUAAACUCUCUCGGGAGGGCUGAUCUGGAGUCCGUUCGGGGCUCCGAAGAGGGUAAUCCAUCGCCAUCGUCAUCAUCAACCAUCCUCCAUCACCAAUUUCAUGAUGCUCACCGCCGUGCAUGAGUAAUUCCAUCGUAGGCUUGCUGGAUGGUGAUGGGUUGGAUGAGAUUUAUCAUGUAAUCGAGUUAGUUUUGUUAGGGUUUGAUCCCUAGUAUCCACUAUGUUCUGAGAUUGAUGUUGCUAUGACUUUGCUAUGCUUAAUGCUUGUCACUAGGGCCCGAGUUCCAUGAUUUCAGAUCUGAACCUAUUAUGUUUUCAUGAAUAUAUGUGAGUUCUUGAUCCUAUCUUGCAAGUCUAUAGUCACCUACUAUGUGUUAUGAUCCGGCAACCCCAAACUGACAAUAAUAGGGACCACUCCCGGUGAUGACCGUAGUUUGAGGAGUUCAUGUAUUCACUAUGUGUUAAUGCUUUGGUCCGGUACUCUAUUAAAAGGAGGCCUUAAUAUCCUGUAGUUUCCGCUAGGACCCCGCUGCCACGGGAGGGUAGGACAAAAGAUGUCAUGCAAGUUCUUUUCCAUAAGCACGUAUGACUAUAUUCGGAAUACAUGCCUACAUUACAUUGAUGAAUUGGAGCUAGUUUUGUGUCACCCUAGGUUAUGACUGUUACAUGAUGAACCACAUCCGGCAUAAUUCUCUAUCACUGAUCCAUUGCCUACGAGCUUUCCAUAUAUUGUUCUCCGCUUAUUUACUUUUCCGUUGCUAUUGUUACAAUCACUAUAAAACACCAAAAAUAUUACUUUUGCUAUCGUUACCUUUUUCUACCGUUACCACUACUAUCAUAUUACUUUGCUACUAAAUACUUUGCUGCAGAUAUUAAGUUUCCAUGUGUGGUUGAAUUGACAACUCAGCUGCUAAUACUUGGGAAUAUUCUUUGGCUCCCCUUGUGUCGAAUCAAUAAAGUUGGGUUGAAUACUCUACCCUCGAAAACUGUUGCGAUCCCCUAUACUUGUGGGUUAUCACCCAUCGCCGUCCAGCCACCUCACCGGCGAUGCCCGACGAGGGUAAGGCCCAGACGCCUCAGGCUCCGCCUCGCCUCCCUCCACUCACCUCACAGCUUCCCCUCGCCCUCCCCGCUCGCUCCGUCACCUCACCUCCUUCUCAGAUCCACCGCUCGAACGCAUCUGCCGCCGCCCGCCGUCGUCUCCGAGCCGAGCCAUCAUGCCAUAGCGCUCCGCCGCGAAGAGCCACGUCGUAUGGUGCUCCUCGUUGGAGCUGGAGAGCUCCACAACGAGCGGAGCCAGCCGUCCCCUUCCGCCACUGUCACCGGCGAACUUCGUCAUGUCCGGCGACUGCUGCUGCUACUAAGCUGACACCGGGCCACCUUGUGCCUCCCCGGUGAGCUCCUUUUCCUUACCCACUCCCUGCUGGCCCUAGAGCGUAUCCUAACUACCUUUUCCACAUGCGCCCGAACGCUGCGUCGCGGGGCUCAUCGUCGGCGAGUCUCCGGUGACCUUAUGGUCAUGGGCGAGUACCAAUUAGAUUCGUCGCACUGCGUAGCACCCGCCUAGCCCUUUCGCCCGAGCUGUAGCACGAUGUAGCACCUUUUCCUCCAUUGACCGUAGCCACUCCGCCGUGGACCUCGUCGCCAGUGACGUUUCCGGCCAGGUCCGGCGAUGCCACCACCACCACUCGACGCACGGUCGAGUGACCAUUCGAAUGUGCCUAGCCGCACCCCUUUCCGUGCCCCGUACGCAUUUUCUGGCCAACUCCGGCGACACACCACCACGGGUAGGCCCGCCGGUGUCACUCUGUCACCUGUGCUGACCUGGCACCGAUGUGUGGCACCGCCUGGGCCACUAGCCAGUGGGCCCAAUGGGUCCUGCUGGCCCGGUUGACCCAGUCCACCCGAUGACUGGAUUUUGACCAGUCACUAACAUGCGGGCCCCACUCCCUUAAUCAACAUUUUAUUUAUUUCAAAUUAUUUAGUUAACUUGAUGAGACACUGACAUGUGGGGCCCAGUUGCUAAUUAACCUCAUAGUAGUUUUAAAUAAACUCUGUUAAGGUCUCUAUCUAUGUCAAGUGGGCCCCACUGGUCAGUUUGACCUGGUCAGCCGUCCUGUUGACUGUUGACGUCACAAUGAUGUAAUGCUGACAUCAUAAUUCCAUUUCUGUUAAUUUAGAUAAUUCCAGGAAAUGAUUAAAUCUUUAGAAAAUCAUAGAAAUUAAUCCGUAACUCGGAUGAAAAUGUUUUCUACAUGAAAGUUGCUCAGAAAAACGAGACAAGCCCGAAUACACGACCCACAUACCUGUCAGAUGCCUCUAACUAUAUGAACAUGGAAUAUUCCCCCUCCGGUCAUCUGCCGGACACAGGUCCGGAAUCGGGAACACAUUCCCAGUUGAAUUCCCCCUUUACCUAUAUUGUGUAGCCAUACAUUAGGUCACACCCGGCACAACAUAUUGCCAUGUUAUGCUUUGUGAUGCUUUUUUUUGCUUUAUAUUUAUUGUUUAUUCCCCCUCUUCUCUCCGGUAGACCCCGAGACUGAUGCCACCCCUGUGAUCGACUACGUCGAUGACACUUCUUCCUUUUCAGUAGAGCUUCUAGGCAAGCAAACCCCCCCUUGAGCAUUCCGAUAUCGCCCAUUUCUUUCCCUCUAAUGCUUGCAUUAGAGCUGCUACUGCUUUCUGUAUGAUCCUACUCUGAUGCAUAGCCUGUUUUUGUUACCUCCUUAUUGUUACCUUACCUGCUUAUCCUAAACUGCUUAGUAUAGGUUGGUUAGUGAUCCAUCAGUGACCCCCACCUUUUCCUUGUUGCCCCUGCUUCAUCAUCGACGACUCAAUCAAUGUGAUCAACGACUAGAGCCCGACACCUCACAUCACAUCACACCCCUUUUGUUGCUCGACUCUGCAGAGUUACCAUCGAGUGCCGAGGGUGGAACCUCAUACAUCACUCCUGAUGAGGUCUCUAUAGUGUAGCUAUUCAGUCGUGGUCAUCGAGGGUGAUUUCCUCCUUAACAACUUUCGAUACGACUCUGUCAUGCAACCCCUCAAGUGUGAACCUCGAGGGUGGUUCCUCUUACGUUCACCUUGAUGAUUACAUCGAGUGGAAUCCAUCGAGGGUGGUUCCUCAGGGUUUCUCUUGGUGUUAGACACACAGUUACUAUGGUUACUAUGACUUUACACUGAACCAUGUUACUAAAGACGGGUCGGCCCUGAGGGGUACCCGCGCGAACUUAAUUGCGAGUGAUGUGGAGUCGGGUUGACCUAGAAGGUGCCCGCGAGAUACUUACGAGGCGUGGCCCGGCAUUCUUAGCCCUUGCCGCAUGUACUCGAGACGGGGUAACGGGGUCACAACUUUCGUGAGUCUCUGCUCGUGACCGCACUACCAACACACUAAUGGUUAGGAUAUUUGAUCUGAGGGGCCUCUGGCCUGAUAGCACUAACCAUCACAUGGGCAUAGUAUGGGCGUUCUACGUCGUAUGCAUCAGCCGAAGCUUAAUAGACGUCAGCGACUGAGCGGUGCGCGCCGGGUUGGACUGCGUAAGCACCUGCCUUAUUAAAGGAGGUAGCUAGGUCUGCUCACCGGUCGCCCAUGCAACAUGCAGGAGUUCCCAGGGAGAUGGCCCAAGACCCCAGGGAGCAUAGGUUUAGUCCGGCGUGUUGACCUCUCUAUUAAGCCUAGGUCGGGUUAUAGCGUAUCGUUUGGCCGAGGCCGGGCAUGACCAGGGAAAGUGUGUCCGACCGGAGUUAAUCGAGCGUGGUGGGUAAGUUGGUGCACCCCUGCAGGGAAGAAAACAUCUAUCGAUAGCCUGUCCUAUGGUAACGGACACUUGGAGUUGUAUCCCGAUCGAUACAAAUAGAACUGGAUACUUGUGAUGAGAAAUGGAUAGUAUGGAUCUGGGAUUGCUUCCUCGUAGGGGGUCGAGGAAGGAUCUCUGGGCGAGGUUGAUGACACUCCUACUACUUUACUUUAUGAUAGUCUGCACUCUUCUAAUGCUGCAAGGCCGCUGAAGAUGCUGAAGAUGCUAGUCUUCGAUAGGACUAGGCUUUCCCCUUCUCUUCUGGCAUUCUGCAGUUUAGUCCACAAAUACAGCCCAUUUCCUUUGAUACAGAUGCAUACUUAGUUUAGAUAUGAUGUAAGUCUUGCGAGUACUUUGGAUGAGUACUCACGGUUGCUUUACUACUUCUUUUCCCACCAUACCUGAUUGGUUGCGACCAGAUGACGGAUCCCAGGAGCUAGAUGACACCACUGAUGACUACUACUACCCUGAGGGUGCCUACUACUACGUGACGACCGCUGAUGACCUAGAUUAGUUAGGAGGCUCCCAGGCAGGAGGCCUGGCCUUUUCGAUCGUUGUUCCUUUUAUGCUAGCCUUCUUAAGGCAGACUUGUUUAACUUAUGUCUGUACUCAGAUAUUGUUGCUUCCGCUAACUCUUGUGUAGUUGAGCUUAUGUAUUCAAGCCGUCGAGGCCCCUGGCUUGUAAUAUAAAGCUUGUAUUAUUUUAAUUUGUGUCUAGAGUUGUGUUGUGAUAUCUUCCCGUGAGUCCUUGAUCUUGAUCGUACACAUUUGCGUGUAUGAUUAGUGUAUGAUUGAAUCGAGGGCGUCAUAGGCGAAGACUGCUGAAUGUGUAGAUCCUUAGAGGUUGUUACAUCAAGGUUUUGAUUUCUACUGUACGGUCAUGAUCACCGCUGAAUUCACAUAGGCUAGAACUCAAUUAUUCUACAUAUGCUCAAUCAUGCCUGACUACCUACAGUUAGAAAACACGGUGGUGUUUCCUUGUCAGGGUCACAGCUAUUUGUGUGAAGUUGUAAUUCGAGAAUAGUUGUACAGAAAAAUUAGUGUUGUCUGUAUAUAUUUUCUUUAAUUAAAGAUAGAUCCACUGGUUGUCUGAUUGUGGUCGGUUUCCUGAAGGAAAGCCUUCCUAUGCUUGUCAACAUCUGAACAAAAAUUCCGAACGAGUAUGCUGAAUAAUGCAAUUUACAUGACAGGUACAUGGCGUCAACUCUUAAGUAGCAGGCCGAUGUACAAGAACUGAGUGGUAAAACAAACUAUAUGGCAAUUGAACUAAAAUUGUUUCGGAAAGUUAAAUUUUUUAGCAGUAAUCCAUCCAGGUCUCACGAGCCGGUGUCCGUGACGGAGAAAACAGAACAAUGAAAAAUAGGCGAAAAAUUUGCCUCUUUAGUAUUAGAGAAGAUAGUAAAAAAAAUAAAAAAUAGUAUUAGAGAAGAUAGAUUUAUUUAUCGGUUAAUCUAACAAGGGGACGUGCCCCACAAAGUAAUUCCAUCCGGCGCUUCCCGGUAUUGGAGAGGGACCAAAUCAUGUAUGCAUGCACGGAAUCUUUCCUUAAUCCGAAACUUCAAAAUAAAUCAUCUCUUAAAUCGUUAAUCCAAAUGAAAAUCCAUUUUCACCAUUGGGUUUGUCUCGAUGAGUACUUUAAAACAAGAUCCCAUCUUAAUAUGUUUUGACAAACUUUUUUUUUCGUCGUCGCCAGGCUAUAAUAUUGUAGUUACCAUAUUAGUGAUUAACAGUUACCAUACAAAUAAUACAUAGUAACCAGGUAAAUUUUAUAUGUCUUAAUCAUAACCAUGAUGUACAUGUCCGUAUUGUUUCACAAACCUUUUUUUCGUCGCCAGUUACUAGGUUAUAACAUUGUAGUUACCAUAUUAAGAGUUAAUAGUUACCAUCUAAACAACACAAAGUUACCAGAUUAUUUGCACAUGUUUAUUUGUCAUAGCGAUGAUCUACAAGUCAGUAGUGAGUAUUCGAUCCACUCUGAGCACCCAAAAUACGUGAUUAGUAUCAGAAAAGGCUUACAUUGGUAAGCAGCAAAGUGAAAAAAAAUCUGGCAACCAUUUGAUUUUAACCUGGUAAGCAACUUGACUAUACAUAGUGACCAAGUGGUGACCAAGUGAUUGUAAUCUGGCAACUAGUGUUGGAAAAAAGUUAUCAGAACAUAUCAACAUGGAAUCUAGUUUCCAAGAUCUCAUCGCGAAAAAGCUAACCGUGAAAAUGGAUCUGAAUUUCGACAUACAGUUAAAGAGAUAAACAUUUUAAAGUUCGGAAAUCAACAGAAAUCUCAUGUUGCAGGUACUGCAUGCAUGGAGUAUUUAACCAAAAAUUACCACAUUUCAUACAAACGUGUCCAGAAACUACUACUUUACAAAUUUAUGCCAAAAACUACCAUUUUUUACUAACUCAUAGCAAAAAACUAACACUUUUGGAAAAUGACCAAUUUAGAAGAUUUAAACACGUUUAUGACAAGUGGGGCCCUGAUGACCCACAAGUAUAGGGCAUCUAUCGUAGUCCUUUUGAUAAGUAAGAGUGUCGAACCCAACAAGGAGCAGAACGAAAUGAUAAGCGGUUUCCAGCAAGGUAUUCUCUGCAAGUACUGAAAUAAGUGGUAACAGAUAUUUUGUGAUAGAAUAAUUUGUAACGAGCAACAAGUAACAAAGGUAAAUAAAGUGCAGCAAGGUGGCCCAAUCCUUUUUGUAGCAAAGGACAAGCCUGGACAAACUCUUAUAUAUAGAAAAGUGCUCCCGAGGACAUAUGGGAAUAUCGUCAAGCUAGUUUUCAUCACGCUCAUAUGAUUCAUGUUCGGUACUUUGAUAGUUUUGUAUGCGGGUGGGCCGGUGCUUGGGUACUGCCCUUACUUGGACAAGCAUCCCACUUAUGAUUAACCUUUAUUGCAAGCAUCCGCAACUACAACAAAACUAUUAAGGUAAACCUAACCAUAGCAUGAAACAUAUGGAUCCAAAUUAGCCCCUUACGAAGCAAUGCAUAAACUAGGGUUUAAGCUUCUGUCACUCUAGCAACCCAUCAUCUACUUAUUACUCCCCAAUGCCUUCCUCUAGGCCCAAAUAAUGGUGAAGUGUCAUGUAGUCGAUGUUCACAUAACACCACUAGAGUAGAGACAACAUACAUCUCAUCAAAAUAUCGAACGAAUACCAAAUUCACAUGACUACUAAUAGCAAGACUUCUCCCAUGUCCUCAGGAACAAAAGUAACUACUCACAAAGCAUAAACAUGUUCAUAAUCAGAUGGGUAUUAAUAUGCAUAUAGGAUCUGAACAUAUGAUCUUCCACAAAUUAAACCAACUAGCAUCAACUACAAGGAGUAAUUAACACUACUAGCAACCUACUAGCACCAAUCCCGGACUUGGAGACAAGAUUGGAUACAAGAGAUGAACUAGGGUUUUGAGAGGAGAUGGUGCUGAUGAAGAUGUUAAUGGAGAUUGCCCUCUCCCGAUGAGAGGAGCGUUGGUGAUGACGAUGGCGAUGAUUUCCCCCUCCGGGAGGGAAGUUUCCUCGGCAGAACAGCUCCGCCAGAGCCCUAGAUUGGUUCCGCCAAGGUUCCGCCUCGUGGUGGCGGAGUUUCGUCCGAGAAGAUGGAUUGUGAUUUUUUCCCAUCAAAAGACUUCAUAUAGCAGAAGAUGGCCACCGGAGGGCCACUAGGGGGCCCACGAGGUAGGGGGCGCGCCCCCACCCUCGUGGUCAGGGUGUGGCCCCCUGGUGAAUUUGUUCCGCUGAGUAUUUUUUUAUAUAUUCUGAAAACGUCUUUCGUGAAGUUUCAGGACUUUUGGAGCUGUGCAGAAUAGGUAUCUAAUAUUUGCUCCUUUUCCAGCCCAGAAUCCCAGCUGUCGGCAUUCUCCAUCUUUAUGUAAACCUUGUAAAAUAAGAGAGAAUAGGCAUAAGUAUUGUGACAUAAUGUGUAAUAACAGCCCAUAAUGCAAUAAAUAUCGAUAUAAAAGCAUGAUGCAAAAUGGACGUAUCAACUCCCUCAAGCUUAGACCUCGCUUGUCCUCAAGCGAAAAGCCGAAAUCGAAAAAUAUGUCCACAUGUUUAGAGAUAGAGGUGUCGAUAAAAAUAAAAUACGGACAUGAGGGCAUCAUGAUCAUUCUUAGAACAGCAACUUAUAUAAUUAUUGUCAUGUGAUUUCUUAUGCUAGAGUAAUAAUUCAAUCACAAUUUCAAGUAUGAGUCGUAAACUUCAUUGAAAACUAACAAACUAUAAUCUCAGUCAUUGGAGCAAUUGCAAUUUAUCAUAACAUAGGAAAGAGUUAACAUAUAAGAGCUUUUCAGCAAGUCCACAUACUCAACUAUCAUAUAGUCCUUCACAGAGAAAGAUAGGGGCUUAUAGUUUUGCCUCCCAACAUCUUACCUCAAGGGUAAUGUCAAUAGUAAUAGUUCAUGAAAACUCACUUCCAAUUAGCCAUAUAUACCAGGAUCUUUCCAACAUACUGUGCUUGCCAAGGGAAUAAAAUGUAAAAAGGAAAGGUGAAGAUCACCAUGACUCUUAUGCGGGGUAGGAGAUAAAAGUAAAAGAUAGGCCCUUCGCAGAGGGAAGCAGAGGUUGUCAUGCGCUUUUAUAGUUGGAUGCACAAAAUCUUAAUGCGAAAGAACAUUACUUUAUAUUGUCACUUGUAAUAUGGACCUUUAUUAUGCAGUCUGUCGCUUUUAUUUCUUCCAUAUCACACGAUCGUAUAAAGCUUAUUUCUCCCACACUAAUAAGUCAUACAUAUUUAGAGAGCAAUUUUUAUUGCUUGCACCGAUGACAACUUACUUAGAGGAUCUUACUCAAUCCAUAGGUAGGUAUAGUGGACUCUGAUGGCAAAACUGGUUUAAGGGUAUUUGGAAGCACAAGUAGUAUCUCUACUUGGUGUGAUGAAUUUGGCUAGCACGAGGGGGAAAGGCAAGCUCAACCAUGUUGAAUGAUCCAUGACAAUAUAAUUUAUCUCAAAUGUAAGAAAACACAAGCCAUUAUGUUGUCUUCCUUGUCCAACAUCAACUCUUUUAGCAUGUCAUAUUUUAAUGAGUGCUCACAAUCAUAAAAGAUGUCCAAGAUAGUAUAUCUAUAUGUGAAGACAUCUCUUUCUUUAUUACUUCCUAUUAAUUGCAACGAUGACCAAAACUAUGUUUGUCAACUCUCAACAACUUUUAUUCAUCAUACUUUUUCUAUGUGAGCUCAUUACUCUCCAUGAGAUCCAUAUGAUCUCUUUGUUUCUUUUUAUUUCUUUCUCUUUUUUUCUUUUAUUCACUUAAGAUCAUGGCAAAAGAAUCAAGCCCUUGACUCAACACUAAUCUUUAUUAUAUAUAUAGCUCACAGACUCAAUUACAUAGAAGAAUUAUAAAGCAAAACUCACAACUAGAUCAUACUAAGAACUUUUAUUCUACUAGAUCAAGAUAUUACCAAAAGGAUCGAACUAAGAAAACGAUAAACAUAAAAGUGAUGGUGAUACGAUACCCGGGCACUCCCCCAAGCUUGGCAGUUGCCAAGGGGAGUGCCCAUACCCAUGUGAUUAUGUCUCUCUUUUCGUGGGUGGUGAUGUGAUGUUCUUGGCGAUGAUGCCCCUCAGGAUAUGAUUCUCCUCCUCGAGCUUAUUGACUUGCUGCUUGAGGUCCAUUAGUUCCAUUGGGAGUUUUCCUGUAACAGCCAAAGCUCCCUGCACCCAAGGGUGCUGCAUAGUUGCGGGAGAACCAGUGACACUCUUUUUCAUAUUCUCAUAAUAAAGAAAUCUAACAUUGGAAGGGAUAACCGAGUUUGGAAUAGCCGAGCUCUGCAUUUCUCCCAUUGUGAAUCCAGCUCGGGAGCGGGAAGUGACUUCUUGAUCCUUUUCCGUGGCAUCUAUCCUCUUCAAUUCGGCCUCCAUCUCUUCCUCCGUUGCUGGCCCAAAGAGGUCAACAUUGUUGUUUGUCAUUGAUCUCGGUGCCAGAUGAGACACCCGGCUCUCCCCGACUGACUCUUGCAAAGACAUCUUGCUCUAAUCUGCAGCAGCAACAGCUCAAAACACAAAACAGAGGAUAAUUGCUUGAUACGGGAGUCAAAACCUCCGGGAGAUUAUAUAAUGAAUUUUUACCGACCAAAAUAUGUAACGUGUACGAAAACGAAGUCCGGAAAGCGCACGAGGUGCCCACGAGGUAGGGGGCGCGCCCUCCACCCUCGUGGAGCCCUCGUGUCCUUCCCGGACUGCUUCUUAUUUUUCUAUUUUUCUAAAUAUUCCAAAACGUAGAAAUAUUGCCUUAAAAACUGUUUUGGAGUCGGUUUACUUACCGCACCACAUACCUAUUCCUUUUCGGAGUCUAAAACGUUCCGGAAAGUGUCCCUUAUGUAUUCCUCCGGGGUUACGGUUUCAAUAAUAUUGGUUUCAACAUUUAUGGGAUUACCUGAGAUAUAAUGUUUAUUUCUUUGACCGUUCACCACCUUUGGAUUUGUGCCUUCGAAGUUGUUGAUUUUUAUGGCACCGGAACUAUAGACCUCCUCGAUAACGUAAGGACCUUCCCAUUUAGAGAGAAGUUUUCCUGCAAAAAAUCUUAAACGAGAGUUGUAUAGCAGUACAUAAUCACCUACAUUAAACUCACGCUUUUGUAUCCUUUUGUCAUGCCAUCUUUUAACUUUUUCUUUAAACAACUUGGCAUUUUCAUAGGCUUGGGUUCUCCAUUCAUCAAGUGAGCUAAUAUCAAAUAACCUCUUCUCACCAGCAAGUUUGAAAUCAUAAUUGAGUUCUUUAAUAGCCCAAUAUGCCUUGUGUUCUAGUUCGAGAGGUAAGUGACAUGCUUUUCCAUAAACCAUUUUAUAUGGAGACAUACCCAUAGGAUUUUUAUAUGCAGUUCUAUAGGCCCAUAAUGCAUCAUCAAGUUUCUUGGACCAAUUCUUUCUAGAUCUAUUAACAGUCUUUUGCAAAAUUAAUUUGAGCUCUCUAUUACUCAAUUCUACUUGACCACUAGACUGAGGAUGAUAAGGAGAUGCAAUUCUAUGAUUAACAUCACAUUUAGCUAGCAUUUUACGGAAAGCACCAUGAAUGAAAUGUGAACCACCAUCGGUCAUUAAAUGUCUAGGGACUCCAAAUCUUGGAAAAAUAACUUCUUUAAGCAUUUUAAUAGAAGUGUUAUGAUCAGCACUACUAGUUGGAAAAGCUUCUACCCACUUAGUAACGUAAUCAACAGCAACUAAAAUAUGUGUAUAGCCAUUAGAGGAAGGAAAAGGUCCCAUAUAAUCAAAGCCCCAAACAUUAAAUGGUUCAAUAACGAGUGAAUAGUGCAUAGGCAUUUCUUGACGUCUACUAAUAUUACCAAUUCUUUGACAUUCAUCACAAGAUAAGACAAACUUACGGGCAUCCUUGAAGAGAGUAGGCCAAUAAAAACCAGAUUGCAAUACCUUAUGUGCAGUUCUAUCUCCAGCAUGGUGUCCUCCAUAAGCUUCGGAGUGACACUUGCGUAGGAUCUGUUCCUGUUCAUGCUCAGGUACACAAGGUCUAAUAACACCAUCUACUCCUUCUUUAUAAAGAUGUGGGUCAUCCGAAAAGUAAUGCCUCAAAUCAUAGAAGAACUUUUUCUUUUGCUGGUAUGUGAAACUAGGUGGCAUAAACUUAGCAACAAUGUAAUUAGCAUAAUCAGCAUACCAUGGAGAGUAUGAGAAGUAUUUAUGACAUUUAAUUGCUCAUCAGGAAAGCUAUCAUCAAUAGGUAGUGGGUCAUCAAGCACAUUAUCUAACCUAGACAAGUUGUCUGCAACAGGGUUCUCAGCUCCCUUUCUAUCAACAAUAUGCAAAUCAAAUUAUUGUAGCAAGAGAACCCAUCUAAUAAGUCUAGGUUUAGCAUCUUUCUUUUCCAUAAGAUAUUUAAUAGCAGCAUGAUCAGCGUGAAUAGUUACUUUAGAAUCAACAAUAUAAGGUCUGAACUUAUCACAAGCAAAUAUAACUACUAAGAAUUCUUUUUCAGUAGUAGCAUAAUUUCUUUGAGCAUUGUCUAGGGUUUUACUAGCAUAUUGAAUAACGUUUAAUUUCUUAUCAACUCUUUGCCCUAGAACAGCACCUACAGCAUAAUCACUAGCAGCACACAUAAUUUCAAAGGGUAAAUUCCAAUCAGGUGGCUGAACAAUAGGUGCAGAGAUUAAUGCUUUCUUAAGUAUUUCAAAUGCUUCUACACAAUCAUCAUCAAAAACAAAUGGUAUAUCUUUUUGUAAUAAAUUAGUCAGAGGAGGAGAAAUUUUUGAGAAGUCCUUAAUGAACCUCCUAUAAAAUCCGGCAUGACCAAGGAAACUUCUUAUACCUUUGAUGUCCUUGGGACAUGGCAUCUUUUCAAUAGCAUCAACCUUGGCUUUAUCAACUUCAAUACCUCUUUCAGAAACUUUGUGCCCCAAGACAAUACCUUCAUUAACCAUAAAGUGGCACUUUUCCCAAUUCAAGACAAGAUUAGUUUCUUCACAUCUCUGCAAAACUAGAUCAAGGUUGCUCAAGCAAUCAUCAAAAGAAGAUCCAUAGACAGAGAAAUCAUCCAUGAAAACCUCACAAAUAUUUUCACAAAAGUCAGAGAAUAUAGCCAUCAUGCAUCUUUGGAAGGUAGCAGGUGCAUUACAUAGACCAAAAGGCAUACGUCUAUAAGCAAAAGUACCAAAAGGGCAAGUAAAAGUAGUCUUUGAUUGAUCUUUUGCUGACACGGGUAUUUGAGAGAAACCAGAAUAACCAUCUAGAAAGCAAAAAUGUGUAUGUCUGGAUAAUCUUUCUAGCAUUUGAUCAAUAAAAGGUAAGGGGUAAUGAUCCUUUUUAGUUGCCUUAUUUAAUUUGCAGAAAUCAAUUACCAUCCUAUAACCUGUAAUAAUUCUUUGAGGAAUCAAUUCAUCUUUAUCAUUAGGAACGACAGUAAUACCUCCCUUCUUAGGGACACAAUGGACAUGACUUACCCACUGACUAUCAGCAACGGGAUAGAUUAUACCUGCCUCAAGGAGCUUUAGUAUUUCCUUUCUUACCACUUCUUUCAUUUUAGGAUUCAGCCAUCGUUGAUGAUCACGAACUGGUUUAGCAUCUUCUUCCAAAUUUAUUUUAUGUUGAUAUAGAGUGGGACUAAUGCCCUUAAGAUCAUCAAGAGUAUACCCAAUAGCAGCACAGUGCUUCUUCAGAGUUUUCAAUAAUCUCUCUUCCUCAUGCUCUGAAAGGUUAGCACUAAUAAUGUAGCGACCCGACCCGAAUGGGUCAAGUCUCUGUGCUUAAGUGUCAUCCCUGGAUCGGUAUGCUGACACACACAGUACUCGAGGAUUUAUAACAGAGGUAAAUCACAUGUAAAAGUAACGUAAAUACUAUUACCUCAAAUCCAAAAUAGCGGAAGUAACAAGGUUGUGGAUUCCCAUCAACACCAACGGCAAAGUUGAGUGUAGAAAUCGUAACCCUAACUUAUCACUUACUCGUCGUAAGAUAAUCCUGCAACAUGAGACGUUGCAGCCACAGAGGGUCAGUACAUUGAAUGUACUAGCAAAUUCACACCAUAGAGAAUGAUGAAUAAAGGCUAUCACUACAUGCAUAUUUGGCUGGUGGGAAAGCUCUAUGGUUAUAAGGUUUUUGCGUAAAGCCAAUUUUUCCCUACUGCAAAGGAAUACAUUUUAAUUAACUAUCAUGGUGGUUGUUGAACAUUGAGAAUGGUUGACAGCAUUCUCAAUCCCAAUUAAGCAUCAUCAUUAAAACCCAACCAAGUUAAUUUAAAGUAACGUGAUGAGAUCAACAGGAUAAUCCAAGAACUAGAUACUCAAGAUGUCCAUAACCGGGGACACGGCUAAUCAUGAUUAGUUUAUACACUCUGCAGAGGUUUGUGCACUUUUCCCCACAAGACUCGAUCGCCUCCGUUGGAUUUCUCGCACUACAUGGUGUUUGAGAAACGGAUGACCGAGACACAGUCUUUCAGAAGCACUAGCACCUUACGACGGAUAGACCGGUACACCUACUUUCCCCUACAUCUACUAGUCUACCCUAUAAGAGUUCGCACAACUUAGUCAACUAUGCCAGAGCCCAUAAUAGCUUGUGGCUGCACACGGAAGUUUCUAGUAUGAAUAAUCUCAUGAUCCCUUUGAGCCUGGGUGGCGGUCCAAAAGAAAACAGGCAAGUCCUAGAAACCCCAGGUGCCUCAAUCCACCCAGAUGUGUGUUAGGUUGCCACCUUAGAUAAACCCUUAAUUAACAAUCUCACAUCUGUCAUGGAUUUCACUCACCCAAUCCACGUCUACUAGCAUAGCAUGGCAUAAUAAGCAAACGUAGAAGUAACUCCCAAAGGUUUGAUAAUAAACAGGUAAUAGGUACUACCUCAUCUACUACCCAUCCCACAAUUUAAUUAGAUCCUGAUCAUGCAGUGUGUGAAGAUUGAUCUAAUGCAAUAAAACUGGGUUGUAGAAAAAGUACGAUCAAAGUGUGAACUUGCCUGCAAUGUUGAUGAAGAUGAUUCGCACUCAAAACUCUUGAUAGAUCUACUCGUCACACUCCGGUCAAUCUAUCGUAAGCAAGCAAUAGUAACCACACAUAAGCAAUCACUCAAAAGAUCAGAAAGAUCGAAGAAGUCGAUUCGGAAAACAUCGAAACCAAGUAAAUAACUCUUGCAACAUAAAACAAUUUCUAACAGUACCAAAAUUAUGUGAAUUUGGCCUUAUUAGAAGGUUUAGGUCAAGAGCUUCGAUAUGCAAAAAGAAUCAACUCAAACGGAGCUAUGAAACUCAAGUUAUGAUCAAAUGAAGUUUGAAUUCAAAUCUGAUCUAAUUCAAAUUUUAAACUUUUCAAAAACAUGUUUAAGUUGUUUAUCCGGAUAGAGGGGAUCAUAACGAAGACGUGGGCGUUGGUUUCGUUGGAUUUGGACUAACAAGCAAGAACUUACGAGUGUUUGAAGUUUAGGGACUAAACUGUAAAGAAAACUCCUCACAUAUAAGUCCCUGGCCGAAAUUAAAAUAGAAAAAGAAAAAGACUAAAUUGCAAACGUUCGUUACCGAACGAUAACGGAUGGAUUCCUUCACUCCGAAGGGAUAGACAGCGAACGUUCUCUGUAUAGGACUAACCACAAAAAACGAUCUAAAAGAAAAACCGAAGAAAACCGGAUCAGGUUUUUUUUGUGGGUUUUACCUGUUCGCGACGGGUUGGCGGUUUUCGGAGAGAAAACCGGUGGCAGCGAUGGCGUUCUCCGGCGAGACAGGACGGCGGCAGCGUCUCGGGUCCGGCCGGGGCGGCGGCUCCGGUCGUCCAGGAGAGCGGCGAAGGGGUCGGGGUGGGGCGGCGCGGCGAGGCGAGGCGAAUGGCGGCGUCGGCGGCGGUCAACGGUGACGGGACGGAGCGGGGCGGCGGUGCGGAUCUCGUCGGAGUUGGAAACUCUGGCGAGCGCGUUUCGCUGGCUGCGAGGGGCCCCGAGUGUGCGAUUUGAUGAAAAAGACGGCUGGGGUCGGGGGUAUUUAAAGGAGGGAGGCGUGGAGGAGGGGCAAUGCGAGGGGAGGCGCCCGCGUCGGGCACGACAGCGGCGGCGAACUCAUGCUGGAGAUGGACUCUGGCUGGAGGACAGGGACGAACCCGACAGGUGGGUCCCACCUGUCGGUGGCUGAGCGAGGCGGCGGCCGAUAGCAGGCGCGAGCGGGCGAGCGAAGCGGAGCGGCUUCGGGUGCCGCUGGGCUUCGGCUGGGCUGGGCUGGCCUGGCGCGGGGAGAGAGAGAGCGAGUGCAGUGCUGGGCUUCGGCCUGGCACUGUUCGGAGAGUUUUUUAAAAAAAAAACACAGACAAAUGAAAAUAAAACAAAAGCAAAUAAAAUAUUAUAUAGGCAUAUUAUAUAUCAAAAUUUUUAGAAAAAGAUUUUCUACGCGGUGAACAUUUUUAUAACUUCAAAUAAACUCCACACAAAUACAGAUAAAUCAAAGAGUGCUACUGGUUUAUUAAAAUCCAACUAAAAUCAUUUUAAAAAUACCAAAAUGAUUUCAAAUUAAUUUUUCUCCAAGUUUCUAUUGUAGGGAAUCAUGUUACCCUAAUUUCCGUAUAUUUUAUUUUUGGAGAAAAAUAAUUUGAAUAAAACUCAAAUAACUCCAAAUUGAAAAUAAAUUCAAAAGAACUUUGAAUUUAAUUCUUUGAAACUCCCAACUCAUAUUUCAUAUAAUUUGAAGAAGUCAUUUUAUCUUCUCUCAUGAAAAUCAUUGAGUUGCAUAAAGUUCCAGAUUCGGAAAUAUUUUCAACACCCCUUGUCAUUUAAAUAAAUGGAAGAAGUCAUGUAAUCUUCUCUCCGGGGUUUUGUGUUUGAAAAGAAUUUGAAUUCAUGGAGAUCAAAAAGCAAAUAUGAAAGUUUUGGAAAGUCCUUUUAUUCCCUCUCAUUUAACUUUCAAAAGUUUCGAAUUCACUCACUUUCAGACAAUCAAUCAAACAAUCAAUCAAAUCUAUCUAUUUAUUAUAACAUUCCAAAAUUUAGAAUUUUGGGAUGUUACAAACCUACCACCCUUAAAAUGAAUCUCAUCCUCGAGAUUCGGAGAGGCUAGCAAGAAAAGGUUAGGGUUUGGGGGUCUCCUCAAAAUCCAUCGAUCAUCAAAGGGGUCUGGGGUGCUACCACCCUUAGAAACAUGGUUACGGUCCCAUCAAUACUCAUAUACUCCAUCCUUAUUCUUGACGGGGCUGGUCUUCUCAGAUUCUCGGCAAAUUCCUUCUCUGGGCUCUUCCAGUAGCGGCAUAACCUUUUCCUCAAUUCUUAUGUCCUUUCAUCUUGGUAAGGUUAUUCCGAGACUGGGUCUUCUUAGCUGACGGGUCGGGCGCCAAAACUAAACAACUAUCGAUAUCUCAUGGUGGUCAACAAUUUAUGGUUUCUCCUGCAGGAAAUGGGUCUGGGUUGAUCCUCACCGUAUAACCUACGGUUGGCAAAAAGCUGCCGUGUACAAGGGAAAAUUCUUAUACCAUUCUAAGGUUUAACAAGGUUUAAUAUCGUUGUCUCUCUAUUAUAGGUAAGUCACUCAGAUUUACCAUCCCAUAUAGCAAGGCGAAUAAUAAGAGUAAGUCGGUAUGGUGAUCAAUCCAUCCCGCACCCAAAUCAUUACCUUGUAUAUGGUUUAGCGAAUCUCGCAUUCUAACACUCGGUCAUCCUCACAAGCAUUGCAGAAUUUCUCUUGUCGAAGAACCAAGUUCGAAUAAAUCCAUAGAUUCUGCAAGCCAAACAACCAUCUAUCGUUCCUUCACAACUCUCAGGUUUUGCGUAACUCCUAUAAGAUCGUCUGUCGAUAAAAUCGUAACUUCUUUUAGGGUUUUUCCUUCAGCGAGAAUGUGCUUGCUUCUUGGCAGGUCCUGGGGCCUGUGGGUUAUGGCCCAUCUCAUCACUUGUAGUCCUUGAACUUAUCAUCGGGCAACUGAUCAUUGUUCCAACUUCCUAGUAUUCUUAAAUCCAUCCAAUUGUACUGUCUUCCUUCCUUCUAUUGGCACCAAACCAAGACGUGAGUACUCAGACUUGUCAUGGGGUUGCCAUUGCUCCAUAUUACCAACAUCAUACCUCCUUUAUAUCCAAUAGUACUUCAUCUCUUCAUCAUCGUGGGAUUUCCCACAUACCGAGGUAAAAACUUAUACUUAUGAAGUCCAUACUCUACUUCGUGGAACAUCAUUAUCCUUUCCAGGGUCAAGCGUCCUUACAGGGGAAUAUUGGCCAUCUCUGCAUGGCACUUCUUCAACUGGGAAAUGUGAAACGCAUCAUGAACUCCUGACAGUCCUUCGGGUGACUCCAACUUGUAGGCCACUUCUCUCAUACGCUCCAAAACUCGGUAUGGUCCUACAAAUCUCGGGGCUAACUUUACCUUAACUCCAAUUCGUUUAACUCCUCGCAGAGGGAAACACAUGAAGACAUGCUCUGUCUCCAAUUUCAUAGACUACCUCCUUGCGUUUUUUUAAGUCUGCAUAACUCUUCUUUCUGGACUGAGCUACCUUCAAUCUAUCUCGAAUCAACUUAACAUUCUCUUCUGACUCCUUGAUCACAUUUGGUCCAAACAACUGAUGGUCUCCAACUUCAUCCCACAUACUCUUGGGGUAUCACACAUAUCGAGACAAAAUUCAUAUUCAUUUUGUCCGAAAUCCACUCAGUGGAGUAGCCUUAUCUUUCCCAGGGGUCAACGGUUCUUACAGGGUACUACCACCCUUAAAAUGCACAAAUCUUCCAUAGACCAUAUUUCUCAUAUCCCCAGAAUGGCCAAAAUUCUUCUUCAUAGAGUAACAACUCAUAAAACCCAAAUCUUUACCAACGAUGCUAACUUUAUUGAUUCUCCAAUGAUCACAAUCUCUCGCUUUUCCAUUACAUGUCUCAACUCAGCACCUCAAUAUAAAAGAGAAUGUUCUCACUUCUACUACUCCAUUUCUUUUGUUGCAAACUCAACUAUCUAGCACAAGUUUCCUUCUCCUUGGGGCAUUCUCUGGCAAAGUGCCCUACUCCAUUACAACUAAAACAUAUUACUUCUGACAAGUAUCGUGGUUUCUUGUAAUUACGUAGCCUACUUGGGUCCUUGGCUUCCUUUUUGGGCAAUUGCUGAGGUAGUGCCCUGACUCCUUGCACCUGUAACAGGUGAUAUGACUCAGGUCCUUCCUGGAAUCAAAUCUGCUUCUCUUCCUGGACUUUUCCAUUCCAAUCAGGGCUUCUAUCUCCUGUGGGUCAUAUUCUACUUCCUCUGUCGGGAAUUCUACUAGAUCCCCAUUCAAACAAUUUUGGGAGAUGUGUCCUUCUUCUCCACAUGAAUAGCAAGACUUGGUGCAGGGUUUACUUAGUUCUUCUUUGGGUGUGUCCUCCACAUCUUCCUUCAUCACAGGUUCUUCUGAACUUUCCAUAAGGGCUCCUUUCGUUGCAUCUUUCUUUUCCUGGAUGGUUCUUUGUACCAUGGGGUAAAUGUGACACUGAGUAGGAUAGUGGGUAGUCCCUUCACACAAGAAACAAGUGAUCUGCCUAGUUGGGAAUUCUUCAGCUGGGUGACUUCCUUCACAAUUAGGGCAUUCAUCCUUGUGUUCUUUAUGGUUGUGUCCUAUUUCUCCACAAAGCUUGCAUGCACAAGUUUUUUUCAUAUCCAUUCCAUAAGGCUUCAACUUCUGGGACACAAAUCGAGACUUUGGCAAAGUCAACUUUAAUUCUUCCCAAGUGGUUACUCCUUGCCAUCCAUUCAUGGUUUGGUACAUCCUCCACCAAGUAGCAGCACCUCUUUCAAAGCACCGAAGAGCAUGCUGGGUCAUAUCAUGUCCAACUAUAGGGUUAUUCUUCAUGUGAUCCUCCAUGUUCGGAAUCCAUCGGUCCAUCUCCAACUGACUCAUCGGUCCAGAAAAUACAAGCUCAUCUUCAUUCAUCCUCUAUUGGGUCCAUGGGUUUGGGGUAAGAUAAGAGAGAGGGAUAGGGAUACACACAAUGCAAACAACAGUUUUGAAAAAGACAGAUUUUUGUUGUGGCUGUCGAAAAAAACAACAAACAAUUGACAGCUCACAAUCGUCGCAUCUAACGUAGGUGUAUAACAGGGGUUUGGUCUUCUAAGGUCAACGUCGCCAAACUCUUCAAGUCUUGUUCAUGCCUCCAAUGGCUUCUUCCGAUUGUGUUUGUCCUUCUCAAUUUCUUCUGCCAGAUCCCCUCUGUUGACAAAAAGUUUCUCGUGACGUCCUUUAAUAUUUCUGGAGUGCAUUUCAAACUUCUGGUUUCAACAUCCUUCACAUGAACCAUGGUCAUACUGUCCUUUAGUUCCUGAAAAUUCUCCGGUAUCUCGAGGUUGUAGCUCCUCCAGCUUGGCUCCUCUCAUUUUCAGGAUCCUGAGUUCUUCGUGAAAUACUUCCUUGUCUAAUACGACUUCCUGGAGCUCCAUUUUAAACUUCUUGAUGUACUACUCUAGAUCCUGGUGAUACACCGGCUAAGGUUAAAACUUCAUCUUACUAAUAGGUGCUCCAUCAGCCUUCUUCCAUCAAAUCCAUUCUGAAGAAAUGCAUCCUUAACUCAGCACGGUGACAAUAGCAUCAGCGGGUGAUGACAUCACGGAUAACCGUGUUUCUGCUCUUGUCAUUCCCAUGAGUUAUCAUUCCAUAGUUGAUAUCUCCUGCCUUAGGGUUUUCUUUGACAAAACUUCGAGUUCUCAUGCUCCUUGUUUCAGUCUUUCUCUGAUACACCUUGAUCUCGGGUAUUGACAACUUCCAUAGUCCGCCAAGUUCCAUAAGGGUAGCCUUCCUAGGUCAUACAAAUCUGGGGAUUCUUCAGAGCCUUCAAAUUCUCCUAGUCUUCGGAGUCUUCAACCGUUGUAGUUUCCAUUAUCAUAAUGUAUGGUAAAAUCUUCUUCAUUCCGAAUGGUCUUACUGGUCUGAUAUCCUGUACUUCUUGGCGUGGUCUCAUUAGUCGAAUCUUCGAGUGGUCAAAAGGGAAAGGGGUGUGGUUACACUAAAGGGAAUUUUUGAAUAAGCUCAGAAGAGAAGAGAGGUAAAAGAUCUUUCUGAAAAUGAAGUUGUACAGAAAAAUCUUUGCUAUGGGCUUCCCAGUUUCUAGGGUCACGUCCUACAGUCAACAUGUGCUCUGAUACCAUCUUGUAGCGACCCGACCCGAAUGGGUCAAGUCUCUGUGCUUAAGUGUCAUCCUUGGAUCGGUAUGCUGACACACACAGUACUCGAGGAUUUAUAACAGAGGUAAAUCACAUGUAAAAGUAACGUAAAUACUAUUACCUCAAAUCCAAAAUAGCGGAAGUAACAAGGUUGUGGAUUCCCAUCAACACCAACGGCAAAGUUGAGUGUAGAAAUCGUAACCCUAACUUAUCACUUACUCGUCGUAGGAUAAUCCUGCAACAUGAGACAUUGCAGCCACAGAGGGUCAGUACAUUGAAUGUACUGGCAAAUUCACACCAUAGAGAAUGAUGAAUAAAGGCUAUCACUACAUGCAUAUUUGGCUGGUGGAAAAUCUCUAUGGUUAUAAGGUUUUUGCGUAAAGCCAAUUUUUCCCUACUGCAAAGGAAUACAUUUUAAUUAACUAUCAUGGUGGUUGUUGAACAUUGAGAAUGGUUGACAGCAUUCUCAAUCCAAAUUAAGCAUCAUCAUUAAAACCCAACCAAGUUAAUUUAAAGUAACAUGAUGAGAUCAACAGGAUAAUCCAAGAACUAGAUACUCAAGAUGUCCAUAACCGGGGACACGGCUAAUCAUGAUUAGUUUAUACACUCUGCAGAGGUUUGUGCACUUUUCCCCACAAGACUCGAUCGCCUCCGUUGGAUUUCUCGCACUACAUGGUGUUUGAGAAACGGAUGACCGAGACACAGUCUUUCAGAAGUGCUAGCACCUUACGACAGAUAGACCGGUACACCUACUUUCCCCUACAUCUGCUAGUCUACCCUGUAAGAGUUCGCACAACUUAGUCAACUAUGCCAGAGCCCAUAAUGGCUUGUGGCUGCACACGGAAGUUUCUAGUAUGAAUAAUCGCAUGAUCCCUUUGAGCCUGGGUGGCGGUCCAAAAGAAAACAGGCAAGUCCUGGAAACCCCAGGUGCCUCAAUCCACCCAGAUGUGUGUUAGGUUGCCUCCUUAGAUAAACCCUUAAUUAACAAUCUCACAUCUGUCAUGGAUUUCACUCACCCAAUCCACGUCUACUAGCAUAGCAUGGCAUAAUAAGCAAACGUAGAAGUAACUCCCAAAGGUUUGAUAAUAAACAGGUAAUAGGUACUACCUCAUCUACUACCCAUCCCACAAUUUAAUUAGAUCCUAAUCAUGCAGUGUGUGAAGAUUGAUCUAAUGCAAUAAAAUUGGGUUGUAGAAAAAGUAUGAUCAAAGUGUGAACUUGCCUGCAAUGUUGAUGAAGAUGAUUCGCACUCAAAAAUCUUGAUAGAUCUACUCGUCACACUCCGGUCAAUCUAUCGUAAGCAAGCAAUAGUAACCACACAUAAGCAAUCACUCAAAAGAUCAGAAAGAUCAAAGAAGUCAAUUCGGAAAACAUCGAAACCAAGUAAAUAACUCUUGCAACAUAAAACAAUUUCUAACAGUACCAAAAUUAUGUGAAUUUGGCCUUAUCAGAAGGUUUAGGUCAAGAGCUUCGAUUUGCAAAAAGAAUAACCUCAAACGGAGCUACGAAACUCAAGUUAUGAUCAAAUGAAGUUUGAAUUCAAAUCUGAUCUAAUUCAAAUUUUAAACUUUUCAAAAACAUGUUUAAGUUGUUUAUCCGGAUAGAGGGGAUCAUAACGAAGACGUGGGCGUUGGUUUCGUUGGAUUUGGACUAACAAGCAAAAAGUUACGAGUGUUUGAAGUUCAGGGACUAAACUAUAAAGAAAACUCCUCACAUAUAAGUCCCUGGCCGAAAUUAAAAUAGAAAAAGAAAAGGACUGAAUUGCAAACAUUCAUUACCGAACGCUAACGGAUGGAUUCCUUCACUCCGAAGGGAUAGACAGCGAACGUUCUCUGUAUAGGACUAACCACAAAAAAACGAUCUAAAAGAAAAACCGAAGAAAACCGGAUCGGUUUUUUUGCGGGUUUUACCGGUUCGCGACGGGUUGGCGGUUUUCGGAGAGAAAACCGGUGGCGGCGAUGGCGUUCUCCGGCGAGACAGGACGGCGGCAGCGGCUCGGGUCCGGCCAGGGCGGCGGCUCCGGUCGUCCAGGAGGGCGGUGAAGGGGUCGGGGUGGGGCGGCGCGGCGAGGCGAGGUGAAUGGCGGCGUCGGCGGCGGUCAACGGUGACGGGACGGAGCGGGGCGGCGGUGUGGAUCUCGUCGGAGUUGGAAACUCCGGCGAGCGCGUUUGGCUGGCUGCGAGGGGCCCCGAGUGUGCGAUUUGAUGAAAAAGAGGGCUGGGGUCGGGGGUAUUUAAAGGAGGGAGGCGUGGAGGAGGGGCAACGCGAGGGGAGGCGCCCGCGUCAGGCACGGCAGCGGCGGCGAACUCGUGCUGGAGAUGGACUCCGGCUGGAGGACAGGGACGAACCCGACAGGUGGGUCCCACCUGUCGGUGGCUGAGCGAGGCGGCGGCCGAUAGCAGGCGCGAGCGGGCGAGCGAAGCGGAGCGGCUUCGGGCGCGGCUGGGCUUCGGCUGGGCUGGGCUGGCCUGGCGCGGGGAGAGAGAGAGGGAGAGCAGUGCUGGGCUUCGGCCUGGCACUGUUCGGAGAGUUUUUUUUAAACAAAACACAGACAAAUGAAAAUAAAACAAAAGCAAAUAAAAUAUUUUAUAGGCAUAUUAUAUAUCAAAAUUUUCAGAAAAAGAUUUUCUACACGGUGAACAUUUUUAUAACUUCAAAUAAAAUCCACACAAAUUCAGAUAAAUCAAAGAGUGCUACUGGUCUAUUAAAAUCCAACUAAAAUCAUUUUAAAAAUACCAAAAUGAUUUCAAAUUAAUUUUUCUCCAAGUUUCUAUUGUAGGGAAUCAUGUUACCCUAAUUUCCAUAUAUUUUAUUUUUGGAGAAAAAUAAUUUGAAUAAAACUCAAAUAACUCCAAAUUGAAAAUAAAUUCAAAAGAACUUUGAAUUUAGUUCUUUGAAACUCCCAACUCAUAUUUCAUAUAAUUUGAAGAAGUCACUUUAUCUUCUCUCAUGGAAAUCAUUGAGUUGCAUAAAGUUCUGGAUUCGAAAAUAUUUUCAAAUGAAAUUCAAAUAUUUUCAACACCCCUUGUCAUUUAAAUAAAUGGAAGAAGUCAUGUCAUCUUCUCUCCGGGGUUUUGUGUUUGAAAAGAAUUUGAAUUCAUGGAGAUCAAAAAGCAAAUAUGAAAGUUUGGGAAAGUCCUUUUAUCCCUCUCAUUUAACUUUCAAAAGUUUUGAAUUCACUCACUUUCAGACAAUCAAUCAAACAAUCAAUCAAAUCUAUCUAUUUAUUAUAACAUUCCAAAAUUUAGAAUUUUGGGAUGUUACAAAUAAUAACAGGAUAUAUCUUUUUCUCAUCAAGAUAAGCAUAUUUAAGAGUAUCAGAUAAAGGUUUAAGCUCAAACACGGGAUCACCCUUGGGUGGAGGAGGAUCCCCUAGGAUUUCAACAGGUAAAUUGUUUUUCAGAAUAGGUUCCUGUUUAAAGAAUACUUCAUCUAUUUCCCUUCUUUAAUUCAUAAACAUGUCAUUUUCAUGGUCUAGCAAAUAUUGUUCUAAAGGAUCACUAGGAGGUACGGCAAUAGAAGCAAGACCAAUAAUUUCAUCCUUACUAGGUAAUUCUUCUUCACGAUGUUGUCUACUAAAUUUAGAGAAAUUAAAUUCAUGAGUCAUAUCAUCUAAACCGAUAGUAACAACAUCCCUUUUGCAAUCUAUGGUAGCAUUAAUAGUGUUUAAGAAAGGUCUACCAAAUAUAAUGGGACAAAAGCUAUCUUGUGGGGAACCAAGAACAAGAAAAUCAGCAGGAUAUUUAGUUUUCCCACACAAGACUUCAACAUCUCUAACAAUUCCCAUCGGUGAAAUAGUAUCUCUAUUGGCAAGUUUAAUUGUGACAUCAAUAUCUUCUAUCUCAGCAGGUGCAAUAUCAUGCAUAAUUUCUUUGUAUAAGGAAUGAGGUAUUGCGCUAGCACUAGCACCCAUAUCACAUAAGCCAUGAUAAUAAUGGUCUCCUAUUUUAACAGAAAUAACAGGCAUGUCUACCAUAGGUCUAGUUUUAUCUUUAGCACAUGGUUUAGCAAUUCUAGCAGUUUCAUCAUAGAUAUAAAUAACAUGCCCACCAAUAUUAUCAGACAAGAGAUCUUUAACAAUAGCAAUAUUAGGUUCAACUUUAACUUGCUCAGGAGGUGUAUAUGUUUUAAUAUUGCUUUUACGAACCAUAGUUGAAGCUUUAGCAUGAUCCUUUAUCCUAACAGGGAAAGGUGGUUUCUCAACAUACGUAGUAGGAACAAUAGGAUCAUUAUAAGUGAAAAUCUUUUCUUCAACUUUAAUAGGUGCAGCUACUUUUACUUCUAUGGGAGGAUGAUAUUUAAACCACUUCUCCUUGGGGAGAUCAACAUAAGUAGCUAAAGAUUCACAGAAAGAAGCUACUCUCUCAGAGUCAAGUCCAUAUUUAGUGCUAAGUUUACGGAAAACAUCGUUAUCCAUAAAAGAUUUAACACAAUCAAAACUAGGUGUCAUACCUGACUCCUUACCUUUGUCGAGGUCCCAAUCUUCAGAGUUGUGUUUAAUUCUUUCCAAUAAAUUCCAUUUGAAUUCAAUAGUCUUCAUCAUAAAAGAGCCAGCACAAGAAGUAUCAAGCAUGGUGCGAUUGCUAUCAGAAAGCCCAGCAUAAAAUUUUUGAAUAAUCAUUUCUCUUGAGAGAUUGGGGCAUGAAUAUAACAUUGAUUUAAGCCUCCCCCAAGCUUGAGCGAUGCUUUCUCGUUCGCGAGGCCAAAAAUUAUAUAUAUAAUUGCGAUCAUGAUGAACAAGAUGCAUAGGAUAAAACUUCUAAUGAAAUUCCAAUUCCAAUUGUUUGUAAUUCCAAGACCCCAUAUCAUCAGAUAGCCUAUACCAUGUCGAUGCAUCUCCCUUCAAAGAUAAAGGGAAGACCUUCUUCUUAACAACAUCUCCGGGUACACCUGCAAGCUUAAAUAAUCCACAAACUUCAUCCACAUAUAUUAGAUGCUCAUCAGGAUGUUUUGUUCCAUCUCCUAAAAAAGGAUUAGCUAGCAGUUUUUCUAUCAUACCCGAAGGAAUUUCAAAGCAGACAUUUUCAUUUUCAGUAGGUUUAGUAGGUUGAGGAGCAACUCUUUGCUCUACUGGUCGGGGUGAAGAUACCCCGAACAAGCCCCUCAGUGGAUUACUUUUCAUAGUAACAAGUGACAGUAAAUUUCAGCACACUAUAUAAAUUUUUCCUUACCAAAUUCCACCUACCAAAGGCGCUUCACUCCCCGGCAACGGAGCCAGAAAAGAGUCUUGAUGACCCACAAGUAUAGGGGAUCUAUCGUAGUUGAGGGAGCCCUGGAUUAGGGGGUGUUCGGAUGGCCGGACUAUACCUUCAGCCGGACUCCUGGACUAUGAAGAUACAAGAUUGAAGACUUCGUCCCGUGUCUGGAACGGACUUUCCUUGGCGUAGAAGGCAAGCUUGGCGAUACGGAUAUGUAGAUCUCCUACCAUUGUAACCAACUUUGUGUAACCCUAACCCUCUCCGGUGUCUAUAUAAACCGGAGGGUUUUAGUCCGUAGGACAACAUUCAGAACAACAAUCAUACCAUAGGCUAGCUUCUAGGGUUUAGCCUCUCUGAUCUCGUGGUAGAUCUACUCUUGUACUACCCAUAUCAUCAAUAUUAAUCAAGCAGGACGUAGGGUUUUACCUCCAUCAAGAGGGCCCGAACCUGAGUAAAACUUCGUGUCCCUUGCCUCCUGUUACCAUCCGGCCUAGACGCACAGUUUGGGACCCCCUACCUGAGAUCCGCCGGUUUUGACACCGACAGUAGUCCUUUCGAUAAGUAAGAGUGUCGAACCCAACGAGGAGCAGAAGGAAAUGAUAAGCGGUUUCCAGCAAGGUAUUCUCUGCAAGUACUGAAAUAAGUGGUAACAGAUAGUUUUGUGAUAGAAUAAUUUGUAGCGAGCAACAAGUAACAAAGGUAAAUAAAGUGCAGCAAGGUGGUCCAAUCCUUUUUGUAGCAAAGGACAAGCCUGGACAAACUCUUAUAUAGAGAAAAAUGCUCCCGAGGACAUACGGGAAUAUUGUCGAGCUAGUUUUCAUCACGCUCAUAUGAUUCACGUUCGGUACUUUGAUAGUUUGGUAUGUGGCUGGACCGGUGCUUGGGUACUACCCUUACUUGGACAAGCAUCCCACUUAUGAUUAACCUCUAUUGCAAGCAUCCGCAACAACAACAAAAGUAUUAAGGUAAACCUAACCAUAGCAUGAAACAUAUGGAUCCAAAUCAGCCCCUUACGAAGCAACGCAUAAACUAGGGUUUAAGAUUCUGUCACUCUAGCAACCCAUCAUCUACUUAUUACUCCCCAAUGCCUUCCUCUAGGCCCAAAUAAUGGUGAAGUGUCAUGUAGUCGAUGUUCACAUAACACCACUAGAGGAGAGACAACAUACAUCUCAACAAAAUAUCGAAUGAAUACCAAAUUCACAUCACUACUAAUAGCAAGACUUCUCCCAUGUCCUCAGGAACAAAAGUAACUACUCACAAAGCAUAAACAUGUUCAUAAUCAGAGGGGUAUUAAUAUGCAUAUAGGAUCUAAACAUAUGAUCUUCCACCAAUUAAGCCAACUAGCAUCAACUACAAGGAGUAAUUAACACUACUAGCAACCUACUAGCACCAAUCCCGGACUUGGAGACAAGAAUUGGAUACAAGAGAUGAACUAGGGUUUUGAGAGGAGAUGGUGCUGAUGAAGAUGUUGAUGGAGAUUGCCCUCUCUUGAUGAGAGGAGCGUUCGUGAUGACGAUGGCGAUGAUUUCCCCAUCCGGGGGGGGGAGUUUCCCCUGCAGAACAGCUCCGCCAGAGCCCUAGAUUGGUUCCGCCAAGGUUCGGCCUCGUGGCAGUGGAAUUUCAUUCGAGAAGAUGGAUUAUGAUUUUUUCCCAUCGAAAGACUUCAUAUAGCAGAAGAUGGCCACCAGAGGGCCACCAGGGGGCCCACGAGGUAGGGGGCGCGCCCUACCCCCUGGUGAAUUUCUUUCGAUCAGUAUUUUUUAUAUAUUCUGAAAACGUCUUCCGUGAAGUUUCAGGACUUUUGAAGCUAUGCAGAAUAGGUCUUUAAUAUUUGCUCCUUUUCCAGCCAAGAAUCCCAGCUGCCGGCAUUCUCCCUCUUUAUGUAAACCUUCUAAAAUAAGAGAGAAUAGGCAUAAGUAUUGUGACAUAAUGUGUAAUAACAGCCCAUAAUGCAAUAAAUAUCGAUAUAAAAGCAUGAUGCAAAAUGACGUAUCAGGCCCACCGUCAGGGCUGGCGUGGCAAGUCAACAAGCGCACAAGAUGACGAUGAGCACGCCCGGCGGCAGCAUGCGAUGAUGACACACUGAUCGGGCACUCCUACGGACACACGCUGCUCGACCGCACGCGACCACCCAGCGCUAGCUUGCUAGCACCAACGAGCAAGUAUGCAUGGCUUGCCGACCAGCCAGCGCGAGCACGUAUGCACCGCUUGGCGACCGGCCAGCGCAAGCAUGCGGCUCGGUGACCAGCGCGUGCUUGCGGCCUGCGCGUGGCUUGACGGCUGUGCGAGCACCCACGGGACGGCUAUGGCGGCCCGCCCGCACUUCUGCGUGCGACAGCUACGGCGGCGAGCUCGGAUGCCGGCCCACAGGCGACCGCAACAACAGCCAGCCCGCCCACCCGCGCUCCCGCAUGCGACGAUGAUCGGCCAGCGUGACCAGCAUGUGCUCGCGGCCUGCGCACGGCUCGACGGCUGCGCGAGCACCCUCGCGGCUGCCGUCUCAUGCCUGCUCCGGCGCUACCUCCAUCAUCCUCGACCCAUCAGCCUCUAGGUGGGCGACAUGGAUGACACAAGUGCUCGCCGUGGGGCAUGAAGACGAGGUGUUCGUUGAACUGGGCAAGAGAGUAUAGGAGCAGGAAGAAGAAGAUAGAUACUGACGUGUGGGGCCCACUUGUCAUAACGGUCAACUUAACAGUCAACAUAAACGGUGUUGACAUUUCUGCCACGUCAGCCCUGACGGGUGGGCCCCACUUGUCAUAAACAUGUUUAAAUCUUCUAAACUGGUCAUUUUUUGAAAGUGGUAGUUUUUUGCCAUGGAUUAAUAAAAAGUGGUAGUUUUUGGCACAAAUUUGUAAAGUUAGGCACGUUUUCAUGAAAUGUGGUAAUUUUUGGUUAAAUACUCGCAUGCAUGCAUGUAUUGCUAGGUUACCAUAUUAAAACCGUGCCCACGGAAAGCUAAUCAAGGUCCUAAAUUUAUUAUAGUUGUGGGGAUAUAAAAGUCAGACGAUCUCGUUCCCAUCGGUCCCAUCCAUGCACAUCCGCCUCUCCUCUAGUCCUCUCCGCGGCCGCUAGGGUUUGCUCUCCUCUCUACCGCCCGCAGCUAUUUACCUUCCGGCGUCGGGCUCGUCGCUGUCUGGUAAGUGCUUAUCUCAUACUUUUUUGUCUCUGUUGUUUCGCCCUUGUAGGAAUAUAGGCAUUGUAUCACAUGCGAUCACGUAGGAUGUUUACUUCCAUACUUGCCUCCUCUUGAUAUCUUUCCUUGUACAUAGAGAUAGAGUCUUGGAGGUCAAGUAUUCUUGUGUAUAUAUGUAAUUUCCCUAUGGAUCAAUACAAUGCGCUGCAUAUUCCCAAUUAUUCAAUCCUACAUGGUAUCAGUUUUCUCUUUCCCGUGACCUCUUUCCGCUGCUCAUGCCUGAACCACACCCUCACCUGACGCCCUAGCUGCUACUGUCCUCAUCAACCGCCAUAGCCAUGCAUCCCUUCGGAGACUUCUUCUCCAACCCCAGCUCCAAUCCCUUCGCCUCCAACCCCUCCUCCAGCCACUCCACCCCAUCUGGCUCCACCCCCAGCUCCAACCCCUUCGCUGACUCCACUCACCCAGCCGCCCCUAGCACCACCGCCGUGCAACUCAUCAACAUCCGCAGCCAUGUUCCCGCCACCCUUAGCUUCGAUGAGUCCAACUUCUUGAUUUGGCAAACUUUUUUCCACCUCACCUUCCGCAAGCUCGGUCUCGUCGAUCAUGUUGAUGGGUCGACCAAUGCUCUAAUGAUGUUCGUUGAUGUUGAGUGGACCCAGAUCGAUCAGUGCAUCAUCUCGUGGCUCUACACCACCGCCUCUCCUGACAUCCUGCAUAUCAUCAUCAGGCCCUCCGACACUGCCGCCAACGCAUGGACGGUCAUCUCCAUGCUCUUCCUUGACAACCGUCUACAGCGCGCCAUAUUCGCCAAGCGGGAGUUUCACAACAUCGUUCAGGGUGACCUCUCCGUCACUGCCUUCUGCAGCCGUCUCAAGUGUCUCUCUGACACUCUUCGGGACGUCGGCUCGCCGGUCUCUGACCAAGACAUGCUGCUGGCUCUUGUCAACGGGAUGAACGACGACUUCGGCCAUUGCAUUGCAGCGCUCAUCGUCAACCCCACCGGCCUCACCUUCACACGGGCCCGUGGUGUUCUUCUUCAGGAGGAGCGCCGCCUCUCCUGUGGCGGUCACCAUGCCCGGCUGACGACUCUCAUCACCGGUCAGUCCCGCCCGACCACUGCUACUUCGACUCCACGUCCAGUUGCCCACGGUGCCCCUGCUGCGCCCUCUCCCAAUGGCGGCCGCAAUCGCGGCAAGAAGAAGAAGCAGGCCGCUCCUCCUGCCAGCCCUAGCAGCACGACGACUCCUCUUCCGGACGCACGCAACACCCCAGCAUGGCCUCUCGGGGGCUACCCCCUGUCGGGGAUGUUCGCAGCCUGGCCCCCGAACUAGCGUGCGCCCGGUGCUGGCCUGCUCGGGCCUCGACCCAGCGCCUCUUAGCCGCAUGUGUAUGCAGCCUAGCUAGGGCAGGUGGCCUGCACUGCUACCCCUCUGGUCCCGUCUACCCUGGCUAUGUGCUGGUCCCGCCUCUUCAUCAACCUUCGGCUUGAGACCAAACGCAACUACACGCCGCCCUCAAAAAUCUAUCCAUCAGUGGUGGCGGCAAUGGGGCUGACUGGUUCCUUGACACCGGUGCUACCUUGCAUAUUGCGAACCAUCCCGGUAUCCUUUCUCACCCUCAACCAUAUUCUACUUCCACCCGUGUCAUCAUCGGUAAUGGGGAUUCUCUCCCGACCACCCACACCGGUAACGUUUCUUUUCCCACAUCUUCUUUUCCUAUUCAUCUUCGUAAUGUUGUCAUUACUCCUCAUAUCAUUAAAAAAUUUAUUUCCGUUCGUCGCCUUACUCGUGAAAAUCCCAUUACUGUUGAGUUUUACAUGUUUGGUUUUUCUAUCAAGGACCUUCACACACGACGAGUGAUUCUAUGAUGUGACAGCCCCGAUGAACUUUAUCCACUUGCAUCCAGGCCUCAAGCUCUCCUUGCCGAGACCUCCGAUCUUUGGCACCAAGGGCUUGGACAUCCGGAACAUGCUGCUCUCUCCAAAACAUUAUCGUCUUUUGAGUUUUCCUGUAAUAAAGCUAUGUCUACAACAUGUCAUGCUUGUAGGUUGGGCAAGCACGUUAGCUUACCUUUCAAACAAUCAGAUUCUCAGACUAGUUUCCCCUUUGCUCUUAUGCAUUGCGAUGUAUGGACAUCUCCAAUAAAAAGUGUCUCCGGUUUUCUCUAUUAUCUUGUCAUUCUUGAUGAUUUUUCUCACUAUACUUGGACUUUUCCAUUACGUCGCAAAUCUGAAGUUUUUCCGCUUCUCUCUCAUUUUCAUGCGUUUGUUGCUACGCAAUUUCAGCGCAAUAUUCUGAGUUUUCAAACGGAUAAUGGCAAGGAAUUUGAUAAUAAUGCGUCUCGUGAUUUCUUUGCUUCUCACGGCAUUCACUUUCGGCUUUCUUGUCCAUAUACCUCUGAACAAAAUGGCCACGCCGAACGCAUUCAUUGGACUUUGAAUGAUAGUGUCCGUACUAUGUUAUUUCAUGCUCAUCUUCCUCCUUGAUUUUGGGUUGAAGCUCUUAACACUACCACGUACCUACUCAAUCUUCGUCCUUGUCGUCCUCGCCACCAUCAAACACCGCAUGAGCUUCUCUUUGGUUUUCCUCCUGAGUAUCAACAUCUUCGUGUUUUCGGUUAUCUAUGUUAUCCUAACACCUCUGCCACCGCUCAACAUAAGCUUGCACCUCGAUCUGUUGCUUGUGUUUUCUUUGGCUACCCUCCUGACCAUCGCGGCUAUCAAUGUUAUGAUCCCGCCUCCCGUCGCAUACUAACAUCACGCCAUGUCAUCUUCGACGAGUGUGUUUUUCCUUUCAGGGAAUAGGAGGAAUCGUCUACAUCAUUGGCUGACCAGGCACUCCUUUCGAUUGAGAGCAUGGCGCUCCCGUCCAUAGCCACCGCCCCUUGAUAACCCACAAGUAUAGGGGAUCGCAACCGUUUUCGAGGGUAGAGUAUUCAACCCAAAUUUAUUGAUUCGACACAAGGGGAGCCAAAGAAUAUUCUCAGGUAUUAGCAGCUGAGUUGUCAAUUCAACCACACCUGGAAACUUAAUAUCUGCAGCAAAGUAUUUAGUAGCAAAGUAAUAUGAUAGUAGUGGUAAUGGUAGCAAAAGGUAAUGAUAGCAAAAGUAAUGGUUUUAGUAUUUUGUAGUGAUGAUAGCAAUAGCAACGGAAAAGUAAAUAAGCGGAGAACAAUAUAUGGAAAGCUAAUAGGCAAUGGAUCGGUGAUAGAGAAUUAUGCCGGAUGCAGUUCAUCAUGUAACAGUCAUAACCUAGAGUGACACAUAACUAGCUCCAAUUCAUCAAUGUAAUGUAGGCAUGUAUUUCGAAGAUAGUCAUACGUGCUUAUAGAAAAGAACUUGCAUGACAUCUUUUGUCCAACCCUCCCGUGGCAGCGGGGUCCUAGCGGAAACUAAGGGAUAUUAAGGCCUCCUUUUAAUAGAGUACCGGACCAAAGCAUUAACACAUAGUGAAUACAUGAACUCCUCAAACUACGGUCAUCACCGGUAAGUAUCCCGAUUAUUGUCAUUUCGGGGUUAACGGAUCAUAACACAUAAUAGGUGACUAUAGACUUGCAAGAUAGGAUCAAGAACUCUCAUAUAUUGAUGAAAACAUAAUAGGUUCAGAUCUGAAAUCAUGGCACUCGGGCCCUAGUGACAAGCAUUAAGCAUAGCAAAGUCAUAGCAGCAUCAAUCUCAGAACAUAGUGGAUACUAGGGAUCAAACCCUAACAAAACUAACUCGAUUACAUGAUAAAUCUCAUCCAACCCAUCACCGUCCAGCAAGGCUACGAUAGAAUUACUCACGCACGGCGGUGGGCAUCAUGAAAUUGGUGAUGGAGGAUGGUUGAUGAAGACGAUGGUGAUGGAUUCCCCUCUCCGGAGCCCCGAACGAACUCCAGAUCAGCCCUCCCGAGAGGUUUUAGGGCUUGGCGGCGGCUCCAUAUCGUAAAACGCGAUGAAUCCUUCUCUAUGAUUUUUUUUCUCCGAAACCAAAUAUAUAGAGUUGGAGUUGAGGCUGGAGGAGCUCCAGGGGGCCACGGGGUAGGGGGCGCGCCCCCCACCCUCGUGGACAGGUGGUGGGCCCCCUAGUCUUCAUCUUUUGCAAGGAUUUUUUAUUAUUUCCAAAUAGACGUUCCGUGAAGUUUCAGGUCAUUCCAAGAACUUUUGUUUCUAUACAUAAAUAACACCAUGCCAAUUCUGCUGAAAACAGCGUCAGUCUGGGUUAGUUCCAUUCAAAUCAUGCAAGUUAGAGUCCAAACCAAGGGCAAAAGUGUUUGGAAAAGUAGAUACGACGGAGACGUAUCAACUCCCCCAAGCUUAAACCUUUGCUUGUCCUCAAGCAAUUCAAUUGACAAACUGAAAGUGAUAAAGAAAAACUUUUACAAACUUUGUUUGCUCUUUUUGUUGUAAAUAUGUAAGGCCAGCAUUCAAGUUUUCAGCAAAGAUUAUGAACUAACCAUAUUCACAAUAACGCAUAGGUCUCAUGUUUACUCAUAUCAAUGGCAUAAUCAACUAGCGAGCAAUAAUAAUUAAUCUCGGAUGACAACACUUUCUCAAAAUAAUCAUAAUAUGAUAUAACAAGAUGGUAUCUCGCUAGCCCUUUUUGAGACUGCAAAACAUAAAUGCAGAGCACCUUUAAUGAUCAAGGACUGACUAGACAUUGUAAUUCAUGGUAAAAGAGAUCCAGUCAAGUCAUACUCAAUGUAAACUAAUAGUAAUGAAUGCAAAUGAAAGAGGUGCUCUCCAACUGGUGCUUUUUAAUAAGAGGAUGAUGACUCAACAUGAAAGUAAAUAUAUAGGCCCUUCGCAGAGGGAAGCAGGGACUUGUAGAGGUGCCAUAGCUCGGUUUUGAAAUAGAGGUGAAUAGUAUUUUGAGCGGUAUACUUUCAUUGUCAACAUAACAACCAAGGGAUGGCGAUAUCUUCCAUGCUACACACCUUAUAGGCGGUUCCCAAACAGAAUGGUAAAGUUUAUACUCCCCCUCCACCAACAAUCAUCAAUCCAUGGCUUGCUCGAAACAACGAGUGCCUCUAACUAACAAGAGUCCCAGGGGGAGUUUUGUUUGCAAUUAUUUUGAUUUGAUUUGCAUAAAGCAUGGGACUGGGCAUCCUGGUGACUAGCCAUUUUCUCGUGAGUGAGGAGCGGAGUCCACUCCUCUUAAGAAUAACCCGCCUAACAUGGAAGAUACAGACAGCCCUAGUUGAUACAUGAGCUAUUCAAGCAUACAAAACAGGAUAUUUAUUCGAAGGUUUAGAGUUUGGCACAUACAAAUUUACUUGGAACGGCAGGUAGAUACCUAUAUAGGUAGGUAUGGUGGAAUCAUAUGGAAUAACUUUGGGGUUUAUGGAGUUGGAUGCACAAGCAGUAUUCCCGCUUAGUACAGGUGAAGGCUAGCAAAAGACUGGGAAGCGACCAGCUAGAGAGCGACAACAGUCAUGAACAUGCAUUAAAAUUAAUCAACACCGAAUGCAAGCAUGAGUAGGAUAUAAUCCACCAUGAACAUAAAUAUCAUAAAGGAUAUGUUGAUUUUGUUUCAACUACAUGCGUGAACAUGUGCCAAGUCAAGUCACUUAAAUCAUUCAGAGGAGGAUACCACCCUAUCAUACCACAUCACAACCAUUUUAAUAGCAUGUUGGCACGCAAGGUAAACCGUUAUAAGCUCCUAGCUAAUCAAGCAUGGCAUAAGAAACUAUGAUCUCUAGUUGUCAUUGCAAACAUGUUUAUUCAUAAUAGGCUGAAUCAGGAACGAUGAACUAAUCAUAUUUACAAAAACAAGAGAGGUCGAGUUCAUACCAGCUUUUCUCAUCUCAGUCAGUCCAGCAUAUAUCAUCAUAAUUGCCUUUCACUUGCACGACUGAAUGAUGUGAAUAAUAUUAAGAGUGCACGUGCAUUGGACUAAGCUGGAAUCUGCAAGCAUUCAAUAAACAGGAGAAGACAAGGCAAUAUGUGCUCUUUUGUCAGAUCAACAAUAAUGCAUAUAAGAGCCACUUCAACAAUUUAAUCAUGGUAUUCUCCUAUUGACCUCCAAAGAAAAGAAAAGAAAUAAAACUAUUUACAUGGGAAAGCUCCGAACAAGCAAAAGAAGAACAUGAAAUCUUUUUGGGUUUUCUUUUUAAUUACUACUAUAAGCAUGGAAAGUAAAAUAAUUAAAAGCUACAACUAAAUUUUUUGGGGGGUUUUCUUAAGGUUUAUUAAACACACAAGAAGAAAACAUAAAAAGGAAAAUAAACUAGCAUGGAUGAUACAAUGAAAAAGUAUGAGCAUCGACAUCUAGCAAUGAGUGUGUGAACAUGAAUGUAAUGUCGAUGAGAAAUACGUACUCCCCCAAGCUUAGACUUUUGGCCUAAGUUGGUCUAUGGCCACGGCUGGCCUGGCGGAUAUCCAUAAUAAUAGUUUGGGUCGUACUACGAUGAAGAAGACUCUGAUUGCCACUGGUUGGCAAUCAUCUCCGGAUCCCAAUGGUAAUUAGACUGCCGUGGAGUAUCAACUUGUGGUUCCAACUCUGGCUCUGUGGCUGAUGUAGGGUUCCGGUAGGCGUGGAUAGCCUCUAACAGAACAAGGUACUGGCCUGAAGAUAAAUCAAACAAGGAAGGAGCGGGCAUGGUAAUAGUCUCAGGAUGAUGUUGAUGAAAGAACAAUUUGUAUUUAUGCUCCCCUUCCCUAUUCUUAACAAUAAAAUCGUGUGCCACCAUACUCUUAUAAUCUAAAUAAACACAAGGCAGCAAUUUUUCUUCCUUCUCAUAAUGCCUAAUAGGUAUGUUAAAAUGUGCAGCUAGGCGUGAAGCAUAGAUGCCUCCAAAGAUGGGCCCCUUUGUACGGUUCAGACUUAACCGUUUAGCAAUAAUACCGCCCAUACUAACAGAGUAAUCACUGAAUAAACUGUGGAAAAAUAAUAAUAUCAGGAACACUAAGGUUUCCACAGUUUCCAUGACCAAUUAAGCAACGACUAGCAAAUAUUGCAAAGUAGUGUAAAACAGGAAAAUGUAUGCUGGCGAUUCGUGCAUUGAAAACCUUCCUUGUUUCCCCUACAGUGAUGCUAUCAAUAAACCCAUCCACAUCGCCGCGAUGUGGUUCCUCUGUCGUGCCGUCGGAAGGGACCAAACAAACCUGACAAAAAUCAUAAAGUGACAUCUCCUUAUGCUCAUCAUAUAAAUAAAACUCCACCGUAGGUGGUGAGCUCCUAGAAUGGAAAUGAAAGUUUUGCACAAAGAUAUUGGUGAGUAAGAGAUACUGGUCGCGUUGGUCGUGGAAGAAGGUGGUGAGGCCUGCAUUCUCAUCCAAUUGAUAAAAAUCAUCAUAAAUCCCGGCUGCUCUCAAGAAAUCAUCAGAGGGCCAUUCACACGGCCUAACCUCCGCGGUGCGAGGCAGAUUAUAUUUGGGCUUCUUUGCUUCUUCAUUUUUCUUUUCCUUCGAGCUUCGGCUUGAUGAGCCCCUCAAAAAUCUCUUCAUUAUUCUCUAAAAAAUUCUGAAAUUUUUAGUAACUUCAAACAAAAGUGAACCAAGCUCAACAAAAUUGAUAGCAACAACUCCUACAAGUGCCUAGAGCCUAUAUCAUGCAUCAAAACUACUUUUGACCAUAUAAAUUUGACAUGCAAGCUCAAGAACAGGGUCACCUAAGCAGCACAAACUUGCAAUGAAUAAAGCACUAUAACAAAAACUAAUUGGACCAAUGGAGGAGUCACAUACCAAGGAACAAUCCCCCAAAGCAGUUUUGUGAGAGGUGCUUUGAGCAAGGAGAUCGAAAAUCGCAGCAAAAUGAGCUAGAACUCGUGCUUGAGCUGGAUAUUCAUGUUUGUGGGAGGAAGGAGUGUGUGGAUGCAGGAAUAAGUGGAGGAGGGCCACCAUGGGCCCACGAGGCAGGGGGCGCGCCUAGGGGGUAGGGCGCACCCUCCACCCUCGUGGUCAGGUGGAUGCCCCCUGAUGUGUUCUCAGUGCCAAAUAUUCUCAAAUAUUCCAGAAAACAUAUUUAAAUUUCAGGGCAUUUGGAGAACUUUUAUUUUCGAGGUAUUUUUAUAUUGCACGGAUAAUUCAGAUAACAGACGGAAAAUACUUAUUUUAAUUUUUUUUAAUAUAAAUAAAAGAAAGUAAAAGGAGGGUAUAGAAGGUUGUGCCUUCUAGUUUCAUCCAUCUCAGGCUCAUCAAAAGGAAUCCACUAACAAGGUUGAUCAAGUCUUGUUAACAAACUCAUUCUGAAGAACAUGGAACCGGAGAAAUUUCGAAUAACACUAUGUUACCUCAACGGGGAUAUGCACAUCCCCAAUAAUAAGAAUAUCAUAUUUCUUCUUGACAGUAGGAAGAGGAAAUUCAAAACCUCCAAAUAUAAUAGACGGAAUUUUUCCAAUAGAGUUGAUACUAUGAACUUGAGGUUGUUUCCUCAGAAAGUGUACCGUAUGCUCAUUACCAUUAACAUGAAAAGUGACAUUGCCUUUAGUGCAAUCAACAACAGCCCCUGCAGUAUUCAAAAAGGGUCUUCCAAGAAUAAUAGACAUACUAUCGUCCUCGGGAAUAUCAAGGAUAACAAAGUCCGUUAAAAUAGUAACGUUUGCAACUACAACAGGCACAUCCUCACAAAUACCGACAGGUAUAGCAGUUGAUUUAUCAGCCAUUUGCAAAGAUAUUUUAGUAGGUGUCAACUUAUUCAAAUCAAGUACGAUAUAAAGAGAGAGGCAUAACACUAACACCGGAUCCAAGAUCACAUAAAGCAGUUUUAACAUAGUUUCUUUUAAUGGAGCAUGGUAUAGUGGGUACUCCUGGAUCUCCAAGUUUCUUAGGUAUUCCACCUUUAAAAGUAUAAUUAGCAAGCAUGGUGGAAAUUUCAGCUUCCGGUAUCUUUCUCUUAUUUGCAACAAUUUCUUUCAUAUACUUAGCAUGAGGAUUCAUUUUAAGCAUAUCAGUUAAUCGCAUACGCAAAAAGAUAGGUCUAAUCAUUUUAGCAAAGUGCUCAAAAUCCUCAUCAUCCUUUUUCUUGGAUGGGUUGGGAGGAAAAGGCAUGGGUUUCUGAACCCAUGGUUCUCAUUCUUUACCAUGUUUCCUAGAAACAAAGUCUUUCUUAUCAUAACGUUGAUUCUUUGAUUGUGGGUUAUCAAGAUCAAUAGCAGGUUCAAUUUCUAUAUCAUUAUCAUUACUAGGUUGAGCAUCAUCAUGAACAUUAUCAUUAACAUUAUCACUAGUUUCAGGUUCAUUACCAGAUUGUGUUUCAGCAUCAGAAAUAGAAAUAUCAUUUGGAUUCUCAAGUGGUUGAGAAAUAGGUUCACUAGAAGCAUGCAAAGUCCUAUAAUUUUCUUUUUCUUCCUUUUAGAAGGACUAGGUGCAUCUAUAUUAUUUCUCUGAGAAUCUUGCUCAAUUCUCUUAGGAUGGCCUUCAGGAUACAGAGGUUCCUGAGUCACUCUACCAGUUCUAGUAGCCACUCUAACAGCAUAAUCAUUAUUCUUGCUAUUCAAUUCAUUGAGCAAAUCAUUUUGAGCUUUAAGUACUUGUUCUACUUGAGUGGUAACCAUAGAAGCAUGUUUACUAAUAAGUUUAAGUUCACCUUUAACAUUAGCCAUAUAAUCACCCAAGUGUUCAAGCAUAUUUGAAUUGUAUUUCAAUUGUCUACCAAAAUAAGAAUUGAAGUCUUCUUGCUUAACCAUAAAUUUAUCAAACUCAUCUAAGCAUGGGCUAGCAAACUUAGUAAAUGGGAUUUCAGCUUUAUCAUAUUUAUAGAGAGAAUUUACCUUUACUACCUGUGUCGGGUUAUCAAGACCAUGAGUUUCUUCAAUAGGUAAUGGAUUAAGAUCAUAUGUUUCUUCAACAGGCGGUAAAUUAAGACCGUGUAUUUCUUCAAUAGGAGGUAAAUUCUUAACAUCUUCGGCUUUAAUACCUUUUUCUUUCAUAGAUUUCUUUGCCUCUUGCAUAUCUUCAGGACUGAGAAAUAGAAUGCCUCUCUUCUUCGGAGUUGGUUUAGGAAUAGGCUCAGGAAGUGUCCAAUUAUUUUCAUUUGUGAACAUAUUAUUCAAUACAAUUUCAGCUUCAUCCGGUGUUCUUUCCCUGAAAACAAAACCAGCACAACUUUCAAGGUAAUCUGUGGAAGCAUCGGUUAGUCCAUUAUAAAAGAUAUCAAGUAUUUCAUUUUUCUUAAGAGGAUGAUCUGGCAAAGCAUUAAGUAACUUGAGAAGCCUCCUCCAAGCUUGUGGGAGACUUUAUUCUUCAAUUUGCAAAAAAAUUAUAUAUAUAUAUAUAUAUAUAUCCCUUAAAGCAGCUUGUUUCUUAUGAGCAGGGAAAUAUUUAGCAGAGAAGUAAUAAAUCAUAUCCUGGGGACUACGCACACAACCAGGAUCAAGAGAAUUAAACCAUAUCUUAGCAUCACCCUUUAAUGAGAACGGAAAUAUUUUAAGGAUGUAAAGUGGCGAGUUCUCUCAUCUUUAGUGAACAGGGUGGCAAUAUCAUUUAAUUUAGUAAGAUGUGCCACAACAGUUUCAGAUUUGUAGCCAUGAAAAGGAUUAGAUUCAACCAAAGUAAUUAUAUCAGGAUCAACCGAGAAUUCAUAAUCCUUAUCGGUAACACAGAUAGGUGAAGUAGCAAAAGCAGGGUCAGGUUUCAUUCUAGCAUUAAGAGAUUGCUGCUUCCAUUUAGCUAAUAACCUCUUGAGUUCGUAUCUAUCUUUGCAAGCUAAAAUAGCUAGAGCAGCUUCUUUUUCAAAAACAUAACCCUCAGGAACAACAGGUGAUUCAUAUUCAUUAGAAGGAGAGUCUUCAUCAUCACUUUCAUCAAUAUUAACAGAUUCAAUAUUUUCACUCUCUCUAACCCUAGCAAGUUGUUCAUCAAGAAAUUCACCAAGUGGCACAGUAGUAUCAAGCAUAGAUGUAGUUUCAUCAUAACUAUCAUGCAUAGCAGAAGGGCAUCAUCAAUAACAUGCGACAUAUCAGAACGAAUAGCAGAAGCAGGUUUAGGUGUCGCAAGCUUACUCAAAGCAGAAGGUGAAUCAAGUGCAGAGCUAGAUGGCAGUUCCAUACCUCCCCUCGUAGUUGAGGGAUAAAUCUUGGUUUUUGGAUCUCUCAAGUUCUUCAUAAUGAUAAGCAGAUAUAAAUCCCAAGUGACUCUAAGAAUAGACCUAUGCUCCCCGACAACGGCGCCAGAAAAUACUCUUGAUAACCCACAAGUAUAGGGAUCGCAAUAGUUUUCGAGGGUAGAGUAUUCAACCCAAAUUUAUUGAUUCGACACAAGGGGAGCCAAAGAAUAUUCUCAAGUAUUAGCAGCUGAGUUGUCAAUUCAACCACACCUGGAAACUUAAUAUCUACAGCAAAGUAUUUAGUAGCAAAGUAAUAUGAUAGUAGUGGUAACGGUAGCAAAAGGUAAUGAUAGCAAAAGUAAUGUUUUGGUAUUUUGUAGUGAUGAUAGCAAUAGCAAUGGAAAAGUAAAUAAGCGGAGAACAAUAUAUGGAAAGCUCGUAGGCAAUGGAUCGGUGAUAGAGAAUUAUGCCGGAUGUGGUUCAUCAUGUAAUAGUCAUAACCUAGAGUGACACGGAACUAGCUCCAAUUCAUCAAUGUAAUGUAGGCAUGUAUUCCAAAUAUAGUCAUACGUGCUUAUGGAAAAGAACUUGCAUGACAUCUUUUGUCCAACCCUCCCGUGGCAGCGGGGUCCUAGCGGAAACUAAGGGAUAUUAAGGCCUCCUUUUAAUAGAGUACCGGACCAAAGCAUUAACACAUAGUGAAUACAUGAACUCCUCAAACUACGGUCAUCACCGGUAAGUAUCCCGAUUAUUGUCACUUCGGGGUUAAUGGAUCAUAACACAUGAUAGGUGACUAUAGACUUGCAAGAUAGGAUCAAGAACUCUCAUAUAUUGAUGAAAACAUAAUAUGUUCAGAUCUGAAAUCAUGGCACUCAGGCCCUAGUGACAAGCAUUAAGCAUAGCAAAGUCAUAGCAACAUCAAUCUCAGAACAUAGUGGAUACUAGGGAUCAAACCCUAAAAAAACUAACUCGAUUACAUGAUAAAUCUCAUCCAACCCAUCACCGUCCAGCAAGCCUACGAUAGAAUUACUCACGCACGGCGGUGAGCAUCAUGAAAUUGUGAUGGAGGAUGGUUGAUGAUGACGAUGGCGACGGAUUCCCCUCUCCGGAGCCCCGAACGGACUCCAGAUCAGCCCUCCCGAGAGGUUUUAGGGCUUGGCGGCGGCUCCGUAUCAUAAAACGCGAUGAAUCCUUCUCUCUGAUUUUUUUUCUCUUCAAAACCAAAUAUAUACAGUUGGAGUUGAGGUCGGAGGAGCUCCAGGGGGCCCACGAGGUAGGGGCGCGCCCUAGGGGGGCAGGCGCACCCCCACCCUCGUGGACAGGUGGUGGGCCCCCGGAUCUUCAUCUUUUGCAAGGAUUUUUUUUAUUAUUUUUAAAUAGAUGUUCCGUGAAGUUUCAGGUCAUUCCAAGAACUUUUGUUUCUGCACUAAAUAGCACCAUGGCAAUUCUGCUGAAAACAGCGUCAGUCCAGGUUAGUUCCAUUCAAAUCAUGCAAGUUAGAGUCCAAAACAAGGGCAAAAGUGUUUGGAAAAGUAGAUACGAUGGAGACAUAUCAUCCCCUGGACCUCGGCCAGCCCCAGCCACUCCAGGUCGGGUCUCACUGGCCGGCCGGCAUGCUAUGGUCACGCUGUCACCACCUCAGGCGUCGUCGCUACCUCAGGCAUCGUCUUCGGCAACUCCUUAGGCGCCCUCUACUUCACCUCCUCGGGCGGUGUCUUCGUCGACUCCUCGAGCGCCCUCUACUUCACCUCCUCGGGCGCCCCCAAUGUCGUCACCGUCUGCUGCCAUGCCCGUGGCUCCCUCACCAACAUCGCCACGUUUGGCUGCCACGGCCGCUAGUUCGGUAGACCCUGCAGCCAAUUCGGCUACCACGACAGCUGUUUCACCUGGUGUUUUGGCUGCCAUGACUGGCGUUUCUUCGCCUACUUCAGCUGCCACGGCGGCGCCGGUUGUUGAUGCGACCACCUUUGACAACGACCUCAGCGCCUCGACAUCCUCAUCAGCGCCCGCACCACAUGUUACUCAUGGUGCUCCAUGGUUGCGACCCUCUGCCGUGUCUAUGCACACCAUGGCCACUCGUGCUCGACGGGGCAUUGUUCAGCCCUCGCGACGCUAUGAUGACUAUGAGCAGGCCCAUGUGGCCUCUGUUGCAUUGUCAACCACUGUCUGUGUCAGUUUGCGUGGCUCUUCGAGAUCCUUCCUAGGGUGCCACGAUGAAGGAGGAAUUCGAUGCUCUACAGGCCAACCGCACUUGGACCCUUGUACCUCGCCCUUGUAGUACCAACAUCGUCACCGGCAAGUGGGUUUUCCGUCAUAAGCUCAAACCCGAUGGUUCUCUUGAUCGCUACAAGGCCCGUUGGGUUGUCCGUGGAUUCACUCAACGCGCCGGUGUUGACUUUGGAGAGACAUUUAGCCCUGUGGUGAAGCCUGCUACCGUCCGCACUGUACUCCAUCUUGCCGCCUCUCGUCAUUGGCCAGUCCAUCAGUUAGAUGUCUCCAAUGCUUUUCUUCAUGGUGAGCUACAGGAACGAGUUUAUUGUGGUCAGCCUACAGGUUCUGUGAUGAGGACAUCAAUACCAUAGUUACACCCGCAGCCCCUACUGUUAUACAUACUGGACCAAUUACUAGAGCUCGCGCACGCCAAUUGAAUUAUCAGGUACUUUCGUUUCUUGGUAACGAUUCUAAUGUUCAUGAGAAUAUGAUGCUACCUAAAUUGGAGGCAUUUGCUUUGCUUACAAAUGAAGGGUCUAGCUUGGACAAGAAAGAUGAUCCUUGGAGCAAGUUCAAGCAUGGAGAUGAUGGCAUGCGCAAGGGGAACAAGAACGGAGUUACAAGUGAUGAUUCCAGGACUUUGAAGCCACCAUAAUGAGUGCAUGAAGCGUUGGACAAAAUAUACAAGAUGCCACUUCAUAAAUUUCGUCCAGAGGCUAUUAUAGGUGUUGUGUCACCUUAUUUUUGGGCCAGGCCCAUGUAAUUUUGAAAUACUUGAGUAUAGGCAGUUUUUAGAGUCCAUAUGUGUGCAGAAACAAGACUUAGGGUUGGUUUCGGACCCCUCCUCCAAGGGCCACGAAAUUCCCCCCUCUCUUCUCCAUAUAUACAGCCCUUAGGGCAUCGUUAGACUUUGGGUUUUAUUUAGAUUAAAAGUUUGCCAUAGCUACAACUUCGCGUACUUCGUUUGUGUCCAACGACCAGACCAAGACGUCACAGAACCCCACCUUCAUUAAUAAAACUUUCCACUUUUAUUCGCAAUAUCCAGAUUGCAAUCUCAGUUUCUUGCUUGUUCUUCGUUUGCUCGCAGGAAAUAGACCCUCGUGGUCAGGUUGAUCGUGCUCCGGCAUGGUCAAUAACCCUCGGAAGUUGUUUUAGCGAUUGCUAAGGCGCGACAUCUUCGCACGUUCGUAGUCGGAUCGUCAAAGUCGACUCCCACAGAAAACGAUAUCUAUCUCAUCAAAACAUUGGGACACCUUCGCCUCUAUCAAGUGGUAUCAGAUUUCCAGGUUGCUCGGUGAGAUUUUACAGUUUUUCGUAGUUUAGAUCGAGUCUGUUCUUCAUACCUACAUUCCACGAAAAAUCCAAAAAAAUUAGGGUUAGUUCAUCAUAUCCGAACCAAUCUAAGCCUUUGCAUAAUCUUUUUAGGGUUUUGCAUUGUUGAAUUUGCGGUUGCAUUGUCGUGUCUGGUUGCUGGUCUUAGUGUCUAGUCCUUUAGAGUUUCGAGUUCUGUUCACAAGUAGUCACGCCGCCGCCGCAUCAUCAUCAUCACCGCUGCCAUAUACCACCAUCGUCAUCACCGUUGCCAUAUACCACCAUCAUCAUCACUGCUGCCAUAUACCACCAUCGUCAUCACUGCUGCCAUACACCACAUAUCCACCACCAUCACGAUAAUCCGAGUCCACCUCCAUCAUCGAUUCGCCACCAGUCCGAGUUCCACCGCCCUACAUAUAUCCACCACCAGUUCGAGUUUCCACCAGAUUCAUCUCUGCCACCAGUCCUAGUCCGAGUCCAGUAUUUCUUGCUUUGUUUUCGAGUUCCAGAUCACGCGAUACUCCGAGUCGUGACAUAGUAGGACUCCCGUACUUUUGUGCUACCCGCAGUAGUUCCAAACUCAAAAAAACUAAGUCUGGAAAAUUCUAGCUAGGCAGUUUUUAGACCAUUUGUAGACUUCUUCAAAAAAAAUUGUUGCGGAGCAAAAAAAAGAGGGAAAAAGUGCAAAAAAAAGUGAAAAAAAUCAGAGCGUGCUCCUCCCUUGUUUACAUGCAGUGUCGUGAUUUUGUUAGUGGUCUAGGCUUGCGUCUCUAGCAUGGUCUAGCCUAGGACCAGCACAGUACCGUCGUUGAGCGUUUAUUCAACUUUGCAUCUCUGAAUUGAUUAUUGCUGACCCUUUUUGCUACCAUAUUAUAAGCCUUCCAAGCUCCACAUACAUCUACGUCGUGUGUUUGACUCUCCCUGGUAAUCGCUCUAUCCAAGCUCUGAGAGUUUUGACUACGACGGUUGCCGAUCACCACCUGCUGCUGGGUAAGAACUGGUAAGAAUUUGAGAUUUGCUUGACGGAUUUGUGACACCCACCACCACCUCUUGUUAGUAGUCUGUAGGAUCAUAUUCUUGUGUGUUUCUAUUGCUGCUAACCAUGGCAGAAUCACAAGUCGACGAGACUGACUGGGAGAACAUGACGAAUAAGGAGUUGCAUGAUAAAUUUCAGCAAAUGAUGAGUGGGCAGGUGCAAGAUGUGCUAAACAGGUUUGAAGAGGCCAUGGAAAAGAUAGAUGGGAUGGAGAAGACGUUCGAAACAAAGCUCGAUAACAGGUUUAAUGAAUUGCCCGCGCGUCUUUCACCACCACAACCAGCUGCACCUCUACCACAACAACGACAAUGACAACGACUACCUCCAUGUCGCGAAACAGCCCUUCGCCGAGCGAGCCGUGUCCCUCUUGUGCCUGGCCAAACAGUUGGUGCUGCUAUUGAUACUUCUGUGGCUCCUGCUGCUGAUGCGGAGGAGGAUGAUUAUGUGGGAGAUUACGAGGAUGAGGUUGAUCAAAAUCAGAACUAUGUGCAACCACAAGCACCACAACCACCAGGUCAUCCACAUGCAAAUAAUGGCAAUGGUAGGGCUCUUCCUCAGGUACGAGAUCAUGACCAUCUCCCUAAAUUGAAAUUGAAUAUUCUACCAUUUGAGGGUAGAUAUGUUCCUGAUAUAUAUCUUACUUGGGAAUUAGAAACAGAACAACGAUUUACAUGUUUACAAUAUCCUGAGGAGAGACGUGUUCCUGCUGCUGUUUGUGUUUCACUAGCUUUACAUGUGUUUGGUGGUCUGAACAUUGUAGAUUAUAUCGUAUUCCAGCUACUUGGGCUGCUUUGAAAACUGCUAUGCGUACUCGUUGGGUUCCACCAUAUUAUCAACGUGAAUUACUUCAAAAAUUGUAGCGUUUAAGACAAGGAAAAAUUCUGUAGAAGAAUAUUAUCAGGAAUUACAGACUGGCAUGAUUAGAUGUGGUAUUGUUGAGGAGAAUGAAGCUAUGCUUGCACAUUUUAUGGGUGGAUUAAAUAUAGAGAUUCAGACCAUUCUAGAGUAUAAGGAGUAUACUAAUAUCACCCAUUUAUUCCAUCUUGCUUGUAAAGCUGAACGUGAAGUGCAGGAUCGACAGGCAUUGGCGCGAACUAAAUGUUCUGCAGGUCGAUCUUCAUCAUGGACACCACGUGCAUCCUCUACUUCCAUUGCACCAGCAUCUCCAUCGGGUUCCACCUCCAGCCGUGAUACAAGAAAGCAGGCACAACCACCACUAUCUGCCAAGAGCACACCUGUCGGGCCUACGCAGAGCUCUUCUUCUUCCAUGGCAUCAACAUGGCACACAAGUGAUAUUAUUUGUCGUCGUUGUAAGGGAAGAGGACAUUUUGCAAGAGAAUGCAAAUCUCAGCGUGUGAUGAUUGCUACUGGGGAUGGUGGGUAUGAGUCCACUAGUGACUAUGAUGAGGAGACUUUAGCUCUUAUUACACAUGAAGAACACGGUGGAGAUGAUUCUGAUCAUGAGAUGCAAUACAUGGCUGCUGAAGAUGCUGACAUGUAUGAAUGUUUAGUUUCUCAACGUGUUUUGAGUGUGCAUGUUACACAAGCUGAGCAAAAUCAGAGGCAUAAUUUGUUCCAUACAAAGGGAGUUGUGAAGGAACGUUCUAUUCGCGUCAUCAUAGAUGGAGGGAGCUACAACAACUUGGCUAGCAUGGAGAUGGUGGAGAAACUAUCUCUCACCACACAACCACAUCCACAUCCUUACUACAUCCAAUGGUUCAACAACAGCGGCAAGGUUAAGGUAACACGUAUUGUUCGUGUGCAUUUUAGUAUCUCUACAUAUGCUGAUUAUGUUGACUGUGAUGUGGUACCCAUGCAAGCAUGUUCCUUAUUACUUGGUAGACCAUGGCAAUUUGAUAAAAAAUUCUAUACAUCAUGGUAGAAAUAAUCAGUAUACUCUUGUUCAUAAGGAUAGCCAUAUUAAUUUGCUUCCUAUGACUCCUGAAUCCAUUUUGAAAGAUGAUAUUAAUAGAGCUAAUAAAGCAAAAUAGGAGAAAAAUAAGAGUGAAAAUCAGAUGGUGGCAAAAGAAUUUGAGCGACAAAUGAAACCUAAUAAUAAACCAUCUAGUGUUGCUUCUGAAAUUAAAUUGAGAAGUGCAUGUUUACUUGCCACCAAAUCUGAUAUUGAUGAGUUAGAUUUCAGUAAAUCUCUUUGCUAUGCUUUUGUGUGCAAAGAGGCAUUAUUUUCAUUCGACGACGUGCCUUCCUCUUUGCCUCCUGCUGUCACUAACAUUUUGCAGGAGUUCGCUGACAUCUUUCCACAAGACGUGCCACCGGAAUUACCACCUAUUCGAGGGAUUGAGCAUCAAAAUGACUUAAUUCCCGGUGCAUCAUUACCCAACCGUGCGCCAUACCGUACCAAUCCAGAGGAGACGAAGGUGAUUAUGCGUCAAGUACAGGAGCUGCUCGACAAAGGUUAUAUACGCGAAUCCCUUAGUCCUUGUGUUAUUCCUAUCAUUUUAGUGCCGAAAAAGGAUGGUACGUCGUGUAUGUGUGUUGAUUGUAGAGGCAUUAAUAAUAUUACUAUUCGUUAUCGUCAUCCUAUUCCUAGGCUAGACGACAUGCUUGAUGAAUUGAGUGGCUCUACAAUAUUCUCCAAAGUUGAUUUGCGUAGUGGAUACCAUCAAAUUCGUAUGAAACUGGGAGAUGAAUGGAAAACAACAUUUAAAACUAAGUUUGGAUUAUAUGAGUGGUUAGUCAUGCCUUUUGGGUUAACUAAUGCACCUAGUACUUUCAUGAGGUUAAUGAACGAAGUUUUACGUGCUUUCAUUGGACGAUUUGUGGUAGUCUAUUUUGAUGAUAUACUGAUUUAUAGCAAAUCUUUGGAGGAACAUUUGGAACAUUUACGUGUUGUUUUUAUUGCUCUACAUGAUGCACGUUUGUUUGGUAACCUUGGGAAGUGCACCUUCUGCACCAACCGAGUAUCUUUUCUUGGCUAUGUUGUUACUCCAUAGGGAAUUGAAGUUGAUAAAGCCAAGAUUAAAGCUAUUGAGAGUUGGCCGCAGCCUAAAACGGUCACACAACUGAGGAGUUUUCUUGGCCUUGCUAGAUUCUAUAGGCAUUUUGUGAGAGAUUUCAACACCAUUGCUGCACCUCUCAAUGAUCUUACAAAGAAGGAUGUGCCUUUUGUUUGGAGUACCCCACAGGAAGAAGCCUUCACGGUAUUGAAAGAUAAGUUGACACAUGCUUCCUUACUCCAACUUCCUGAUUUUAAUAAGACUUUUGAGCUUGAAUGUGAUGCUGGUGGAAUUGGAUUAGGAGGUGUGUUAUUACAAGAUGGCAAACCGGUUGCAUACUUUUCUGAAAAAUUGAGUGGGCCUAGUCUGAAUUAUUCUACUUAUGAUAAAGAAUUAUAUGCUCUUGUUCAGACUUUAGAGACAUGGCAACAUUAUUUAUGGCCCAAAGAAUUUUUUAUACAUUCUGAUCAUGAAUCUUUGAAACAUAUUAAAAUUCAAGCUAAACUGAAUCAUAGACAUGCUAAAUGGGUUGAAUUCAUUGAGACUUUCCCUUAUGUUAUUAAGCACAAGAAGGGUAAAGAAAAUGUUAUUGUUGAUCCAUUGUCUUGUCGCUAUACUAUGCUUUCACAACUUGACUUCAAAAUAUUUGGUUUGGAGACCAUCAAAGAUCAAUAUGUGCAUGAUGUUGAUUUUAAAGAUGUAAUGCAGAACUGUAAAGAAGGAAGAAUGUGGAACAAGUUCGUCGUUAAUGAUGGAUUUGUGUUCCGUGCUAACAAGCUAUGCAUUCCAGCUAGCUCCAUUCGUCUUUUAUUGUUGCAUGAGGCGCAUGGAGGAGGACUAAUGGGACACUUUGGCGUGAAGAAGACGGAGGACGUACUUGCUACACAUUUCUUUUGUCCAAAGAUGAGACGGGAUGUUGAGCGUUUUGUUGCUCGCUGCACUACAUGUCAAAAAGCUAAGUCAGGACUCAAUCCUCAUGGUUUAUAUAUGCCUUUGCAUGUACCUAGUGUUCCUUGGAGGGAUAUAUCUAUGGACUUUUCAUACAUCUCCAACAUAUCUAUAAUUUUUGAUUGUUCCAUGCUAUAUUAUAUUCUGUUUUGGACAUUAUUGGGCUUUAUUAUACACUUCUAUAUUAUUUUUGGGACUAACCUAUUAACCGGAGGCCCAACCCAGAAUUGCAGGUUUUUUGCCUAUUUUAGGGUUUCGCAGAAAAAGAAUAUCAAACGGAGUCCAAACGGAAUGAAACCUUCAGGAACGUGAUUUUCGGAACGAACAUGAUCCAGAGGACUUGGACCCUACAUCAAGACAUCAACCAGGAGGCCACGAGGUAGGGGCGCACUUACCCCCCCCCCUCUAGGCGCACCCUCCACCCUCGUGGGCCCCCUGUUGCUCCAUCGACGUACUCCUUCCUCCUAUAUAUACCUGCGUACCCCCAAACUACCAGAUACGGAGCCAAAACCCUAAUUCCACCGCCAUAACUUUCUGUAUCCAUGAGAUCCCAUCUUGGGGCCUGUUCCGGAGCUCCGCCGGAGGGGGCAUCGAUCACAGAGGGCUUCUACAUCAACACCAUAGCCCCUCUGAUGAAGUGUGAGUAGUUUACUUCAGACCUACGGGUCCAUACUUAUUAGCUAGAUGGCUUCUUCUCUCUUUUUGGAUCUCAAAACAAAGUUCUCCCCCUCUCUUGUGGAGAUCUAUUCGAUGUAAUCUUCUUUUGCGGUGUGUUUGUUGAGACCAAUGAAUUUUGGGUUUAUGAUCAAGUUUAUCUAUGAACAAUAUUUGAAUCUUCUCUGAAUUCUUUUAUGUAUGAUUGGUUAUCUUUGCUAGUCUCUUCGAAUUAUCAGUUUGGUUUGGCCUACUAGAUUGAUCUUUCUUGCAAUGAGAGAAGUGCUUAGCUUUGGGUUCAAUCUUGCGGUGUCCUUUCCCAGUGAAAGUAGGGGCAGCAAGGCACGUAUUGUAUUGUCCAUCGAGGAUAACAAGAUGGGGUUUUCAUCAUAUUGCAUGAGUUUAUCCCUCUACAUCAUGUCAUCUUGCUUAAAGUGUUACUCUGUUCUCUUGAACUUAAUACUCUAGAUGCAUGCUGGAUAGCGAUCGAUGUGUGGAGUAAUAGUAGUAGAUGCUGGCAGGAGUCGGUCUACUUGUCUCAGACGUGAUGCCUAUAUACAUGAUCAUACCUAGAUAUUCUCAUAACUAUGCUCAAUUCUGUCAAUUGCUCAACAGUAAUUUGUUUACCCAUCGUGAAUACUUAUGCUCUCGAGAGAAGCCUCGAGUGAAACCUAUGGCCCCCGGGUCUAUCUUCUAUCAUAUUAAUCUCCCAAUACUUAUUUAUUUCCUUUGCCUUUUAUUUUACUUUGCAUCUUUAUCAUAAAAAUACCAAAAAUAUUAUCUUGUCAUAUUUAUCAGAUCUCACUCUCGUAAGUGACCGUGUAGGGAUUGACAACCCCUUAUCACGUUGGUUGCGAGGAUUUAUUUGUUUGUGUAGGUGCGAGGGACUCGUGCGUGGCCUCCUACUGGAUUGAUACCUUGGUUCUCAAAAACCGAGGGAAAUACUUACGCUACUUUGCUGCAUCACCCUUUCCUCUUCAAGGGAAAACCAACGCAAGUGCUCAAGAGGUAGCAAGAAGGAUUUCUGGCGCCGUUGCCGGGGAGUCUACGCAAAAGUCAACAUACCAAGUACACAUCACAAACCCUUAUCUCCCGCAUUACAUUAUUUGCCAUUUGCCUCUCGUUUUCCUCUCCCCCACUUCACCCUUGCCAUUUUAUUCUCCCUCUUUUCCGUUCGCCCUUUUUCCGUUUGCUUUAAUCUCUUGCUUGGCUCAUUUGCUCGUUUGGUUGGAAUAGUUGUUUAUUUAUUACUAAACAGAGAACCUAAGAUCUAUGGAUCCUCAUCCGCUUGCUAAUCUUUUUAAGAGAUCCAAUUAUGAUGAACCAAUUGCUAGUGAGUUUUGUGCACUAGAUUAUCUUUAUGAAGUUUUGCUUGAAAUUCGUGAAUCUAAAAAUUGUGAUGAAGUACUUUAUGGAGUGAUUCACGAUAGAUCAUUGAAUAAAAAGCACGAUUGCAAUGAUUUUACUAUAAAUUCUCUUGAUGUCAAUUGUGCUAAUAAUAUGCAAAACCCUAAGCUUGGGGAUGCUAGUUUUGCUAUGUCUACUACUUGUUGUAGUGAUCAUAAUUGGGGUGAUUCUCCUUUUGAUCUUGAAAAUUUAUUUAAGCCCCAUGAUGAAUAUGAGAUUGAUAAUAGUGUUUGCAAUAUUAUUGAAAGUGGGUUUGGAAGGGUGUCAACUUUAGAUCCCACAUAUUUGGAGAAUGUUCAAUCUUAUGAAGUUUUUGAUAAAAGUGGGUUUGGAGAGGUCAUGACUUUAGUUAAUGUUAAUCCCACUAUUUUGGAAGAGUGUCAACUUUGCAUGCAUGUGGAUCGUGUUGAAAAUAUUUUAUGUGAUAGCUAUUUUGUUGAAUUUUCUUAUGAUCCUACAUGUAAUUAUUAUGAGAGAGGAAAAUAUGGUGGUAGAAAUUUUCAUGUUACUAAAUUACCUCUCGUUAUGAUUGCUAUUGUUUCUUUCCGCUUCCUUGCAUAUGCUAGUUUUUGCUUGCCUUGAUAAUUUGUUUGCCUAUAAGAUGCCUAUGCAUAGGAAGUAUGUUAGACUUAGAUGCAUUCAUCACGUGUUUUAUGAUGCUCUCUUUGUGCUUCAAUUCUUGUCUUUCAUGUGAGCAUCAUUGAAAUAUUAUGCCUAGCUAUAAGGCUUUAAAGAAAAGCACUUGUUGGGAGACAACCCAAUAUUUUUCCUUGAUGUUAUUCAAUAAAUAAUUUAUCUAGCCUCUGUUUUUGGUUGUGUUUUUUUGUUUAAUUAGUGUUUGUGCCAAGUAGAACCGUUGGGAAGACUUGGGGAAAGUCUUUUUAAUCUUGCUGUAAAAAACAUAAAAUUUAGCGCUCAUGAGAAUUGCUGCCAUUUUUAUUUGGAAAGUGCUAUUUAGUUAAUUCUUUUUGCACAUGAUUAAUAGAUAAAUUCUCACGCCCAGAAAUUUAUUUUAGAAUUUUUGGGGUUCCAGAUCUUGCGUUAGCUACAUAUUACUACAGACUGUUCUGUUUUUGACAGAUUCUGUUUUUCGUGUGUUGUUUGCUUAUUUUGAUGAAUCUAUGGCUAGUAAAAUAGUUUAUAAACCAUAGAGAAGUUGGAAUACAGUAGGUUUAACACCAAUAUAAAUAAAUAAUGAGUUCAUUGUAGUACCUUGACGUGGUGUUUUGUUUUCUUUCGCUAACGGAGCUCACGAGAUUUUAAGUUUUGUGUUGUGAAGUUUUCAAGUUUUGGGUGAAAGAUUUGAUGGAUUAUGGAACAAGGAGUGGAAAGAGCCUAAGCUUGGGGAUGCCCAUGGCACCCCAAGAUAAUCUAAGGACACCUAAAAUCCAAAGCUUGGGGAUGCCCCGGAAGGCAUCCCCUCUUUCGUCUACUUCCAUCAGUAACUUUACUUGGAGCUAUAUUUUUAUUCGCCACAUGAUAUGUGUUUUGCUUGGAGCGUCUUGUAUGAUUUGAGUCUUUGCUUUUUAGUUUACCACAAUCAUCCUUGAUGUACACAACUUUUGAUAGAAACACACAUGAUUCAGAAAUUAUUAGAAUACUCUAUGUGCUUCACUUAUAUCUUUUGAGUUAUAUAGUUUUGCUCUAGUACUUCACUUAUAUCUUUUAGAGCACGGUGGUGGUUUUUGUUUUAUAUAAACUAUUAUUCUCUCAUGCUUCACUUAGAUUAUUUUGAUAGUAUUAAAUAGCAUGGUAAUUUACUUAAAUAAUUCUAAUAUGCUAGGUAUUCAAGACUAGUAAAAACUUUCUUAUGAGUGUAUUGAGUACUAAGAGAAGUUUGAUGCUUGAUGAUUGUUUUGAGACAUGGAGGUAGUGAUAUCAAAGUUGUGCUAGUUGAGUAGUUGUGAAUUUGAAAAAUACUUGUGUUGAAGUUUGCAAGUCCUGUAGCAUGCACGUAUGGUAAACAUUGUGUAACAAAUUUGAAACAUGAGGUGUUCUUUGAGUGUCCUCCUUAUGAGGUACGGGCGGGGACGAGCGAUGGUCUUUUCCUACCAAUCUAUCCCUCUAGGAGCAUGCGCGUAGUGCUUGGUUUUUGAUGACUUGUAGAUUUUUGCAAUAAGUAUGUGAGUUCUUUAUGACUAAUGUUGAGUCCAUGGAUUAUACGCACUCUCACCCUUCCAUCAUUGCUAGCCUCUUCGGUACCGUGCAUUGCCCUUUCUCACAUUGAGAGUUGGUGCAAACUUCGCCGGUGCAUCCAACCCCCAUGAUAUGAUACGCUCUUUCACACAUAAACCUCCUUAUAUCUUCCUCAAAACAGCCACCAUACCUACCUAUUAUGGCAUUUCCAUAGCCAUUCCGAGAUAUAUUGCCAUGCAACUUUCCACCGUUCCGUUUAUCAUGACACGUUCAUUAUUGUCAUAUUGCUUUGCAUGAUCAUUUAGUUGACAUAGUAUUUGUGGCAAAGCCACCAUUCAUAAUCCUUUCAUACAUGUCACUCUUGGUUCAUUACAUAUCCCGGUACACCGCCGGAGGCAUUCAUAUAGAGUCAUACUUUGUUCUAGUAUCGAGUUUUAAUCAUUGAGUUGUAAAUUAAUAGAAGUGUGAUGAUCAUCAUUUUCUAGAGCAUUGUCCCAAGUGAGGAAAAAAGGGAGAAAGGCCAUAAAAAAGAGAAGGCCCAAAAAAUGAGAGAAAAAGAGAGAAGGGACAAUGUUACUAUCCUUUUUACCACACUUGUGCUUCAAAGUAGCACCAUAAUCUUCAUGAUAGAGAGUCUUUUGUUUUGUCACUUUCAUAUACUAGUGGGAACUUUUCAUUAUAGAACUUGGCAUGUAUAUUCCAACAAUGGGCUUCCUCAAAUGCCCUAGGUCUUCGUGAGCAAGCAAGUUGGAUGCACACCCACUUAGUUUCUUUUUGUUGAGCUUUCAUAUAUUUAUAGCUCUAGUGCACCCGUUGCAUGGCAAUCCCUACUCCUUGCAUUAACAUCAAUUGAUGGGCAUCUCCAUAGCUCAUUGAUUAGCCUCGUUGAUGUGAGACUUUCUCAUUUUUGUCUUCUCCACAUAACCCCCAUCAUUAUUCUAUUCCACCCAUAGUGCUAUAUCCAUGGCUCACGCUCAUAUAUUGCGUGAAGGUUGAAAAAGUUUGAGAUUACUAAAGUAUGAAACAAUUGCUUGGCUUGUCAUCGGGGUUGUGCAUGAUGAGAGCAUUCUUGUGUGACGGAAAUGAAGCAUGACUAAACUAUAUGAUUUUGUAGGGAUGAACUUUCUUUGGCCAUGUUAUUUUGAGAGGACAUAAUUGCUUAGUUAGUAUGCUUGAAGUAUUGUUUUUUUAUGUCAAUAUUGAACUUUUAUCUUGAAUCUUUCAGAUCUGCAUAUUCAUACCACAAUUAAGAAGAAUUACAUUAAAAUUAUACCAAGUAGCAUUCCACAUCAAAAAAAUUGUUUUAUCAUUUACCUACUCGAGAACGAGCAGGAAUUAAGCUUGGGGAUGCUAUAUUAUAUUCUGUUUUGGACAUUAUUGGGCUUUAUUAUACACUUUUAUAUUAUUUUUGGGACUAACCUAUUAACCGGAGGCCCAACCCAUAAUUGUUGUUUUUUGCCUAUUUUAGGGUUUCGCAGAAAAAGAAUAUCAAACGGAGUCCAAACGGAAUGAAACCUUCGGGAACAUGAUUUUUGGAACGAAAAUGAUCCAGGGGACUUGGACCCUACGUCAAGACAUCAACCAAGAGGCCAUGAGGUAGGGGGAGCGCCUACCCCCCCCCCCAGGCGCGCCCUCCACCCUCGUGGGCCCCCUGUUGCUCCAUCGACGUACUCCUUCCUCCUAUAUAUACCUACGUACCCCCAAACUACCACAUACGGAGCCAAAACCCUAAUUCCACCGUCGUAACUUUCUGUAUCCACGAGAUCCCAUCUUGGGGCCUGUUUCGGAGCUCCACCGGAGGGGGCAUCGAUCACGGAGGGCUUCUACAUCAACACCAUAGCCCCUCCGAUGAAGUAUGAGUAGUUUACUUUAGACCUACGGGUCCAUAGUUAUUAGCUAGAUGGCUUCUUCUCUCUUUUUGGAUCUCAAAACAAAGUUCUCCCCCUCUCUUGUGGAGAUCUAUUCGAUGUAAUCUUCUUUUGCGGUGUGUUUGUUGAGACCAAUGAAUUUUGGGUUUAUGAUCAAGUUUAUCUAUGAACAAUAUUUGAAUCUUCUCUGAAUUCUUUUAUGUAUGAUUGGUUAUCUUUGCAAGUCUCUUCGAAUUAUCAGUUUGGUUUGGCAUACUAGAUUGAUCUUUCUUGCAAUUGGAGAAGUGCUUAGCUUUGGGUUCAAUCUUGCGGUGUCCUUUCCCAGUGACAGUAGGGGCAGCAAGGCACGUAUUGUAUUGUUGCCAUCGAGGAUAACAAGAUGGGGUUUUCAUCAUAUUGCAUGAGUUUAUCCCUCUACAUCAUGUCAUCUUGCUUAAAGCGUUACUCUAUUCUCUUGAACUUAAUACUCUAGAUGCAUGCUGGAUAGCGGUUGAUGUGUGGAGUAAUAGUAGUAGAUGCAGGCAGGAGUCGGUCUACUUGUCUCGGACGUGAUUCCUAUAUACAUGAUCAUACCUAGAUAUUCUCAUAACUAUGCUCAAUUCUGUCAAUUGCUCAACAGUAAUUUGUUUACCCACCGUGAAUACUUAUGCUCUCGAGAGAAGCAACUAGUGAAACCUAUGGCCCCCAAGUCUAUCUUCUAUCAUAUUAAUCUUCCAAUACUUAUUUAUUUCAUUUGCCUUCUAUUUUAAUUUGCAUCUUUAUCAUAAAAAUACCAAAAAUAUUAUCGUAUCAUAUCUAUCAGAUCUCACUCUCGUAAGUGACCGUGUAGAGAUUGACAACCCCUUAUCGCGUUGGUUGCGAGGAUUUAUUUGUUUGUGUAGGUGUGAGGGACUCGUGCGUGGUCUCCUACUGAAUUGAUACCUUGGUUCUCAAAAACUGAGGGAAAUACUUACGCUACUCUGCUGCAUCACCCUUUCCUCUUUAAGGGAAAACCAACGCAAGUGCUCAAGAGGUAGCAACUUUGGUUUAGGUUUACCUCGAACAAAGAAGGGGAGGGAUAGCAUAUUUGUUGUCAUGGAUAGGUUCUCGAAAAUGGCACACUUUAUACCAUGUCUUAAAAGCGAUGAUGCUGUUAAUGUUGCUGAUUUGUUCUUUCAUGAAAUUAUUCACUUGCAUGGUGUGCCAAAUACUAUUAUUUCAGAUCAUGACACUAAAUUUCUUAGCCACUUUUGGAGAUGUUUAUGGGCUAAGUUGGGGACUAAACUGCUUUUUAGUACUACUUGUCACCCCCAAACUGAUGGACAAACUGAAGUAGUCAAUAGAACAUUGUCUACUAUGCUUAGGGCUGUUUUGAAGAAUAAUAAGAAAAUGUGGGAAGAAUGCUUGCCUCAUAUUGAAUUUGCUUAUAAUCGUUCAUUGCAUUCUACAACUAAGAUGUGCCCUUUUGAAAUUGUGUAUGGUCUCCUACCUCAUGCACCUAUUGAUUUGUUGGCUCUUCCAUCUUCGGAGAAGGUUAAUUUUGAUGCUAAAGAAUGUGCUGAAUUGAUUUUAAAAAUGCAUGAGUUAACUAAGGAAAACAUUGAGCAUAUGAAUGCUAAAUAUAAACUUGCUGGAGAUAAGUGUAGAAAACAUGUUGUGUUUGGACCUGGAGAUCUUGUUUGGUUACUGUCGGUGUCAAAACCGACGGAUCUCGGGUAGGGGGUCCCGAACUGUGCAUCUAGGCCGGAUGGUAACAGGAGGCAAGGGACACGAUGUUUUACCCAGGUUCGGGCCCUCUUGACGGAGGUAAACCCUACGUCCUGCUUGAUUAAUAUUGAUGAUAUGGGUGUUACAAGAGUAGAUCUACCACGAGAUCAGAGAGGCUAAAUCCUAGAAGCUAGCCUAUGGUAUGAUUGUAUGUUGUGAUUGUUGUCCUACGGACUAAAACCCUUCGGUUUAUAUAGACACCGGAGAGGGUUAGGGUUACACAAGGUCGGUUACAAAGAAGGAGAUAUCCAUAUACGUAUUGCCUAGCUUGCCUUCCAUGCCAAGUAGAGUCCCAUCCGGACACGAGACGAAGUCUUCAAUCUUGUAUCUUCAUAGUCUAACAGUCCGGCCAAUGGAGAUAGUCCGGCUGUCCGGAGACCCCCUAAUCCAGGACUCCCUCAGUAGCCCCUGAACCAGGCUUCAAUGACGAUGAGUCCGGCGCGCAGUUGUCUUCGGCAUUGCAAGGCGGGUUCCUUCUCCGAAUACAUCACAGAAGAAUUUGAAUACGGGGAUAGUGUUUGACCCUGCAAAAUAAGUUCCACAUUCCACCAUAGAGAGAAUAAUAUUUUCGCAGAUCUAAUUCGCUAGCUUGUUUUGGCAACAUGACGUUACGUCAUGGCCCGAUGAUUAUUCGAACCAUUUCUUUCAACCAGCCCCGCACAUAAUGCGAGGCCGUUUUUCGACACGUCUUGUCAAAGCAGAGAUCGUGUCCCCUUAUUACGGGAUUCUCAUCAAUACGGGUGUGGGUAACCCAACCGCUCCAUCAAUUACGGCGCUUGGGGGAUAAGCGAGUUUUACUAGGCAAGUAGGGACGCUUAGUUUUGUCCGCCCAUAUAAAGGGAUAAGGAUUCACCUUUCUAUCCACGCCUUCUUCCUCCUCUGCUCAUCCGCUCCCGCACACUCGAGCUCUAGCGCCCAAGUCCUCACUUCCAUCUCAACCUUCUCCAACCAUGUCUGGAGCGGGAGGCAAGUGGAUGGUCUCCUCCGUCACGGAGGGAGACGUCAAGAAACUGAGGAGAGCUGGAUACCUGCCCGACGACAUCGAGCACCGGCUCCCAGAUGAGGGGUAACUCAUUCCCACCCCCAGGCCCCAUGAGAGGGUUGUAUUCCUCACCCAUUUCCUUCGCGGACUGGGAUUCCCUCUCCAUCCCUUCAUCUGGGGGCUCAUGUUUUAUUACGGCCUGGAUUUCCACGAUCUGGCCUUGAACUUCAUCCUCAACAUCUCGGUGUUUAUCGUCAUGUGCGAGGCCUUCCUCCGCAUCAAGCCCCACUUCGGCUUAUGGCUGAAGACCUUCAAUGUUAAGCCGAAGGUAGUGAGGGGCCGCCAGGCAGAGUGCGGAGGCGCCAUGGUGGGCAAGAUGCCCAACAUAACAUGGCUCGAGGGCUCCUUCGUGCAUACCAUAAAGGGGUGGCAAUCGGGGUGGUUCUAUAUCACCGAGCCGCGCGACCCCGCAUGGGUAGCGGCCCCCGAGUUCCGAUCUGGCAUCCCCAUGCGGCUCACCUCCUGGAAAGAGAAGGGCCCGUCCUGGGGUAAUUCAAAAGAGCUGACCAAACUCCAGACAUGUAUUUAAAACAUGGUGGACAAGAAGCUCAACCUCGUCAACAUAGUCCAGGUCAUGCUCAUCCGCCGGAUACACCCGUGCCAACAAUGGGAGUUCACCUUGUGGGAGUUCAACCCGGCGCAGCACCGAACUCUGAACAGGCUCUUCGACAUGACUCAUGAAGAUGCCUGGAGGGUGCUGUUCAAGAGCGCCGCGGUCCCUCCCCCCAUUACUGAGGAUCGCAGAUUCAGCGCGAAGCGCCAAGGCAGUGUGGUAAGUUGUUUUACCUUUCACUGGAUACUUGUUUUCUAUAUAGAUUGACUCUAUGCGGGAUGUAAACUCCCGUGCCUCUGACAGGACUAGCAGAAGAUGGACAGACAGACCGACUGUCCGGCUCCUUUUCCCGAAGGCCCCGCAGACGCCCUUCUGGCGAAGAUGUUGACUCCGGCCCCUUAUAAGGUGCCGGAGAAGACCAAGAAGGCCAAGGGAGCUCGAAAGAGUUCCCGACACCAGGCGUCAUCGGACUCACCGUCCGAUGACUCUGCGGCGCACUCUUCCCCUGAAAACAAGGAAGAGGAAGAAGAAGCUCCCCCACCAACUGAGGGAGACAAGAAAAGGAAGGCCGCCCCAACUGGGGAGGCCUGGGGGUCCAAGAAGGGAAGGACUCCCCUUCCGGACAGCUCCACCGCCGCCAACGAAAGCAAAGACGAUUGGUUGCCCAGGGCCAAGCCCCCGGGGAGAUCGUAAGUAUUCUGAUACCAAAGUUACCCAUAGGAUUCCUUUGUCGCACUUACUUUUCCUAACGCCGAACACAAUUGUGCAGGCCGCCCCGGGCCGAUAUCGAGGUAUCAUCGAACGGCUACCUGGGCUCGUCGGACAUGGAUAGCGAUCCAGUCCCGACUGCCACCUCCCCUCAUCCUGCCGACGAUGCCGAAGUGUUGUCUCAAGAGGCACUGGAUCGAGGGGGGACCGUCCCGGAGGCGCCUCAAGGUGACUGACGGUGUCCUGGACUAGGGGGUACUCACCACAUCGUCUCCCAAUCUAUUAGAUUGGGCCGAGGACCCCCGUGGCUGUAUACUCAUGGGCCAGUUCGGACGGCUACCGCAUACAAGGAAGAUUCCACAAGACUUGGCGAUCAAGACAAGGACUUCUCCCCACCGGCGUAUUCGGCUAGGACUCUUGUUAUCCUAGGCCUCCGGUGCAUUAUAUAAACCGAGGCCAGGCUAGUCGAUAGAUAUACAAUACACAACAUACAAUCAUACCAUAGGCUAGCUUCUAGGGUUUAGCCUCUCUGAUCUCGUGGUAGAUCUACUCUUGUACUACCCAUAUCAUCAAUAUCAAUCAAGCAAGACGUAGGGUUUUACCUCCAUCAAGAGGGCUCGAACCUGGGUAAAACAUCGUGUCCCCUGCCUCCUGUUACCAUCCAGCCUAGACGCACAGUUCGGGACCCCCUACCCGAGAUCCACCGGUUUUGACACCGACAUUGGUACUUUCAUUGAGAGUUCCGCUAUGUGAUCGACAAAAGGAUCGAUGGCUCGCCUGCAGAUCAACUGCGACUUCGGCAUCUUCGUCACCAGCUCGACUGGUCACCUUGGUUCAACCAAGAAUUGCGCCCCGUGUUCGGAUCACCAUGUCCGGACGAGGGCCUUCAUCAAACAUCAACUCCGAUCUCUAUCAAGAUCACGGAGGAAUCAUCUAUGGAGCUCGGGGGCUCAACGUCAACAUUGCCCUCGAGCGACCAUGCUGUUUUUCUGGACAGUGAACUCGUAUCUGCCAUCACCACCUCCUCGAGUAUCGCUUUCACUAUCGCUUUGGUGAAAUUGUGCAGAAUUGAGUCUACAACAACCCUCGAAAAUUUCGUCGAGUUCCAAUGGAGGAAUCUCUGGCAAUCCACGAUAUACCGGAGCCCUGUCAAAUCUGGAUGGGAAUUUGGAUGAGUUUAGGGCGUGGUGUCCAGCUUCUAGCUCGGACGUCCGUUGGAAGAUCCAACCGUUGAUCGGCUGCAGAAUUCCUAUAUCUACCACCUCUCAAAAUUUCGGCUCGAUCCGACCGUCCAAACUCCGGGAACCUUCCGAUUAGUGCAUCACUUUUCGGAUCUGUUUUCUGCGUGAAAACGAAUCCGACCCGAGUUCAUCUUUUUUAUGAACAGGAUUUCGGACAUCCCUUUUGAAGGAAGUUUUGUAUGGGGUAUUGUGUUUUGUUCCCGAACACAUUCCACUAACUGUAAGAUCUUUUGAACAUGAUCGUCAACAUCAUGCUAAUGUCAAACCAGUCCGGCAAUAUUACUCCACGGCUGCCGACCUGCGCUAGACACGGCGUCACUUUGUUGAGCCGAGCUCAACUUCUUCGGAUCAUCAUCUCGGCAAGCCGAACAAGAGCCCCGCGUCGCGAAGGAUAAAUCAUCACCAACAUCGCCGCCCCACGGAUUACACGGAGCGGGCAUACCGGCAUCACCGCACGGUCGCUUUAUCAAGCCGGCAUCGACCACGUCACGACCUGCAUCAACGGGGCCGCAUUAUUGCUUCUUCAAGCUGGUGUCCAUCACACGGACCUACUUCGACUCAUCGGCUGACAUUGAGGCUUCGACAUCUCGGCUGGACCGGGGGCUUCGCCAUCUCUUCAUCAACCUACUUCGGACACUUCGGCGUCACUAGCCGACCAGCUCCGUCACGUUAGCUGGGCCGAGGGCUUUGCCUCGGCGAGUCAACCUUUACCAGCAUUGCCAUGCCAUCGUUUUAUCGCCCAUCAGGCAAUGGGUGUGCGGAGCGGGUCCCAAUUUUAGGAAUCACCUUCCUUCGGAUUGCUACAACAAAUAAACCAUGUGCUAUUAAUCCCAGUAUUUUUUGCUUGUUUGGGUUCAUUUUUCCCAAGGAAUUAUUACUCUGGUUUGUCUGUCAUAUGUACACAGGUCUAUCAAAUGGUGGCCACAUUAACGACAGUCGCAUGGUGGUUCGGUCAGUUUCCGUACAUAGUCCGGCGAACGCCGCACUCGGAGCAUGGACCGACCUGCGAAUUCAGGCUUUGCCACGCCUUUACCGCAUCACGCCGACGCCCUGCAUCGACAUUGACUUCGGCGCCAGGCCAUAUUUCUUUUAUUACUCACUUUGCAUAAAUUAUUUAUUAUGCAACGAUUUUUUUAAUUAUCAUUACUACUAUUAUCUCCGGUUUGCACUAUUUUUUGUGCACAGGAAAAUGAUUCGGGGACUUCGGCGUCACUCUGCCGGUCUGCAUUGAUCAUGCUAUGUCACCACUUCGGCGUGUCAAGCUCUCCGCUCCGCCACCUCGGGACCAGCUUGAGGGAUGGAACCUUGCCCCGCAUCAAGCUCGGACCGCGUCAUCAAUACCGAACACAUUAACCAGCUAAGUCGCUUUCAUGCUCAAAGCUUUAAUUUCUAACUUGCAUUUGGUUCGACCAAGCAUUAUAUUUUUUUGGAAAAAAGUUUCUUCUAAAAAAUUUCCUUGUCCAAACUUUGUUUGUGACGCAUAAAUUCAAAUACCCCGUUUACUUGGGGGCUUCCUUUAUGAAGCUUUUCCUGUUGCAUAUGAUUAUACUUGUACGGCUUCGUUCCUUGUUCAUGUAUUACGCCACAGUAUGCACCAUAUGGACUUAAGCGAUUUGCAAGCUGGGUUGCCUCGCUCCUGUGUUUACCCCUACGUUCCCGAUUGUUCGGCUAGGGAGUAAAGGGAGCACCUCUGCGAUUGUCACGAUCGGGUCACCCGAGCCGGACCUCAGACUGGGUGAAGCAGAAAGCUAGCGCUCUUAUAGUUAUUCAAUGAUGGUCGGCACACAAUGGAACUCAUGAGUUCAAAAAAUCUAUUGCACAAGUCUCAUAAUAACAAUGAGCACCGAAGAAAGGUAUCAGUGGGGGUACUAUUUUCUUCGAAGAUGCUUCUUACUCUUCGCAGUAAUAUAGCAUAAGUUCCCUAAGCGCGCUUUGUCUGUUACAGCCUUAUGGCCUGAUUGUCUGGUUAUUGGAAACACCGUCGAUAUUCUCGACCGAUGGAGUACAUAACACUUUUCGGUCCUUAACCGAAGAGGGAGAAGCCGACGGUCGGUUAAGACGUGUUUAAAGUUCGGUUGAACAUAGAUAUGAUAUAAGUACUUUGGUACAUGCAAUCAUUCUUCUACCCAAGUCACUUGGGGGCUCUUAAGUUUAUUUGAGCCGUUUUAUAAUAAGUGUUCUUCUUCUCAGUUGUUGCAAAGUUCUAUUAUUAUUAUUAUUAUUAUUUAUCACUCCUUUUUUCGACGCGAGUGUGCGGUCACUAGCCGGGGAGCCUAAUUUCUCUCUCAAAGCCACUAGAGUUUAGUUUGCUAAACUGUCCUAAUGAGAAGUACUCCGCCCUCGGGAUAGGAGGUUGAAGCCGUGGGCUGACCCGCUAGAAGUCUUGAGAUAGGAUGUGUCAUCUUAAAGGACGACAGAAGCACUUCUUUUUUCUAAGACCAAUUUUUGGAUUGGCACCGAACACUUGAUCUUGUUCGGACGUCAUGUUUUUACUGAUGUUUCUUGGUUUUUCAAGCUUUUUGGCACUUUUAAACUAUUUGUGCCUUUCCAGCAUUAGUCUCGCAGUGCAACGCCGGACACCUUUAGGGAUUCGGAAAAAACACUCUCAGAUAUUGCUAUAUAUGCAUCGGUUUCGAAUUGUGUCUUCGGUCAAUAGUUGGGUUGCCCGGCUCCUGCACUUGCUUCCUACAUUCCAUUUUGUUCGGCUAGGCGUGCAAAGGGAGAACCACUGCGAUUGUGCUUCCAGCUCACAUGGUUAAGCACCUUAGUGGAGAAAGCCGAAAACUGACUGUCACAAUAAGCGUAAACUGGUCAGCGAUCUGAUGACUAUGACGGGCCAUUCAUAACAUUGGCCGAAGUGUUUACGGCUUGACCUCGACUGUCGCCGAACACUAUCGGGGGCUAUUAACUGGCCUCCCAAACUAAAUCCUCGAUAUUUUGCUCUUACAUUCGAGUUGAGGUUUCAUGAUCAUGCUUAGCAUGACAACCCAAAGAAAGGAACCGAUAGCGGGACUAUUUUCUUUGGAAUACAUUUCUUCUGUUAAACAGUAAUAUAACAUAUCUCUCUGCGUACCUUUGUUUAUAAAACCGUGUGGCCAGAUUGCCUUGUUUGUCGUAAAUCUUUGCCCUCAUAAAGGCUUUAUAAAGUAGGACAAACACUCCUCGGCUACUGGUCAAGGAGGUGGAAGCCGAUGGUCGGUCAACAAAGUUUUGUACAAUGCGGAUCUGAGAAUUAAUGACAAAAAGUACUUGGAUACAUAGAGUCAUUACACAUAAUUUGUGAUUUUACUAUGGAUAUUGAUCCUUAAUUCGGCCACCCGUGCCCGCAUUAAGGCUCGGGGGCUAAUGGGCUUCGGGCUUAUUAUUUACAAAUAUUAAAGGGGCACAUCGAUCCCCUGAUCUGGUGUUGCCACCCAACCAGUGUCUCGGGGGCUACUGCAUUGCUUGUCCAAUGCAGAAAAUUUUAUGUGCAAUAUAGUUUCCGAGGAGAUUUUGAUCCUCAAGUUGGUCGGCCGCACCCAACCUAAGUCUUGAGGACUAAGCACGCCGCUUUUGUGUCCCGAAGUAUUCUGCCGAGCUAGGACUUGAUCCUCAGGCCGAUUUUGCAAAUCAACCUAAGUCUCAGCGGCUACUGGGAUCAGCGGUCUUAUGUCAUCCUUCAUGUGCAUCUUGGGUUUUAGAUCGAUACACACCUUGAGGGCUACUGGCUAUAUAUCUCGGCAGAGAAUAAAUUGCACCAAUAAAAAAUAUUGACAAAAAAUCAGCCCAUAGUCGGGGUGGUGCACCACCUCGGAAGCAGUCCGGCAUAAAGCUCGGGCGCUAGUGGCUGGCUCCAUAGAGGGCAUUUCCGGCAUUAAGCUCGGCUAAACUCCUUCAACUUUUUUGAACCAAGGUGAUAUGACACCUCGGAUAUAGUCCGGCAUUGGAGCCUGGACAUAGUCUGGUGUUGGAGCUCGGAUAUAUUUCGGCGUUGGAGCUCGGAUAUACAGUCCGGCAUUGGAGCUCGGAUACAUAGUCCGGCAUUAGAGCUUGGAUACAUUCCGGCGCUAGAGCUGGGAAGCGGUCCGGCGUUGGUGCUCGGCUGCAAAAGAUACCUCGAAUGCAGUCCGGCGUUGGAGCUCGGACGCAAGAGGACCCUGCCUCCCGAGAACAACUUCAAACCCGAGGUGUGGCAUAAAAAUAAACAAGGCAUUGAUAAAGGCCAGAAACUUAAAGGGGCUCCUCGGAUACCCGACGUGUAAACUCGUCGAAUGCAUUUCGGCGAUCCUCAAGAUCGAAGAUAAAGAAGAUUUGUUGAACCAGUUUUCAAGACCGGCAACCGAAGAUGAAGAACAGUUCGGAAGAAUCGACGAGCGUCCCUAACUUGAAGACCGGUUCAGGGGGCUACUGACGGUGUCCUGGACUAGGGGGUACUCACCACGUCGUCUCCCGAUCUAUUAGAUUGGGCCGAGGACCCCCAUGGUCGUAUACUCAUGGGCCAGUUCGGAUGGCUACCGCAUACAAGGAAGAUUCCACAAGACUUGGCGAUCAAGACAAGGACUUCUCCCCACCGGCGUAUUCGGCUAGGACUCUUGUUAUCCUAGGCCUCCGGUGCAUUAUAUAAACCGAGGCCAGGCUAGUCGAUAGAUAUACAAUACACAACAUACAAUCAUACCAUAGGCUAGCUUCUAGGGUUUAGCCUCUCUGAUCUCGUGGUAGAUCUACUCUUGUACUACCCAUAUCAUCAAUAUCAAUCAAGCAGGACGUAGGGUUUUACCUCCAUCAAGAGGGCCCGAACCUGGGUAAAACAUCGUGUCCCCUGCCUCCUGUUACCAACCAGCCUAGACGCACAGUUCGGGACCCCCUACCCGAGAUCCGCCGGUUUUGACACCGACAGCGACCUUCCGGACUCCGGGAGCCGAGGGGACGGGGUCCCCGAGAGCUCUGAGUUCAGCCCUCAGCCGAACACCACGCCGGAUCCUCCAACGGUUCCGGACUCGGGUAGGCGGUCCCCUUCUAAGAGGGGCGAAACGCCAGUGCCGGUGACCUCCGCCCAUCCAGAGGCACCGGACAGCCUGCUGGAAGCGCUUCGCAGCGCUUCCAUCGACGAGGAGCACCGCACCAUCAUGAGUGCGGUGAUUCAGAAGGUUCAGUACGCCAAGAGCGGAUUGACUAAAACCUGUGCCAGCCUUCUAACAGGCUUCGAGGUAAGUUUUUUAAAAUGUAGUAGAAGUAUUACCAUAUAGACAGUAGCCCCUGAUGCUUUGUUCGGUGUUCACAAAGAAAAGCCGAAAAGAGGAUCCAAUAAUAUCGUAGGAGUUUAAUAUAAGUAUGUCAAUAUGCAUAUGUAGGCUUCUCUGCUGGCGUCCACCGCACUAACUGCGGAGGUCGCCAUACUGAAGCAGGCCCUCAAUGGGUCCAAGAAAGAACUCGGCCUUGCCAAGAGGCAGCUCGAGGAGAACGAGGGUAAGUAAUACCCCAUCUAUAGAUAUGUGUAUAUAAAAAAGGACGCAAUUGCAAAAUGACAGGGUCAUUGUAUGUUUUGCCAGGGGCCACGACCGAGGUGGCGACCCUGAAGCAAGCACUGACCAAGGCCGAAGAUACAGCGUCCAAGGAGCGCACCGAGCGAGAGAGGCACGAGGCUCGGGUGGGCGAGGUGCAGCAAGAGCUCCAGACUCUCGUGAUGAAGCACGAGGCGUUGGAGCUUGACUUGAAGACGUGAGAGUCUGAGCUGUUGGAAAUAUGCCCUAGAGGCAAUAAUAAAAGUAUUAUUAUUAUAUUUCCUUGUUCAUGAUAAUUGUCUUUUAUUCAUGCUAUAAAUGUAUUAUCCGGAAAUCGUAAUACACGUGUGAAUACAUAGACCACAAUAUGUCCCUAGUGAGCCUCUAGUUGACUAGCUCGUUGUGAUCAACAGAUAGUCAUGGUUUCCUGGCUAUGGACAUUGGAUGUCGUUGAUAACGGGAUCACAUCAUUAGGAGAAUGAUGUGAUGGACAAGACCCAAUCCUAACACUAGCACAAAAGAUCGUGUAGUUCAUUUGCUAGAGCUUUGCCAAUGUCAAGUAUCUCUUCCUUCGAGCAUGAGAGCGUGUAACUCCUGGAUACCGUAGGAGUGCUUUGGGUGUAUCAAACAUCACAACGUAACUGGGUGACUAUAAAGGUGCACUACAGGUAUCUCCGAAAGUAUCUAUUGUUUUAUGCGGAUCGAGACUGGGAUUUGUCACUCCGUGUAAACGGAGAGGUAUCUCUGGGCCGACUCGGUAGGACAUCAUCAUAUGCGCAAUGUGACCAAGGAGUUGAUCACGGGAUGACGUGUUACGGAACGAGUAAAGUGACUUGCCGGUAACGAGAUUGAACAAGGUAUUGGAUACCGACGAUCGAAUCUCGGGCAAGUAACAUACCGAUAGACAAAGGGAAUUGAAUACGGGAUUGAUUAAGUCCUUGACAUCGUGGUUCAUCCGAUGAGAUCAUCGUGGAACAUGUGGGAGCCAUCAUGGGUAUCCAGAUCCCGCUGUUGGUUAUUGACCGGAGAACAUCUCGGUCAUGUCUACAUGUCUCCCGAACCCGUAGGGUCUACACACUUAAGGUUCGAUGACGCUAGGGUUAUAAAGGAAGUUUGUAUGUGGUUACCGAAUGUUGUUCGGAGUCCCGGAUGAGAUCCCGGAUGUCACGAGGAGUUCUGGAAUGGUCCGGAGGUAAAGAUUUAUAUAUGGGAAGUCCUAUUUUGGCCACCGGAAAAUGUUCGGGAUUUUUCGGUAUUGUACCGGGAAGGUUCUAGAAGGUUUCGGAGUGGGGCCCACCUGCAUGGGGGGACCCACAUGGACGUGGGUAGUGGGGGCAAGGCCCCACACCCCUGGUCAAGGCGCACCAAGAUCCCCCCUUAGAAGGAAUAAGAUCAUAUCCCGAAGGGAUAAGAUCAAGAUCCCUAAAAAGGGGGGAUAACAAUCGGUGGGGAAGGAAAUAAUGAGAUUUCUUUCCUCCCACCUUGGCCAACGCCCCAAUGGACUUGGAGGGCAAGAAACCAGCCCCUCCACCCCUAUAUAUAGUGGGGAGGCGCAUGGGAGCUAUAGACGAACUUCUGGCACAACCCUACCUCUCUCCCUACUCCUCCUCUCCCAUGGUGCUUGGCGAAGCCCUGCUGGAUUGCCAUGCUCCUCCACCACCACCACGCCGUUGUGCUGCUGUUGGAUGGAGUCUUCCUCAACCUCUCCCUCUCUCCUUGCUGGAUCAAGGCGUGGGAGAUGUCACCGGGCUGUACGUGUGUUGAACGCGGAGGUGCCGUGCGUUCGGCACUUGAUCAUCGGUGAUUUGAAUCACCACGAGUACGACUCCAUCAACCCCGUUCACUUGAACGCUUCCGCUUAGCGAUCUACAAGGGUAUGUAGAUGCACUCUCCUUCCCCUCGUUGCUAGUCUCUCCAUAGAUAGAUCUUGGUGACACGUAGGAAAAUUUUGAAUUUAUGCUACGUUCCCCAACAGUGGCAUCAUGAGCUAGGUCUAUUGCGUAGAUUCUUUGCACGAGUAGAACACAAAGUAGUUGUGGGCGUUGAUGUUGUUCAAUAUGCUUACCGUUACUAGUCCAAUCUUGUUUCGACGGUAUUGUGGGAUGAAGCGGCCCGGACCGACCUUACACGUACUCUUACGUGAGACAGGUUCCACCAAUUGACAUGCACUUGGUGCAUAAGGUGGCUAGCGGGUGCCAGUCUCUCCCACUUUAGUCGGAACGGAUUCGAUGAAAAGGGUCCUUAUGAAGGGUAAAUAGCAAUUGGCAUAUCACGUUGUGGUCUUGCGUAGGUAAGAAACGUUCUUGCUAGAAACCCAUAGCAGCCACGUAAAACAUGCAACAACAAUUAGAGGACGUCUAACUUGUUUUUGCAGGGUAUGCUAUGUGAUGUGAUAUGGCCAAGAAGAAUGUGAUGAAUGAUAUGUGAUGUAUGAGAUUGAUCAUGUUCUUGUAAUAGGAUUCACGACUUGCAUGUCGAUGAGUAUGACAAUCGGCAGGAGCCAUAGGAGUUGUCUUUAUUUAUUGUAUGACCUGCGUGUCAUUGAAGAACGCCAUGUAAACUACUUUACUUUAUUGCUAAACGCGUUAGUCAUAGAAGUAGAAGUAGUCAUUGGCGUGGCAACUUCAUGAAGACACGAUGAUGGAGAUCAUGAUGAUGGAGAUCAUGGUGUCGUGCCGGUGACGAUGAUGAUCAUGGAGCCCCGAAGAUGAAGAUCAAAAGGAGCAAAAUGAUAUUGGCCAUAUCAUGUCACUAUUUGAUUGCAUGUGAUGUUUAUCAUGUUUAUGCAUCUUGUUUGCUUAGGACGACGGUAGUAAAUAAGAUGAUCCCUUACAAAAUUUCAAGAAGUGUUCUCCCCUAACUGUGCACCGUUGCUACAGUUCGUCGCUUCUAAGCACCACGUGAUGAUCGGGUGUGAUGGAUUCUUACGUUCACAUACAACGGGUGUAAGACAGUUUUACACAGCGAAAACACUUAGGGUUAACUUGACGAGCCUAGCAUGUGCAGACAUGGCCUCGGAACACGGAGACCGAAAGGUCGAGCAUGAGUCGUAUGGUAGAUACAAUCAACAUGAAGAUGUUCACCGAUGAUGACUAGUCCAUCUCACGUGAUGAUCGGACACGGCCUAGUUGACUCGGAUCAUGUGAUCACUUAGAUGACCAGAGGGAUGUCUAUCUAAGUGGGAGUUCAUAAGAUGAACUUAAUUAUCCUAAACAUAGUCAAAAGACCUUUUGCAAAUUAUGUCGUAAGCUCGCGCUUUAGUUCCACUGUUUAGAUAUGUUCCUAGAGAAAAUAUAGUUGAAAGUUGAUAGUAGCGAUUAUGCGAUCAGUAGAAAGCUUAUGUCCUUAAUGCACCGCUCAGUGUGCUGAACCCCAACGUCGUUUGUCGAUGUUGCGAACAUCGGACAUACACGUUUUGAUAACUACGUGAUAGUUCAAUUAAAUGGUUUAAGUAGAGGCACCAAAGACGUUUUCGAAACGUCGCGGAACAUAUGAGAUGUUUCGAGGGCUGAAAUUGGGAUUUCAGGCUCGUGCCCACGUCAAGAGGUAUAAGACCUCCGACGAUUUUCUUAGCCUACAAACUAAGGGAGAAAAGCUCAAUCAUUGAGCUUGUGCUUAGAUUGUCUGAGCACAACAAUCACUUGAAUCGAGUGGGAGUUGAUCCUCCAGAUGAGAUAGUGAUGUUUCCCCAAAGUCAUUGCCACCAAGUUGCUAGAGCUUCGUGAUUAACUAUAACAUAUCAGGGAUAGAUAUGAUGAUCCUUGAAAUAUUCAUGAUGUUUGACACCGCGAAAGUAGAAAUCAAGAAGGAGCAUCAAUUGUUGAUGGUUGGUGAAACCACUAGUUUCAAGAAGGGCAAGGGAACAAAGGGAUACUUCAUGAAACGGCAAUUCAGCUGCUGCUCUAGUGAAGAAACCAAAGGUUGAACCCAAACCCGAGACUAAGUGCUUCUGUAAUAAGGGGAACAACCACUGGAGCAGCAUUACCCUAGAUACUUGGUAGAUGAGAAGGCUGGCAAGGUCGAUAGAAGUAUAUUGGAUAUACAUUAUGUUAAUGUGUACUUUACUAGUACUCCUAGUAGCACCAGGGUAUUGGAUACCGGUUCGGUUGCUAAGUGUUAGUAACUCGAAAUAAAAGCUAUGGAAUAAACGGAGACUAGCUAAAGGUGAGCUGACGAUAUAUGUUGGAAGUGUUUCUAAGGUUGAUAUGAUCAAGCAUCGCACGCUCCCUCUACCACCGAGAUUGGUGUUUGCGUUGAGCAUAGACAUGAUUGGAUUAUGUCUAUCGCAAUACGGUUAUUCAUUUAAGGAGAAUAAUGGUUACUCUAUUUUUGAAUAAUACCUUCAAUGGUCUUGCACCUAAAGGAAUGGUUUAUUGAAUCUCGGUCGUAGUGAUACACAUUUUCAUGCCAAAAGAUAUAAGAUAGUAAUGAUAGUACCACUUACUUGUGGCACUGCCAUGUAAGUCAUAAUGGUAUAAAACGCAUGAAGAAGCUCCAUGUUGAUGGAUCUUUGGACUCACUCGUUUUUGAAAAGUUUGAGACAUGCGAACCAUGUCUAUUGGUGUAUAUGCAUGAAGAAACUCCAUGCAAAUGGAUCAUUCGGACUCACUUGAUUUUGAAUCACUUGAGAUAUGCAAAUCAUACCACAUGGGCAAGAUGACUGAAAAGCCUCAUUUUCAGUAAGAUGGAACAAGAUAGCAACUUGUUCGAAGUAACACAUUUUGAUGUGUGCAGUCGAAUGAGUGCUGAGGCAUGCAGUGAAUAUCAUUAUGUUCUUACUUCACAGAUGAUUCGAGUAAAUGUUGAGUAUAUUUACUUGAUGAAACACAAGUCUGAAUUAUUGAAUGGUUCAAGUAAUUUCAGAGUGAAGUAGCAGAUCAUUGUGACAAGAGGAUAAAAUGUCUAUGAUAUGAUCAUAGAGAUGAAUAUCUAAGUUACGAGUUUUGGCACACAAUUAAGACAUUGUGGAAAUUGUUUCGCAAUUAAUAUCGCCUGGAACACCAUAAUGUGAUGGUGUGUCCGAACAUCAUAGUUGCACCCUAUUGGAUAUGGUGCGUACCAUGAUGUCUCUUAUCGAAUUACCACUAUUGUUCAUGGGUUAGGCAUUAGAGACAAUCACAUUCACUUUAAAUAGGGCACCACGUAAUUCUGAUGAGAUGACACCGUAUGAAUUAUGGUUUAGAGAAACCUAAGUUGUCGUUUCUUAAAAGUUUGGGGCUGCGACGCUUAUAUGAAAAAGUUUCAGGUUGAUAAGCUCGAACCCAAAGCGGAUAAAAUGCAUCUUCAUAGGAAACCCAAAACAGUUGGGUAUACCUCCUAAUUUAGAUCCGAAAGCAAUAUGGAUUGUUUCUAGAAUCGGGUCCUAUCUCGAGGAAAAGUUUCUCUCGAAAGAAUUGAGUGGGAGGAUGGUGGAGACUUGAUGAGGUUAUUGAACCGUCUCUUCAACUAGUGUGUGACAGGGCACAGGGAGUUGUUCCUGUGGCACCUACACCAAUUGAAGUGGAAGCUUAUGAUAUUGAUCAUGAAACUUCGGAUCAAGUCACUCCCAAACCUCGUAGGAUGACAAGGAUGCGUACUACUUCAGAGUGGUACGUAAUCCUGUCUUGAAGGUCAUGUUGCUAGACAACAAUGAACCUACGAGCUAUGGAGAAGCGAUGGUGGGCCCGGAUUCCGAUAAAUGGCUUGAGGCCAUAAAAUCCGAGAGAGGGUCCAUGUAUGAAAAAAAGUGUAGACUUUGGCAGAACGGCUCGAUGGUCGUAAGGCUAAUGAGUACAGAUGGAUUUCAAAAGGAAGACGGACAAUGAUGGUAAAUGUCACCAUUAAGAAAGCUCGACUUGUCGUCAAGAUGUUUUCCGACAAGUUCAAGGAGUUGACUACGAUGAGAUUUUCUCACUCGUAGCGAUGCUAAGAGUCUGUUGGAAUUAUAUUAGCGAUUACUGCAUUAUUUAUGAAAUCUUGCAGAUAGGAUGUCAAAACAUUGUUUCCUCGACGAUUUUAAUGAGGAAAGGUUGUAUGUGAUACAACCGGAAGGUUUUGUCAAUCCCGAAAGAUGCUAAUAAGUAUGCAAAGCUCCAGCAAUCCUUCUAAGGACUGGAGUGAGCAUCUCGGAGUUGGAAUGUAUGCUUUGAUGAUGAUCAAAAAUUUUGGGUUUGUACAAAGUUUAUGAGAAACUUGUAUUUCCAAAGAAGUGAGUGGGAGCACUAUAGAAUUUCUGAUGAGUAUAUGUUGUUGACAUAUUGUUGAUCAGAAAUGACGUAGAAUUUCUGGAAAGCAUAUAGGGUUAUUUUGAAAGUGUUUUUCAAUGGAAAGCCUGGAUUAAACUACUUGAACAUUGAGCAUCAAGAUCUAUAAGGAUAGAUCAAAAUGCUUAAUAAUACUUUCAAAUGAGCACAUACCUUGACAUGAUCUUGAAGGUGUUCAAGAUGGACCAGUCAAAGAAGGAGUUCUUGCCUGAGUUGUAAGGUACGAAGUUAAGACUUAAAGCUCGACCACGGCAGAAUAGAGAGAAAGGACGAAGGUCGUCCCCUAUGCUUAAGACGUAGGCUCUUCAAUAUGCUAUGCUGUGUACCGCACCUGAAGUGUGCCUUGCCAUGAGUCAGUCAAGGGGUACAAGAGUGAUCCAAGAAUGGCUCACAGGACAGCGGUCAAAGUUAUCCUUAGUAACUAGUGGACUAAGGAAUUUUCUCGAUUAUGGAGCUGGUAAAAGAGUUCGUCGUAAAGGUUACGACGAUGCAAGCUUGACACCUAUCCGGAUAGCUCUGAGUAGAGAGACCGGAUACAUAUAAUGGAGCAAUAAUUUAGAAUAGCUCCAAGUAGAACAGUUGUUUGGAAUAGCUCCAAAUAGAGCGUGGUAGCUGCAUCUAGGAGAUGACAUAGAGAUUUGUAAAGCACACACGGAUCUGAAAGGUUCAGACCCGUUGACUAAAACCUCUCUCACAAGCAACAUGAUCAAACAUAAAACUCAUUGAGUGUUAAUCACAUAGUGAUGUGAACUAGACUACUGACUCUAGUAAACUCUUGGGUAUUAGUCACAUGGCGAUGUGACCUGUGAGUGUUAAUCACAUGGCGAUGUGAACUAGAUUAUUGACUCUAGUGCAAGUGGGAGACUGUUGGAAAUAUGCCCUAGAGGCAAUAAUAAAAGUAUUAUUAUUAUUAUAUUUCCUUGUUCAUGAUAAUUGUCUUUUAUUCAUGCUAUAACUGUAUUAUCCGGAAAUCGUAAUACACGUGUGAAUACAUAGACCACAAUAUGUCCCUAGUGAGCCUCUAGUUGACUAGCUCGUUGUGAUCAACAGAUAGUCAUGGUUUCCUGGCUAUGGACAUUGGAUGUCGUUGAUAACGGGAUCACAUCAUUAGAAGAAUGAUGUGAUGGACAAGACCCAAUCCUAAGACUAGCACAAAAGAUCGUGUAGUUCAUUUGCUAGAGCUUUGCCAAUGUCAAGUAUCUCUUCCUUCGACCAUGAGAGCGUGUAACUCCUGGAUACCGUAGGAGUGCUUUGGGUGUAUCAAACGUCACAACGUAACUGGGUGACUAUAAAGGUGCACUACAGGUAUCUCCGAAAGUAUCUAUUGUUUUAUGCGGAUCGAGACUGGGAUUUGUCACUCCGUGUAAACGGAGAGGUAUCUCUGGGCCCACUCGGUAGGACAUCAUCAUAUGCGCAAUGUGACCAAGGAGUUGAUCACGGGAUGAUGUGUUACGGAACGAGUAAAGUGACUUGCCGGUAACGAGGUUGAACAAGGUAUUGGAUACCGACGAUCGAAUCUCGGGCAAGUAACAUACCGAUAGACAAAGGGAAUUGAAUACGGGAUUGAUUAAGUCCUUGACAUCGUGGUUCAUCCGAUGAGAUCAUCGUGGAACAUGUGGGAGCCAUCAUGGGUAUCCAGAUCCCGCUGUUGGUUAUUGACCGGAGAACGUCUCGGUCAUGUCUACAUGUCUCCCGAACCCGUAGGGUCUACACACUUAAGGUUCGAUGACGCUAGGGUUAUAAAGGAAGUUUGUAUGUGGUUACCGAAUGUUGUUCGGAGUCCCAGAUGAGAUCCCGGACGUCACGAGGAGUUCCGGAAUGGUCCGGAGGUAAAAAUUUAUAUAUGGGAAGUCCUAUUUUGGCCACCGGAAAAUGUUCGGGAUUUUUCGGUAUUGUACCGGGAAGGUUCUAGAAGGUUCCGGAGUGGGGCCCACCUGCAUGGGGGGACCCACAUGGACGUGGGUAGUGGGGGUAAGGCCCCACACCCCUGGUCAAGGCGCACCAAGAUCCCCCCUUAGAAGGAAUAAGAUCAUAUCCCGAAGGGAUAAGAUCAAGAUCCCUAAAAAGGGGGGAUAACAAUCGGUGGGGAAGGAAAUAAUGAGAUUUCUUUCCUCCCACCUUGGCCAAUGCCCCAAUGGACUUGGAGGGAAAGAAACCAGCCCCUCCACCCCUAUAUAUAGUGGGGAGGCGCAUGGGAGCUAUAGACGAAGUUCUGGCACAGCCCUACCUCUCUCCCUACUCCUCCUCUCCCAUGGUGCUUGGCGAAGCCCUGCUGGAUUGCCACGCUCCUCCACCACCACCACGCCGUUGUGCUGCUGUUGGAUGGAGUCUUCCUCAACCUCUCCCUCUCUCCUUGCUGGAUCAAGGCGUGGGAGACGUCACCGGGCUGUACGUGUGUUGAACGCGGAGGUGCCGUGCGUUCGGCACUUGAUCAUCGGUGAUUUGAAUCACGACGAGUACGACUCCAUCAACCCCGUUCACUUGAACGCUUCCGCUUAGCGAUCUACAAGGGUAUGUAGAUGCACUCUCCUUCCCCUCGUUGCUAGUCUCUCCAUAGAUAGAUCUUGGUGACACGUAGGAAAAUUUUGAAUUUAUGCUACGUUCCCCAACAUGAGCUUGCCGCGGCCCGUGAGAGCGCGGAGAGUGCCAAGGCCGAGGCCCAGAAGGCCCUUUAGGAGAUCGACGCAAUGAAGAAGAUAGCGGCGGGUAAGGCUUUCUAUAUGCAAAGCAAGCAUGUAAAAGUGAAUUACCGAUUACUUACCCGAAUCCGGAGCUCUUCAGGAGCAUUCGCAGAUUUGCCCCGUAGUGUGUCUGAUGCCGCACAAUUCUACCAGGCCGAGGACGGAAGCUCGACGGAGAAGCUGUUCUGGUCUCAGUAUGCUGAGGCCGAACAUCCGGUGCCAAUGAGCGACCAGCUGAAGCAGAUGGUCGAGCUACAUAAGGCGGCCGAUCAGGCCAUGAAGGGCUUCAUAGUCUGUUUGUGGCCUGGCGACGCCCUUUCGAACAGCUUCUUCGGCCUGGUGAGGCAGCUUGUGGAUGUCUGCCCCCGGCUGGAGGUCGUCAAGCGAUCCGUCUGCAUAGAAGGUGCACGCCGGGCUUUCGCCCGUGUAAAAAUGCAGUGGGUCAAGCUAGACGCCGUGAAGCUGAUUAAGGAGGGGCCACCGGAGGGCAAGGAGCACCGCCACCCCGAGAUGUACUACGAGGGUGUUCUGCCGGGUGCCUGUCUUAUCGCGGAUGAGUAUUCGCAAAAUGUAAUAUUUGAAUGAGACUUGCUCGUGUUGUCCUGUAUGUAUGAAAACUUGUAUCAUGUUCGCUAUGCAACGCUUGUUAGAAUUUAAAAUAUUACCUUCUGUUUGGCUAUUUAUCCAAUCUGAGAGAUGGCUAGUCCUCGGCUUCUGCCCCCAUGCCACGAGUGCUGGGGUGUUCGGGAUAAACCUGAGCACUCUUGUUCCCAUGUUUGGGUCCUUCGAGGGAGGUGCUCAGCACAACAAACAAGGCAACUGGACUAAUAAUGCUUUAUCACUCUCACUUAGCCAUAGAAUUCUAUAAUUUUAAAUUUCGGCGAAGCCCCUGGUAUUCGGAAGGCCGAAUUCGGGGCGCGAUACACGCCUGUAAGCUGGACAGAGCCGGCCCCUCGCCCUAAGCGGCAUAAGUCUUUAGGGACUCAAAAAACCUCGCCGAACAGCGACCAGUCUCUCGCCUUAUCAUGACAGUCAUUUUUAGCUUUCUCUACUGAGGUGCUCAGCCCGGCAGAACUGGGGCACAAUCGCAGUAGUUCUCCUAGCGCUACCUUAGCCGAUAGAGUGGAACUUAGGUACCAAAACAUAGGAGCCGGGCAAACCCAACAUUUGACCAAAGACAUGAUUCGGAGCUGAUGCAUAUAAUGCUAUAAGUUCGGGUGCCGCACUUGUGAAAGUGUUCGGACUUUUCACACCAUAUUGUGGGUACGUAAGCCCCUGGUGCAUUGGCCGUACCAGAGUGUACGGUUGCAAGGCGUCAUUAAUGAACACACACAUAUAUAUAUAUAACAGAAAUGAAAUAAUAGUCGUAAUGUCAUGCAUUGUUUAUUAAAAAAUUGCAAUAAAGCAGAGUGAUACAGAUAGUGCAAUAAGCAAAAGAGUAGGACUAUGUCCCUUCCAAGGGCGAGCUGAGGAAUGAUAUGAAAUCUGUAAUCAACCUAGGAAUUCCGUUGUAUAACGCAGUUGUCUGCCUCCUUGGUUGUUGUAUCAUGUGUUCGGCAAUAGAGCUGCCGGACAGCGUUUCCAGAGAUUAAAGUCCUGAAAGAAAGAAAAAUAACCAAACGGGAAGCCCCUAGUGCGGUUUAGGCCGCGUCUUGGGGCGUGCCGCAGUUGUGCCCCCCCCUCCCCACCUGUGCCCAUGGUAUUUUUAGUUCGUAAUUAUGUACGCGCGGCAUGAAUAUCGCCAUUGGGCUGGGAUUGGGGUGGCCGCCGAAUUGCUAAGCGAGCUCAGAUCGCGCUAGGCGGUCUAUUUGCCGACUGCUCCAAGCGCGCUUGAAGGUGUCCGGGCUUUGAAACGCCAAACUGGUAGGUUGCCUUGAGAGGCUGCUUUGCGCUUUUGCUGCAAGGGCCGCGGUGUGCUCCUCUAUUCGGAGAGAGCGCUCUGUGUUUCCAUUGACUGUAAUUACUCCGCGAGGUCCUGGCAUCUUGAGCUUGAGGUAUGCAUAAUGUGGUACCGCAUUGAAUCUAGCAAAUGCGGUUCAUCCGAGCAGCGCGUGAUAACCACUGCGGAACGGGACUAUAUCGAAGAUUAACUCUUCGCUUCGGAAGUUAUCCGGGGAUCCGAAGACCACUUCCAGUGUAAUUGAGCCUGUGCAGUGGGCCUCUACACCUGGAAUGACGCCCUUAAAGGUCAUUUUUGUGGGUUUGAUCCUUGAGGGGUCUAUACCCAUUUUGCGCAAUGUGUCCUGAUAAAGCAGGUUCAGGCUGCUGCCGCCAUCCAUAAGGACUCGGGUGAGGUGAAAUCCGUCGAUGAUUGGGUCUAGGACCAGUGCGGCGAAUCCGCCAUGACGGAUACUAGUGGGGUGGUCCCUGCAAUUGAAGGUGAUCGAACAGGAGGACCAAGGGUUGAACUUUAGGGCGACUGGCUCCAAUGCAUAUACGUCCCUGAGUGCACGCUUCCGCUCCCUCUUGGGAUGUGGGUUGCGUAUAUCAUGUUCACCGUCCGCACUUGCGGGGGAAACCUCUUCUGUCCUCCAGUGUGCGGCUGUCGGGGUUCGUCCUCGUCAUCGCUAUGCGGCCCCUUGUCCUUGUUUUCGGAAAUUAACUUGCCGGCUUGAUUGAACACCCAACAAUCCCUGUUGGUGUGAUUGGCUGGCUUGUCUGGGGUGCCGUGUAUUUGACAUGAGCGAUCGAGUAUACGGUCCAAGCUGGACAGACCCAGCGUACUUUGUUUGAAUGGCUUUUUCCGCUGACCGGGUUUAGAGCCUUUGAAUCUGGCAUUGACUGCCGUAUCCUCAGUACGUUCGUUGUUAAUGCGGUGCUUAUGCUUGUUGCGACGUGACCUGUUAUUGUCGUCCUUGGUAUCUAAGGUACCAUGGUUCUUUGAUAUGUUAUUACUGCGAGCCAGCCAGCUGUCUUCUCCCGCACAAAAGCGGGUCAUGAGCGUCGUGAGGGCUGCCAUAGAUUUCGGCUUUUCCUGACCAAGGUGCCGGGCUAGCCACUCGUCUCGGAUGUUGUGCUUGAAAGCCGCUAAGGCCUCCGCAUCCGGACAGUCGACGAUUUGAUUUUUCUUUGUAAGGAACCAAGUCCAGAAUUGCCUGGCCGUCUCUUCUGGCUGCUGAAUUAUGUGGCUCAAGUCAUCAGCGUCUGGUGGUCGCACAUAAGUGCCCUGAAAGUUAUCGAGGAACGCGGCUUCCAGAUCUUCCCAACAGCUAAUGGAGUCUGCUGGCAAGCUAUUAAGCCAAUGCCGCGCUGGUCCUUUGAGCUUUAGUGGGAGGUAUUUGAUGGCGUGUAAGUCAUCACCGCGGGGCAUGUGGAUGUGGAGGAGGAAAUCCUCAAUCCAUACCGCGGGAUCUAUUGUGAUGUUGUAUGAUUCAAUAUUUACGGGUUUGAAACCUUCUGGGAAUUGAUGUUCCAUUACUUCGUCUGUGAAGCAUAAGGGGUGUGCGGCGCCUCUGUAUUGGGCUAUAUCGUGACGCAGGUCGAAUGGGUCCUGCCCGCUGUGUUCGGCCCGGCCGGAUUUGCUUUUACUGUAUCCACGUGACAUUUACCGUCUCGUAGAGUGGUGCGCCCUCGUGAUCCAUAGAUCAAUCUUGAAUGCUUUGCUUUGUCCUCCAAUAUGUCUCGCAGGUCUGGCAUAUCUCCCCAUGCCUUUUUAUUUGGAUGGCGUUGGGGUGGAGGCUGAGCUUUUGGCUGGAAUGCCUCUCUAUCGCGGCCACGAGGUGGCCGAUCAGCCGUAUCAUACGCUUCUUCCUCCAGUCGGGGUAGUAACCUGCGCCUUGGGUAACUCUUGGAGGGACGCUUGAGUUUAUAUUCCUCGGCCACGAGGACUUCAGUCUAUUUGUCAGCUAGCAGAUCUUGAUCAGCUUGAAGCUGCUGCUGCUUUUUCUUCGGGCUAUUUGCCAUGGCCAUAAGCUUGCGCUUGAAGCGCUCUUGUUCGACGGGAUCCUCUGGUACGGCGAAUUCAUCGUCGCCGAGGCUUGCCUCGUCUUCGGAGGGGGGCAUGUAAUUGUCAUCCUCCUCCUCUCCGCCAGCCGCUCUCUCAGGAGAGCUGGCUCCUUCAUCCUCCUGCUCUAAAUCUUGCUGGAGGGGAUUGUUGUUGUCUUCGGCGCUAUCCGGAGUGUUAUUAUCUCCUGUGCCGGUAUCACCACUUUUGCUUUGGCGGGACUUAGAGUGGCGCCACUGACAUAGGCGCUUGGGUUGCUUCUUGGAGGGAUCAUCCUCCGCUAUCUCGUCGCCAUUGCCUUCAUUGGGUGUAUCCACCAUGUAUAUGUCAUACGACGAGGUGGCUUUCCAGUGCCCUAUAGGUGCUGGUUCAUGUUCAUCUCCUACAUCGUCGUCCAUACCGUCGAUGUCUUCGGAGUCGAAGUCGAGCAUGUCGGUUAAAUCAUCGACAGUGGCUACAAAGUGGGUGGUGGGUGGGCGUCGAAUUUCUUCGUCGUCCGCAUCCUAAUCCUGUUGGCCAUAAUCCGGCCAGGGCUCUCCUGACAAAGAGAGAGACCUUAGUGAAUUCAGAAUGUCAUUGAAGGGCGAGUGCUGAAAGAUAUCCAUGGCGGUGAAUUCCAUGAUCGGCGCCCAAUCGGAUUCGAUUGGCAGGGGCGCGGAUGGUUCGGGAUCCGGAAGAGAGUCCGGCACCUUGGAGUCACGGGCUGCGCAGAGGAUUAUGCUGGUGUUUGGCUCGAUCGCCGUCGAGACUGCAGCCCCUGAGGCGGUGUCUAGCCACCCAUCCUCGAUUGGCGCAGCUGGCUCCGAGCUAAGGGUCGGAGCUGAUGCGGGCGCGACCUCUGGGGUACCGUCCGGUGGCAGAGCUAGGUCAUACCCAUCGCGACAGUGCGGUGCGCCCGGCUGUGGCUUGAAUCCGUUGAAAAUCAAGUCCCCAUGGAUGUUGGCCGUGUAAUUCAAACUUCCAAAUCUGACCUGAUGGCCAGGGGCGUAGCUUUAAAUCUGCUCCAGAUGGCCAAGCGAAUAGCCCGCAGUGCAAAGCCGCCGAAUACGAAAAUCUGUCCGGGGAGAAAAGUCUCACCCUGGACCGCAUCGCUAUCGAUGAUAGUACGAGCCAUCAAGCCUAACGGCGACGACAUAGAGGAACUCUCAAUGAAAGCACCAAUGUCGGUGUCAAAACCGGCGGAUCUCGGGUAGGGGGUCCCGAACUGUGCGUCUAGGCCGGAUGGUAACAGGAGGCAAGGGACACGAUGUUUUACCCAGGUUCGGGCUCUCUUGACGGAGGUAAAACCCUACGUCCUGCUUGAUUAAUAUUGAUGAUAUGGGUGUUACAAGAGUAGAUCUACCACAAGAUCAGAGAGGCUAAACCCUAGAAGCUAGCCUAUGGUAUGAUUGUAUGUUGUGAUUGUUGUCGUACGGACUAAAACCCUUCGGUUUAUAUAGACACCGGAGAGGGUUAGGGUUACACAAGGUCGGUUACAAAGGAGGAGAUAUCCAUAUACGUAUUGCCUAGCUUGCCUUCCAUGCCAAGUAGAGUCCCAUCCGGACACGAGAUGAAGUCUUCAAUCUUGUAUCUUCAUAGUCUAACAGUUCGGCCAAUGGAGAUAGUCCGGCUGUCCGGAGACCCCCUAAUCCAGGACUCCCUCAGUUACAUUUGUGUAAGGAUAGAUUUCCUAAUUUGCGCAAAUCAAAGCUAAUGCCACGUGCUGAUGGUCCUUUUAAGGUGUUAGAGAAAAUAAAUGAUAAUGCAUAUAAACUUGAGUUGCCUGCAGAUUUUGGGGUUAGUCCCACUUUUAACAUUGCAGAUUUGAAGCCUUAUUUGGGUGAGGAAGAUGAGCUUUCAUCGAGGACGACUUCAUUUCAAGAAGGGGAGGAUGAUGAGGACAUCAAUACCAUUGUUACACCCACAGCCCCUGCUGUUAUACAUACUGAACCAAUUACUAGAGCUCGCGCACGCCAAUUGAAUUAUCAGGUAUUUUCGUUUCUUGGUAACGAUUCUAAUUUUCAUGAGAAUAUGAUGCUGUCUAAAUUGGAUACAUUUGUUUUGCUUACAAAUGAAGGGCCUAGCUUUGACAAGAAAGAUGAACCUUGGAGCAAGUUCAAGCAUGGAGAUGAUGGCAUGCGCAAGGGGAACAAGAACGGAGUUACAAGUGAUGAUUCCAGGACUUUGAAGCCACCAUAAUGAGUGCAUGAAGCCUUGGAUGAAAUAUACAAGAUGUCACUUCAUAAAUUUCGUCCAGAAACUAUUCUAGGUGCUGCGUCACCUUAUUUUUGGGCCAGGCCCAUGUAAUUUCGAAAUACUUGAGUAUAGGCAGUUUUUAGAGUCCAUAUGUGUGGGGAAACAAGACUUAGGGUUGGUUUCGGACCUCUCCUCCAAGGGCCACGAAAUUCCCCCCUCUCUUCUCCAUAUAUACAGUCCUUAGGGCAUCAUUUAGAUUUUGGGUUUUGUUUAGAAUAAAAGUUCGCCAUAGCUGCAACUUCGCGUACUUCGUUUGUGUCCAACGACCAGACCAAGACGUCACAGAACCCCACCUUCAUUAAUAAAACUUUCCACUUUUAUUCGCAAUAUCCAGAUUGCAAUCUCAGUUUCUUGCUUGUUCUUCGAUUGCUUGCAGGAAUAGACCUUCAUUGGAGAACUCCAUUGCGUCAUUGAGAAGGCCACAGUGGAAUUUUGUGAUAACAUCUCUGCUUAUCUCUCAGCUAACCAUGUUCAUCAUCGCCGCACCAAGCACAUCGAGUUGGAUAUUCAUUUUGUUCAUGAGAAGGUGGCCUUGGGACAAUUUCAUGUUGUUCAUGUCCCGACUGAUCAUCAACUGGCCGACAUCAUGACCAAGGGUCUUCCGACUACUUCAUUCGAAGCCUUUCGCAGGAGUCUUGGGAUUCACUCCGAUGAUGCUUCGACUGCGGGGGCGUAGGAAUAUAGGCAUUGUAUCACAUGCGAUCACGUAGGAUGUUUACUUCCAUACUUGCUUCCUCUUAAUAUCUUUCCUUGUACAUAGAGAUAGAGUCUUAGAGGUCAAGUAUUCUUGUGUAUAUAUGUAAUUUCCCUAUGGAUCAAUACAAUGCGCUGCAUAUUCCCAAUUAUUCAAUCCUACAGCCCUCCCAAUCGACUGCCCCCUUGUGCCCUUCCGGGUUCUGCCCUCCGGUCCUCAUCGGUUCCUCGAGCAGGGAAACUCGAAGUCGGCGUCCUGCCGUAUCAACUCCGCCGAUCCCCAUAGUCUUUCCGUCCGCCGCCAGGUCGGGUUAGGCCCUUCGCCGUCUCAGACCCCCUCUCCUCACCUUCGCUUUUCCUCGUCUCCGCCCCCGCGAGGUCGGAAUCGGAUUAGGCAGGCCCAUCGACGUCUCCUUUGGCAUAUCUCAUUAGUCGCUAACAGAACGAUUUAUUUUAUCUUUUUAUUAAGCAAACUACGCUUGGGGGUUAGCCACCUGAAUUCAUUCGUUUCUAUUAAAUGAAAUUUAUUUAUUUUAUCUAUUAUUAUGCAGGAGAAGAUGAUAUCCAAAAUGCAUGAUAUGCUUUUGCCAGUGUUCUCUCUGUUCAAGUUUCGUUUAGAUGCUCCACGUAUCCACAGUAUGUUCCUACUCAUUUUGAUGGGUCCAAUUGUGCGGAGCUUGUUAUUAUGCAUCUGUCUUUUUUCAGUACUAUUCUAGGCCAGGUUUUAUCUUCAGGAUACUAUGGCUGGAACAAAAACGUGGUGACUAAAAAUUAUUAGAUUGACCUCUUGUGCAUUCUAAUGAUCUUUUAGCAUUGAUUUUUUUUCGUAGGCUCCUCACCACUGUCUUGUCCACCUCAUUGUGGAAUGUCGUAGUAGUUCUCAAAAGUUUGCACGGCAAGUAGCAUAUGAAGUAUCAAUGCUAAAGCAGAUUUCAAUAUUUUAUCAACAGUUACGUGGCAUGGAAAUAGUUUCUUGUUGACUUCUUUCCUUUGAUUACUAUUCAUUGUGUACAGUUAAGUGGCAUGGAACUGAAACCAUACUUUGUUGUUGACUUGUUUCAUUGUGGACAGAUUUUCCUUGUUAAGUUGAGAUAUUAGCAUCUUACUAGAUCUUGAUUACUAUUCAUGUUAUGGUGUCUUUGGAUUUAUCUUAGCUCAGCAGGACAGAGUCAUGAAGGGUUCAUCCUUACACUAGUUUGAUGCCAGCUGCUUACAUUUACCAAUAUUUUUUAAUAUGGUUUAAGUUCAUGCAUAUCUGAUUUUAUGAGUUUCAGUAGGCGUCAUCAAGUCAUGGGCUGUGGCUUCAAUCCCCGGAUUUUUUGUUUGCAUGUGCUGUGCUGCUAUGAAGCAUUGCUUAGCAAACAAUGUUUUGGGAAUUUCUUCCCGUACCCAGGUUUGUUUUUAUUAGUUAUAUUGUGUAUUUCUAAGAAUUAUGAGCACUUUCUGGGUGGUGUUCACUUCAGUUAUGGUCAGGGUAGCUAAAUUUUUUUUGCUCCAAUAAAUGUCAUAGAUCUUUUUAGUGAACUUUUGGUGAUAAUAUUGUCAGUGGGUUCGUUUUUAGUUUAAUAGUUCAACUAAUCUGAUCUGCAUUGUUAUGCACAUCACGUGUUCCCAUCCGCAGAUGCUGCCUCCAUGCUUUUCAUUGGCGACACUGCAAUAUCUGGUUAGUAAUAGAAUAUAAGUUCUUUUGUUUGUGCCAAAUUACAUUUUCGGUUUGUUCUUCUGAAACUUGCAAUUAUUAUAGAUAUGUGGUUAGUAAUAGAAUAAAAGUAACAUCAGCUUCACAAUGACUUGUGCGUGUCAACUUCAUUUGGCAUAAUCACCUGUAUUUACAGUGAGACCUCAGUAAAAUUUUCGCAUCAUUGCAGCUCUUUCUCUUGUUGGUCUACGAGGACGAAAUAGUAUUUAUCAGCAUUUUCUUAUUCUUGUUGAUCUAAGAGAACAUUCUAUCUUUUGUUUAUUCUUUAGUAUUAGUACUAGGGAAAAGUGCAGAUUUGAAACUAGAACGUUUCCAAUUCUUGUUCAGAUGCGCCCUGCUUGCUUGGCUGUUUUACUUGCUCGAUUGCUCUAUAUGGGAUCCAUGCCACUCUUUUGCUGUUGCCGGUAUGAUUAAAAAAAAUUGUGGCCCAAGGGGCCGAGACAGUAUGCACAAAGAAAAACAAAUUAUUUUGAAGUUUGAACUUCCUCUUGGAUUAACUAUUGUAUUAAAUUCUGCAUAUUGGAGCAGUUGCUGCAUCACUCAGCACAUAAUAAGGAUUUCUGCUUUUUGGUUCCAGGUAUAUGUGUUGCACUUGCCCUCUGUAUCGCUGUGCCAAGAGCUAGCAAGAACCGUUUCUUUAAUUACGCAUUUUUGCGAUACACUGUAAUUAUCAUCAUACUGAACUGGUUUCAAUCCACACAGGUGAGUUAUGCUACUUGAGUUGCACCUGAUAUUAUCUUGAAAAUAAAAUGCCCUGUUAUAUAUGCUCAUCUCAUCUUUUUUUUCAGGGUGGGGGGCAGCCUGCUCUACAAUACGUUGCUUGUGGCGUGAUUAGUUUUGUUAUUGUUCACUGUUUGUGGAAUGUAGAAGUAAAACAGGUAAGGUCGGUCCAUAUUGUUGUUUGUACUAUAGAUAUGCCUAUUGCCAGUCCCAAGUGUGUGGUGGUUGAUGACAUUCUGUAGUGACAUAUCAUAUUUGCUAAUAUCUCUUUUUUCCCCUCGCUUGAGGGUGACAACAAUCAGCCGAUGAGUGAAGUGUGGGAUUGGAACAUGUAUGGAACCAAACUGAAGUUUCAUGGAUGGUUUAUUAACACUGCCAAUGAGGAUGGUGACGGAGGUGAGGAUGGUGACGGAGGUGAGGAUGAUGCUUCAUUUGCCGCGGAGCAUUCCGAUGAUGAAGAUUUGACGGAGGUGUCAAUUUUACGUGCGGUGCAAGUGUUGGCCAUUCGUGCAAACUUUCGUAUUAGCCGUAUGGACGCCCAUGACUGGUACCAAAGUUUUGUCAUCUAUGUGGCGCUCGAGGGGGAAGUACAAGAGGUAUACACUAGCUACCGUAUGUUAUAUCUACUACAUGCUUUAUGCCUCUUUACAUGCAUUAUAUAUUGUAAUAAAUUAAAAUCCUUCAC
rnacentral:lncRNA from 1 species